CGCGCGCCCGGGGCCAUGCCGACGGCUUUUCCUCUGGCAUAGUCGUAGAAGGCCGCGUCGGCAACAGGAGAGCCGCCGGCGGUGGAGGAGGUGUGGGUGCCAUGCCCGUUGGUGUCGAGCGGCGACUCCGAGUCCUCACCGAGCGGACGGCCGAGUGCAGCCUCCUGACCCUUGUGGAAGAACUUGGCGCCGACGAGUUUGUUGUUGCAGAGCGCGGAGCCGUUGAACGCCGGACCCGAGACGCACCCGCCGCGGAACUUGCCGGGCGGCAACGGCGGCAGCGACGGGUCGGCCGCGAAGGACGCGCGGCCUUCCGGGUACACGCCGGUGUCGAUGACCCCGAUGACGACGUCGGUGGCGCCGUUGGACGCCGGGAGCAGCCCGGAGGACGGCGAGAGGCCGAGGAAGGACGGCGUGAGGGUGGUGUGCAGCUCCUGCAUCACGUCGGGCACGACGGCGAGCACGGAGCCCGAGGACGCGAGGCGCGCGGCCUGGCGGCCCGUGAGGCGCGCCGCGAAGCCCGUGGCGGCGUGAGAGUAGGAGUAGAGCACCCUCGGCGCAGGGCUGGACAUCUCGACGGGGAUGUGGUCGCGCAGGAACGAGCCGUACGCACGGGAGGUCAGUAGGCCUCUGCGCGGCAGACGUGGGGCGUGCGCGGCCCCGACGUGCACGAUGUAGGAAGACUGUACCUCCGCCGUCCCGAUCUCCACCUCAAGCUCCGUUGCCGCCACCGGAGCGGCGACGACGGUGGCGAGCAGGAAGCAUAGGGCCGCGAGUGGUACGAGGCUGAGCUCCAUUGUUGCUGCAAGCGAUGUACGCCGUCAGUGGUUGCGGUGUGGUAGCAGCAGGGAUGGGGCGCAGGAAUAAGUAGGCAGCGCGGCUGCUCCGGCCACCGCGGCAGCACGCGGAGGGGGUGGUAGUUGCCGAUCCAAAUCAUGUGAAUGAUUUUGAUCUCCGCACGAGGUGGUUCGUGCUGAUCAUUGUGCUGCGAGGAGGGCUCGGAAGUAUUUUAUUGCCAGAAGCGGAUAGCGCGACUCGCGUGUUUACUUAAGAUAGUGUUAUUUUCGAUAUUGUGCUGAUCAUUCCUCUUUCAAAAUUGUUGUUGUUGGCUCGUUCUCGGUAGGAACGCACGACGCCUCCAUUUCGUUCUUAGCAACAAAAAUGUGGAGCAUGUGUGCCCUUAAAAUGAUUGCAUAACUAGUUAUACUCGUAUUCUUCGAUAAAUAAUAUUGUAUAUCAAGAAGAUAUCAGUUACAUCCGUAUUAUGCAACAACAUGACAUGGAGGAUGGAGACUGCAAAAUUAAAUCAUACCUCAUCAACUAAACAACAAGUAUUAAAUUAGAGUUAAGUUGUAUAUGUGCUGAUUUGGAAAUUACAGAAAUGUUAUUUGGGGGACGUCGGUGUUUUGACGUCCUUCAACAGACACAUCGAACAUCGUUCGAUCUUUUGGCACGGAUUGCAGAGCAAAUGAUGAUGCCGCGUCGGGGUCUCCUAUUAGUUUGUUAUGACCAACUCCUUGGCGAACGUCAUAUAUUUAUUCUUCAUCAUAAUAAAUACCACCAUGGGGCACAUGAUGGGGAUUGAACCAAUGACCUUCUUAAGUAAUGACAUGGACGUUAAUCACGUUUUUUUCGAGAGUAUGCUAAUAGCGUACCAUAUCUUUAUAGGAGGAAGCUACGCUUAAGUUCAACCCACCAGUCAAGGAAAGUAUCAUGGUUCUCUGGGUGCCCAAGGUUCAAGUUUAGCAUGUCAAAGCAAUGGUGCAAAACCACCCGAGCAUACACACACUCCACAAGAAUAUGCUCGGCAUUAUCUUCAUCUUGAAGGCAUGUUUAGUAAGAAGAGGGAUGAUCUUGCACCGCGUGCUUUGCUCUUUGAUCUGAGGUCCAAAUGCGAUGUUGUAUGGCAAGCCAGGUAAAGAUCUUACAUUUGAGACUAGCCCAGCUCUUCCAGAUGCAAGUGGCAUAUGGGCGCCCACUGAAUCCCUAGACACAGGCGGUAGUAGGUGGACCAAACGGAGAAUGUACCCGAGGAUCUGAAGGUCAAAAGAAGUCGUCGGGGUUGUUCUGGUCCAGGUGUACAUGAUGGCCAAGUUAAGAUGUGAGUUGUACAAGAAAGCUUUCUUGCCACAUCAUGCAACCACCUGGGGCGCGGUUGGUAGCCUGCAUUAAGGCCAGGCUGUGACAAGCCAAGUAGCGAGUUGUUUGAUUGCAUGGCUUGCACGUAAAAAUUGGUUCGCACGAACUUAAAGCGUCCUCAGCCUGGUACGCUAGGAAUGCUCAAAUUAACAAUUUUUCAUAUGCGAGUUGGGCUUGAUACGGGAAACCGAACGACAUGCAGAUGAUGACCGAGAGCGUGUAUACACUGAACCAGGCUCCACUCAAAAACUAAUCAAACGCGGCUCUAUUGUUGUCGAGAGCCUGACUCACAGUGUGCCUAUUCCUCGUGCGAGUGUCCCCCAUGCCAUGAAUCAAGGGAUCAUUUUCCGCCACCGCAAACCCAUGUACCCACCCGUCUUUCUAGAACAAGACCCAUGAUCCAUCCCCGACUUCAGUUUUGACGAGACUGACACCAUUUUUCAAAUAAAACCAUGCUAUUUUUGUCUUCCAAAACAUGGUAAAAAACUGAUUUUUCCUUAUUUCGAAAAAGGUUCAUGAUCUUAGUUUUGAUGCCGAUGACUCCAUUUUUCAAUUAAAACCAUGAUAUUUUUUGUCUUCCAAAACAUGGUAAAAAACUGAUUUUUUUUAAUUUUGAAAAAGGUUCAUGAAUUUAGAAAUUAUUUGUGUAAUUACAAAAGAUUGUGAAAUUUGUAAAAAUAUCAUGAAUUACAAUACUAUUUGUGAAUUUGAAAAAAAUAGAAAAUACAAAAAGUUACAUGCAUCUGAAAAACAAUCGCUAAUUAAUACAUUUAACAUAUUUAAAAUAGUUCAUGCAUUUAGAAAAUGUUCACAAAAUUGAAAAAAUAACUAUUUUGAAAAAUUUGGAAUUGUAAAGAAAUCCUGAAUUUGAAAAGACUAUUCAUGAAAUUUAAAUAGAAAAAGGUAAAAAAAAGAACAACUAAAAUUUUAAAAAAAUUGUAAAAAAACUAACAGUUUUGCUAGAACUCAUCUGGAUGAGUUUUAAUUAUGCCUCAUUCAUCUUUAUAGCCAUUGGAUGAGAUACUUUAAGACACGUGUGUGCUGACAUGGAUUGUAGUACUAUUUUAUACUCCCUCCGUUCGUUGAUGUAUAGAUUUUUGAGAAAAAAUCCGAAAUAUAAGGUGUAUUGUGUUGCACCAUUCGUUUGGAUAUUUGUUUUAGGGAUUUGAUUACAUUUACUUAUAUCGGCCAAGCUCCUCUAUUUUUUGAUGUCAAUUAGUCAGAUGUAAUCUCAUUUAAAACUUGUGAAAAUUUUCCUCCAAGUGCGUUCUCUAACUUUCGUGUCAAAAACUAUACACCCUAUAUUUAAAAACGGAGGGAGUAUCUGUUUUUGUUUUUUAGAUGAAUGAGACCAAAUUAUAUCUCGUGUGGAUGAGUUCUAGACACUCCCAAGAAAUUAAAGAUGAAAAACUGAUCAAAAGCUUCUAAAGAGCUUCACAAAACCAAUGAGAAGAAUGUGGAAUCUUCAUAAAACCACAGGUUCCGACCGCAACACAGCGAUGCAGAUGGGCCGGACCAUCAGCAAAAGCAGCGCAAGGGAGAGACCACCGCACGCACGCUCAUUCACACUGACACAACGGGCCCACCGUCCCUCCUCUCAGCUGCACCGCACGUGGCGCGGGGCGAUCGGCCAUGAACGCCUUCCAUUCUCGGAUCGCUUUAACUCGGCCAAUUAUUACCGCGCAAGAUGCCGACCCUGCCCUCCAUCCCUCCGCCUGAACAGCGGACGACGUUCGACGGUUGGAGGGCAGAAAGGUAAAAUCGCCACCCGGUGCGUUCACAGUGCCGCUUUUUAAGCAGAGCUGCGGCUGCGUCUCCACCAGUCCACCACCUCGCCAGCUCCUGCUCCGGACUCCGACGGGAAGAGAGGGAGAGGGAGAGGAGAGGGGGCGGCGGCGGCAUGGCGUCGAGGGUGCCGACGUGGAGGGAGCGGGAGAAGAACCGGCGGCGCGAGCAGCGGCGUCGCGCGGUCGCCGCCAACAUCUUCCACGGGCUGCGCGCCCACGGCGGCUACGCGCUCCCCAAGCACUGCGACAACAACGAGGUGCUCAAGGCGCUCUGCCACGAGGCCGGCUGGACCGUCGAGCCCGACGGCACCACCUACCGCAAGGUCCGUCCGUCCCUGCAAACUCAUGCAUGCAUUAAUCUUCUCCUUCCUCUCCUCUCUUGAUUUCAACGUUGUUCUGCUUCCGGGUUGGCCGCCAUUCGUGUUCGUGCGCGCAGCCGUGCGUGCGUACAUUGGUUCUUGCCGAAUCGUGGAACGAUUUGACCCCGUCUCGUUUGGUUGAGUUCUUUCUUUUUUCGGUUCAGCGAUUGAUUCCUUCCCGAUUGAGUGGAUUCUUUCUUUUUAGGAUGGAUGGAUUGAGCCGUAUAGACGAUUUCUGCUUCUCUCUGGUUUUGCCAUGGCUGGCAGAGUUCUAUCUACCUGCUAUACUAUUGAAGGCAAAGUUUGCUUUGAUUUCCUUUUCUUGCUGAAACUCUCCCUUGAAUGGUUGCCAUUUUGGGUUUUGGUGGGGGUUGCAUGGCGCGGACGAUCGACUGCGGAAUGAGACGCCGAUGCGCGUGCUCUUGCUCCUUGAGCGCCUAGGUCGUCACCUCAGUUCCCUCUCUAGCCUGCCAAGCUGCUGCCCUUCCGUUCCCUCCGAGAUUCGAGCAUGGAAUUCCUCCCUUUUUCUGUUGCACAUUUGGGACAAGGCAAAGGAGAACCACACGCACAUCAUCGAUCACGUAAGUGAGUGUUUCCAAGGAAAAGCCAUUGGAUUGCAGCAAAUGUGCAUCGGUUCUUUUCUUUCCCCUCAAUUAUCAAGUGAGGAGAUUUGUUAUUACUUGUGGGAAUGAGGGGUCUCUCUCUUCUGUUAUCGUUAUUGAUUUCAGUUUCUUACUACUUGAGAGAAUGAGGGGGUCUUCUGUUCUUGUUCUUGAUUUCAGUUCCUUUUCUCGUGUCUUUUUAGGCAAGUAAGGUCCAGUUCUCCAGGACGUAAUGUGCUAAAGCUCCUCGCUCCUUUCCUUUUUUUUUUUCAGUUAGCAUCUCUGUUACGCAUCGAAUCUAUUUACCGCCCAAACAUUUGCCACCAUCUUUGCUAGCUUCUUCAGUCAUCUACUCUUUCUAGCAGUAGCUCAGAUCAGUUUACGUUGCAUCUUUCCACGCCCAUUUGCCCUGUUUCGUCCAACUAUCCAACUAAAUAAGUUAAUAAGUUCGUCGCGUACUCUCUGUAUUUCUACAGAGUUCAGUUUUUUCUUUUACUUAGCUGCUUAUUCCCGUGCUUGGGCAGAAGCAGUUCAUGCCAGAAAAUGGCAGGUAAAGAGCCAAUAAUGGGGACAAAAGUUAGUGGCGCGGCCAUAUGCAGAAGCAGUUCAAAGACUGUCAAAGAAGGCAUGGCUUUGAUUUCACAAAACCGCUUUGCAAUACAAAAUGACAUUCUAUUCUAGAGACCGGCAUACUCUUUCCUUUUUCUUUUUUCGUGCAAUCAGCUUUGUAAAGCUGUAUUUCUCUGCACGUUUAAGGCUUCCUUUAUUAUGGAAGCAUGCAUGGCACUGCCAGCAUUUGGCAUUGCGACUGCCGUAGUAAGUACUCCCUCCGUCCCAAAAUAACUGUCUUGACUUUGUAUUAGCUCUAAUACAAAGUUGUACUAAGCUUAAGACAGUUAUUUUGGAACGGAGGGAGUACUACAAAAGGGAGUAUUAAAUGAAGAUCUUCCUUGGCACGUGUCAAUAUUGUUCUCCUUCCAUCUGGUAUGAACGGAGUACACACUAUGUAACCUACUCCCUCUGUUCACUUUUAUAAGACGUUUUAGACAUUUAGACACUGUCUAAAUUAGUGCAAAGCAAGCUGUCUGAAACGUCUUAUAAAAACGAACGGAGGGAGUAGUAAUCUAGGCAGUGAAGACAUUUUUUUUUAGAGUGGGGUAUCAUCCUGCUGGCUUUGCUCGCUCGGUGCUAGCAAGCCCACCCGGGUUUGAGUCCGGAGGUGACUCGGGUGCUUAGAGCUUAUCCUUCUAUAAAAUAUACCUUCAAAGGCUAGUCCUCGAUGGUCUUAUUUUAAAGAGUGAGGUGUCACCAUACUGGCUUGGCUUUCGCUCAAUGCGAGCAAGCCCACCUCAACCACCUGGAUUCGAGUCCGGAGAUGACCCGGGUGUUUAGAGCUUAUUCUUCUAUAAAAAUAUACCUUCAAGGAUUAGUCCUGGAUGGUCUUUCUUUUAUGACAUUUAUGUUUUUCAAAAAAAUUGACAUUUGUAAAAUCUUUUUUGACUGAUAGGAGCAGCAUAUGCUCCAAAAUGCCGAAUUCAAUUUUCAUAUAUAUAUAUAUAUAUACCUACAUUUAAUCCCGAGUCGAUUAUCUUCUUCCCGUAAAAAUGCAUUAAUCUUUCGGUAACACAUCGUAAUCCCACAGAAAUGUCAUGCUAACUUGUUAAUUUUUCAGGGUGGCAAGCCUCCGGCAGCAGAAGGCGCCAACCCGAAGGUCCGGUCGGGCUCCCCAAUUAGCCCGUGCUCGUCGCACCCGGUGAGCCCGCGGGCCUCGUACAACCCGAGCGCAGGGUCGUCCACCUUCCCGAGCUCCGGCACGUCCUCACAUACCACGCUCGGCGGCGGCGGCGGCGGCAGCUACUGUGAGGGCGGCUCCCUCAUCCCUUGGCUCAAGAACCUCUCCUCCGGCACCGGGUUGGUGUCCUCUUCCAAGUUCCCCCGAUACUCGCCCCACUCGUACUACUUCAGCGGUGGCUCCAUCAGCGCGCCGGUGACCCCGCCGUCCGGCUCGCCGCGGGGCCUGACCCACCUCAACACGGGAUGGGGCGAGUACCCGAGUGUCCAGGUCCAGCCGCCGUGGGUCGGCGGCUACGAUUACGCCUCUCUGCCCAACUCCACGCCGUCGAGCCCCCGCGGCGGCCACGGGGUCGGGGCCGGCCCAGACCCGGCCUGGCUCUCCGGGUUCCAGAUAUCGUCGGCCGGCCCGUCUUCCCCGACCUACAGCCUCGUGGAUCCUUCCAACCCCUUCGGAGCCUUCAGGGAGAUGGCAGCGGCCACCGCGGGCUCUUCGAGAAUGCACACCCCGGGGCAGAGCGGGACGUGCUCGCCGGUGGCGCUGGCGGUCCACGGCGACGUCCAAAUGGGGGAGGAUGACUUCGCGUUCGGAAGCGGCGGGAGGCCGGUGCUGGUGAAUGCGUGGGAGGGGGAGCGCAUCCAUGAGGUGUGCGCCUCGGAUGAGCAUGAGCAUGAGCAUGAGCUGGAGCUCACCCUGGGGCUCGGGAGCUCCAAGACCCGCGCAGGCGCAGUGAACUGAAUCAUAUCAAUGGGGAGAAGAGAUCGACGGAAGCUACCAUGGGAGUUUCGUCAGAUUUCCUUUUUUGGCAGACUAUUUCCGUCCCGUCUACAGGAUCUGAGCUUCAGUUUUUCUACUAAAAACUAUCGACAGAUUUAGCCUCUCUUUUUUGCGAAUUCUCUUUCUGUUUCGCUUUAGAUUUUUUCUUAAGAUGUAAACCUGGCAAGGGAAGAGGGAACCUGCGAUGUCGUGAAAUUUGAUCAGACAGUUGGAUUAUUAUCAGAAUCAGAGAUAUAUGUCGAUCGAUUAUGUUUGGUAGUUUCGGUAAUGUUUCCUUUGAUUUCCAUCCGUACUUUUUCUUCAUCGUUCUUGCUCUUUUGGUGCAGCUGCUGCCUGAAGAUCGAAGUAUCCUCAUCUCCAGUUUCCUUCUAUGAACAGUAUCCGCAUCUCCAGUUUUAUAGAACAAUAUCCUCUUCGGACAUGGAGUUUUUGCUUCGAGCUCAUAUGCUAUCUCGUGAACAGUAAAAUCGAAAAAAAUAGUAAAAACAUUCAAAAAAUUCUGAUUUUUUUAUGGUUAACUUUGACAAAAGUUUUGUAUGCUUACAAAAUUUCAGCUCGAAAUAAAAUUUGUGAAAGUCGUGGCGAAAAAAAAAAUCGAUGCUAGUUUUGGAUACAUUUUGGACUGUUGUUUUUGAUUUUUCGCUGCAACUUCCAAGAAUGUUAUUUCGUGCUGAAUUUUGAUACGUACGUAAAAUAUUUGCUAAAAUUUAUCAUGAAAAAUUUCAGAAUUUUUUAAAUUAUGUACUAUUUUUAAAAAAAAUUACUGUUUGGGAAGGAGCAUUUGAGCUCGGGAGUAGAAUAGGACUUUCCAUCCUCUUCUUCGUUUCAUAGCUAUCUUGUUUUCUUGACUACUUGUUUGUUGGGAAAUGAAAAAUUAGGAGUGACAUUUUUUAUCGGGUCCUGCAUGCUGGCCAUGUGUGCAGUUGUACACAAUUCGUUGGAGUACUUUACUGAAUUCUUCAACUGUUUUGUACUGUUCUUGUGGGACCACCUAUUGUAUAAGAAGAGAGUGUUUAUCAUUACCUAUAACUCAGCUAUACCGAAACGUCACGAACCUUAAGUGUGCAGAUCUUGCGGGUUCGAGAACUAUGCAGACAUGACCUGAGACAUUCUCCGGUCAAUAACCAAUUGGCUCCUACAUAUUCUACGAAGAUCUCUAUCGGUUGAACCUCUAUGUCAAGGAUUCAGUUAAUCCCGUAUGUUGUUUCCUUUGUCCUUUGAUAUGUUACUUGCCUGAGAUUCGAUCGUCGGUAUCUCUAUACCUAGUUCAAUCUCGUUAUCGGCAAGUCUCUUUACUCGUUCUGUAAUACAAGAUCUCGUGGCUAAUUCCUUAGUCACAUUGCUUGCAAGGCUUAUUGUGAUGUUGUAUUAUCGAGUGGGCCCCGAGAUACCUCUUCGUCAUACGAAGUGACAAAUUCCAGUCUCGAUUCACGCCAACCCAACAGACAUCUUCGGAGAUACCUGUAGAGCACCUUUAUAGUUACCCAGUUACGUUGCAACGUUUGAUACACACAAGGUAUUCCUCCGGUGUCCGGGAGUUGCAUGAUCUCAUGGUCAUAGGAACAAAUACAUUGACAUGCAGAAAAACAGUAGCAAUAAACUGACACGAUCAUAUGCUACGUUUAUAGUUUGAGUCUUGUCCAUCACAUCAUUCUCCUAAUGAUGUGACCCCGUUAUCAAGUGACAACACUUGCCUAUGGCCAGGAAACCUUGACCAUCUUCGAUCAACGAGCUAGUCAACUAGAGGCUCACUAGGGACAGUGUGUUGUCUAUGUAUCCACACAUGUAUUUGAGUUUCCAAUCAAUACAAUUAUAGCAUGGAUAAUAAACAAUUAUCAUGAACAAGCAAAUAUAAUAAUAAACAAUUUAUUAUCGCCUCUAGGGCAUAUCUCCAACAGUCUCCCACUUGCACUAGAGUCAAUAAUCUAGUUCACAUUAGUGUGUGAUUGUAAUGAAUCUAACACCCAUACAGUUCUGGGGUUCGAUCACGUCUUGUUUGUGAGAGAGGUUUUAGUCAACGGAUCUGAACCUUUCAGGUCUGUUUGUGCUUUACAAAUAUGUUACUAGGUGAAAAUGUGAUUGGAACAAUGGAGUUAUAGCUUAGGCACUCUCAUGUUUAUAAUCGUAUGUCAUUGAUGCAAACAUCCCAUUCAAUCAUUUUUCCGAAGCCCACACCUGAGCUCGAUAAGCUAUUUCGUCUAGCCUUGUUGUUACAAGCCUUCGAUGAACUCCAACUGGUGAGAGAUUCUAUUCAUGCCAUCAAUCCAUCAAACCAGAAUCAUGUGAAUGGUCAUAUCAUUGGGGUGCAUGCUAUUUGGCAAGAUGAUAAUAAAAAAUAUUAUUUAAAGGUCUAAGCCCAUUAGAAUGCUUCAUUUUGAACUAAAAACUAAAAUGGUUAUGAAACAUAAGAAUUUUACUUGGCAUUUAAAUCAGAUCAGCUAAACACCACAAAUAUGUUAGCGGAGAAACUGCAACAUUGGCAUCAACCUAACUAUAUCAUUUUCGAUCGCAGACUAAGUAUUUCAUUCAUAGACACAUCCCGACAUUAGUUAUCUCCCUAUCUUGAUCGGAUUUUGUCAAUUUUGCAUGCUAGGGCUAGUUUUCUUGUGACGAUUUUCUUUAACAAUAUUAUCUUGGAUCUUGGAAAGGAACAAGAUUCAACCUACGAGAGCAUCCCCAAGAGAUAGGUCGAUCUCUUGCUUUUACGGUAUAUGAUGCUAGAACAACCUAAGGCUUGUUUGGUUACCUGCAUCGUUUUGGCCCCUUGCAUCAAUGUCCCGGUUGAGCCUGGCAGAGCUAAUGCAAACUUUAAACCAUGCUCUGCAGUUUGUUUAGUUGCCCACAAAACCUCAAGUUGCAUUAGAGCAGAAACACUAGCACGACAUUCAAUUGCAUGUCAACGCUCCAUGCAACUGUUUGGAUACAUGUGUAAUGAUGGUUUAGUCUCACCUCCUGUCCAUGUGAUGGACUAAUCUCACACCACCACGCUUAAACAACUUUUUCUAUGAGGGUUGAGAUAAUAAACUUACAACAUGAGAGUUGUUUGGCACCAUGAGAUUAAGCUAGUGCUCAAAGGAAAUUUCAAGUAGUUGAUCGAGUGCAAAUAAUUUGCCAAAAUUCGAUUAAUCUAGAAUGCACACGUGAACACUUUUGUACAAUUCACUAGGGAGAUAUAUAUCUACUCAUGUACAACCGUCGAAACAGAAAAUUUAGAACAUCAAAGUUGUGUGAAACAGCGAGAUGGAGCUCGUGGUCAACCGUGUGGGAAGGAUUUGCUAAAACUCGUCUAAACUAACAGGUGCACAUGCAUAUGAUUGUAUGGUACAAUAGUAUGUAGAUCUACUCGUCGACGAGCAUCGAAACUGAAAGCUGAUAACAUGAAAGCCGUGUGGAAAAGCGAGAUGAAGUUAGUGGUCAAAGGAAAUUUCAAACGUUUGAUCAUGUGUGAGGGAUCUACCGAAAUUCGUUAAAAAGGCUCCAAACAUGAACACAUAAUUGAGGAUUUACAUUCACUGGAACUAGGAACCGAUCACCUGAAUGAAGUCACAACAUAGAUGUGCAUAUUUUCUUGUAAAGCUUAUCUCAAAUGUGGGUGAAGGAGAACAACCUACAUACCGGGUCCCACCUGUUUUUAUAGGGAGUUAGGUGAACAAGAUUACUAGGGGUGGGGAGAACACAAGAUGUGCAAACUCUACAUACCAGGCCGCCCCAGUUUUUAUGGGGGGUUGCUAAGCUUUUUUUGGACUAGGUUGCUAAUCUUUAUAUUUAUCAAAAGAGAUCUUCGUAGGUAUACACAAUUGGUCAUGACGAGUGUUAAGCCACAUGUUGCGACCCUAAUCAAGUGAAUGAGAUAACCUAGCUAAGUUACGAGCCUCCAUGUUUGACUCUCGACCUUCAAUACUAAACAGACUACUAAUAAAUAUUUAUUCUUACAUAUAAUCUCCUUAAUGAUAAAGCCAAAAGACACCUUUGAAGCCUUCGUUGAUGAUGGGCUAGCUUUCGCUUGUUUGGGUCUGGUCGGUUUGUAACGGUUGAUUCGCGUGUUCCUCCAUUGUGAGGUCCAACAUUGUUUUAAAUUUCGCGCAGGGCAAAAUUCUGAUAGAGGCCAGACAUUUAAAUGAGCUGAAUUUAGCUGCCUAGAGCCUGACUCGCGUAAUGCAGCCCACCAAACACGCUCCUUGUAAUUUUCAUUCUUGGUACAUUGGUGCCGUGAAACAUCCUACCAUGUAAAUAUUAUUGUAAUGGAUAUCCAAUUCUGAGCCCGGGCUCAUCUGCAUCCGGUAAAAAGAAAUCAUAAAAAAUUCAAAAAAAAAAUAAUUCAAUUUUUGUGUGCAAGGUAGAUAAUUUGAUAAGUGAGGUGCGCUCCAAAUUUCAGACCAUUUGAACUCUGAGUAGCUCUCAGCAAAAAUAAAUAAAUUAGGAUGUGAACAAUACAUGAACUAGACACUUUUUAAAAGAUCCCAAAUUUGUCUUUUUACCGAGAGCUACUCGGAUGUCUAAAUAAUUUGAAAUCUGAAGUGGACAUCACGCAUCGAAUUCAUUACUACGACAAUUUUUUUUAAAAGAAACUUUCAAGUAUUUGUUUUAAUUUUUUUUCCAGCAUGAAUACAAAUGAACCCUGGAGCCAAAACGCCUCACUCUUUAUUGUAACAACUUUACUCUAUAAAUAUUACCAUAGUAGUAGGAGCCAGUCCUAAAAAUUGAUUCGUGAGGUAUCCAAUUGAGGAAGAGCUUGAUGAGACGAUAAACCAUUUCACCCAAUUAACUCAAUUGCAAUUACCACCCCCUUGAUGUUAAUCCACUGAAAGGCCAGCUAUCUGUGCGUGGUGAGAUACAUGUGUGAUAUGACGGAUGAGUCGCGUUAGCCUGUUAUGGGUACACAAGGACAGCUGAGCAUAAAGUAAAAUAAUUUGGUUUGAAUUUAAUUUAAAUCUAGCACGAAACUCCGAGGUUAAAAAUAGUUCGGCAACCACCUAGAUUUACAAAAUUUCAUAAAUUCGUCGAAAUUUUCAUUUGAAAUAUUAAAUGCUGCUCGGAUCUUAAUUCUCAUGAGCGAUCGAAGAGAGAGGUGAGUAAUAAUAAGAAAUUAAAAAUGCAUUGCCUCCCCAGGAUGAGUUGGCAUACAUACUCCUAUCUAUUUAUGCACACGAGCACAACUAUAUAAUUAAACACGAGCAGAAACAACAGGACGUACGGCAUCCUCUACAGAGAAACACUCUCUCAGCGCAGCGAGGUUUUAGAUUAGAUGUCGAUGGCGCCGAAGCGGAAGCUUAGCAUGGGGCGGCAGAAGAUCGAGAUCCGGCGGAUCGAGAGCGAGGAGGCGCGGCAGGUGUGCUUCUCCAAGCGCCGGGCGGGGCUGUUCAAGAAGGUGAGCGAGCUGGCCGUGCUCUGCGGCGCCGAGGUGGCCGCCGUCGUCUUCUCCCCGGCCGGCAAGGCCUUCUCCUUCGGCCACCCCUCCGUCGAGGCCAUCCUCGACCGCUUCCUCCCCUCCGCGGCGCAGGUCGGGCCGGCGGCGGGCUGCGCGGGCCUCGGCGCCGCCGGCGACCGCAACCUGGCCGAGCUGAACCGGCAGUACGGCCAGCUGCGCGAGCAGCUGGAGGCGGAGAAGGCGCGGAAGGAGCGCGCGGAGGUGGCCAUGGAGAAGGAGCGCGCCACGGGGAGCCCCGUGGCGGCGUGGCUCGACGCCGACCUGCGCGACCUGGGCGAGGAGGAGCUGAUGGCCUUCGCCGCCGCGCUGGUGGACGUGCAGGCCGCCGUCUCCGCCCGCGCCAACCAGGUGCUCCAGGAGGCGCUGGACGUCGGCCGCGCCAGGAGCGCCAGCCGCAUGCUCAUGGCGGCCCCGCAGCAGCAGCAGCAGCUCGCCGGCGGCGGUGGCUUUGAGUUCGGUAGCUGCAGCGUGAACUCCAGGAAUGAGAUGGAGAUGCAGCAGAUGUUGAUGGCCAUGCCGCCACCGCCGGAGUUCGCCGCUGCCGGAAUGGAGAUGGUGCAACAGGGGCUCGGCCCGAACGCCGGCUUCCCCUACUGAGAAGAAGAUGAGAUUGAGAUCCACACCGAUUCCGAUCCUCUCCCNNNNNNNNNNNNNNNNNNNNNNNNNNNNNNNNNNNNNNNNNNNNNNNNNNNNNNNNNNNNNNNNNNNNNNNNNNNNNNNNNNNNNNNNNNNNNNNNNNNNCUCUCUAAAUGGGAAGGUCCCUAUGUUGUUGAGGAAGUAUAUCGUUCCGGUGCUAUCAAGAUCAACAACACGGAAGGUAAUUGUCCGAGAGUUGUAAAUGGGCAGAGAAUCAAGCAUUACAUCUCAGGUACUCCAAUAAAUGUUGAAAGCAAUAUUAUCAAUACCAUAACUCCGGAAGAAUACCUAAGGAACAUUUAUCAGCCUGUUUCAGACUCCGAAAACGAAGAGGUAUGUGAUUCGGUAAGAAAAUAGAGUCCAAAACUUUUGCAGUAGGAAAUUUUCUCCGUUUUGGAAUAUUUGAAAAAUACAAAAAUUGGAAGUUGUCCGGAAAGUGCGGGAGGAGGCGACAAGCCUGGGCGACGCGGGCCCACCCCCUGGCCACACCGUGAGGGCUUGUGGCCACCUCGUGCGCCUCUCGGACUCCGUUUUCGUGCGGGGUACUCCUUCUGGUAUGAAAAAAAUCAUUAUAUAUACUUCCGUCUGGUCUAACGCCUGCAUCACGUAGAUUUUUUCUGUUUUUUGUUUCGAGCAUGUUUUCUGCCACAGAUCUAGGUCAAGAUGUCUUCUCAGGAUUUAGAGGGGGAAAGCUAUGUGGUAGAUUACCUUGCUGACCCCAAAGUCUAUGGGGACUUGGAUCCUUAUGGCUGGACAACUGAUGAAAAAGAAGAUUAUGAUCCGAAGGGGAAGGAACAAACAAGUUCCGAUGAAAAGGAGGCUCCUCUACCUCAACCUGGACGCACUUAUGUAGAGUUCAAGAAGUCGAGCCUCCCUGACUCAAGGAAGAAGCCUAAGACCUUGUUUAUCCCUUCUCGUUUCUUGCAGGAGAGUAAGCAGGAAUUAUGCCAAAGGGUGUUGAAGCUUGAAGAGGAAAAUGAUGAUCCCAGGGAGCAGAAUUUUAUGCUCAAGUGGAAAUUAAACAAACUCAAGACCUCUUCAACAACUCCACCACCUUCACCACCAAAGGAAGACAACUGAGCAUUGGUAUGGGCAAUCCCGUUGGCUUUUGCCAAGCUUGGGGGAGUUGCCCCGGUAUCGUAUCACCAUCACAUCUUUUGCCUUUACCUUUGUUUUAGUUUUCCUUUUUAGUUUUCUUUUUCUCUAGUAGAUUAAAAGUCUUAGUGUUUUAGUCUUGAGUUUUGCUUUGUGUCACCCUCGAUGUAUUCGAGCUCGUGAGCCAUAUAAUAAAGAGUGUCUUAGUUGAAGGGCUUUGCCUCUUGCCAUGAUCAAAAGAGUGAGAAUAGAACAAAAGCAUGAAAGAUCAUGUAAUGAUCCUAUGGGAAGUGGUGGCUUCACAUAUAAAAAGGAUGAUGAUUGAAACUUGUUGAGGGUAGGCAAACGUAGACCUUGGUCAUGGUUGCAAUUAAUAGGAAGUGAUAAAGAAGGAGAGGUUCACAUAUAAAUAUAUCAUCUCUGACACCAUCUAUGAUUGUGAACACUCACUAAACUAUUGCAUGCCUAGAAGUAGAUGUCGGACAAGGAAGACAACAUAAUGAAUUAUGUUUGCUUGGCUCCGAACAAUUUUAUAUGAUUAGAGAUCCCUUAGCAUGUGACGAUUGUUUCCACCUCAUAUUAGCCAGAACCUCCCGCACCAAGUAGAGAUACUACUUGUGCAUCCAUAAACCUUCAAACCAGUUUUGCCAUGAGUGUCCACCAUACCUACCUAUGGAUUGAAUAAGAUCCCUCAAGUAAGUUGUCAACGGUGAAAGCAAUAAAAAUUGCUCUCUAAUAUGUAUGAUCUAUUAGUGUGUGGAAAAUAAGCUUUAUACGAACCUGUGAUGAGGAAGACAUAAAAGUGACGGACUGCAUAAUAAAGUUCUUUAUCAUAGGAGGCAAUAUAAAGUGACGUUCCUCCGCACUAAGAGGACAUGCAUCCAAACCUCAAAAGCGUAUGACAACCUCUGCUUCCCUCUGCGAAGGGCCUAUCUUGUACCUUUACUUUUUGCCCUUGAAAGAGUCAUGGUGAUCUUCACCAAUUCCCUAUUUCGCCUUUGUCUUGGCCAACGUCAUAUGCUUGGGAAAGAUCUAUAUUCAUAUGUCAACUUGGAGGUAAGUAUCCAUGAUUUAUUAUUGUUGACAUUACCCUUGAGGUGAGCAGUUGGGAGGCAAAACUGUAAGCCCCUAUCUUUCUCUGUGUCCAGCUGAAACUUUGAUCUCAUGAGUACCACGUGAGUUGUAGCAAUUGUAGAGAACGAAAUAAUGAUUGAGUAUGUGGAUUUGCUUUACAAGCUCUUAUUUGACUCUUUCUGAUGUUGUGAUAAAUUGCAAUUGCUUCAAUGACUAAAGGCUAUGGUUGUUACUUCUCGGUAAGGUUCUUGAUCCAUGCUUUACUUUGUGAAGGAAUUGUCACUUUAGCAUGAGAGAUUAUAUGUUGGUAUUGCUGUUCUGAUCUUGAUCAUGAUGCAUGCAUGUUCGUAUCUUGUUUUGUAGACACCUCUCCCCCUAAACAUGUGGACAUAUUUAUUGAGCUAGGCUUUCGCUUGAGGACAAGCGAGGUCUAAGCUUGGGGGAGUUGAUACGUCCAUUUUGCAUCAUGUUUUCAUGUUGAUAUUUAUCGCUUCUUUGGCUGUUAUUUCACUUCACGGUACAAUUCUUAUGCCUUUUCUCUCUUAUUUUGCAAGGUUUACAUGAAGAGGGAGAAUGUCGGCAACUGGAAUUCUGGCCUGAAAGUGGAGCAAAGUUGAGAUACCUAUUCUGCGCAACUCCAAACACCGUAAAAAUCAACGAGGAUUUUUUUCCGGAUUUAUCAAAAAUACUGGGCCGAAGAAGUGCCAGAGGGGGGCGUGCAGGUGGCCACAAGCCUGCACGGCGUGGCCACCCCCCCCCCAUGCCGCGCCAUGAGGGCUUGUGGGCAGCCUACAGGCCCACUUGCCCCCCUCUUCUGCUAUAUGAAGGGUUUCGUCCAGGAAAAAAUCAAGGAGGAGAUUUUUCGUGGUUCCGCGGCCGCCACGAGGCGGAACUUGAGCAGAACCAAUCUAGAGCUCUGGCAGGACGAUCCUGUCGGGGAAACUUCCCUCCCGGAGGGGGAAAUCGUCUCCAUCGUCAUCACCAACACUCCUCUCAUCGGAGGGGACUCGUCACCAUCAACAUCUUCAUCAGCACCAUCUCAUCUCCAAACCCUAGUUCAUCACUUGUAACCAAUCUCCGUCUCGCGACACCGAUUGGUACUUGUAAGGUUGCUAGUAGUGUUGAUUACUCUUUGUAGUUGAUGCUAGUUGGAUUACUUGGUGGAAGAGUUUAUGUUCAGAUCCUUGAUGCUACUCAUUACCUCUCUGGUCAUGAAUAUGAUUAUGCUUUGUGAGUAGUUACUUUUGUUCCUGAGGACAUGGGAUAAGUCAUGCUAACAGUAGUCAUGUGAAUUUGGUAUUCGUUCGGUAAUUUGAUAUGUUGUAUGUUGUUUUUCCUCUAGUGGUGUUAUGUGAACGUCGACUACAUAACACUUCACCAUUAUUUGGGCCUAGAGGAAGGUAUUGGGAAGUAGUAAGUAGAUGAUGGGUUGCUAGAGUGACAGAAGCUUAAACCAUAGUUUAUGUGUUGCUUCGUAAGGGGCUGAUUUGGAUCCACUAGUUUAAUGUUAUGGUUAGACUUUGUCUUAAUUCUUAUUUCGUGGUUGCGGAUGCUUGCGAGAGGGGUUAGUCAUAAGUGGGAUGCUUUUCCAAGUAAGGGCAGUACCCAAGCACUGGUCCACCCACCUAUCAAACUAUCAAAGUAACGAACGCGAAUCAUAUGAACAUGAUGAAACUAGCAUGACAGAAAUUCUCGUGUGUCCUCGGGAGCGUUUUUCCUCCUAUAAGACUUUGUCCAGGCUUGUACCUUGCUACAAAAGGGAUUGGGCCACUUUGCUGCACCGUUGCUACUUUUGUUACUUGUUGCUUGCUACGAAUCAUCUCACCACACAAUCACUUGUUACCGACAAUUUCAGUGCUUGCAGAUAUUUCCUUGCUGAAAACAACUUGUAAGAUCCUUAUGCUCCUCGUUGGGUUUGACACUCUUAUUUAUCGAAAGGACUACGAUUGAUCCCCUAUACUUGUGGGUCAUCAAGAGGUCAAAACUUUAAAUAGCAAUCUCUUUUGGAUUUCAAGGACUUUAACUAUGAUAGUUGGUCUUUGAUUGAUUGUGUUUGCUUGUUACAAUCCAUGUUGAAUUCUUCGCAUGCUUAUAAUCAAAAUAAAGCUUUUACUAAACAUAUUGUGGAUGCUAUGAUGAAAUCUUUUGAAGAAAAAUUUGAGUUGGAAGUUUAUAUACCUAGAAAGCUUUAUGAUGAGUGGGAAAUAACUAUUAAGUUUAAAAUUAAAGAUUAUGAGUGCCAUGCUUUGUGUGAUUUGGGUGCUAGCGUUUCCACGAUUCCAAAAUUUUAGGUGAUGUGCUAGGAUUCUGUAAAUUUGAUGGUUGCUCUUUAAAUUUGCAUCUAGCAGAUUCUACAAUUAAGAAACCUACGGGAAGGAUUAAUGAUAUUCUUAUUGUUGAAAAUAUGAAUUAUGUGCCCGUAGAUUUCAUUGAUCUUGAUAUAGAUUGCAAUCCUACAUGUCCUAUUAUUCUUGGGAGACCUUUCCUUAGAACGAUUGGUGCAAUUAUUGAUAUGAAAGAAGGAAAUAUUAGAUUCCAAUUUCCACUAAGGAAAGGCAUGGAGCACUUUCCUAGAAUGAAUCUACUAUGAGAGCUACUUAUGGAUUGCAUACCAAAGAUGACAAUACCAAGAUCUAUUGCAUUAUGCCUAGCUAGGCGCGUUAAACAAUAGCGCUUGUUGGGAGUCAACCAAAUUUUAUUUUUAUGCUUUUUUUGCUUUUGUUUUUGAGUUAUACACAUAUUAUUACCUCUAUAAUAAUUGUGUUUUCUUGUUUUAAUUAGUGUUUGAGCCAAGUAAGUCCUUUGGGAUGGUCUACUGUAACAUCCCAAAUUUUGGAAUGUUAAUAAAAUUAUAAGAUUGUUUGUUUGCUUGCUUGAGUGAUUGAAACUUGAGUGAAAUUUGAAACUUUUCAAAAACUUUUGAAUGAGAGGGAAUAAAAUGACUUUCCCCUUCUCUGGUAAAUUCAAAUUCAAUCAUUUAAAAACAAAGAGAGAAGAUGACAUGACUUCUUCAACUAUAAAGAAUUUGAACGGAGUUUUGCAAUUGAAUUCUUUCAAAUAUUUGCCCUUGCUUCUCUAUUUUUCAUCCCCGAGAAAUACCCCGAAAAUAAUCCUUGCCAAGCAAGAAAGAGAGGAGGAACAUGACCCUCCAAACCGGGGAUAUUCCUUUGAAAUAUUUGGACCAUAAAACCCAAGGUUUAUUUGAAAAAUAUUUGUAAAAAGAAAAUAAACCAAUUUAGGGAUUUUCUAAAAAAACAUUUUUUGAAUUAUUUAUUUUGGUAGUGGAAAAAUGCCCAUCUUUUUGGAUUUAUUUUUCUGCAAAUUUUAAUAUAUAUUACCCCUAUAUUCUGAGGAAUAUUCCAUUUCCUUUUAAUCAUUUUAAUUUCCGUUUUAAUAAAAAUUGGAAAGUGGUCUCUUAUUAGGAAGGUACCCGGGCCACUUUAGGAAACAAAUCACGCCCAUUACUCCUCCUUCUUCCUCACGUUCAUUUCCUUCUUUAGCCAUGGCAGAAACUUCCAGGAAGCUUCCCCUCCGGGAUUCGCGAGCUUCUUUCCCUUCCGACUCCUCCCACCACCCCUAUAAGAACCCCCUCGGCCUCCUCUUUCCAUUCCCCUAAAAAAAUCUACGUUUCCCUGCCCGUAGCCUCAGCGCCACCAUUGCCAUCUUUUGUGUCAACCGGAGCUCGGCAGGAGCUGAACCACCUCGCCCCCCCCCCUCCAUGAGCUCCCUGCCUCGCCCCAGUGCCUUCCCCUACCCCCGCCGGCGACCUCCCCACCUCGUCGGAGCAGCUACCUCGCCGGAGUUCUUCCUCUCUAUCACCCAUGGUGAGAUUCACGAAAUCCCGUAUUGCAGUUUUUUCAGAAAAUUGCAAUCUUAGAAAAUUCAUAUCUAUUAGUCUAUAACUCCGAAUUAGGUGAUUCUUUUUGCGCUGGAUCAAAAAUUUUAUGUAGUUUAUGUAGAUAUAUAAUUUUUCUAUGUUUGGAUUUAUAAAAUUUUAAUUAGAUCAGAUUUGAUUUAAAGCUUGUUUUGCUUAUAACGGGAGUUUAAAAAUAGCUUUUAAAUUAAUUCUUUUUGCUACUGUUUCCUAUUGAUCAUAUCUUUCAGUAGUUUAAGUUUCAAUUUUUUUAAAUAUUUUUACUUAGGGUUUUAAGCAAAACAGAUUCUGUUUUAGCCUUUUUCGUUUUCUUGCUAUUUCUUUUGUAUUAAUUGUUCUUAAUUUGUUUUUUUUUGUAAUUGUGACAAGUUAUAUUUUGUUUUCUGAUAUUUACCAGUAACGUUUCAACAACAACAAAAUUUUAUUUUAUUUAUUCUUAUUUGUUUGCAUGGAAUCAAUUCUAGUUCUAUACUAACUUGCGAAUUGAUUGCAUUGCUAGUUUGAUUUCCUAUUUUGAAAAUACUUAUAAAAUAACAUUGUUUUGUAUAUUUUAAUUCUGUUAUAUUAGUUAUUUUAUAUUUUGUUUUAUGUUAUUUUUUCUAUUUUAGUGUUUUAUUUUCAGUUAGAACAAAAACUAUAUAGUGUUAGUAGAAGGCUUCCUAGCUUCUUUGAAGUUUCCUUUGGAUUUUUAUCCGCUCUCUCUUAUUGAUUUUUGAUUGCAUCAACUUUUAUUGCUGUUUGUUAAUUCAUUGCUAGAAUGAUUGCUAUUGUGAGUGUUUAUGUGAAUAUUAUGUUUGAUUAUAUAGAUUUCAUCGGAGAGUGACGAAUAGUUCUAUCACGUAUUUCCCAAGAACGAAAAUUCUUCUUCGGCAACAUCACCAGGCAAGUCAUUUGAUCAUGUAUCACCUAUGUUUUAUGCAUCGUAGUUCUACCAUCCUAUGCCCAAUUGCAUGCUGAGUAGGUACUUGGAAAUUAUGGUUACAUAUUGUAGUAUCAUGUGGUAGGCACCCAACAACCCCGUUACUUGGCCCGGGACGACAAAUUUCAUAUUGCUAUGCUUUAGUAGACGGGAUUCUGGUUGAGAGUUUAUCACGAGUGAUGCGAGAAUAAUUUAAUAACCAAGACCGGUUAAGUCAAGACUUUUCAAGACCUCGUGAUGCAAUGCAACUCUAGGUGAAGGACGGUUGAUCGGCUCCGUGGAGAAACCAGUGGAUGACCCGGGAUGCUGGAGACGGCCAUGACAUCUUGCGGAAAGCUUCACAUAGGCUCAAAGAGACGGACGGAUAUUUUCAAGACCCAAGGCUUACCUGCACAGCCACAAGUCAUUAUGGGCUCUGGCUUGGUUGGACAACGCGGCGACUCUGGACAGGUGGUGCUAGCAGAUGUAGAAGAACGGUAGGAUUGGAUGGGCACCGACAGGGAUUCAGAGAGACCCGUUGAAAGACCAUGUUUUGAUCAUCCGGUCUUCAAACACCCUGAAGUGCGAGGACAUACACGGAGGCGAUCAAAUCUUGUCGGGAACGUGUGCAAAACUCUGCAGAGUACUCAAACCUAAUCGAUUAGCCGUGUCCACGAUCAUGGACAACUUGAGCCAAAGGAACUGAAGUUAUCUGAAAUUCUCAACACAAAUAAUAAUAUUGAUGUGGGAAUUAUUGACAACUCGGGUACGAGAACUCGUUGGUGGAACCAUCUCGUUAACAACCAACCUUAUAGUAAUAUUUCGCUUUUAGCCCCUCUUGUUGUAGGAGAAAAUUUGCUUUACGCUAAAAACUUACAACACCACCUGCCAUAUAUGCAUAUAGUAUAGAUGAUUACUUUUCACCCCUCUCUUAUGUGACUUGCCGGCAUAUUCAAUAUGCUGACCUACACGGCUGCAACGUCUUAUGUUGCAGAUAUUUUUCUUCAACGAGUAAGAGUACGAUUCAGGGUUACGAUCUACACUCAACUUGACGUUGGUGUUUAUUGGGACUCCACUCCCUUGACUGCUUCCGCUGAGAUAUUUAAGGUAUAUAUCAGUUUUACGCUAUUUACAUGUGAUUGCACUUUGAUAUAUACAUUAAUGUACUGUGUGUGCCAGCAUACUGAUCCAGGGAUGGCACAGAUACACAGAGGCUUGACUCGUUUUGAGUCGGGUCACUACAUCUACGGUGUUUGCAAGUUGAUUUUGCUGAAAAACAGAAACUUUCGCUCUCAGUCCAGGAAUUUUAUAAAUUCGCUGGAACAUGCUUUUGAUCUAAAUUUUUACAAAAGAUUGAUUUACAAAUUUCCCUGGUUCUCCUAAUUGUUCAUAAUUUUAUGAGUUACAGAAGUAUUCGAAGUAAACAGAUUGCUAUAGACUAUUCUGUUUUUGACAGGUUCUGUUUUCUUUGUGUUGUUUGCUUAUUUUGAUGAAUUUAUGGGUUGUAUCGGGGGGUAUGAACCAUGGAGAAGUUGGAAUACAAUAAAUAUUACAUCAAUAUAAAUAAGGAAUGAGUUCACAACAGUACCUAAAGUGGUGAUUUAUUUUUCUUAUAGUAACGGAUCUCAUGAGUUUUCUGUUGAGUUUUGUGUUGUGAAGUUUUCAAGUUUUGGGUAAAGAUUUGAUGGACUAUAGAAUAAGGAGUGGCAAGAGCCUAAGCUUGGGGAUGCCCAAGGCACCCCAAGCCAUAUUCAAGUAUACCAAAGAUCCUAAGCUUGGGAAUGCCCCGGAAGGCAUCCCCUCUUUCGUCUUCAAUCCCUCGAUAAAUUUACUUGAGGCUAUAUUUUUAUUCACCACAUGAUAUGUGUUUUUCUUGGAGCAUCUUGUAUGAUAUGAGUCUUUACUUCUUAGUUUUCCACAAUCAUCCUUGCUGCACACAUAUUUUGAGAGAGAGACGCUGAAUCGUGAAUUUAUUAGAAUACUCUAUGUGCUUCACUUAUAUCUUUUUAGCUAGGCAAUGUUGCUCUAGUGAUUCACUUAUAUCUUUUAGAUCACAAUGUGUUUCAUUUUAUAGAAAUUAUUAAACUCUCAUACCUCACUUAUAUUAUUUUGAGAGUUCUUUAAACAGCAUGGUAAUUGGUUUAGGUUAUGAAUUUAGUCCUAAUAUUAUGAGAAUCCAAGAGGAAUAUAAUAAAAACUUCCAUAUUAAGUGCAUUGAGUAUGAUGAGAAGUUUGAUUCCUUGCAUAUAGUUUUGAGAUAUGAAGAUGGUAAUAUGAGAGUCAUGCUAGUAAGUAAUUGUGAAUUGGAAGAAAUACUUGCAUUAAAGCUUGUGAUUCUCGUAGCAUGCAUGUAUGGUGAACCGUUGUGUGAUGAAAUCGGAGCAUGAUUUGUUUAAUGAUUGUCAACCUUUGUGUGGAGGUCGGGAUCAUGCGAUGUUUAACUCCUACCAACCCAUCCCCUAGGAGCAUGCGUCUAAUACUUUGCUUCGAUAACUAAUAGGUUUUUGCAAUAAGUAUGUCAGUUCUUUAUGACUAAUGUUUAGUUCAUGGAUUAUACACACUCUCACCCUUCCACCUUUGCUAGCCUCUCUAGUACCGCGCAACUCUCGCCGGUACAUUAAACCCACCUUCCUCAAAACAGCCACCAUAUAUUUUCCUCCAAAUAGCCACCACACCUACCUAUUAUGGCAUGUUCAUAGCCAUUUCGAGAUAUAUUGCCAUGAAACACCACCGUCUCAUUUUUAUGACACGCAACAUCACUUCCAUAUUGCUUAUAGAGUCAUAUUUUGUUCUAGAUAUCAAGUUGAAAUAUUUGAGUUGUAAGUAAAUAAAAGUGUGAUGAUUUGCGUUAUUAGAGCAUUGUCCNNNNNNNNNNNNNNNNNNNNNNNNNNNNNNNNNNNNNNNNNNNNNNNNNNNNNNNNNNNNNNNNNNNNNNNNNNNNNNNNNNNNNNNNNNNNNNNNNNNNAAUGCUACUAUCUUUUUACACACUUGUGCUUCAAAGUACCACCAUGUUCUUCAUAGAGAGUCUCCUAUUUUGUCACUUUCAUAUAACUAGUGGAAUUUCAUCUUUUGCACAACCACUUAGUCUUCUUUUUUGAGAAUUCAUACACUUAUCGCUCUAGUGCAUUUGUUGCAUGGCAAUCCCUACUCACUCACAUUGAUACUAUUGAUGAGCAUCUCCAUAGCCCGUUGAUACUCCUAGUCGAUUUGAGACUAUCUUCUCCUCUUUCUUUUUUUGCAACCUCUAACAUAUUAUAUUUUCACCCAUAGUGUUAUAUCCAUGGCUCAUGCUCAUGUAUCGCGUGAGAGUUGAAAAGGUUUGAGAACAUAAAAAGUGUGAAACAAUUGCUUGCCCUUCAUCGGGGUUGUGCAUGAUUUAGAUACUUUGUGUUGGGAAGAUGGAGCAUAGCGAGACCAUAUUAUUUUGUAGGGAUAACUUUCUAAGACCAUGUUACUUCAAAAGGAAGCAAUUGGCUUGUUAGUAUGCUUGAAGUAUUAUUGUUUUUAUGUCAAUAUUAGACUUUUGUUUUGAAUCUUAUGGAUCUGAAUAUUCAUGCCACAAUAAAUAAUAUUACAUUGAUAAAUAUGUUAGGUAGCAUUCCACAUCAAAACUUCCAUUUUUAUCAUUGACCUACUCGAGGACGAGCACAAAUUAAGCUUCAGGAUGCUUGAUACGUCACCAACGUAUCUAUAAUUUUUAUUGUUUCAUGCUAUUAUAUUAUCUGUUUUGGAUGUUUUAUAUGCAUUAAUAUGAUAUUUUAUAUUAUUUUUGGGACUAACCUAUUAAUCUAGAGCCUAGUGCCAGUUUUUUUAUUUUUUCCAUGUUUUUGAGUAUUGCAGAUAAGGAAUAUUAAACGGAGUCCAAAUGGAACAAAAACUCCGGAAUGAUUUUUCUUGGACAAGAAGAAACCUACCACACUUGGUGUAGGGGGAAGGACACCUGCUGGGAGGCGACAAGCCUGUAGGGCGCGCCCUAGGGGGUGCCCCUGGCUUGUGGGCCCUCUACAGGUCUCCUAACCCUAAUCCUUGGCCUAUAAAUUCCCAAACAUUCUCUCAUUACCAAAGAGAGCCAAAAAAAACUUUUCCGCUGCCGAGAGCCUCUGUUCCUGUGAGAUCCAAUUUGGGAGCCUUUUCCGGUAAUUUGUCGGAGAGGGAAUUGAUCACGAAGGGCAUCUACAUCAACUCCAUUGCCCCUCCGAUGAUGUGUGAGUAGUUCACCAUAGACCUACGGGUCCAUAGCUAGUAGCUAGAUGGCUUAUUAUCUCUCUUUGUUCUUCAAUACCAUGUUCUUCAUGAUCUUCAUGGAGAUCUAUCCGAUGUAAUACUCUUUUGCGGUGUGUUUGUCGAGACUCGAUGAAUUGUGGGUUCAUGUUCAUAUUCUCUAUGCAUAUUAUUUGAGUCUUCUCUGAAUUCUUAUAUGCAUGAUUUUAUAUCUUAGCAAGUCUCUUCGAGUUAUUGGUUUGGUUUGGCAAACUAGAUUGGUAAUUCUUGCAAUGGGAGAAGUGCUUAGUUUUGGGUUCAAUCUUGCGGUGUCCUCACCCAGUAACAAAAGUUGGGGUAGCGAGCACGUAUUGUAUUGUUGCCAUUGAGGAUAAAAAGAUGGGGUUUUCAUCAUAUUGCUUGAGUUUAUCCCUCUACAUCAUGCCAUCUUACUUAAUGUGUUACUCUGUUCUUCAUGAACUUAAUACUCUAGAUGCAGGCAUGAGUCGGUCGAUGUGUGGAGUAAUAGUAGUAGAUGCGGAAUCGUUUCGGUCUACUUGACACGGACAUUAUGCCUAUAUGCAUAAUCAUUGCCUUGUAUAUAUUCAUAAUUAUUUGCUUUUCUAUGAAUUGCUCGACAGUAAUUUGUUCACCCACCGUAUUAUUAUUUUUAUGAGAGAAGCCUCUAGUGAAACCUAUGCCCCCCGGGGUCUAUUUUCCAUAUUAUACUUUGAGAUCUAUACACCAAAAAUAUCUUGCUGCAAUUUAUUUAUUUUUGUUUUAUUUUCAAAUCUAUCAAUCUUUUAUAUCUAUCUCUAUCAGAUCUUAUCCUUGCAAAUAACUCUGAAGGGAUUGACAACCCCUUUUUAGCGUUGGGUGCAAGUGUUUUAUUGUUUGUGUAGGUACUACGAUUGGGGCCUUGCUUGUUCCUCCUACUGGAUUGAUACCUUGGUUUUCAACAAACUGAGGGAAAUACUUAUCUACUUCGCUGCGUCACCCUUUCCUCUUCAAGAGAAAACCAACGCAAGCUCAAGAGGUAGCACAUACUGAUGAGUCGGCCCUUGGGGGCUACACAUGUGAAAUCUAAACAUUCUGUGACGGGAGACUCAGAUGAACAACCGAGGAUUUCUCUAAAGUUCCAACAUUUAUUUGUAAGAAAGUCUUAAGCUAUCAUUAUGUUCUACUCUUAAGACCUGGGGGCUACAUUGCGUGAAGCCUUGUGAGCACAAGAGAAAUUAUAAACUUCCAGCUUGUCGCAGGACUGGCAACCCGACACUUGGGGGAUACACUAUUUGAAGUUAGAUAUCUACAACAUUCAAGACAAACUCCAAGUCCUAGGUUUCUACAGGCAAGACAACCUGACACUUGGGGGUUGCUGGCUGAAGUUUUACAACUAUAAGACAAUUACAAGUCCUAGAUAGCUCCAAGCAAGAUAACUCGGAAGUUGAGGGCUACACAAUCAAGAUGUUAUUUUUAUGCAAAGCACCAAGUCAUCAAGAACUAGUAAACUCGGAGCUUGGGGCUACAUGUAAUAUGGAGAUAAAAAACAAAAGAACACCUUCAAGCUGUCAAUUUUGAGAGGGCCGGGUUUCAUUUUCUUGGUGAAGGUUUGCAUAGUUCAUUUCUUCCAAGUUACUCAUAGAAGGUCUAGAAGCAUUUAAAGUCGACUCGACAUCAUACGUUAUGUUCCCAAAUAUUUUCAUUAACCUGAAGCACUAAAAGUUGGCUCAACAUUGGACGGAUUUUUAUUCCAAAUUAUUAUUAUGCCGAAACACAAGAAACCGGCUCAAUUUCAGAUGGUGAAUUAUUCCCAAUAUUUUCCUACGAGGAACCAAGAUCAUCAAGUUGAUUGUGAAGCCAGCCUGUUGAUAUGACAAACAGACCCGUAUUUUUCAUGUGUCGGUUCAUUGAAUAAACUAGUCACCUGAGCGAGUCGGUCCCUUAUUUUACUAAUUAUUUUUUAUUUCAAGCGCUUACCAUGAAUGCACGCCAAGCCUGCAUUCAAGCUAACCCAGGGGGCUAAUGUCGAGGGAGUUGCCCGCGACUAGACUCGUCUGCAAGGAUAAAUCAUCUGUGGAGUAAAGUCAUUUCUGAAGUUAAGUCGGCCGAUUAAAAUCAUGACCCGACUACUAUCUUGAUCUAGUUACAAUCUUGACGCGACCUGUUACAAGACAAGUUUUCUGGCUCUGAAGAUAAGCCAGCUUUGGGGAUAAGAUGGCCCACGGAUAAGUCCGCCCAGUGAGCUAAAUAGCUCACGAAUAUGAGCCAAUUCACGAAUAUGACGACUCAAGGAUAAGCCAACUCACAAAGCUAAGCAUGAUCAUGGAGAUGAGUCCGCUCAUGGAUAAGCAGGCUCACGGAGAUGAGCCGACUCAUGGAUAACCCGACUACAUGAUAAGCUGGCUCUUAGAGCUAAGCAUGCUCACGAAGAUGAGGUGGCUCAUGGAUAAUCCGGCUCACGGAUAAGCCAACUCAUAGAGCUAAGAAGGCUCACGGAGAUGAGUCCUCUCAUGGAUAAGCCGGCUCAUGGAGAUAAGACCGCCCUAGAGAUAAUCCGGCUCAUGGAGAUGUGUCGACUCUGGAAACAAGACCCAGCUUGAGGGUGAGUCUCGACAUGGAGAGAGAAGUCCUGGUUUUGAGGAGUCCAAAUACAAGGCGGAGAACCCCAACUUGGAAGACAUGGAGGACUUAGAGGACUUAGAGUAGGACUCCAACUACUGGUAUAACCUGGAAUCUCUUGUAACCCCAGGGACUCGUCUAUUAUAUAAAGGGAGACACUGGGUCAUCAAAAGGACAAGUUUUUAGACACACAAGUCUCUAGAAAGAUGUUCUGAGGACUCGCAAGGCAGAUGUUUUGGUAGGUCUCGAGAGAGAUGCUUUGAUAGGUCUCCAGACAUAUGUUUUGAUAGGUCUCGAGAUAGAGGCAGCGAAAUAGCGCCCUUGUAAUCAUGACCACCACAAUCAAUAGCAAUCAAGCAGGAUGUAGGCCUUUCCCUCCAUUUGAGGGGCCAAACUUGGGCAAAACUCGCAUCUCUCGAUUCCGAUCAACCCCAUCCAAGCUUCCACCUAGCAGCAAUGGCCUCACAACUAUGUCCUUUUACAAGGGCAGCUGCCAUUACAAAACCACGACAAUAACCUUAUCAUGUUCUACCUUCCUCCCACUCACUUCUUUCAAGAGAACCUCUUUUUCUGGAAAGGAUCCAUUCCUCGCAACAAAGUCCUUGCCUCUGGAUCUGCUAUAGGAGGUAUACUAUUUUUGUUGCUUUAGGAUAUCUUAUGAAGAUGCACUUUUCCACUUUCGGUUCGAGCUUAUCAUACAUAAGUGUCAUAUCCCCAAACUCCAAGAAACGACAACUUAGGUUUCUCGCCAAACCAUAAUUCAUGCGGUGUCCUCUCAACGGAUUUAGAUGGUGCCCUAUUUAAAGUGAAUGUAGUUGUGUCUAUUGAAUAACCCCAAAAAUAUAGUGGCAAAUUGACAAGAGACAUCAUAGAACGCACCAUAUCCAAUAGAGUACGAUUAUGAUGUUCGGACACACCAUUACACGGUAGUGUUCCAGGUGGUGUGAGUUAUGAAAUAAUUUCCACAUUUUCUUGCAUAGCAAAUUCGUAAAUCAUAUAUUCAGAUCCACGAUCAUAUCGUAUACAUUAUAUCUUCUUGUCACAAUGAUCUUCAACUUCACUCUAAGAUUUCUUGAACUUAUCAAAAUUCCAGACUUCUGUUUCAUCAAGUAAACAUACCCGUAUAUAGUCAAAUCAUCUAUGGAGGUAAGAUAAUAACGAUAUCCACCACCUGCUUCAACACUCAUCAAACUUCAUACAUCAAUAUGUAUUAUUUCCAAUAAGUCACUUGCCCACUCCAUCGUACCGGAAAAUGGGGUCUUAGUCAUCUUGCCCAAGAGGCAUGGUUCGCAUGUCUCAAUUGAUUCAAAAUUAAAUGAGUCCAAAGAUCCAUCAGCAUGGAUUUUCUUCAUGCGCUAUACACCAAUAUGACCUAAGCAGCAGUGCCACAAGUAUGUGGUACUAUCAUCAUUAACUCUGCAUCUUUUGGCAUCAACACUAUGCACAUGUGUAUCACUAUGAUCGAGAUUUAAUAAACCAUUAACAUUGGGUGCCUAAUCAUAAAAAAUGUUAUUCAUGCAAAUAGAACAACCAUUAUUAUGUGGCUUAAAUAAAUAAUCGUCUCGCAAUAAACAAGAUCAAUAUAAUGUUCAUUCUCAACGCAUGCACCAAAUAACUUUUAUUUAGGUUUAAUACUAGUCCCUAAGGUAGAGAGAGUGUGCCGAUGGUGAUCACAUCAACCUUGGAGACACUUCCAACAGGCAUCCUCACCUUGUCCUUAGCUAGUCUCGUUUAUUCCACACCUCCUGUUUCGAGUUACUAAUAUCAGCAAAAGAACUCGUAUCAAAUACCCACGGGAUACUACAAACACUAGUGAGGCAUACAUCAAUAACAUGUAUAUCAAAUAUACUUUUGUUGACAUUGCUAGGCUUCUUAUCAACCAAGUAUCUGGGGUAGUUCCACUUUAGUGACCUUUCCCUCUUAGAACAGAAACACCCAGUCUCGGGUUUGGGUCCAACCUUGGGUUUCUUCACUGGAGCGACAACUGGCUUGCCAAUCUCGAAGUUUCCUUUCUUGCCCUUGUCCUUUGAUACGUCUCCAACGUAUCUGAAAUUUUUGAUGGUUUUAUGCUAUUAUCUUGUCAAACUUUGGAUGUUUUGUAUGCCUUUUAUAUCUUUUUUGGGACUAACUUAUUAACUCAGUGCCAAGUGUCAGUUCCUGUUUUUCCGUGUUUUUGACCCCUUUCAGAGAAGGAUUUUAAACGGAGUCCAAACGGAACGAAACUUCCAAAAAGAUUUUUUCGGAAACAGAAGACGAUCGGGAGACUUGAGAACCAAGGCAUAGGGUCAAUAGGGACCCCACAAGCCCCCUAGCCGUGACCAGGGGCCGCGCCUCCCAGGCUUAUGGGCUCCCUGGACCUCCUCUGCCCUAGGUCUUUCGCCUAUAUAUUCCCUAAAAUCCCAGAAAAAAAUCAGGAGAGCCUCGAAAACACUUUUCCGCCGCCGCAAGCUUCUGUCUCCGCAAGAUCCCAUCCGAGGCACGUUCUGGUGCCCUGCCGGAGGGGGGAUUCGGAUGCGGAGGGCUUCUUCAUCAACACCAUGACCUCUCCGAUGAUGCGUGAGUAGUUCACCAUAGACCUUCGGGUCCAUAGCUAGUAGCUAGAUGGCUUCUUCUCUCUCUUGGAUCUUCAAUACAAAGUUCUCCAUGAUCUUCAUGGAGAUCUAUCCGAUGCAAUCUUCUUUUGCGGUGUGUUUGUCGAGAUCCGAUGAAUUGUGGAUUUAUGAUCAGAUUAUCUAUGAAUCUUAUUUGAGUUUCUUCUGAUCUCUCUUAUGCAUGAUUUCAUAUCCUUGUAAUUCUCUUCGAGUUGUGGGUUUUGUUUGGCCAGCUUGAUCUAUGAUUCUUCCAAUGGGAGAAGUGCUUGGUUUUGGGUUCAUACCGUGCGGUGACCUCACCCAGUGACAGAAGGGGUAGCGAGGCACGCAUCAUGUUGUUGCCAUCAAGGGUAAAAAGAUGGGGUUUUCAUCAUUGGCUUGAGUUUAUCCGUCUACAUCAUGUCAUCUUGCUUAAGGCGUUACUCUGUUCGUCAUGAACUCAAUACACUAGAUGCAUGCUGGAUAGCGGUCGAUGUUGAAAAGACCUCGAUGACGCCUAGAGGGGGGGUGAAUAGGCUAUUUAAAAACUUCUUCGGAUUUGGCUUGAAACUAAUGCGGAAAUAAACUAAGAGGGUACUUGUCAAGCACAAAUCCUAAAUGCACUAGGCACUGCAGCGUGUAUCAACAACACGAUCUACCAAGAUGGACACAAUACAGUUACUAACAAGCAUAAGUAAGUUACACAAACUUACUUGAGCUAUAUCACACGACAAGUAGGUGAACAACACAAGAUACUAGAUCACACUAUAUCACACGAUAUAUCAAAAGCUGCAAGUAUGAACGUGUGGAUAUAGAAGGUAUGCUUGAAUGAUUAAUCUUGUACAAGAAAUAGCCAACACAAUAUAAUGAGCACAAACAAUAUGCAAUGUAUGUAUGCUCAAGUAACACAAGUAAACCACAAGUAAGGAGUUAGGGUUAAGGAUAACCAAGGUCACUGAGACGAAGAUGUAUCCCGAUGUUCACUUCCUUGGAGGGAAGCUAGUCACCGUUAGAGAGGUGGAUGUUACCACGAAGGCACACCAACGCCACGAAGGCUCACCCUAUUCUCCCUUUGAGAUAACACCACGAAGGCGUUUCUCAACCACUAGUGGUAAGCCUUUGAGGUGGCUUCCAAACCCUCACAAACUUUUCCGGGGGAAAUCACACGGAUUGAUUCCUCUCCGAAGAACUCCUACCGCCUAGGAGUCUCCAACCUCCAAGAGUAACAAGAUCACGGGGAAUGCUCAAAACUUGCUCAAAUCUCAAAUAGCUUUGCUUGGGAGGAGGAGAGGGAGACGAUCUAUCUUUUGAUUGGAACAACUCUCAAAGGGGCUCACAAAUGCUCUUGGGAUCUAAGAUUUGGUGUGAGCAAAUGUGUGUGAGGUAGAAAUGUGUUCCUAUGAGGAUAAGGCUGUCUUGGACUGCCCUCUCACGAAGUGGGAGGGGGGUAUUUAUAGUGGGGAGAGAAAAACAGCCGGUGGGGACACUUUAAGUCAUACAGGGUCCGGACGUCCGACAGUUUCCGGAAGUCCGGGCGUCCGCGAGGGGUCGGACGUCCGACAGGGGUCGGUCGUCCGAGGCAUGUAGAUAUCACUGAAAAUACUGUGAAUUGAACAGCGACCGGACAUCCGGAGAAGACUGGAAAUCCGAGUUAUUCGACUCAACUUCUUCUGGUGGGAGGUUCCAGAUUUCCGGAAGGGGACGGACGUCCGGGCCUUGGACGUCCGGGGGGAGCCGGAAAUCCGAGUUAUAGAGCUUAUGUUCUUCUGGUGCAGGGCUCCGAAUUUCCGAAAGGGGACGGACGUCCGGGCCUCGGACGUCCGGAGGGAGCCGGAAAUCCGAGUUAUAGAGCUUAUGUUCUUCUGGUGCAGGGCUCCGGAUUUCCGAAGCUGGUCGGACGUCCGGCGCUCGGAUGUCCGGAGGGAGCCGGAAAUCCGAGUUAUAGAACUCAAGUUUCUCUGGUGCGUAGUUCGGAUUUCCGAAGCUGGUCGAACGUCCGGGCCUCGGACGUCCGGAGGAGGCCGGAUGUCCGAGGCAUUGGUCCUGUUUUCUGAUAACAGCAGAGCCGUGGAGAUGUGGUAAGAGCAGAACAGUGGAUAUCUAGUUUGAGCAAGUUCAUCACAAAACCUGUGAUCCCCUCUUAAUAGUGCAGGAUCCCUAAAGACUCAAGAAUUAUAAAAGGGGUACCGAUGAUCCAUACUUGAGUGUAUACUUUUAUUCGCUGAUCAUCACUCUGCACCACUAACGUCAAAGGAACUGAUACCUUUGAGUUAGCCCUUUCACUUGAGCUUGAUGUUGUUGUUCCUUCAUGGCUCAAGUUGAAAGCAAGACAUGAUGAAGUCUUCAAGCAGCUCUCCCAUACACAAUGUGGAAAGCCUAGCUUAUGUAUUCAUCUUCAUUUGUCCACCAUGUGAACAUCCACAAGAAUCAAGCAUGUAGUGCUCAGGAAUGCUUAUCUUGAUCUUGUCCUUGUUAGCACAUGAGCUUGUCCUUAUCAACACAUGAUCAUUAACAAUAGUUUCAAUGAUAUAUUCGUGCUGAUCCACUUGAACUUGCACACCACAAUCUUGAUGACGAUCGCCACUUGACGUCAUCCUUCAUGAGUUGUAUGAGAUCUUCCUUUUGACGCAAGCCCAUGGAAGCACACCUAACCCCCACAUAGGAGUCUCACAAAGACCAUGGGUUAGUACACAAACACGUAAUGGACAAUGCUUACCAUACCAUGGGAUCACUUGAUCCCUCUCAGUACAUCUUAUACGCUUUGUGUGUUGAUCAUCUUGAUUUACUCUUUGUCUGAGAUCUUGAUCAACCUAGUGUCUCUAUGACCAUUCUUUGGAUAAUACCUUGAAUACCAUCUUGGCCAUCAUAUAAACUCCUUGAACCCAACAGAUGGACUUCAAGAAGUGCCUAUGGACAAAUCCUAUAAAUAUAACUUAAGGCAACCAUUAGUCCAUAGGAAUUCUCAUCAAUUACCAAAACCACAUAUGGAGAUAUAUGCUCUAACAGAUGUGUGGAGUAAUAGUAGUAGAUGCAGAAAGUAUCGGUCUACUUGUCUCGGACGUGAUGCCUAUAUGUAUGAUCAUUGCCUUAGAUAUCGUCAUGACUUUGCGCGGUUCUAUCAAUUGUUCGAGAGUAAUUUGUUCACCCACCGUAAUAUUUGCUAUUUUGAGAGAAGCCUCUAGUGAACACUAUGGCCCCCGGGUCUACUUCACAUCAUUUUUUCAGCCUUACACUUUUACUUCGUUGCACUUUCCGCCUUCAGAUCUCACUUUGCAAUCAAUCUUGAAGGGAUUGACAACCCCUUCAUAGCGUUGGGUGCAAGCUCUUUUGUGUUUGCGCAGGUACUCUGGACUUGACGCGAUUCUCCUACUGGAUUAAUACCUUGGUUCUCAAACUGAGGGAAAUAUGUACUGCUCCUGUGCUGCAUCACCCUUUCCUCUUCAAGGGAAAAACCAACGCAAGCCCAGUCUCCGUCAACGUGUCAAUUCCUGGCGCUCUUGUCUGUUGCCGUAGCAUCCUUCUUGAAAUUAGUGGUUUUACUAACCAUCAACACUUGAUGCUCCUUCUUGAUUUCUACCUUCGCAGUGUAAAACAUCGUAAAUAGCUUAGGAUCAUAUUCUCCACCCCUUGCAUGUUAUAGUUCAUCAUAAAGUUGUAGUAGCUUGGUGGCAGUGAUUUGGAGAACUCUCUCAAUCACUAUCUUAUCAGAAAGAUUAACUCCCACUUUAUUCAAGCGAUUGUAGCACCCAGACAGUAUGAGCACAUGCUUACUGAUUGAGCUAUUCUCCUCCAUAUUGCAUCCAAAGAACUUGUCAGAUGUGUCAUACCUCUCAACACGGGCAUGAGCUUGAAAUUCCAAUUUUAGCUCUUGGAACAUCUCAUAUGCUCUGUGAUGUUCAAAACGUCUUUGGAACCUCAAUUCUAAGAUGCGAAGCAUGACGUACUGAACUAUCAAGUAGUCAUCAAAACAUGCAUGUCAGAUGUUCACAACACCCACAUACGACGCUUGAUGGGGUGGCGCACCGAGCGGUUGAUACGUCCCAAACAUAUCUAUAAUUUAUGCUUGUUCCAUGAUCUUUUGGGUGACAUUGUUAUAUGUUUUGCUACACUUUUAUACCUUUUUACACAUAUUUGGACUAACCUACUAACUCAGUGCACCUAGUUCCAGUUUCUGUGUGAUGAUGUCUUUUUUGCAGGGACUUUUACCCCAAUUUACAGAGUCCCAAAAAUCCCAAGAAAAAUAUAUAAAAAUCAGUGUGACGGAAGCUUCAUGAGCACCAAAGGUGGGCCAGAGGGGAGCCAGGCCCUGCCCAGGCGGCCUCCCUACGCGGGUCACCCCCUGGCCACGCCACCAGACCGCCUGGGUGGGGCCCACCUCCUUUGGUGUCCUCCUUCGGCCUAUAUUUACCUCUUCGAUGGGAAACCCUUCCAUAAGAUCCUGAAUCACGAAUUUCUCCAUCGUUCCGCCGCCGCAGCGCUCCCGAGAUCGGGAGCGCCAGAAGAACUCUUCCCGACACCCUGUCGGAGGGAGGAUUGACCUCCGGGAGCUUCUCCACCGCCAUGGACGCUUCCCGGACGUGCCGUGAGUAGUCCUCCUUGGACCAUGAGUCCAUGAUCAGUAGCUAUGUGAUGUCUUCUCUCCAAUCAUGUGCUUCAAUGUUUAGCCCUUGUGAGCUGCCCUACAUGAUCAAGGCAUCUAUGUAAUUUUCCUGUUGUUGCUAUGCUUCGUUUGCUCGGAUCCGAUGGAUUAUGAGAUUAUGUUCAGAUUGUGAUGAGUUAUAUAUUUGAUUAUUUAUUUAUAUUAUGUUGUUUAGUGAUUCAUGCAUGUUCUCCAUUGCUUUUUAUUGCUUUGGCCGAGUAGUAGAUUGUAACUCCAAGAGGGAGCGUUAUGCAUGAUUGUNNNNNNNNNNNNNNNNNNNNNNNNNNNNNNNNNNNNNNNNNNNNNNNNNNNNNNNNNNNNNNNNNNNNNNNNNNNNNNNNNNNNNNNNNNNNNNNNNNNNACAAUCAUGCAUAACGCCCCCUCUUGGAGUUACAAUCUACUACUCGGCCAAAGCAAUAAAAAGCAACGGAGAACAUGCAUGAAUCACUAAACAACAUAAUAUAAAUAAAUAAUCAAAUAUAUAACUCAUCACAAUUUUAACGUAAUCUCAUAAUCCAUCGGAUCCGAGCAAACCAAGCAUAGCAACAACAGGAAAAAUUACAUAGAUGCCUUGAUCAUGUAGGGCAGCUCACAAGGGCUAAACUUUGAAGCACAUGAUUGGAGAGAAGACAUCACAUAGCUACUGGUCACAGACUCAUGGUCCAAGGAGGACUACUCACGUCACGUCCGGGAAGCAUCCAUGGCGGUGGAGAAGCUCCCGGAGGUCAAUCCUCCCUUCGACAGGGUGCCGGGAAGAGGUCUUCUGGCGCUCCCGAUCUCGGGAGCGCUGCGGCGGCGGAACAAUGGAGAAAUUCGCGAUUCUGGAUCUUAUGGAAGGGUUUCCUAUCGAAGAGGUAAAUAUAGGCCAAAGGAGGGCACUAUAGGAGGUGGGCCCCACCCAGGCGGCCUGGUGGCGCGACCAAGGGGUGACCCGCGCAGGGAGGCCGCCUGGGCAGGGCCUGGCUCCCCUCUGGCCCACCUUUGGUGCUCGUGAAGCUUCCGUCACGCUGAUUUUUAUAUAUUUUUCUCGGGAUUUUCGGGACUCUGUAAAUUGGGGUAAAAGUCCCUGCAAAAAAAGACAUCAUCACACAAAAACUGGCACCGGGUGCACUGAGUUAGUAGGUUAGUCCAAAUAUGUGUAAAAAGGUAUAAAAGUGUAGCAAAACAUAUAACAAUGUCACCCAAAAGAUCAUGGAACAAGCAGAAAUUAUAGAUAUGUUUGGGACGUAUCAACAUCCCCAAGCUUAAUUCCUGCUUGUCCUCGAGUAGGUAAAUGAUAACACAAAUAAUUUCUGUGGUGACAUGCUAACACACAUAUAAGAACUUCAAAGUAAAGCAAGUAAGAUAUGCAAUUCAAGUCAAGACAAUAAGAAUCAAGAGUCUAUAUUUACUAUUGAAAAUAGCAAAGUAAGAACAUAAAGGUGCAAGAGCUCUCGCUGUCAGUGACUCGAAUGUCUCCAAAUGGUGUUUGCAUGCAAGAAAUGGGAGAUGGGUUUAGAGCAUACAAAUAUUUUUUAAUUGAGAACUCAAUCUACUAAUCUUCACACUUUGUCUCCUUCGGAAUCUUAUUUUGACUCAUCCCCAGACUACUAGUCAGGCACAAGUCAAAAUGAUCCUCUCCCUUUCGACUCUGAGCACUCAUGCAAUGGAUGAGCGCAAGCAAGAUAUGUUGGCACUUAGGAUGGCAAAGAGAAUAAUGAUGGGGAAGGAAGACAAAAAUGUGUGAAAGUCUCACAUCAAUGAGGACAACGAUAGGCGAGAGAAAGCCAAAUGAUAGAUAUGAUGUGAGGAGUAGGGAUUGCCAUGCAACGGAUGCACAUAUGAGCUAAGGUAAGCUCUCCAAUGGAACUAGUGGGGGUGCAUCCAACUUGCUUGCUCAUGAAGACCUAGAGCUCAUUUGAGGAGGCUCAUCAUUGGAAUAUACAAGUCCAGUUAUAUAGUGUAAGGGUCCCCACAUAGUUAUGCAUGAAUGAUAAUCUCUAUGGAGUACAAAUAUAACAAUGGAGUACGAGUGUGGAUCUUUCAAAAGGAAUAGUAGUGUUGCCCCCUUCUCUCUUUUUAUUUCUUUUAUUUUUACUUUUUUGUGGCCUCUUUGGCUCUUUCUAUUUAUCUCUCAUUUGUCCUCUUUGGGAUCUUUUCAUUUGUCCUCUUUGGGAUCUUUUAAUUUGUGCUCUUUGGGAUCUUUUACUCACUUUAGGGAAACACUCUAUGUUUUACAAGAAUAAAAAGAAGAUCUUCACACUUUAUAAGAAGUACUCAACAUAAAGACAAAUGAAAACUAUCAUGAUGUAUGCAAAUGUAUGCCUCUGCCAGUGUAGCAAGAUAUGCAAUGAAACUAGUGCGUCAUGUAGCAAUAAUAAGCGCAAGGACCAACUAGCAUACGACUCCUCGAUCAAGCAAAAGCAUGUAUGACAUGAAGAUCAAGUCAUGAGAUAGUGGAUGUUGCAUGGCAAUGUAUCUCGGUAAGGCUAUGAACAUGCCUUAAUAGGUAGGUAUGGUGGCUAUUUUGAGGAAUGAUAUAAUGAGUCUUAUGAUCACAGAGCGUAUCAUGACAAGGGUUUGGAUGCACCAGCGAAGUUUGCACCAACUCUCAAGAUGAGAAAGAGCAAUGCACGGUACCGAAGAGGCUAGCAAAAUAUGGAUGGUGGAAGUGCCAACAAUCGAAUACUCGCAUUAGUCCGAAGAACUCACGCACUUAUUAUCUGUAACUAUCUAUGUAGUUAGGAGAUUCACAAAGAGACAAGUACCCCGAGGAGGAGUGUUUGGGGGUUUGGUUAUCCUUGCGCAUCCUCGACCCAUGGUAACGUGAGGGUACUCUAUAUAUUCCAACCCCUCCAGAGGUUAGCGAUCCAUCUAGUAGCUAGAGUUCUCAACUAAUUUUCUUUUCUAUUUUUAAGAACACAUGGAUUCCCCAAAAUAUGACACCUAUCACUAAUAGUCUCAAGCUCUUGACACCAAUAUUCCAAACAUUACUCAAAUCAAUACCUCAAAACUAUUGCAAGUUACUACUAUACUUAAAUAGCAACCUCAAUUACCUACUCAUGCAAGACACACAACUCAGUGCAACAAGCCAACUCUCUAAACAAGAUAAGCAUGAUAACUCAAGAGAGUUCCAAAAGCAACCAAAAUUAAAGCUCUUAAAAAGAUAAAGCAUGAAAACUAAGAGCUAAGCAUGACAACAACUAUGAAAAGAUAAAGAACACACAAAAAGAAUAAGCAUGAAAACCUAUGUUGUGUUCUAGGGUGGAGUGGAGCGUGUUUCUCUCCAAAACAAAGAAGGAUAGAUUCCAACUUGGUAUGAGCAGCAAACAAAACUAAAACAAACUAAAAAGUAAAGAGCGGGACGCUCCAAGUAUAGCACAUAACAUAUGAAGUGAUAAAAAUAUAGCAUGGAGAAGGACGAACUGAUGAUUGUUGAUGGAGAAGGGGAUGCACGGGGGCAUCCCCAAGCUUAGACACUUGAGUCUCCUUGAAUAUUUCUUGGGGGUGCAUGGGGGCAUCCCCAAGCUUGAGUGCUUGACACUCCUGGAUCUUCUUUCAGCAUCUUCCAUCGCAUACUUGAAAACUCCUUUCAUACGGAACUCAUCAUAAGCUGAUUAGAGUGGUUAGCACCCAUAAUAAAAUAAUUUAUUCCCUACUGUAAAUAAAUAUUUUCAUGAAGAGCUACUGUUUCUCAAGAUUGCCAAAAGGUUUUUGCAAAGAAAAGGCAAGCUUAAGAUUUGCAAAACAAUGAAAACGCAAAACGUGGCAGAAUCUGUGAAAAAACAGAACAUAAGGUAGUAAAUAAUUGUUUCGGGGAACUUCUGCAACUCAAAUAAAAAACUCAGAACAUAAGCCAAAAAGACAAUUGUAUAGAUCAUACGGUCAAAAAGAUUCAGACCGAAAGAUGAUCUGGUGAUUUUUGGCGAAUUUUUUCGUCAAGCAGACAGAAUCUGUUUCUAGACAGCAUGUCACAACUUUUGAACUUUCUUGCAAUCAUAGGCUAAAACUUGGCACAAAGCUUGAAAAUAAAGAUACAAUGAUGUUGCUACAGUAGUAACAAGCAUCAAGACCACUAAAAUUUAAAGUAAAAACAAAUUGGGUUGCCUCCCAACAAGCGCUUUCUUUUAUGCCUUUGAGCUAGGCAUGAUGCAAAAAGAUCAUGUAUUAUCAACUCCAUAAGAAUAACUUGCUCAGAUAACAGACUCAUAAGGUAACUUAAAAUUCUUUCGAGUGAAGUGUUCCAUUCCCUUUUUAAGGGGAAAUUGGAAUCUAAUGGCCCCUUCUUUCAUGUCAAUGAUAGCACCAACGGUGCGGAGAAAAGGACGUCCCAAAAUAAUUGGACAUGAGGGAUCACACCCAAUGUCCAUAAUAAGAAAAUCAACGGGAACAUAAUUAUCAUUGACAACAAUAAGAACAUCAUCAAUUCCCCCUAAAGGUUUCCUUAUGGAAGAAUCAACAAGAGGAACACCAAAAGAACAUUGAUCAUAAGGUUUCAAAUCAAGCAUAUCAUACAUUGUUUUGGGCAUAACAAAGGCACUAGAUCCAACAUCACAUAAAGCAAAGCAAGAGAGAUUAUUCAAUUUAAUCUUGACCACAGGAUCCCAACCAUAUUCUAGUUUUCUAGGAAUAGAAGUCCCUAGCUUGAGCUUCUCCUCCCUAGAUUUAUUAAGAGCAUUGGUAAUAUGCUCGGUGAAGGCAAUAUUGAGUGUACUAGUGUGGGGGUCUUUAGCCAUUCUUUGCAAAAAAGUGAUAACUUCGAAAAGACUACAAUUAUCAAAAUCAAGAUUACUACCAUUAAUUAAAGUGGUGGUGAUGUCAUCUAAGAUCAUUCUUUUGGUAGUCUCUAAGUUCAAAGGACCUUCUUGUCCUAAAGUUGAGGUAUUAACAUCACCAUUAAUAGGACCAUUGGGACUGGGGAUGUGAUGGGUGCUAAUAGUUUUGAGAUCCUCAACAACUUGUAUAGUAGCAAGGGUAGUGUGUGUAGGAAGGCUCUUAAUCCUAUCUUCCUCUUAUUUUUCUCUAGCCCAUCUAUCCUUAAGUUUGGAUAGCAUUCUUAUGUUCUCAUUAAUUUGGACUUGGAUAUCAUUCAUGGGUGUGGUUUUCCUUUCCUCAAGGGGGGAAGUUCUAAUUUUAAGCAUCUCUACAUCAUGAGCUAUGUUGUCUACCUUCAAAGAGGGACUAUCUAAUUUUUCUAAUUUCUCUUCUACACUCUUGUUGAAGUCUUUUUGACAAGUGAUAAAGUAUUUAAGCAUGCUCUCUAAUUCAGAAGUGGAGUUUUUGGUGCUAGGAUAAGUGUUGUUGUUCCCAUAGUUGUUGGAUGGGAACGGUCUAGGAUUGCUACCAAAAUUACUCAUAUAGGCAUUAUUAUUAAAGUUGUUCCUAGAGAUAAAAUUAACAUCAACUUGCUCUCUUUCCUGAGCAACCAAGGAAUUUAAAGGAACAUCAUGAGGAUCAAUAGGAGCGUGCUUAGUAAGUAAAGUCAUGAUCAUGUCAACCUUAUCAUUAAGGGAGGAGAUCUCCUCAACAGAGUUUACCUUCCUACAUGUUGGAGCUCUCUCGGUGUGCCAUUGAGAAUAAUUUGUCAUCAUCUCGUCGAAUAGUUCCAUGUCAGCACCAAGUGUAGUUGACAUAAAGGUUCCUCCCGCGGCCGAGUCUAACAGAUUCCGCGAGGUAAAGUUCAAUCCUACAUCGAAAGUUUGGAUAACCAUCCAAGUAGUCAAAUCAUGUGUAGGGCAAUUCUUAACAAGGGAUUUCAUACGUUCCCAAGCUUGGGCAACAUGUUCAUUAUCCAGGUGCCUAAAAUUCAUAAUGUUAUCUUAACUGGAUAAUCUUAGCAGACGGGUAAUACUUCCCAAUAAAAGCAUCUUUGCACUUAUCCCAAGAAUCUAUGCUAUUCCUAGGCAAAGAUUGAAGCCACACUUUAGCUCCUCCUCUCAAGGAGAAAGGAAAAAAGCUUAAGUUUAACAAUAUCACCAUCUACUUCUUUAUAUUUUGCAUAUCACAAAGCUCAACAAAAUUAUUCAAGUGUAAAGCAGCAGCAUCUCCAGCACCGGAGAAUUGAGGUUUCAUAACAAGGUUCAGUAAAGCAGGUUUAAUCUCAUAAGAGGUUGCCCCAGUGGCGGGAGCAGCAAUAGGAGUGCAGAUAAAGUCAUUGUUGUUGUGACUAGUGAAGUCACACGACUUGGUGUUUUCAGUGGAACCCAUAGCAGCAGCAACAAGCAAGAACAAAGCAACUAUUUUUUUUGUGGUUUUUGGUAUAAGACUCUAAAGAAAAAACUAGAAAGCAAACUAACAAGACUAAAAAGAAAAGGUAAAGGAUAGAGUGCAACUCCCCUAUCUUGAAGACUGGAGUCCCCGGCAACGGUGACAAAAAUUUGCUUGAUGACGAGUUGAUGGAUAUACUUCUCGCCCCUCGUUGGUUACCCCAAGUGGAAGGUGGAGAUGUAGUCAGCAACAUAUUUCCCUUACACGGAGAUUGUAAGGUUUAUCGAACGAGGAGGACUCUGAGGAUCAACAAGUAGGUGUCUGCUGCUCUGGCGCUAGCACAAGAUGUGGACCUGCACACACAACAAAUAACUUUGCUCUCAACGAGUACAGAUAGGUUGUCAAUCUCUCAGGCCUUGUAGUUUGCAANNNNNNNNNNNNNNNNNNNNNNNNNNNNNNNNNNNNNNNNNNNNNNNNNNNNNNNNNNNNNNNNNNNNNNNNNNNNNNNNNNNNNNNNNNNNNNNNNNNNAGUGACAGAAGGGGCAGCAAGGCACGCAUCAUGUUGUUGCCAUCAAGGGUAACAAGAUGGGCUUUCAUCAUAGAUUUGAGAUUGUCCAUCUACAUCAAGUCAUCUUGCUUAAGGCNNNNCUCUGUUCUUAUGAACUCAAUACACUAGAUACAUGCUGGAUAGCGGUCGACAUGUGGAGUAAUAGUAGUAGAUGCAGAAAGUAUCGGUCUACUUGUCUCGGACGUGAUGCCUAUAUGUAUGAUCAUUGCCUUAGAUAUCNNNNNNNNNNNNNNNNNNNNNNNNNNNNNNNNNNNNNNNNNNNNNNNNNNNNNNNNNNNNNNNNNNNNNNNNNNNNNNNNNNNNNNNNNNNNNNNNNNNNNNNNNNNNNNNNNNNNNNNNNNNNNNNNNNNNNNNNNNUUCUAUCAAUUGCUCGACAGUAAUUCGUUCACCCACCGUCUACUUGCUUUCAUGAGAGAAGCCACUAGUGAACACUACGGCCCCCGGGUAUAUUCACAACUAUCGUCUCCACUUUCACUUUUACUUUGCUUUGUUUUCUUUUUGCUUUCAGUUCUCACUUUGCAAACAAUCUAUAAGGGAUUGACAACCCCUUCAUAGCGUUGGGUGCAAGCUCUUUGUGUUUGUGCAGGUGCUUGUGACUUGACACGAUCCUCCCACUGGAUCGAUACCUUGGUUCUCAAACUGAGGGAAAUACUUACCGCCGCUGUGCUACAUCACCCUUUACUCUUCAAGGGAACACCAACGCAAGGCUCCAAGGCCGCGGGGAAAUCCUUUGCAUAUUUGCCAAGGAAGUCCCUAUAGGCGUAGCCCGUAGCAGAAGGAUUCCUCGCGUCGUUGCCAGGGAAGGUCUGUUGACGCAGUAGCAGAAGGAUUACUGGCGCCGUUUCAGGGAGGAGGAUCACUUGCCGAGGAGUAUCAAGACAAGAAUAAUGUCCCGUCAACACACCUAUUUCUGGUGCGGGGAAGAGAGAUCAAGUCAAGAUCUAUCCAAGUAGGUGUCACAAACUCAUCUCUUGCAUUUACCUUUUUUGCCAGUUGCCUCUCGUUUUCCUCUCCCCCACUUCACAUUUGCCGUUUUCAUUUGCCUUUCUCCUUUGCCGUUUUCAUUUGCCUUUUGUCGUUUUCCUUUGCCUGUUUUCUUGCUUGCUUGUGCUCUUGUUGGUUUGUUGAAGUCAUCAUGGCUGAAAACACCAAACUUUGCGACUUUUCGAGUACUAAUAAUAAUAAUUUUAUUAGUACUCCGAUUGCUCCCCCCACUAGUGCGGAAUCGUAUGAAAUCAACGCUGCCUUGCUAAAUCUUGUUAUGAAAGAGCAAUUCUCUGGCCUUCCUAGUGAAGAUNNNNNNNNNNNNNNNNNNNNNNNNNNNNNNNNNNNNNNNNNNNNNNNNNNNNNNNNNNNNNNNNNNNNNNNNNNNNNNNNNNNNNNNNNNNNNNNNNNNNNNNNNNNNNNNNNNNNNNNNNNNNNNNNNNNNNNNNNNNNNNNNNNNNNNNNNNNNNNNNNNNNNNNNNNNNNNNNNNNNNNNNNNUUUUUCCUUUCUCGUUGCGAGAUCGUGCGAAAACUUGGUUUUCUUCUUUGCCUAAAAAUAGUACCGAUUCUUGGGAUAAGUGCAAAGAUGCUUACAUAUCCAAGUAUUUUCCACCGGCUAAGAUUAUCUCUCUACGUAACGAUAUCAUGAAUUUCAAGCAACUUGAUCAUGAACAUGUUGCACAAUCUUGGGAGAGGAUGAAGUUACUGAUUAGAAAUUGUUCCGCUCAUGGCUUGAGUUUGUGGAUGAUUAUACAAAUCUUUUACGCUGGUUUGAAUUUUGCUUCUCGCAAUAUCUUGGACUCCGCCUCAGGUGGAACAUUCAUGGAAAUCACGUUAGGAGACGCUACAAAACUCCUAGACAAUAUCAUGACCAACUACUCUCAGUGGCACACUGAAAGGUCACUGCUAGCAAAAAGGUACACGCUAUAUAAGAAAUUAACUCGCUUAGUGCUAAGAUGGACGAGUUGAUGAAUUUGGUUGCUAGUAGAAAUGCUCCUUUAGAUCCUAAUGACAUGCCACUAUCUUCCUUGAUUGAGAGUAGCAACGUUAGCUUGGACGUUAAUUUUGUUGGUAGGAACAAUUUUGGCAACAACAAUGCUUUUAGAGGAAACUAUGUUCCUAGUCCUUUUCCUAGUAACUCCUCUAACAAUUAUGGCUAUUCCUACAACAACACUUAUGGAAAUCACAACAAAUUACCCUCUGANNNNNNNNNNNNNNNNNNNNNNNNNNNNNNNNNNNNNNNNNNNNNNNNNNNNNNNNNNNNNNNNNNNNNNNNNNNNNNNNNNNNNNNNNNNNNNNNNNNNNNNNNNNNNNNNNNNNNNNNNNNNNNNNNNNNNNNNNNNNNNNNNNNNNNNNNNNNNNNNNNNNNNNNNNNNNNNNNNNNNNNNNNNNNGAAAAACUACUCAAAAUAGACGAUUUGGCUAAGAGCGUUGAUAGGAUGUCUUGUGAUAUUGAUGCUUUGAAAGUUAGAUGUGCUCCUUCCAAGGUCAACUAGGAUGAAACUUUAAAAGCUAUGCGUGUCUCCAUGAAUGAGAGCAAAGAAAGAACCGCCCAAAUUCGCGCUAGGCAUGAAUGGUUUAAAAGGGCGCGUUCUAGUGAUGCAAAUCACGAAGAUCUUAAAGUGCUUGGUGUGACUCCUCUUGAAUCUUUGUUUUCUCGUGUCAAGCCUAUUGAUGAAGGGGCUGGAUAUGAAUCCACUUUGGUUGAAAAACGCACCAAUGAUUCGGAGUCCACCUAUCUUGAUGAUAAAGGUGUGGAGAGUGGAGUAGAAGAAAUCAAAAUAUUGGGUAGUAAUGAAACUCCCACUUUGGAUUUCAAGGAAUUCAAUUAUGAUAGUUGCUCCUUGUUUGAAUGCAUUUCUUUGAUGCAAUCCAUUGCAAACUCCCCACAUGCUUAUAGCCAAAGCAAAGCCUUUACCGCACAUAUCGUAGAUGCUAUGAUGAAAUCUCUUGAAGAGAAGCUCGAAUUAGAAGUCUCCAUACCUAGAAAACUUCAUGAUGAGUGGGAACCUACUAUCAAAAUCAAGAUCAAAAACUAUGAAUGCAAUGCUUUGUAUCAUUUGGGUGCUAGUGUUUCCGCGAUUCCAAAGUCUUUAUGUGAUAAUCUUGGUUUUGAUGAGAUUGAAGAGUGUUCUCUUAAUUUGCAUCUUGCGGAUACUACUGUCAAGAAACCCAUGGGAAGGAUCGAUGAUGUUCUUAUUGUUGCAAAUAAGAACUAUGUACCCAUGGAUUUCAUUGUACUUGACAUAGAUAGCAAUCCUUCAUGUCCCAUUAUUCUUGGUAGACCUUUCCUGAGGACUAUUGGUGCUAUCAUCGAUAUGAAGGAAGGGAAUAUUAGAUUUCAAUUUCCUCUAAAGAAUGGCAUGGAGCAUUUUCCUAGAAAUAAAAUAAGAUUGCCUUAUGAAUCUAUGAUGAGGGCUACUUAUGGUUUGAGCACCAAGGAUGACUAUACGUGAUUCCAUCACCUUUUGCCUAGCUAAGGGCGUUAAACAAUAGCGCUUGUUGGGAGGCAACCCAACGAAUCUAUCAUUUUUCUUUCUGUUUUGUGUUUUCCACACUUUCAUAAUUCUGGUAUGAUUGUGUUUUUUGUGUUUCUUUUGCGUUUGUGCCAAGUAAAACCGUUAUGAUUAGUCUUGGGGAUGAUCGUUUGGUCAUGCAGGAAAAGACAAAAACUUUCUGCUCACGAAAAGAAUUUUAAUUUUUUUCUGUAAGAGCUUUUGAGUUGAUUCUUUUUGCUACUGAUUGCUACGCAAAUUCUUCAGACUGUCGUAAUUUGUCAGAAUUUUUGAAGUACCAGAGGUAUACGAAACAUACAGAUUGCUACAGACUGGUCUGCUGUUAACCGAUUCUGUUUUUGUUGUGUUGGUUGCUUAUUUUGACAAAAAUCUGGAUAUUAUCGGCGGUAUUAGCCAUGGAAGAUUGAAAAUACAGUAACCCAACAUCAACAUAAGUAGAAUUUAAGUUUGCUACAGUACCUAAGGAAGUGGUGGUUUGCUUUCUUAUACUAAUGNNAUCACGAGUUUCUGUUUAAGUUUCGUGUUGUGAAGUUUUCAAGUUUUGGGUGAAGCUCUUAUGGACAAAGAGANNNNNNNNNNNNNNNNNNNNNNNNNNNNNNNNNNNNNNNNNNNNNNNNNNNNNNNNNNNNNNNNNNNNNNNNNNNNNNNNNNNNNNNNNNNNNNNNNNNNUUGAGGGCAAGACUUUACUUCUUGGAUCUUUCAGAUUCCUCGUAGUGAUUAGCAGACGUAAAUCCCAAGUGACUCAGAGAAUAUAGCUAUGCCUCCCCGGCAACGGUGCCAAAAAAGGUCUUGAUAACCCACAAGUAUAGGGGAUCGCAACAGUUUUCGAGGGUAGAGCAUUCAACCCAAAUUUGUUGAUUCGACACAAGGGGAAGCCAAAGAAUAUUCUCAAGUAUUAGCAGUUGAGUUGUCAAUUCAACCACACCUGACAGACUUAGUAUCUGCAGCAAAGUUUCAGUAGCAAAGUAGUGUGAUAGCAACAGUAGCAACGGUAACAGUGACAGCAGUAACGGUAACAGUAGCAGCAGUGACAGCAGUGACAACAGUAGUGGCAAAGUAACGUAGCAAGGACCGGUAGGAAAAACUCAUAGGCAUUGGAUCGAUGAUGGAUAAUUAUGCUGGAUGAAAUUCAUCAUGCAACAGUUAUAACAUGGGGAGAUAUGUAACUAGCUCCAGUUCAUCAAUGUAAUGUAGGCAUGCAUUCCGUAUAUAGUCAUACGUGCUUAUGAAAAGAACUUGCAUGACAUCUAUUGUCCAUCCCUCCCGUGGCAGCGGGGUCCUAAUAGAAACUAAGGGAUAUUAACGUUCUCCUUUUAAUAGAGAACCGGAACAAAGAUUAGCACUUAGUGAAUACAUGAACUCCUCAUACUAUGGUCAUCUCCGGGAGUGGUUCCGGCUAUUGUCACUCCGGGGUUGCCGGGUCAUAACACAUAGUAGGUGACUACAACUUGCAAGAUACGAUCAAGAACACACAUAUAUUGAUGAGAACAUAAUAGGUUCAGAUCUGAAAUCAUGGCACUCGGGCCCUAGUGACAAGCAUUAAGCAUGGAAAAGUAGUAGCAACAUCAAAUCUUAGAACAUAGUGGAUACUAGGGAUCAAUCCCCAUCAAAACUAACUCGAUUACAUGAUAGAUCUCAUCCAACCCAUCACCUUCCAGCAAGCCUACGAUGAGAUUUCUCACGAACGAUGAAGAGCAUCAUCGAAUUGGCGAUGAAGGAUGGUUGAUGAUGAUGAAGGCGUCGAUUCCCCCUCUCUGGAGCCCAGAACGGACUCCGGAUCUGCCCUCCAUAGGAAGAACAGGUGGUGGCAGCGGCUCCGUAUCGUAAAACACGAUGAACUCUCCUCCCUGAUUUUUUUCGGGCGAGACAGACUAAAUAGAGCUGGAAUUGGAGGCGGCGGAGCCCCCGAGGGGCUCACAAGCCUGCCAGGUGCGGUCAGGGGGGGCGCACCUCCUGGGCUUGUGGGCUCCUCGCUCCGUCCCUCCAGGUAAUUCUUGUGCCAGCAUUUUUUAUAUAUUCCACAAAAAAUCCUCGUAAAUUUCCUGGUCAUUCCGAGAACUUUUAUUUCUGCGCAAAAACAACAACAUGGCAAUUCUGCUGAAAACACCGUCAGCCCGGGUUAGUUCCAUUCAAAUCAUGCAAAUUAGAGUCCAAAACAAGGGCAAAAGAGUUUGGAAAAGUAGAUACGAUGGAGACGUAUCAACUCCCCCAAGCUUAAAACCUUGCUUGUCCUCAAGCAAUUCAGUUGACAAACUGAAAGAGACAAAAGAAAAACUUUACGAACUAUGUUUGAUCUUGUUGUUGUAAUUGUGUCUAACUCAUAUCCAGAUUUUCAGCAAGAUCAUAAGCUAACCACAUAAGCAAUGACAUUUUGGUCUCAAGAUGGACUCAUAUCAAUGGCAUAAUCAACUAGCGAGCAAUAAUAAUAAGUUUCAAACGUCAACACUUCAAUCAGAACAAUCAUGAAGCAAUACGAACAGAUGGUAUCUCGCUAGCUCUUUCUCACACCGCAAAACAUAAAUGAGAGCACCUUCAAAGACCAAGGGCUGACUGAGCAUUGUAAUUCAUGGCAAAGAAGAUCCAGUCACAGUCAUACUCAAUAACAAUUAAAAUCAAAGCAUAAAAAUGACAGAGAUGCUCUCUAAUUGGUGCUUUUAUAAGAAGAGGAUGACUCAACAAAAACAUAAAUAGAUAGGCCCUCCGCAGAGGGAAGCAUUGAUUUGCAGAGGUGCUAGAGCUCAAGCUUUUAAAACAGAGAUAAAUAAUUUUGGGUGGCAUGCUUUCAUUGUCAAUGCAAACCAAUAGUUUUCACCAUCUUCCAUGCUACGCACACUAUAGGCGGUUCCCAAACAGAAAAGUAAANNNNNNNNNNNNNNNNNNNNNNNNNNNNNNNNNNNNNNNNNNNNNNNNNNNNNNNNNNNNNNNNNNNNNNNNNNNNNNNNNNNNNNNNNNNNNNNNNNNNAGGAAUAUCACUCUCAUUGAAUCUUCGGAGAGAAUUUACCUCUACUACCUAUGUUGGGUUAUCAAGACCGUGUAUUACUUUUAUAGGUGGUAGAUUCUUGACAUCUUCAGAUUUAAUGCCUUUCUCUUGCAUAGAUUUCUUAGCUUCUUGCAUAUCUUCAGGACUGAGGAAUAGGAUACCUCUUUUCUUCGAAGUUGGCUUCGGAGGUGGUUCGGGAAUAGUCCAAGCAUUCUCAUUGCACAAGAUAUUAUUCAAUAGAAUCUCAGCUUGUUCCACAGUUCGUUCCCUGAAAACACAACCAACACAACUAUCUAGGUGGUCCCUAGAAGCAUCGGUUAGUCCAUUAUAGAGGAUAUCAAGUAUUUCAUUUUUCUCAAGAGGGUGAUCAUGCAAAGCAUUCAGUAGCUGGACAAGCCUCCCCCAAGCUUGUGGGAGGCUCUCUUCUUCAACUUGCACAAAGUUAUAUAUAUCCUGCAAGGCAGCUUGUUUCUGAUGGGCAGGAAAAUAUUUCUCAGAGAAGUAGUAGAUCAUAUCCUGGGGACUACACACACAACCAGGAGCAAGAGAAGUGAACCAAGUCUUAGAAUCACCCUUUAGUGAGAAAGGAAACAACUUAAGGAUAUAGUAGUGGCGGAUCUUUUCCUCACUCGUGAAUAGGGUGGCUAUAUCGUGCAGUUUGGUAAGAUGUGCUACAACCUUUUCAGACUCAUAACCAUGAAAAGGAUUAGAUUCGUCCAAAGUGAUUAACUCAGGAUCGACGGAGAANNCAUAAUCCUUAUCGGUCGCAAAGAUAGGCGAAGUAGCAAACUUAGGAUCGUAUUUCAUUCUAGCGUUUAGAGAUUUUUCUUUCCACUUGCGCAAUAAGUUCUCAAGAUAAUAGCUAUCCUUACAAGCAAGAAAGUACUUAGCUACCGAUCCCUUCAUAACAUAACCCUCGGGUAUAUCAGGCAAUUCAUAUCUAGGAGGGCUAGUUCUAACAGGUGAAAUAGCAGGUGCUACUUCAAUAAUCUCAGCAGUUUGAGAAGUAUCAUCACAUUCAGCAGCAACUCUAGAAAUUUGUGCAUCAAGGAAUGCACCCAGUGGCAAAGCAGUAUCAAGCAAAGCAUCAUCAUAAGCAUCAUGGAUAGCAGAAGUAGCAUCAUCAAGCACAGGCGACAUAUCAUAAUUUCUAGUAGGCGGUGGUGUCGCAAACUUACUCAUAACUGAAGGUGAAUCAAGUGCAGAGCUACAUGGCAGUUCCUUACAUGUCCUCGUAGUUGAGGGCAAGACUUCAGUUUUUGGAUCUCUCGGAUUCCUCAUACUGAUCAACAGACGUAAAUCCCAAGUGACUCAGAGAAUAGAGCUAUGCUUCCCCGACAACGGCGCCAAAAAAUAGUCUUGAUAAACCACAAGUAUAGGGGAUCGCAACAGUUUUUGAGGGUAGAGUAUUCAACCUAAAUUUGUUGAUUUGACACAAGGGGAAGCCAAAGAAUAUUCUCGAGUAUUAGCAGUUGAGUUGUCAAUUCAACCACACCUGAAAGACUUAGUAUCUGCAGCAAAGUUUCAGUACCAAAGUAGUGUGAUAGCAACAGUAGCAACGGUAACAGUAACAGCAGUGACAGCAGUAGCGGUAAUAGUAGCAGCAGUGACAGCAGUAGUGGCAAAGUAACGUAGCAAGGACUAGUAGGAAAAAAUCAUAGGCAUUGGAUCGGUGAUGGAUAAUUAUGCCGGAUGACAUUCAUCAUGCAACAGUUAUAACAUGGGGAGAUAUGUAACUAGCUCUAGUUCGUCAAUGUAAUGUAGGCAUGCACUCCGUAUAUAGUCAUACGUGCUUAUGAAAAGAACUUGCAUGACAUCUAUUGUCCAUCCCUCCCGUGGCAGCGGGGUCCUAAUGGAAACUAAGGGAUAUUAAGGUUCUCCUUUUAAUAGAGAACCGGAACAAAGCAUUAGCUCUUAGUGAAUACAUGAACUCCUCAUACUAUGGUCAUCUCCGGGAGUGGUUCCGGCUAUUGUCACUCCGGGGUUGCCGGGUCAUAACACAUAGUAGGUGACUACAACUUGCAAGAUACGAUCAAGAACACACAUAUAUUGAUGAGAACAUAAUAGGUUCAGAUCUGAAAUCAUNNNNNNNNNNNNNNNNNNNNNNNNNNNNNNNNNNNNNNNNNNNNNNNNNNNNNNNNNNNNNNNNNNNNNNNNNNNNNNNNNNNNNNNNNNNNNNNNNNNNUCAACAUGAAAACAUGAUGCAAAAUGGACGUAUUAGUCGUCAAAAGAAAUCCGUCAAUGAGGUUGAUCAAGUCUCCUUGACAAACUUUUUUCGAAUCGCAUAAAAUCGGAGAAUUUUCGAAUAGUCACUAGGUUACCAGAAUGGGGAUGUGCAUAUCCCCAACAAGAAAAUCAUACUUCAUCUUAACAGUAGGUAUAGGGCAUUCAAAGCUCCCAAUAAGAAUCGAUGAAGUUUUUUCAAUAGCAUUGAUGCAAUGUACUCGAUAUUGUUUCUACGGAAAGUGCACCAUAUGAUCAUUACCAUUGACAUGGAAAGUGACAUUGCCUUUGUUGCAAUCAAUAACAGCACCUGAAGUGUUUAAAAAGGGUCUUCCAAGGAUGACCGCCAUGGCAUCAUCCUCGGGAAUAUCCAGAAUAACAAGUCCGUUAAGAUAGUAACAUUAGCAACCACAACAGGCACAUCCUCGCAAAUGCCGAUAGGGAAAGCAGUUGAUUUGUCGGCCAUUUGCAAGGAGAUUUUAGUGGGUGUCAACUUAUCCAAUUCAAGUCUAUGAUAAAGAGAGAGAGGCAUAACACUAACACUGGCUCCAGGAUCGCAUAAAGCAGUUCUAACAUAGUUUCCUUUAAUGGAGCAAGGUAUAGUGGGCACACCGGGAUCACCUAGUUUCUUAGGAAUUCCACCCUUGAAGGUGUAAUUAGCGAGCAUGGUGGAAAUCUCAACCUCAGGUAUCCUCCUUUUGUUAGUCAUAAUAUCCUUCAUGUACUUAGCAUAAGGAGACAUUUUGAGCAUAUCUGUCAAACGCAUUUGCAGAAAGACAGGUCUAAUCAUUUCAACAAAGCGCUCAAAGUCCUCAUCAUCCUUUUUCUUGGAUGGUUUGGGAGGAAAGGGCAUUGGUUUCUGAACCCAUGGUUCUCUUUCUUUACCAUGCUUCCUAGCAAUGAAAUCGUUCUUAUCGUAUCUCUUGUUCUUAGGUUGUGGGUUAUCAAGAUCAACACUAGGUUCAAUCUCCACAUCCUUAUCAUUACUAGGUUGAGCAUCAUCAUGAACACCACUAUCGAUAUUGCCAUUAGGCUCAUGUUCAUCACCAGAUUGUGUUUCGACAUCAGAAACAGAGACAUCGUUUGGAUUCUCGGGUGUAACAGCAACAGGGUUGCUAGCAUGCAAGUUCAUAUCAUCUUUCUUUUGCUUCCUAGGAUGACUAGGUGCCUCAGUGCUAACUCCUCAAGAAUAUUGUUCAAUUAUCUUAGGAUAGCCCUCAGGAUACAAAGGUUCCUGGGUCAUUCUACCACCUCUAGUGAUAACUCCAACAGACUUGUCAUUCAGCUCAUUGAGCAAAUCAUUUUGAGCCUUAAGUACUUGUUCUACUUGAGUGGUGACCAUAGAGGCAUGUUUACUCAAAAGCUUAAGGUCAUUGACAUUUCUAUCCACACAAGCACUUAAAUGACUAAGCAUACGAGCAUUCUGUUCCAAUUGUCUGCUAACAUAAUCAUUGAAACUCUGUUGUUUGGCAACAAAGUUNNNNNNNNNNNNNNNNNNNNNNNNNNNNNNNNNNNNNNNNNNNNNNNNNNNNNNNNNNNNNNNNNNNNNNNNNNNNNNNNNNNNNNNNNNNNNNNNNNNNGACGUGAGGACGUUCCAGUACAUCAACCGCGUUCUCUAAUGCUUCUGCUGUACGAUCUACAAGGGUACGUAGAUGACUCAUCCCCUCUCGUAGAUGGACAUCACCAUGAUAGGUCUUCGUGCGCGUAGGAAAUUUUUUGUUUCCCAUGCGAUGUUCCCCAACAGUGGCAUCAUGAGCCAGGUUCAUGCGUAGAUGUCUUCUCGAGUAGAACACAAAAGUUUUUGUGGGCGGUGAUGUGCGUUUUGCUGCCCUCCUUAGUNNNNNNNNNNNNNNNNNNNNNNNNNNNNNNNNNNNNNNNNNNNNNNNNNNNNNNNNNNNNNNNNNNNNNNNNNNNNNNNNNNNNNNNNNNNNNNNNNNNNNNNNNNNNNNNNNNNNNNNNNNNNNNNNNNNNNNNNNNNNNNNNNNNNNNNNNNNNNNNNNNNNNNNNNNNNNNNNNNNNNNNNNNNNNNNNNNNNNNNNNNNNNNNNNNNNNNNNNNNNNNNNNNNNNNNNNNNNNNNNNNNNNNNNNNNNNNNNNNNNNNNNNNNNNNNNNNNNNNNNNNNNNNNNNNNNNNNNNNNNNNNNNNNNNNNNNNNNNNNNNNNNNNNNNNNNNNNNNNNNNNNNNNNNNNNNNNNNNNNNNNNNNNNNNNNNNNNNNNNNNNNNNNNNNNNNNNNNNNNNNNNNNNNNNNNNNNNNNNNNNNNNNNNNNNNNNNNNNNNNNNNNNNNNNNNNNNNUGUGAUGUGAUAUGGCCAAUGAUGUGAUGUGAUAUAUUGGAUGUAUGAGAUGAUCAUGUUGUAAUAGAAAUAUCGACUUGCACGUCGAUGGUACGGCAACCGGCAGGAGCCAUAGGGUUGUCUUUAUACUAACGUUUGUGCUUGCAGAUGCGUUUACUAUUUUGCUAGGAUGUAGNNNNNNNNNNNNNNNNNNNNNNNNNNNNNNNNNNNNNNNNNNNNNNNNNNNNNNNNNNNNNNNNNNNNNNNNNNNNNNNNNNNNNNNNNNNNNNNNNNNNNNNNNNNNNNNNNNNNNNNNNNNNNNNNNNNNNNNNNNNNNNNNNNNNNNNNNNNNNNNNNNNNNNNNNNNNNNNNNNNNNNNNNNNNNNNNNNNNNNNNNNNNNNNNNAAGAAGAUCGUGCCGGUGCUUUGGUGAUGGAGAUCAAGAAGCACGUGAUGAUGGCCAUAUCAUGUCACUUAUGAAUUGCAUGUGAUGUUAAUCCUUUUAUGCACCUUAUUUUGCUUAGAACGACGGUAGCAUUAUGAGGUGAUCUCUCACUAAAAUUUCAAGACGAAAUUGUGUUCUCCCCGACUGUGCACCGUUGCUACAGUUCGUCGUUUCGAGACACCACGUGAUGAUCGGGUGUGAUAGACUCAACGUUCACAUACAACGGGUGCAAAACAGUUGCGCACGCGGAACACUCGGGUUAAGCUUGACGAGCCUAGCAUGUGCAGACAUGGCCUCGGAACACAUGAGACCGAAAGGUCGANNNNNNNNNNNNNNNNNNNNNNNNNNNNNNNNNNNNNNNNNNNNNNNNNNNNNNNNNNNNNNNNNNNNNNNNNNNNNNNNNNNNNNNNNNNNNNNNNNNNGGGCACUCUUUGAAGUUCUAUGUGUUAGUUGAAUAGAUGAUUCUGAGAUUGUGUGAUGCAUAUCGUAUAAUCAUGCCCACGGAUACUUGAGGUGACAAUGGAGUAUCUAGGUGACAUUAGGGUCUUGGUUGAUAUGUAUCUUAAGGUGUUAUUCUAGUACGAACUCUAUGAUGGAUCGAACGGAAAGAAUAGCUUCGUGUUAUUUUACUACGGACUCUUGAAUAGAUCGAUAAGAAAGAAUAACUUUGUGGUGGUUUCUUACCCGACAAUAACCUCUUCGUUUGUUCUCCGCUAUUAGUGACUUUGGGGUGACUCUUUGUUGCAUGUUGAGGGCUAGUUAUAUGAUCCAAUUAUGUUAUCAUUGUUGAGAGAACUUCACUAGUGAAAGUAUGAACCCUAGGCCUUGUUUCCACGCAUUGCAAUACCGUUCGUGCUCACUUUUGUUACUAGUUACCUUGCUGUUUUUGUAAUUUCAGAUUACAAAAACCUAUAUCUACCAUCCAUAUUGCACUUGUAUCACCAUCUCUUUGCCGAACUUGUGCACCUAUACAAUUUACCAUUGUAUUGGGUGUGUUGGGGACACAAGAGACUCUUUGUUAUUUGGUUGCAGGGUUGCUUGAGAGAUACCAUCUUCAUCCUACGCCUCCCACGGAUUGAUAAACCUUAGGUCACCCACUUGAGGGAAAAUUGCUACUGUCCUACAAACCUCUGCACUUGGAGGCCCAACAACNNNNNNNNNNNNNNNNNNNNNNNNNNNNNNNNNNNNNNNNNNNNNNNNNNNNNNNNNNNNNNNNNNNNNNNNNNNNNNNNNNNNNNNNNNNNNNNNNNNNGCGUUAUGCAUGAUUGUGGGUUCAUGCCCCCUGAUGUCUAGCUUGAGUGACAGAAACAAGAGACUAGGGGAUGUGUUGUUGCCACCAGGGAGAAAACAACGGUGCUUGUGACCGCGGUUGCAAGUAUUGUUUACCUUACGCAAAGUUUGUUAAUGCAGUUGUCCGUUGCUUUGAAUUUACACUUUGGGUGGGGCUCUCAACUUAAUACCAGCGAGAUGUUCUGGAUCGAUAUCUCAAGGUGGAUGAUUAGUAAGUAGAUGCUGAUGAAUAAACGGUCUACUUGUCCUUGCGUACUGCCCACUACUUUUGAACCUCUAACUUUCUAGUAGCAUGAUUAGCAUUGCGGUGCUUUAUAAUUCUGUCAAUUGCCCAGCUAAAAUUUCUUUACCCAUGCAUAGUUUUUAUCGUCUUUUGGGAGAGAGACAUCACUAGUGAACAUCAUGUGACUCCGGUCCAUAUUACCACCAUUGUUUACACCUCCACCAUUUACUAUUUUUAUUUACUUUUCCGUUGCAAUCACUAUCACUAUUCCCGCUUGUGUUUUGAUCCUUUGCAAACUACAAGGCCNNNNNNNNNNNNNNNNNNNNNNNNNNNNNNNNNNNNNNNNNNNNNNNNNNNNNNNNNNNNNNNNNNNNNNNNNNNNNNNNNNNNNNNNNNNNNNNNNNNNUUUAGAGCACGGCGGUGCGUGAUUUGGUAGUUGGCUUAUGCUAUGAAAGUAGUCCCAAAUGUGCUAGGUACCCAAAGAGGAUGCAAAAACCUCCAUCUUCAUGUGCAUUGAGUAGAAAGAGAAGUUUCGAUUCCUCUCAAUUAGUUUUGAGACGUGGAUUCGGUAAUAUUGAGAGUUAUGUUAGUAGGGUGUUGUGAAUCUAGAAAUACUUGUGUUGAAGUUUGUAAUUCCCGUAGCAUGCACGUAUGGUGAACCUCUAUGUUAGGAAGUCGGAGCAUAAUUGAUUUAUUGAUUGUCAUCCUUUGUGUUGAGGUCGGGAUCACGCGAUAGUUUACACCUACCAACCCUUCCCCUCGGAGUAUGCGUUUAGCACUUUGUUUCGAUUACUAAUAAAAACUUUCAUAAUAAGUAUGUGAGUUCUUCAUGACUAAUGUGAGCCCAUGGUAUAGAUGCACUUUCACCUUCCACCAUUGCUAGCCUCUCUAGUGCCGCGCAAUUCUCGCCGGUGCACAAACCCACCAAAUUCCUUCCUCAAAAUAGCCACCAUACCUACCUACUAUGGCAUUUUCAUAGCCAUUCCGAGAUAUAUUGCCAUGCAACUACCACCGUUCCGUCUCAUGACUUGUGUUGUCACUCUCAUAUUGCCAUUGCAUGAUCAUACUAGAUCGUUGCACAUCUCGGUACACUGCCGGAGGCAUUCCCUAUGGAGUCAUCAUCAUUGUGAUCUUUNNNNNNNNNNAUCCCACUGUUCCGUCUCAUGACUUGUGUCAUCACUCUCAUAUUGCCAUUCCAUGAUCGUAAGAUAGCUAGCGAGAUGUUUCAACAUCGUACGCCAUGCUAGAUUGUUGCACAUCCCGAUACACUGCCGGAGGCAUUCCCUAUGGAGUCAUCAUCAUUGUGAUCUUUGAGCUGUGAGUAAAUAAAAGUGUGAUGAUCAUCAUUAUUAGAGCAUUGUCCCAUGUGAGGAAAAAAAAGAGGCCAAAGAGCCCAAAAACAAAAAAAAAGAGAAAAGAAAAAAGAGGCCUAAGAGCCCAAAUAAAAAAUGAGAGAAAAAGAGAGAAGGGAUAAUGCUACUAUCUUUUUCCACACUUGUGCUUCGUAUUAGCACCAUGUUCUUCAUGAUUGAGAGCUUCUUGCUUUGUCACUACAAUAUGCUAGUGGGAACCUUUUAUAUAACUUGGCUUGUAUAUUCCAAUGAUGGGCUUCCUCAAAAUUGCCCUAGGUCUUCGUGAGCAAGCAAGUUGGAUGCACACCCACUAGUUUUCCUUUUGAGCUUCCACAUACUUUUAGCUCUAGUGCAUCUCUUGUAUGGCAAUCCCUACUUAUUCAGGUUGAUAUCUAUUAAUGGGCCUCUCCAUAGCCUAUUGAUACGUCGAGUCAAUGUGACCAUCUCCUCCUUUUUGUCUCACAACCACCACCACACUCUAUUNNNNNNNNNNNNNNNNNNNNNNNNNNNNNNNNNNNNNNNNNNNNNNNNNNNNNNNNNNNNNNNNNNNNNNNNNNNNNNNNNNNNNNNNNNNNNNNNNNNNUGCUCAUGUAUUGCGUGAUAGUUAUAAAAAUUUUGAGAAAGUAAGAGUGUGAAAGCAAUUACUUGGCCAAUUCUGGGGUUGUGCAUGAUUUACAUUAGUUGUGUGAGGAUGAUGGAGCAUAGCCAGACUAUAUGAUUUUGUAGGGAUAACUUUCUUUGGCCUUGUUAUUUUGAAAGUUCAUGACUACUUUGCUAGUUUGCUUGAAGUAUUACUGUUUUCAUGUCAAUAGCAAACUAUUGUUUUGAAUCUUACGGAUCUGAACAUUCAUGUCAUGUGAAAGAAGUUGCAAAGAACAACUAUGCUAGGUAGCAUUCCACAUCAAAAAUUCAUUAUUUAUCACUUCCCUACUCGAGGACGAGCAGGAGUUAAACUUGGGGAUGCUUGAUACGUCUCCAACGUAUCUAUAAUUUUUUGAUGGUUUCAUGCUAAUAUCUUGUCAAACUUUGGAUGUUUUGCAUGCCUUUUAUAUAGUUUUUGGGACUAACUUAUUAACUCAGUGCCAAGUGCCAAUUCCUAGUUUUUCCAUGUUUUUGACCCCUUUCAGAGGAGAUUUUGAAACGAAGUCCAAACGGAAGAAAAUCCCCGAAAAGAUUUUUUUUGGAACGGAAGAAGAUCGGGGAACUUGGGAGCCAAGGCAAAAGAGCCCCAGGGGCCCCACAAGCCCCCACCCCAUGGCCAGGGGGGCGCACCAUCCAGGCUUGUGGGCCCCCUAGACGCCCAUUGCCCUACCACUUUCGCCCAUAUAUUCCCAUAAAUUCCAGAAAAAAUCAAGAGAUCAUCGUAAUCACUUUUCCGCCGCAGCAAGCUUAUGUCUCCGCAAGAUCCCAUCUGGGACACGUCCUGGUGCCCUGCCGGAGGGGGAUUCAAACACGGAGGGCUUCUCCAUCAACACCAUGACCUCUCCGAUGAUGCGUGAGUAGUUCNNNNNNNNNNNNNNNNNNNNNNNNNNNNNNNNNNNNNNNNNNNNNNNNNNNNNNNNNNNNNNNNNNNNNNNNNNNNNNNNNNNNNNNNNNNNNNNNNNNNUAAGUUGUCGAUGGUGCGCUCAAUUUUCCACUUUGGUAUGUUCUUCAGAGUUUCCUUCCAGAUGUCUGGAGGGGGCUUCAGGGGAAACCGUGCGAACCAUGCUUUGUUUUUGGCUUUCACGGCCUCGUCUAGUUCCUCCGGAGUCAUCAGGCCUGGUAACUUCGGGGGAGUCUUGACUUUCUUGGGUUUCCUUUCUCUCUUCUUGGGAGGAGUCCCGUUUCUUCUGAACUGCAUCUUCCGCUUUGCCGUACCCGUAGUGGGCGCAUCCGUCGGCUCACUGGAGUGCACGGGCGAUGGACUCUCGGCCUCGGGCUCCCAAUCUUUGUUGUGGGGUGGACUUGGAGGUGCGUUGGGGGGUGGACUUGGAGGUCGUGCAUUCUCUGUACGAACGUGAAAAAACUAUUAAAAAUAGGCUUACAUGUGGUGCAACAUUCAGUAAUUGUUGGAGGUGGUGCAUUUGUACCUGGAGGAGUCGGUGGCCUUGGCACCGCGUUAGGAAACACGAUGUGUUUCUUCUUCCACAAGAUGAUACCAAGCUCCAUUUCUCCCAGUGUCUUCUCGCCUUCACCUCCAGGAAUAUCAAGCUAAAUUGACUGGCAUCCCGGCGUAAUUGUUGACAACCCGACAUGAGCAUGGGAUGCUGGAAUCUGACCACCAUGGUAGGUUGCUCCAGGUUGAUUCGGUAAAGCAUAGCCUGACGCCACCAUGAAGGAUAUGUUCCCCAUUGGCAUAUGUAUCUCAUAGUUUGUCUUCUCCGUGACAUCAUCCACGGGGUAGUGAGGCGCCGACGGUUCGAUUGCAGGACCGUCUUCUAGCUGCAGCUGCGUGGAACCCACGCUGCUUCUAUGCUGAGAUGGGACGGCAUCUGCUACAGGAUCGUCUUCUAAUUGCUGCUGAUCAGCGUCAGGUGCAGGAUCUUCUUCCUCCUCUUCAGUGUCAGGUACAGGGUGUCCCCCUUUCUUCAAGAGAAACGCCACCUUUUCUUCUAAUGUCGAUAUCCGUUCCAGCGCCUUCCUCUUGCUUCUACCACAGCUUCUGUAAGUGCCAAGGUCCGCCGGAAACCCUUGGUUCCACGGGGUAGUGGCUCCAAAGCCUCGUGUUCGUCCCCACUUUUCGGGGUUCCCGAGUGCCUUCGUCAACUCGUCGUUCUCUCUAUCGGGAAAAAAGUUCCUUUUCGAACAGCUUCUAUUGCCUUCUCUAGAUCUGAUACGACUUGUGUUAUUUUUUCCGACCAUGGUCCCUCCGCAACAAUCAUCCCAGUCUCAGCGUCCAACGUUGCCCCAUGCGCGAACAACCAGAACUUGGACCUAUCGGGCCAGUCAUGUGUCUGUGGAAUGAUAUUUCUUUUCAGAAGCGCAUCUUCAUAGCGUCGCCACCUAGGCAGGGCAGUCAUGUAGCCACCUGACCCCAAAAUAUGGUGAUAUUUCUUCUUCUUCGCAUUCUCCGUAUUUGUGGCUGAUUGGGAUGUAAAGACACCCGAUUUCUUGGACGCCUUAAAAUCAGGCCAAGCGUCUCUUAUCUUCACUGCGACCCAUCAGCGGGUUGUCUCAGCAUAUCGUCUUCCUUACGGUCUUCUUUGUGCCAUCGCAUCAACUUGGCAUGCUCUUUGUUUCGGAACAAACCUUUCAACCGUGGUAUUAUAGGAGCAUGCCACAUCACCUUGGCAGGAACCCUCUGUUGGGUAACGUAGCAUAAAUUCAAAAUUUUCCUACGCUUAUUCAGAUCUUCCUAUGGAGAGACCAGCAACGAGAGAGGGGUAAGAGCAUCUUCAUACCUUUAAAGAUCGCUAAGCGGAAGCGUUUGCUAGAACGCGGUUGAUGGAGUCGUACUCGCAGCGAUUCCGAUCUAGUGCCGAACUACGGCACCUCCGCGUUCAACAUACGUGCAGCCCGGUGAGGUCUCCCGCACCUUGAUCCAGCAAGGAGGAGGGAGAGGUUGGGGAAGAGCUCUAGCACCACGACGGCGUGGUGUCGAUGGAGAGAUGAGGUCUCCCGGCAGGGCUUCGCCAAGUACCGGAGAGAGGAGGAGGAAGAAGGGCAGGGCUGCGUCGAGGGAGAGGGAGAAGUCUAUCUUCCAAUGGCCAAAAUUGCCCGCUAUAUAUAGGGGAAGGGAGGGGCUGCACCCCCUUGAGGGUUUCCCCCUCCUGGGGGGGGGGGGGGGGNNNNNNNNNNNNNNNNNNNNNNNNNNNNNNNNNNNNNNNNNNNNNNNNNNNNNNNNNNNNNNNNNNNNNNNNNNNNNNNNNNNNNNNNNNNNNNNNNNNNUACGGUACGAGUAAAGAGACUUGCCGGUAAACGAGAUUGAAAUAGGUAUGUGGAUACUAACGAUCGAAUCUCGGGCAAGUAACAUACCGAAGGACAAAGGGAAUGACAUACGGGAUUAUAUGAAUCCUUGGCAAUGAGGUUCAAACGGUAAGAUCUUCGUAGAAUAUGUGGGAUACAAUAUGGGCAUCCAGGUCCCGCUAUUGGAUAUUGACCGAGGAGACACUCGGGUCAUGUCUACAUAGUUCUCGAACCCGCAGGGUCUGCACACUUAAGGUUUGACAUUGUUUUAUGCGUAUUUGAGUUAUAUGGUUGGUUACCGAAUGGGUUUCGGGUGUUCACCGGGGGGCAACCCACCCCGGGGAAGCCCAUAGGCCUUGUGGGUGGCGCACCAGCCCUUGGUGGGCUGGUGGGAUAGCCCAAGAAGGUCCUAUGCGCCAAGGAUAGAAAAUCAAAGAUAAAGAAAAAAAAAAGGAGGUGGGAAAGGAGAGAAGGACUCCACUUUCCAAUCCUAGUUGGACUAGGAUUGGAGGAGGACUCCUCCUCCCUUGGUGGCGCAGCCCUUGGGGCUCCUUGAGCCUCAAGGCAAGCCUCCCCUCCCUCCUCCUAUAUAUAUGGAGCAAUUAGGGCUGAUUUGAGACAACUUUUCCAAGGCAGCCCGACCACAUAACUCCAUGGUUUUACCUCUAGAUCGCGUCUCUGCGGAGCUCGGGCGGAGCCCUGCCGAGAUUAGAUCAUCACCAACCUCUGGAGCGUCGUCACGCUGCUGGAGAACUCAUCUACCUCUCCGUCUCUCUUGCUAGAUCAAGAAGGCCGAGAUCAUCGUCGAGCUGUACGUGUGCUGAACGCGGAGGUGCUGUCCGUUCGCCACUAGAUCGUGGGACGGUUCGCGGGGCGGAUCGAGGGACGUGAGGACGUUCCACUACAUCAACCNNNNNNNNNNUUCACUAACGCUUCUGCUGUGCGAUCUACAAGGGUACGUAGAUCGGAAAUCCCCUCUCGUAGAUGGACAUCACCAUGAUAGGUCUUCAUGCGCGUAGGAAAAUUUUUGUUUCCCAUGCAACGUUCCUUAACAGAUGGUGCGGCGGCCAAGGGGGGGAGGAGGGGUGUGGCGCACCCCUGGUGGGCCUUAGGCCCACCUGGCUUAGGGUUUCCCCCCCUUUUCUCUCCCCUGCGCAUUGGGCUGAGCGGGGAGGCGCACCAGGCCACCUAGGGGCUGGUUCCCUCCCCUACUUGGCCCAUCUUACCUCCCGGGGUCGUUGCCCCCCUUCGGUGGACCCCCGGGGCCACCUCCGGUGGUCCCGGUGGUCCCGGUACGUUACCGGUGAUGCCCGAAACAUUUCCGGUGUCCGAAACCAUCCGUCCUGUAUAUCAAUCUUUACCUCCGGACCAUUCCGGAGCUCCUCGUGACGUCCGGGAUCUCAUCCGGGACUCCGAACAACUUUCGGUAACCUCGUAUAACAAUUCCCUAUAACCCUAGCGUCACCGAACCUUAAGUGUGUAGACCCUACGGGUUCGGCAGACAAGCAGACAUGACCGAGCCACCUUUAUGGCCAAUAACCAUCAGCGGGGUCUGGAUACCCAUGGUGGCUCCCACUUGCUCUACGAUGAUCUCAUCGGAUGAACCACGAUGUCAAUGAUUCAAUCAAUCCCGUAUACAAUUCCCUUGGUCUGUCGGUAUAGAACUUGCCCGAGAUUCGAUCGUCGGUAUACCAAUACCUUGUGCAAUCUCGUUACCGGUAAGUCUCUUUACUCGUUCUGUAGCACGUCAUCGUGUGACUAACUCCUUAGUCACAUUGAGCUCAUGAUGAUGUUCUACCGAGUGGGCCCAGAGAUACCUCUCCGUCACACGGAGUGACAAAUCCCAAUCUCGAUUCGUACCAACCCAACAGACACUUUCGGAGGUACCCGUAGUGCACCUUUAUACUCACCCAGUUACGUUGUGACGUUUGAUACACCCAAAGCACUCCUACAGUAUCCGGGAGUUGCACAAUCUCACAGUCGAAGGAAAAGAUACUUGACAUUAGAAAAGCUUUAGCAUACGAUCUAGUGCUAUGCUUAGGAUUGGGUCUUGUCCAUCACAUCAUUCUCCCAAUGAUGUGAUCCCGUUAUCAAUGACAUCUAAUGCCCAUGAUCAGGAAACCAGGAUCAUCUAUUGACUAACGAGCUAGCCAACUAGAGGCUUGCUAGGGACACUUUGUGAUCUAUUUAUUCACACAUGUAUUACCGUUUCCUCUUAAUACAAUUAUAGAAUGAACUAUAGACGAUUAUCAUGAACAAAGAAAUAUGAUAAUAACCAUUUUAUUAUUGCCUCUAGGGCAUAUUUCCANNNNNNNNNNAAUUUAUUCACACAUGUAUUACUGUUUCCUAUUAAUAUAAUUAUAGCAUGAACAAUAGACGGUUAUCAUGAACAAGGAAAUAUGAUAAUAACCAUUUUAUUAUUGCCUCUAGGGCAUAUUUCCAACAGUCUCCCACUUGCACUAGAGUCAAUAAUCUAGUUACAUUGUGAUGUAUCGAACACCAUAGCAUUAUGGUGUUGAUCAUGUUUUGCUCGUGGAAGAGGUUUUGUCAACGGGUCUGCAAUAUUCAGAUCCGUGUGUACUUUACAAAUAUCUAUCACUCCANNNNNNNNNNAUAUGUGCAUGUGACUCGAGUCUACAUUUUGUAAGUACGUUCGACAAAGCACGACAGAUGAGAUGGUGUAAUAUAUUCGUGACGAUGUGCAAGUUGUUCCUUUAUUGGUGUGUAUGUGCAAUCCAAUUUAGUGCAAAACAAAAAUUAAAAAAUGCCCAAAACAAAUAAAUGGGAAAAUAGGGGGCAGCAAAAUAGCCCCAUCCAAUUUAGUGCAAAACCCUAAACCCAAAAAUUGCUAAAAAAAGAAAAAACAGCGAAGAAAUAGCCCCGGUUCGUAAUAUGAACCGGGACUAAUACGCCUCCCCCUCGCUCCCAGCCCCGCCACGUGGAAGGCCAUUAGCCCCGGUUCGGGGCCGAACCGGGGCUAGCAUUACUCCCCGUUGAUUAGUCCCGGUUCGAGAACCGGGACUAAUGGCCCAACCGAACCGGGGCAAAAUGCCCUUUUUCUACUAGUGUGUGUUUCAUGUUGGUCUUCUUGAUAUGUAUAUCGACAAGUUACGGUCUUCCUCUUGAAGAUUUCCGCUGUUUGAUGCAUGAUGUCAUUGGAUAUCUAGAUCGAAAUCGACCCGGUUGCGUGCUCCCUUAUCUUUGGCCAAAGAGGCUCCAUGAGGGUGUGACACGAAGCCACUGUUCCGAAAAUAAAUGUCGUUGAUCUAGUAUAAAAUUUGUACUAAUUUGAUACUAAAUUUGCGUCAUUUAUUCACGGAUGAAGGGGUACCUGACAAUGGCCUUGUUGAAGACACCGUUUUGGGAUCUCGGUCUUUCUUCAUGAUGAAAACUUAAGAUCUUUGAUCAGGCGACGACAACGCUUCUGCAUUGUUUCUGUGUUGGAGGCGUCGCUUUUCAAGGUCCACUUUUGCGGUCCGAGUGUUGUCUUUGGUGGUUGUUAGAGUGUUGUUGUUGCGAGUGUUUCAGCACUGCGACAAGGUCUUUGUUUUUAUUUUUCUCUCUUUUUAUUUUAUUCUUGGCUGUGUGCAUUAUGGAUGUUUAUCAGUAUUUUGUUGGUGUAGAGCUUGAAUGUAAUUGGUAUCCUCGCGAUAUUAAUAUAUAUAUUUUUUUUUUAAAAAUGUUAUUCUCCCAAGUCGAUAGUGCAAGAUAGUAGAACAAGCAUUGAACUGAAGCUUUACAUCUUCACAUGUUUUCCACAAUUAAAGAAUUGUAGAUACAUAAUUGUGCUGUAAUUUCUCUCAGUUUACAUUCUUCUGAGUUUGAUCAUUUCUCCCAUAUGCAACGCGAGUUGCACAUGCACGUUCAAACAUUUAUCUUGGAGAACCCACUCCAUGCACGUAUUACUUCACCUCCUUUGCUUUGCCAUGCCUCUUGCAGAAAGACUCGACUCUCUCCAGACCAUCCUCGAGAAGGGCUGGAUCAACCGCAAACGUAAUACGAAGCCAAUUUUUCAUUCCUAGUCCGCUCCCUGCAGUGCAUGAGCAUGUGUUAAUUUUCAGUUGCAGGAUACUACUGCUAAUUAGCGUAACUGAACCAGAAGAUACCCCUCCCUCGUCGGUUACAACAAGGCUAUUUUUUAGAAUAUGGAAGAGAGCUUUGUUUCUCCCAAUUAUUAUGUUGACAAUAUAUAGUCAUGAGAUAUUUAAAUGAUGAGAAAAUAAUAAGCUAAUCCUUAGUAGUAGUUCGAAUGGCAUCAAAUAAACCAUCUGAGCUGGGAACAAUUUCAACUUGCCACCUGCAUUGCCAAAAUAAUGGAGAUUUGGGUUUGGUAAUGUGCAAAUAAACGACAAAGUUGACAGUCUAGAUCUUACACCACGGGGGGCAGGCGAUGGGAAAAUAAGGGACGACAAAGGGCAUGUAUCAUUGUACCGGAUGGGUUUAAUACUCGCUCUGUUUCAUAAUAUAAAACGCUCUUAUAUUAUGGGAUGGAGGGAGUACAACAUAAAGAAAAUUAUGAUGGGUGUAGCUCAAUGUGAGAGAAGGUUACAUAUAGUUGAGGAAGUUGCACCAAAAAACAUCUUCAUAGGGGCUAGAGUAACAAAAGAAACAACUCUACAAGAUCUUAAAACAUAAGAUCAACACUAGGGGGGUUGUGACAAACAAAAGGCUUGUGGUCACGAUAGUUAGCUGAUUCACUCAAACUUUGGCAGAUGGGUACCACAUGUCAUUGUCUCGGGACAAAAAAUCAGUAAUAACUUGUCUUGAGUGGGCUCACUAAUUGAUUUAUAUGAGUUUUCACAAAUUUCGUCCAAAUUUGAACUAAAUAUAUAAAAAAUCAUGAAAUGUUGGAACUAGUAAAUCAACUUUUGAGCACUUUUUGCCAACUAUUUAGGAGUUUGGGCCUUUUCGUAAAUUUUUGAGAAAUCCGUAGCGAAAAAAUAAAGUUUAAAAAUUGAAGACAUUAUUGUAAAUCAAUUAUUAUUUUUGGUAUUUGGAAAAUUCUGAGCUCAUUUUGUCCAGCAAUAUAGAAUUUUGAACAGUUUUUCUAAAGUUUGGCAAAAUUCAAGUGAAAGUUCAGAUUGGUAAAUAAGGAUGCUCAAUUCAAACUAAAGCCGAGUCACUGUGGAUUUUUAGGCAGCUGGUGAAUUGUCGUGGUUAUAAUUUUUUUGAUUUUGCUAAAACACAUCUAGAUGUAAGAUAAGUAUUGCACGUCUAAGUCCUAUAUCAUUGAUCUUAGAGCAUCUCUAGGAAACCUGUAAAAACACAAACUGUAAAACUGAGAUACGGGACGAAAAAAGGCAUUUUAAAGGUCCAUUUUAGCUACGGUCGAACAGAAAUUGUAAAACAAACUAUAAAACUGUGAUAAAGAGCUCCUUUCUCCAGCCGCCCCUUCCUCCAGCCAGCUGUGUCGGCCACGCCUGCUGCGUCCAACCCUGUCGGCCGCGUCCCGUCACCCGUUAGUCGUGCCCCGUUGCCCGUUGGCCAUGCCCUAUCGCCCGUCGGAUGCGCCCCGUCCCCGUCGUCCGCGCCCAGCUUCGCCGGCCACGCCUUGUCGCCGGCUGGCCAUGCCACGUCGCCCGCCGGCACUGUCCUGCUCUGUUGACAGCCGCGCCGGCCGAGUCGUGCCCCUUUGCCGGUCAUGCUGGGAGGAUUACGGCAGCCAGACUGAGGUCAUGGGAGGCCACGAUGAGGUCGAUCUCGUCCAAUUCAAACCGUCGGCGAUGGAUUGCAGCGUCCAGCGGCCUUUUCUGGCGUACGGUGAUGAAUUCCGGCAAGUUUAGGGCGAAUUCUGGCAAACUCCGCGACGGCGUGUUUACUCCGACAAGGUUUGACUGGUAUACGGCCCCCUAGAAUCGGCCUUCCAACCUUCAAAAAUAAGGGUUUCGGGUGUGGCUUUUCCGUGCCCCUUAAAAAGUUUACGGGUUGGACCACUUUUAUGGUUUCUGUUCUGCACAUUUUUUACGAUCAAAACUGUAAAACGCAAUUUUUUUACGGGUUUGACCACUUAUACAGAGUCUGCUAGAGAUGCUCUUAUGUGAAGAUUCGUGUGGGUAUUUUUUCCCCUUCUUUUUUCUUUUUUAUGCUUGAUUCAGCCAUUUAUAUGUGCAAUAAUUAUGUCACAUCUAAAUGUGGCCUAGACACAUCUAUUCGUUUUGUUAGUCAAUACCCCUAGAUUCUGAACUAUAUGCGUUAAAAUCCCCUGAAGUUGUAGCCCAUUAUUUUUUUGCUACGUGCUCCAACCGCUAGUGAUGUGGUUUGGAUGCAAUUUGCUGAAUGUAGGCAGAAGAAACGUGGAAAACAUUGAGGAGGAAAUAUAAAAGAGAAAAUGCAAAAGAAACAUAUUAGCUUGCAACAGGCUGCAAAAGACAAGGGAGAUCCCCUAAAAAAAAGACAAGGGAGAUCAAGAGUUGUUGUACGUACGUUCACUUAAUUUCUCUGUGUGAUCAAUCGAUGCAUGCUCAAUUAUGAUCAGAUUCGUACUACUACAGAGCAGCGAAUGCUGGUGGAGGCAAAGACAAUUAGAUAUGGGUUUGUGCUUCUGAUUUGGUUUUCAGUAGUAGGUUGCUUGGUUCGAUGCGGACAUCGAAAGCUAUGUGACCAACAGCAAACCCGACAAUAAUGCUAUACAAGCUAUAUAUAGUUAGCAGUCCAUAAGUGCAAUCCAUGAUUGAUUCUUUCUGAUUGAUAAUGUACGUACCUGGGCAAAUGACCACGGACUCCUCGCGGGCGACCUUGGUGCAGAAGUCGACGUCGUCGGCGACGCCGUCCAAGCAGGAGAGGUCGAGCUUCACCAUGACGAACAUGGACCCCUCCGGCUUGUGAGGGCAGGUGAUGCACUCGAUGCCGUCCACCUUCCGGUAGCAUAUCUCCGCCGCCUCCCUCAUCACGUCCAUGGCGUUCGCGAAGAAGGCCUUGUCCGUGUUGGAGAUGAUCUGCGGCAGAGCUCCCUGCACGAACGUCACGGGGUCUACCGAGAUGGCGCAGUAGGACAUUAUCGACUGGAGGACCUGGAGAAAUUAUCAGGAGGUUCUCUGUCAGUUAGUAGCACCUAGCAGAUGAUUCAUGCCAUCCCGUGACCAGAUUUUGGAGGUUGGUUGGGGUACAGAACGUACGUUCUUGUCCCUGAGGACCCCCUUGGGAUCGGUGGCUGCGAUCCAGCCAAGGCGCCAGCCGGGCACCAUCCACCGCUUGGAGAUGCCGCCCGUGGUCACCACCGGAGCUAUCCCCCCGAACACGCCCAUCGGCACGAACGGCUUGCUCCCGAACGCGCAGUGGUCGUACACCUCGUCGCUGAUCACCAGGAUCCCGAGCUUCCUCGCCGUCUCUGCAAUCUGUGAAAUUGAUUACUCGGAAUUAAUCAGCCCAAGAAGAAGAAGAAGAAGUAGCUAGCUGGUGUUAAUGGACGUGGACAUGUGCGUAGAUGCUGGCUGGAUGGAUACCUUACCUUGGCCAAGUGGUCGUACGAGUAGACGCACCCGCAGGGGUUGUUGGGGUUGACGAUGACCAUGGCCACGGUGUUCUCGUCGGCGAGGGCCUGCACGCCGUCGAGGUCCACCUCCCACUCCUUCUCCGGCAGGAGGUCGAAGCGCCGGAACUCGAGGCCGCACAGCGCGGCGCGCGACUCGUACAUCGGGUACCCCGGCCGCGGCAGCAGCACGUUGGCGCCGGGCGAGGCCAGCACGGCCAUGAUGAUCUCGAUGGCGUGGUUGCAGCCGGCGGUGAGGACCACGUCGCCCGUCGAGAGCUCGUAGGGGAGCUCCCGGGACAGGUACGCGGCGACGGCGCUGCAGCAGGACAUAUCGACGCAUUUUACUUACCGAAACAGAGAAGAAUCAAGAAACGGAGGCUGCAGCAGGCAGCAGACAGCAGGGAGCACGUACCUGCGCGCGUCGGGCACGCCGCCGGCGGGGGAGUAUCUGUUGUGCUUGCCCGACAGGGCGGCGGCGGCGACGGCCUCUUCGGCGGCGGCCGCGGUGCGGAAGCACGCGAACGCGGAGGGGUCGCCGUGGCCGAGCGGCGCGACGGGGCGCGGGUCGGUCUUGUCGACGCAGUCAAACACGCGGGUAACGAGGGAGCGGAGGCUCUGCCGGCCGCCCGCCUCGAGCGCCGGGUUCGCCGCCCCGAAGCGCCACUUGGCCUCGCCGCCGUUCUCCAUGGUACCUGCCUGACGACGACGAGGAGCGAGCUAGGAUAGCGUUGGAGUAGUAGUAUGUGUCGUGUGCGCGUUUGCCCGAUGAGGAAUCCGAGGUCGUCGUCGGCUCGCUUGUCUCUCACGUACGGUGGGGGUGGGGCGACUGUCUCUAAUUGGCAUUGGCGUCGGCAGCUUUCGUUUGUAUGCAACUAAACAGGUCAACCGAUUCACCACCAGGCCAACUUCAUCACAGAUUUAACACGAUUUUGUCUGUUUGGAACGACAAUGGGUUUGUCCAUGUCCGUCUCUGUCUGUUGAAUCGGGCAUGCACCCACCGCGCGGCCGCAUCCCAAAUUAUGUCCGCGCUAGACUUGAUUUAAAAAAAAGAAACUCAACUAAAAAUAAAUAAACUCAGUUUAAGAGCUUAAGGCCCUGUUCGGAAUCUCUCACAGCCCUCCACUCCGUGUAGUUAUGGAGCUCGGUUUCAGCGGCUCCGUCAAAAUACGUUGUAGCCUGCUCCGCUCCGCUGCUGACGGAGGAGCGAAGAGAAACCGAACAGGCACUAAACCAUUAAUAAGAUAAACAUUAACAAAGGCCCAAUUUUCACGUCCACUAAACGCCCAGUUUUUGACAUAAUUAACAUAAAAAAAUAGACCCGUCCGUCGUUGCCGUCGUCAUCGUCGUCUUCACUGGUCGCCGGUGUCGUCGUCACUGACGAGGUACAUGUAGGGCAGUGGCGUUCAGAGGUGGGACGGCGGUCCCUCGUGCGUGCUGGAAGAAACGACUUUAAAUACUGCCCCCUCAUCUCCUCCCCCACAGCGAGCCAAUUUAGCCAGCCAGCCAGCCAACAAGCGCAAUCCCUAGCGUCCGUCGCCCAAUCCCAUUCCCCGAUCCCUCCUCCUCGGCGCUCGCUCGCUCGCCGUCGCCGCGGUCGCCAUGGGGAUGGGGCCGCUGGAGACCGCCGUUGAGGCUGGCCGCGCCGCCGCGCCGGUGGUGACCGCGGGGAGGGGGGGGGACGUACGCGCUGCUGCAGUGCGGGGAGGACUCGGUGUACGUGCGGGACGCGUACGGGGGCUACUUCGAGGUGUUCCGCGCGCUGCUGGCGGAGGACGGGGAGCGGUGGCGAGUGUACCGCGGGGAGCUGCCGUCCGACGAGGACGCGGCGAGGGUCGACGGCUUCACGACGCGCACGGCGACGAGCCGUGGAUCCUCGCCUUGGUCGACCUCGGAGCUCUGGUCGGACAAUAAUUUACUCGGAUUUGUUUUACCAUGUAUGCAUUCACUGUCUGGCGUUGCUUUAAAAUUCGUGCCUUGCAGAUUUUGGGUAAAAAUAUAUAUCGUUUCAAAGUAUUGUGUAAUGGUUUUUGUUUUCUUUCUUGUUUCAUUGUGUAGCCAUGGUGUCGUUGUGAAACAAGUGCACUUUAUUUGUUGGUACACAAUGAGACAUUAUGUAGCACUAUGAAAUAACUCAGACUUUGUCACCGAGUAGAAAACAUGACACGGAUCUCAAAACAAUGGCGGAUGGUGGAUACAUGCAUCGUAGAAUAUCAUUUCUCCUACACUACCAGGAUUGUACGUACAAUACAAAGUAAGAUGAAUUCUAGUAUCCUAGGAGCCCAUCCGAUCUCGUUCUAGUUAUGGGCUGUGAUUAACGUGUUAAGUUGUAAAACGAGUUGAUUUAUCUCUUCCAUGCCCGAUAGUAAAAAAACAGCCGGAUGAUUCCAAUUUUCAUGCAUUGUCCGGGGUAUAUCUAGUCGGCCGUUUCUAACUACUUGGUUGCCUUCCAGAUAUAGCCUCCCGUAUGCAUGCACACAUAUUAAUCGUCUCGUCGAAUGCACAUGCAUACUACUCCUACAAAUAAAUGUAGUAUACCAUUCUAUUCUUCAAAAUACUUACUAUAUACUCCUACUAAAUAAAAAAUACAACUUUUUUGGGGCACAUAGUUUGUACACUAACAUAAAUGAACAUAUGUGUUGUAAGUAUAUAUAUUGUAUAUAUUGAUACCCCUUUCUACUGCUGAAAGUAUACAUAGUACCCCAAAGUAUACUUUUUCAAACUAUAUACUUCUCUGUCCAUACUACAUACUCCCAUAAAAUUUUGUACAAUAUGCUAUAUCAUGCUAUUUUUUUGGGAUAUACUACCAUACUACAUGCUAGUAUUAUUUUCAUCGGCAUGUAUUCCUCAGUCCAUACUACAUACUACCAUACUAUUUAUCGGAAUAUAUUAACAUACUAUUUUUUUGGGAAUAUACUAAAUGUUGGUGGCUAUAGUACUUAUCCAAAAGCAUAUACUAUAAUUCAUUUAAACAUAUGGGAUCAAUGUAGAUAGAAUAUUCUGUGAGGCCGUGCGGUAGUUUUGCCAACCUAGCUAACACGGUACUUAUCCAUCUUGUGAGAUGGGGUAGAUGCAGCCAACAAAUUAGCCAGCCGUUAGCUAAUCCUACGCAUCCAACUAAUUAGGGUGCAUGGCCAUAAUGGAGCUCAUACCCAUUAAUCCAAUUAACUGUGCGUAGAGUGGGAGGGGCAGAUGGCAAAAUGAUAAGUGGAUGAUCUAAUGCUUAACAAUCCGCAGUAGGUAGGUGUAGGAUAAAUGUGAUCUCUCUCAAACAAUUCUGCAAUCAAAUACAAGAAAUCUUUUGUGUUCCCAAUACACCAAUACAUUGACAAAUUGUAUAGGUGCAUUAGUUCGACGAAGAGAUGGUGAUACAAGUGUAGUAUGGAUAGUAGAUAUAUGUUUUUGUAAUCUAAUAAAAACAACAAGGUAGCAAGUAGCAAACAAUGAUCAAAAUGAUAUACUAAUGCUUAGAAACAUGGCCUAGGGUUCAUACUUUCAGUUGUGAAAUCUCUCAACAAUGCUAACAUAAUCGAAUCAUAUAUCGAUCACUUAAUUUGUGACAAAGAUCACUCCAAAGUGCUUAUCAAUAGCGGAGAACACAAGAUGAAAUUGUUGUAUGUAGCAAAUUACCACACAUUUAGCUUUCCGAUCAAUCUAUUGAGCCAUUCCUAUAAGUGUCACAAACAACCCUAGAGAUCGUAGUACAAUAACACCAUAUGACACGUAUCAAUCAACUCUAAUGUCACCUAGAUACUCCAAUGUCACCACAAGAAUCCAUCAGUUAAUUAUUAAAUAUGCAUAAAACAGUUUCAGAUUCAUAGUAUUCAAUUCAACACAAAAAACUUCAAAGAGCUGCCCUAAAGUUUAUAUCGAAGGAAGUAGGAUGAAAACACAUAUCAACUUAUGUGGUUAGAUUACCCCAAUAAUGUCAGCAUGGAAAUCCGUAAAUUGAUUACCAAAACAUACAUCAAGGGAAUCAAUAGAAUACUCAAUUAUUACCAAGGGUAUUCCCAUGCAAGACAUAGAUCAAGUGAUCUCAAAUCCUCAUAUAUUCAAUCCGAUAAUACUAAAAUCUCAAAGGGUGAGACUCAAUUCGACACAACAAAGGGAAGAACACCAUAUGAUUCUACUAUACUAACAAAGCUCAUGGUACAUCAAGUUCGUUCCAUAUAUAUAAAAGGUAAUUCCACAACAAAGGGAAGAACACCAUUUGAUUACAUCUCGAUGUGUGAUAUUGUGAUAGGUAUAAAAGGUAACUGGUAAAUGCAUUAUUAAUUACAAAUUCAAUAACAAUUAAAUUAAGCCACAAUCAUGGCGUGUAUCAUUUAAUAGAUGUAACUAAACACGUCAUGCAUGGUAUUAUAUCUAUAGAAGGAAAAAUAUUACACAUUAGGUAUAUGGAUAUUUAUUUCAUCCCUCUACGAAUUAGGUAUGUAUGAAUUCAUUUAUUUAGUGUAAUCAUUAGAUAUUUAUACGUACAUACCUAGAAUAUUUAGUAUGUAUGCAUUAGAGUUUUGUUUAUGUUUAUAUCCAGAAUAUUUACACUAGUAGAAAACAGGGCACUGAGCCAACCACAUUGGAUCCGGAUUGGAUAUAAACCGGUUCUAAAGGGUCUGUCCGCUGGGCCCCCUUCCUGCAGCAAAUGGCCGCAAGGCCUUUAGGACCGGUUUGUAACACAAACCGGUCCUAAAGGUUUUUGGACCGUUUGCUGCAGGGAGGGGGGCCCAGUGGACAGACCCUUUAGAACCGGUUUGUAUCACAAACCGGUGCUAAAGGUUUUCUCAUUUUUGCAGCAACUGCGGGGCCCCGCUAUCAGACCCUUUAGCACCGGUUUUUAACACAAACCGGUCCUAAAGCCCUCCCCUAUAUUCCACCCCGAGCUCAGCUCCAUUUUUUCCAGCUCGAGCUCAACUCCAUUUUUGCUCGCUCCUUCCUCUUGGGAGCUCUAAUCCAUCCCCAUUUUUCUCCACCAUUUGUCAAGAUUGUUGGCACCCAUCGGUCCUACGGUUAGCAUCAACAUUCCCUCUUCCGGCAUUGCAAGUUUUGCUCGUUUUCUUGCUCAUUCCAUUUUUGUUAUGCUAGCUAGGUGUUUGAUGAAAUGCCUAAGCUAGAGAGAGUUCAUCAUUUGUUAUGUAUACAUAUGCAAUUUGAGCUCAAAUUUAAUUAUGAUUUGUGUUUUUUUAGUGUCGCGCGCCUUGUCCCCUUCCUCACCGCCGUCGAUCGCCCCGUCACCGACACAACCUUGGUGAGCCUAUUGUUUUUAUUUACCAAAACAAAUUUUGAUUUGUAUGAUUUACAUAUUUACUUGUAUAUAAUUUUCUUACUGUGUAAGAUUUUUUUUAUAUGUAUAGCGCCAUGGUUUUGAUAUCCGUCCCCGUUGGCCCUUGUCCAGUCUAUGAUUCGGAUGUGGUAUAUUAUCUUUUAUAACUACAUAUUUUCAUUUCCUGAUUAUAUGACAAUUAAUUACGCCGACCAACUUGACAUAGAUAUUUUUAUCUAGGAGAUAGUGGAACCGGAAAUGCCAAUCGACCCUAUUAUUGAGAAGUUACACUUAGUUGAACAAGAAAAUGUUGGCCUGAAAGAAAGAUUGAAAAAAACUGAAGAAAGGUUGGAAAAAACUGAAAGAGAGAAGAUGACCUUGGAAAAGGUUCUUGCCGGUGUCGUCGAUGGUCACAAGAGCGAGAUGGACGCAAUGCGCCUGAAGAUUAGAAAGAUUAGAAAAUAUGCAAUUAGUAAAGAGGCUUGGUAUCAUUAUGCUGUCGGAUCAAUUGUUACCUUUGUUGCGAUUUUGAUCGCAUUUGUUGUUGUUUUUAAAUGCAUUAAUUAGAGAGAGUUUUUAUGGUUGGUUUCAGUGUGUAUUUUUAUGAGAACUAUAUAUGUAUGGUCACUACGCUACUUUGGUUUUAAUGAGUGAUGAACUUUUUGUAUUAAUUAAUUAAUUUAGUCAUGAUGAUUUAGCAUAAUGGUUUUUGAUAAAUUUAUAUAAUGCAGAUGAACCGGCAAUGGAUGUACAGUGAUCGACGUCGUCCCGAAUUCCUUAAUGACAUGCAUAGUUUUCUCAAUGUGGCUGAGAAAAACAGGCAGAAUGGAUUUAUUUUUUGUCCAUGUAAAAAAUGCCAGAAUAAGAGGAAUUUCCCUAACUCAAGAACCAUACACACCCACCUGUUGCAAGAAGGCUUCAUGCCCGGUUAUUUUUGUUGGACCAAGCACGGAGAAAGAGGGGUUGUAAUGAAAGACAAUGAAGAAGAAGAGGAUAAUGAUAACUAUCCUAUGUUCGGUGAACACGGUGAUACUGAAAUGGGGAAAGACGAGCCUGAACUUGAGGACAUUGUUGAUGAGUCCGAUGAUGAUCUUCGUCAGGUCAUUCGUGAAGAACAGAUAAACUGCGCAAGUGAAAACGAUAGGUUGAAGUUGGAGCGCAUGUUAGAAGAUCACAAAAAAUUGUUGUACCCAAAUUGCGAAGAUGGCCAGAAAAAGUUGGGCACCACCCUGGAAUUGCUGCAAUGGAAGGCAGAGAAUGGAAUAUCUGACAAGGGAUUUGAAAAGCUGCUGAAAAUAAUGAAGAAGAUGCUUCCAAGAGAUAACGUGCUGCCCUGCAGUACGUACGAAGCAAAGAAGGUUGUCUGCCCUCUAGGAUUGGAAGUGCAUAAGAUACAUGCAUGCAUCAAUGACUGCAUCCUCUACCACGGUCAGCACGAGAAUUUAAAUGCCUGCCCGGUAUGCGGUGCAUUUCGGUAUAAGAUCAGGCGAGAUGACCCUGGUGAUGUUGAGGGCGACGAUCGCCCCAGGAAGAGGGUGUUGGAAAUAUGCCCUAGAGGCAAUAAUAAAAUGGUUAUUAUCAUAUNNNNNNNNNNGAUCUAUAGAGAUAGAUCAAGACGCCUCAUAGGUCUUUCGCAAAGGACAUACCUUGAUAAGAUAUUGAAGAAGUUCAAUAUGGAAAACUCAAAGAAAGGGUUCUUGCCAGUUUUGCAAGGUAUGAGAUUGAUUAAGACUCAGUCGCCGACCACGGCAGCAGAUAGAGAGAAGAUGAGUUUUGUCCCCUACGCUUCAGUCGUAGGCUCUCUUAUGUAUGCCAUGCUCUGUACCAGACCUGAUAUAAACCUUGUCAUAAGUUUGGUAGGGAGGUACCAAAGUGAUCCCGGUAUGGAGCACUGGACAGCGGUCAAGAAUAUCCUUAAGUACCUGAAAAGGACUGAGGAAAUGUUUCUCGUUUAUGGAGGUGAUGAAGAGCUCGUCGUAAAGGGUUACGUCGAUGCUAGCUUUGACACAGAUCUAGAUGACUCUAAGUCACAUAACGGAUACGUAUAUGUUUUGAAUGGUGGGGCAGUGAGCUGGUGCAGCAGCAAGCAAGAAGUCGUGGCAGCAUCUACAUGUGAAGCGGAGUAUAGAGCUGCUUCAGAAGCGGCUCAUGAAGGAAUUUGUAUGAAGGAGCUCAUCACCGACCUUGGAGUGGUUCCAAGCGCGUCGGGUCCAAUGAGACUCUUCUGUGAUAACACUGGGGCCAUUGCCAUAGCCAAGGAGCCCAGGUUUCACCGGAAGACGAAACACAUCAAACACCGCUACAACUCCAUCCAUGACCAUGUCCAAAGUGGAGUAAUAGAGAUUUUUAAAGUACACAUGGAUCUGAAUGUCGCAAACCCCUUGACUAAACCUCUUCCACGAGCAAAACAUGAUCAACACCAUAAUGCUAUGGGUAUUCGAUACAUCACAAUGUAACUAGAUUAUUGACUCUAGUGCAAGUGGGAGACUGUUGGAAAUAUGCCCUAGAGGCAAUAAUAAAAUGGUUAUUAUCAUAUUUCCUUGUUCAUGAUAAUCGUCUAUCGUUCAUGCUAUAAUUGUAUUAACAGGAAACAGUAAUACAUGUGUGAAUGAAUAGAUCACAAUGUGUCCCUAGCAAGCCUCUAGUUAGCUAGCUCGUUAGUCAAUAGAUUAUCAUGAUUUCCUGAUCAUGGACAUUGGAUGUCAUUGAUAACGGGAUCACAUCAUUGGGAGAAUGAUGUGGUGGACAAGACCCAAUCCUAAGCCUAGCACUAGAUCGUAUUGUUCGUAUGCUAAUGCUUUUCUAAUGUCAAGUAUCUUUUCCUUCGACCGUGAGAUUGUGCAACUCCCGGAUACCGUAGGAGUGCUUUGGGUGUAUCAAACGUCACAACGUAACUGGGUGAUUAUAAAGGUGCACUAUGGGUACCUCUGAAAGUGUCUGUUGGGUUGGUACGAAUCGAGAUCGGGAUUUGUCACUCCGUGUCACGGAGAGGUAUCUCUGGCCCACUCGUAGAACAUCAUCAUGAGCUCAAUAUGACUAAGGAGUUAUUCAUACAAUGACGUGCUAUGGAACGAGUAAAGAGACUUACCUGUAACGAGAUUGAACAAGGUAUAGGUAUACCGACGAUCGAAUCUCGGGCAAGUUCUAUACCGACAGACAAAGGGAAUUGUAUACGGGAUUGAUUGAAUCCUUGACAUCGUGGUUCAUCCGAUGAGAUCAGCGUGGAGCAAGUGCGAGCCACCUUGGGUAUCCAGACCCCGCUGAUGGUUAUUGCCCGGAGAGGUGUCUCGGUCAUGUCUGCCUGUCUCCCAAACCCGUAGGGUCUACACACUUAAGGUUCGAUGACGCUAGGGUUAUAGGGAAUUGUUAUACGAGUUUAUCGAAAGUUGUUUGGAGUCCCGGAUGAGAUCCCAUACGUCACGAGGAGCUCCGGAAUGGUCUGGAGGUAAAGAUUGAUAUAUAGGACGGAUGGUUUCGGACACCGGAAGUGUUUCGGGCGUCACCGGUAACGUACCGGGACCACCGGAAGGGGGAAACGACCCCGGGAGGCUAGAUGGGCCAAGUGCGGGAGGGAACCAGCUCUUAGGUGGGCUGGUGCGCCCCCCACACUCAGCCCAAGGCGCAGGAGCUGGAGAGGGGGGAAACCCUAGGCGCUGGUGGGCCUAAGGCCCACCUAGGGGUGCGCCACCCCCUCCCCUUGCCCUGGCCACCGCACCUCCCAUCUGUGGGGGCUGCCGGACCACCUAGGGUGGGAACCCAAGGGGUGGCACCCCCUCCCCUCCUCCUAUAUAUAGUAGGGGUUUCGGGGCUGUUUUGGACACAGUUUUCCCUCUCCCUCGGCGUAGCCGUGCUCUUCUUUCUCCUCCUCUCUGCCGGUGCUUGGCGAAGCCCUGCCGGGAGACCUCGUCUCUCCAUCGACACCAUGCCGUCGUGCUAUCGGAGAUCUUCUCCAACCUCUCCCUCCUCCUUGCUGGAUCAAGGUGCGGGAGACGUCACCGGGCUGCACGUGUGUUGAACACGGAGGUGCCGUAGUUCGGCACUAGAUCGGAAUCACACCGCGAUCUGAAUCCCCGCGAGUACGACUCCAUCAACAGCGUUCUAGCAACGCUUCCGCCUAGCGAUCUUCAAGGGUAUGAAUAUGCACUCACCCCUCUCUCGUUGCUGGUCUCUCCAUAGGAAGAUCUAAAUAUGCGUAGGAAAUGUUUUGAAUUUAUGCUACGAUACCCAACAGUGGCAUCCGAGCCAGGUUUUCUAUGCGUAGAUUCUAUGCACGAGUAGAACACAAAAGGUUCUGGGCGAUGAAUUGUCAAUUGCUUGCCGCUACUAGUCUUAUUCUAUUCCGGCGGUAUUGUGGGAUGAAGCGGCCCGGACCGACAUUACACGUACGCUUACGUGAGACUGGUUCCACCGACAGACAUGCACACCGUGCAUAAAGGUGCUAGCGGGUGUCUGUCUCUCCCACUCUAGUCGGAUUGGAUUUGAUGAAAAGGGUCCUUACGAAGGGUAAAUAGCUUUGGCAUAUUAUCAUUGUGGCUGUCACGUAGGUAAGAAGGCGUUCUUGCUAGAAACCCAAAUCAGCCACGUAAAACUUGCAACAACAGUUAGAGGACGUCUAACUUGUUUUUGCAGGGUUUUACAUGUGAUCUGAUAUGGCCAAAGUUGUGAUGUUGCAUGUAUGAUGUAUGAGAUGAUCAUGUUAUUGCAAUAGAUUUCACGACUUGCAUGUCGAUGAGUAUGACAACCGGCAGGAGCCAUAGGAGUUGUCUUAAUUUAUUGUAUGAGAUGCAACGCCAUGUGCUUACUACUUUUACUUCAUUGCUAACGGUUAGCUAUAGUAGUAGUGAUAGUAGUAGUUGGCGUGACGACUUCACGAAGACACGAUGAUGGAGAUCAUGGUGUCACGCCGGUGACGAUGAUGAUCAUGCGANNNNNNNNNNUGUAGAUUCUAUGCACGAGUAGAACACAAAAGUUGUGGGCGAUGAUUUGUCAAUUUGCUUGCCGCUACUAGUCUUAUUCUUUUCCGAUGGUAUUGUGGGAUGAAGCGGCCCGGACCGACUUUACACGUACGCUUACGUGAGACUGGUUUCACCGACAGACAUGCACACCGUGCAUAAAGGUGGCUAGCGGGUGUCUGUCUCUCCUACUCUAGUCGGAUUGGAUUUGAUGAAAAGGGUCCUUAUGAAGGGUAAAUAGCUCUGGCAUAUCAUCAUUGUGGCUUUCACGUAGGUAAGAAGGCGUUCUUGCUAGAAACCCAAAUCAGCCAAGUAAAAUUUCCAACAACAAUUAGAGGACGUCUAACUUGUUUUUGCAGGGUUUGACAUGUGAUGUGAUAUGGCCAAAGUUGUGAUGUUGCAUGUAUGAUGUAUGAGAUGAUCNNNNNNNNNNNNNNNNNNNNNNNNNNNNNNNNNNNNNNNNNNNNNNNNNNNNNNNNNNNNNNNNNNNNNNNNNNNNNNNNNNNNNNNNNNNNNNNNNNNNCAUAGGAGUUGUCUUAAUUUAUUGUAUGAGAUGCAACGCCAUGUGCUUGCUACUUUUACUUCAUUGCUAACGGUUAGCCAUAGUAGUAGUGAUAGUAGUAGUUGGCGUGACGACUUCACGGAGACACGAUGAUGGAGAUCAUGAUGAUGGAGAUCAUGGUGUCACGCCGGUGACGAUGAUGAUCAUGCGAUGCCUGAAGAUGGAGAUCGAAAGGGCAAAGAUGAUAAUGGCCAUAUCAUGUCACUAUAUGAUUGCAUUGUGAUGUUUAUCAUGUUUUACAUCUUACUGCUUAAAACGACGGUAGCAUAAUAAGAUGAUCCCUCCUAAAAUUUCGAGAACGUAUUCCCCUAAGUGUGCACCGUUGCGAAGGUUNNNNNNNNNNAAUAAUAAGAUGAUCCCUCUUAAAAUUUCGAGAACGUAUUCCCCUAAGUGUGCACCGUUGCGAAGGUUCGUUGCUCGAAGCACCACGUGAUGAUCGGGUGUGAUAGAUUCUAACGUUCGCAUACAACGGGCGUAAGCCAGAUUUACACACGCGAAACACCUAGGUUGACUCGACGAGCUUAGCAUGNNNNNNNNNNCAUAAUAAGAUGAUCCCUCUUAAAAUUUCGAGAAAGUAUUCCCCUAAGUGUGCACGGUUGCGAAGGAUCGUUGUCUCGAAGCACCACGUGAUGAUCGGGAGUGAUAGAUUCUAGCGUUCGCAUACAACGGGUGUAAGCAAGAUUUACACACGCGAAACACCUAGGUUGACUCGACGAGCUUAGCAUGUACGGACAUGACCUUGAAUACAAGAGACCGAAAGGUCAGACAUGAGUCGUAUGGUUGAAUACGAUCAGCAUGAAGUUGCUCACCAUGGUGACUAGUCCGUCUCACGUGAUGAUCGGACACGGGUUAGUCAACAUGGAUCAUGUAUCACUUAGAUGACUAGAGGGAUGCCGAUUUAAGUGGGAGUUCAUGCUUAAUUUGAUUAAAUGAACUUAAUUGUCAUGAACUUAGUCUAAAAGUUGUCUUUAUAAAUAUUGUAGAUGGCCAACGUCAACCUCAAUUUCAACACAUUCCUAGAGAAAAACAAGCUCAAAGAUGAUGGUUGCAACUAUGCGGACUGGGUUCGCACCUUGAAGCUCAUCCUUGAAGCAGCUAAAAAGGCUUAUGUCCUUGAUGCGUCGCUAGGUGACCCUCCCGCUCCCGUAGCAGCCCAGGACAUUCUGAACAUCUGGCAAACGCGGAGUCAUGACUACUCUCUGGUUAGGUGUGGCAUGUUAUACAGUUUAGAAACGGGGCUCCAAAGGCGUUUUGAGCAACACGGAGCAUAUAAGAUGUUCCAGGAGCAGAAGCUAGUUUUUCAAGCUCAUGCCCGUGUCGAGAGAUAUGAAGUCUCNNNNNNNNNNGCAUUCCUAGAGAAAAACAAGCUGAAAGAUGAUGGGAGCAACUAUGCGGACUGGGUUCGCAACUUGAAGCUCAUCCUUGAAGCAGCUAAAAAGGCUUAUGUCCUUGAUCCGCCGCUAGGUGACCCUCCCACUCCCACAGCAGCCCAGGACAUUCUGAACGUCUCGCAAACGCGGAGUCAUGACUACUCUCUGGUUAGGUGUGGCAUGUUAUAUAGUUUAGAAACGAGGCUCCAAAGGCGUUUUGGGCAACACGGUGCAUAUGAGAUGUUCCAAGAGCUGAAGCUAGUUUUUCAAGCUCAUGCCCGUGUCGAGAGAUAUGAAGUCUCCGACAAGUUCUUUAGCUGUAAGAUGGAGGAGAUCAGUUCUGUCAGUGAGCACAUACUCAAAAUGUUUGGGUUACACGGUCAUCUGACUUCACUUGGAGUCGAACUUCCGGAUGAUGCUAUAAUUGACAGAAUCCUCCAGUCUCUCCCACCAAGCUACAAAGGUUUUGUGCUAAAUUACAACAUGCAAGGCAUGGAGAAGACCAUUCCCGAGUUGUACUCGAUGCUCAAGUCUACAGAAGUAGAAAUCAAGAAAGAGCAUCAAGUGUUGAUGGUCAACAAGANNNNNNNNNNCAAGGAUAAAAAGAACUUCAAGAAAGACGGCAAAGCCGUUGCCGCGCCUGGUAAGCCAGAUGCCGGGAAGAAGAAAAGGAAUGGACCCAAGCCUGAGACUGAGUGCUUCUAUUGCAAGGGAAAGGGUCACUGGAAGCGGAACUGCCCCAAAUACUUAGCGGACAAGAAGAUCGGCAACGUUAAAGGUAUAUGUGAUAUACAUGUUAUUGAUGUGUACCUNNNNNNNNNNGAAGGGUAAGAAGAACUUCAAGAAAGACGGCAAAGUUGUUGCCGCGCCCGGUAAGCCAGAUGCCAGGAAGAAGUAAAAGAAUGGACCAAAGCCUGAGACUGAGUGCUUCUAUUGCAAGGGAAAAGGUCACUGGAAGCGGAACUGCCCCAAAUACUUAGCGGACAAGAAGGCCGGCAAUGUUAAAGGUAUAUGUGAUAUACAUGCUAUUGAUGUGUACCUUACCAGCGCUCGUAGUAGCUCCUGGGUAUUUGAUACCGGUGUUGUUGCUCACAUUUGCAACUCAAAGCGGGAACUGUGGAAUAAGCGGAGACUGGCCAAGGACGAGGUGACGAUGCGCGUCGGGAAAGGCUCCAAGGUCGAUGUGAUCGCCGUCGGCACGCUACCUCUACAUCUACCGUCGGGAUUAGUCUUAAACCUUAAUAAUUCUUAUUUAGUACCAGCUUUGAGCAUGAAUAUUGUAUCAGGGUCUUGCUUAAUGCAAGACGGCUACUCAUUUAAGUCAGAGAAUAAUGGUUGUUUUAUUUAUAUGAGUGAUAUGUUUUAUGGUCAUGCUCCGCUGGUGAAUGGUUUAUUCUUGAGGAAUCUCGAUCGUGAUGUCACACAUAUUUAUAGUGUGAGUACCAAAAGAUGUAAAGUUGAUAAUGAUAGUCCCACAUACUUGUGGCACUGCCACCUUGGUCAUAUCGGUGUCAAGCGCAUGAAGAAGCUCCAUACUGAUGGACUAUUAGAGUCUCUUGACUUUGAAUCAUUUGGCACAUGCGAAUCGUGCCUCAUGGGCAAGAUUACUAAGACUCCGUUCUCAGGAAUAACGGAGAGAGCAACCGACUUAUUGGAAAUAAUACAUACUGAUGUGUGUGGUCCAAUGAACGUUGAAGCUCGCGGUGGNNNNNNNNNNNNNNNNNNNNNNNNNNNNNNNNNNNNNNNNNNNNNNNNNNNNNNNNNNNNNNNNNNNNNNNNNNNNNNNNNNNNNNNNNNNNNNNNNNNNCGCGGUUGAUGGAGUCGUACUCGCAGCGAUUCCGAUCUAGUGCCGAACAACGGCACCUCCGCGUUCAACACACGUGCAGCCCGGUGACGUCUCCCGCACCUUGAUCCAGCAAGGAGGAGGGAGAGGUUGGGGAAGAAGACCAGCAACACGACGGCGUGGUGUUGGUGGAGAGAGGAGGUCUCCCGGCAAGGCUUUGCCAAGCGCCGGCAGCGAGGAGGAGGGAGAGGAGCAGGGCUGCGAGAGAGAGAGAUUAAACCGUGUCUCAAACAGCCCCGAACCUCAUCUAUAUAUAGGGGGAGAGGGAGGGGGCGCAGCCCUUAGGGUUCCCACCCCUAAGGGGUGCGGCAGCCCUCAGAUGGGGAAGGGGUGGCGGCCAGGGCAAGGGGGAGGGGUGGCGCACCCCUCUGGUGGGCCUAAGGCCCACCUGAGUUAGGGUUCCCCCCCUCUUUUCCUUUCCCCUGCGCCAUGGGCUGAGUGGGGAAGCGCACCAGCCCAACUAGGGGCUGGUUCCCACCCCCACUAGCCCAUCUUACCUCUUGGGGUCGCAGCCCCCCUUCGGUGGUCCCCCGGGACCACCUCCGGUGAUCCCGGUGGUCCCGGUACGUUACCGGUGAUGCCCGAAACACUUCCGGUCUCCGAAACCAUCCGUCCUAUAUAUCAAUCUUUACCUCCGGACCAUUCCGGAGCUCCUCGUGACGUCCUGGAUCUCAUCCGGGACUCCGAACAACUUUCGGUAAUCUCGUAUAACAAUUCCCUAUAACCCUAGCGUCAUCGAACCUUAAGUGUGUAGACCCUACGGGUUCGGGAGACAGGCAGACAUGACCGAGACACCUCUCCUGCCAAUAACCAUCAGCGGGGUCUGGAUACCCUUGGUGGCUCCCACUUGCUCCACCAUGAUCUCAUCGGAUGAACCACGAUGUCAAGGAUUCAAUCAAUCCCGUAUACAAUUCCCUUUGUCUGUCGGUAUAGAACUUGCCCGAGAUUCGAUCGUCCGUAUACCUAUACCUUGUUCAAUCUCGUUACCGGUAUGUCUCUUUACUCGUUCUGUAGCACGUCAUCGUAUGACUAACUCCUUAGUCACAUUGAGCUCAUGACGAUGUUCUACCGAGUGGGCCUAGAGAUACCUCUCCGUCACACGGAGUGACAAAUCCCGAUCUCGAUUCGUACCAACCAAAUAGACACUUUUAGAGGUACCGGUAGUGCACCUUUAUAGUCACCCAGUUACGUUGCGACGUUUGAUACACCCAAAGCACUCCUAUGGUAUCCGGGAGUUGCACAAUCUCACGAUCGAAGGAAAAGACACUUGACAUUAGAAAAGCUUUAGCAUACGAACAAUACGAUCUAGUGCUNNNNNNNNNNNNNNNNNNNNNNNNNNNNNNNNNNNNNNNNNNNNNNNNNNNNNNNNNNNNNNNNNNNNNNNNNNNNNNNNNNNNNNNNNNNNNNNNNNNNUCGCCGACCACGGCAGCAGAUAGAGAGAAGAUGAGUUCUGUCCCCUACGCUUCAGCCGUGGGCUCUCUAAUGUAUGCCAUGCUGUGUACCAGACCUGAUAUAAACCUUGCGAUAAGCUUGGUAGGGAGGUACCAAAGUAAUCCCGGUGCGGAACACUGGACAGCGGUCAAGAAUAUCCUUAAGUACCUGAAAAGGACUAAGGAAAUGUUUCUCUUUUAUGGAGGUGACGAAGAGCUCGUCCUAAAGGGUUACGUCGAUGCUAGCUUCGACACAGAUCCGGAUGACUCUAAGUCACAAACCGGAUACGUAUAUGUGUUGAAUGGUGGGGCAGUGAGCUGGUGCAGCAGCAANNNNNNNNNNAUCAGCCGUGGGCUCUCUAAUGUAUGCCAUGGUGUGUACCAGACCUGAUAUAAACCUUGCCAUAGGCUUGGUAGGGAGGUACCAAAGUGAUCCCGGUAUGGAACACUGGACAUCGGUCAAGAAUAUCCUUAAGGACCUGAAAAGGACUAAGGAAAUGUUUCUCGUUUAUGGAGGUGAUGAAGAGCUCGUCGUAAAGGGUUACGUCGACGCUAGCUUCGACACAGAUCCGGAUGACUCUAAGUCACAGACCGAAUACGUAUAUGUGUUGAAUGGUGGGGCAGUGAGCUGGUGCAGCAGCAANNNNNNNNNNNNNNNNNNNNNNNNNNNNNNNNNNNNNNNNNNNNCUCAUGAUGGAAUUUGGAUGAAGGAGCUCAUCACCGACCUUGGAGUGGUUCCAAGCGCGUCGGGUCCUAUGACACUCUUCUGUGAUAACACUUGAGCCAUUGCCAUAGCCAAAGAGCCCAGGUUUCACCGGAAGACGAAGCACAUCAAGCGCCGCUACAACUCCAUCCAGGACCAUGUCCAAACUGGAGUGAUAGAUAUUUGUAAAGUACACACGGAUCUGAAUAUUGCAGANNNNNNNNNNCACUCUUCUGUGAUAACACUGGGACCAUUGCCAUAGCCAAGGAGCCCAGGUUUCACCGGAAGACGAAGCAGAUCAAACGCCGCUACAACUCCAUCCAGGACCAUGUCCAGAGUGGAGUGAUAGAUAUUUGUAAAGUACACACGGAUCUGAAUAUUGCAGANNNNNNNNNNNNNNNNNNNNNNNNNNNNNNNNNNNNNNNNNNNNNNNNNNNNNNNNNNNNNNNNNNNNNNNNNNNNNNNNNNNNNNNNNNNNNNNNNNNNGAGUUCAAAAUAGACCAGCAAAGAAGGAGUUCUUGGUUGCGUUGUGAGGUGUGAAUUUGAGUAAGACUCAAAACCCGACCACGGCAGAAUAAAGAGAAUAGACGAAGGUCGUCUUCUAUGCCUUAGCCGUAGAAUCUAAAGUAUGCCAUACUGUGUACCGCACCUGAAGUGUGCCUUGACUCAAAGUAUGUUGAGAGGUACAGAGAGUGAUCCAUGAUUGAAUCACUAGCAGCGGUCGAAAUUGAUCCUUAGUAACUAAUGGACUAAGGAAUUUUUCUCGAUUAUGGAGGUGGUUAAAGAGUUCGUCGUAAAGGGUUACGUCGAUGCAAGCUUUGACACUAAUCCGAAUAACUAUGAGUAGUGAAACGGAUUCGUAUAGUAGAGUAGAUAUUUGGAGUAUUUCCGAAUAGCACGUAGUAGCAGCAUCUAUAAGAUGACAUAAAGAUUUGUAAAGAACGCACGGAUCUGAAAGUUUCAGAACCGUUGACUAAAACCUCUCUCACGAGCAAGACGUGAUCAGACCCCAUAACUAUAUGGGUGUUGGAUUCGUUGGAAUCACAUGGUGAUGUGNNNNNNNNNNNNNNNNNNNNNNNNNNNNNNNNNNNNNNNNNNNNNNNNNNNNNNNNNNNNNNNNNNNNNNNNNNNNNNNNNNNNNNNNNNNNNNNNNNNNGCACUGUCGUCUGACUUCACUUGGAGUCGAACUUCCGUAUGAUGCUAUAAUUGACAGAAUCCUCCAGUCUCUCCCACCAAGCUACAAAGGCUUUGUGCUUAACUACAACAUGCAAGGGAUGGAGAAGACCAUUCCCGAGUUGUACUCGAUGCUCAAGUCUGCAGAAGUAGAAAUCAAGAAGGAGCAUCAAGUGUUGAUGGUCAACAAGACCACUAGUUUCAAGAAAGGCAGGGGUAAGAAGAACUUCAAGAAAGACGGCAAAGCUGUUGCCGUGCCCGGUAAACCAGAUGUCGGGAAGAAGAAAAAGAACGGACCCAAGCCUGAGACUGAGUGCUUCUACUGCAAGGGAAAAGGUCACUGGAAGCGCAACUGCCCCAAAUACUUAGCGGACAAGAAGGCCGGCAACGUUAAAGGUAUAUGUGAUAUACAUGUUAUUGAUGUGUACCUUACCAGCGCUCUUAGUAGCUCCUGGGUAUUUGAUACCAGUGCUGUUGCUCACAUUUGCAACUCAAAGCAGGAACUGCGGAAUAAGCGGAGACUGGCCAAGGACGAGGUGAUGAUGCGCGUCGGGAAUGGUUCAAAGGUCGAUGUGAUCGCCGUCGGCACGCUACCUCUACAUCUACCGUUGGGAUUAGUCUUAAACCUUAAUAAUUCUUAUUUAGUACCAGCUUUAAGCAUGAACAUUGUAUCAGGGUCUUGCUUAAUGCGAGACAGCUACUCAUUUACGUCAGAGAAUAAUGGUUGUUCUAUUUAUAUGAGUGACAUGUUUUAUGGUCAUGCUCCGCUGGUGAAUGGUUUAUUCUUGAUGAAUCUCGAUCGUGAUGUUACACAUAUUCAUAGUGUGAGUACCAAAAGAUGCAAAGUUGAUAACGAUAGUCCCACAUACUUGUGGCACUGCCACCUUGGUCAUAUCGGCGUUAAGCGCAUGAAGAAGCUCCAUACUGAUGGACUGCUAGAGUCUCUUGACUUUGAAUCAUUUGACACAUGCGAACCGUGCCUCAUGGGCAAGAUGACUAAGACUCCAUUCUCAGGACUAAUGGAGAGAGCAACCGACUUAUUGGAAAUAAUACAUACUGAUGUGUGUGGNNNNNNNNNNNNNNNNNNNNNNNNNNNNNNNNNNNNNNNNNNNNNNNNNNNNNNNNNNNNNNNNNNNNNNNNNNNNNNNNNNNNNNNNNNNNNNNNNNNNNNNNNNNNNNNNNNNNUUAUCGUUAUGUUCUCACUCUCACCGAUGAUUUGAGUAGGUAUGGGUAUAUUUACUUGAUGAAGCACAAAUCUGAGACGUUUGAAAGGUUCAAGGAAUUUUAGAGUGAGGUUGAGAAUCAACGUGACAGAAAAAUUAAAUGUCUACGAUCUGAUCGUGGAGGAGAAUAUUUGGGUCAUGAAUUUGGCACACACCUAAGGAAGUGUGGAAUCGUUUCACAACUAACGCCGCCUGGCACACCGCAACGCAACGGAGUGUCUGAACGUCGUAAUCGCACCUUAUUAGAUAUGGUACAAUCUAUGAUGUCUCUCACCGACUUACCGCUAUCAUUUUGGGGAUACGCAUUAGAAACUGCAGCANNNNNNNNNNCUAUCGUUAUGUUCUCACUCUCACCGACGAUUUGAGUAGGUAUGGGUAUAUCUACUUGAUGAAGCACAAAUCUGAGACAUUCAAAAAGUUCAAGGAAUUUCAGAGUGAGGUCGAGAAUCAAUGUGACAGAAAAAUUAAGUGUCUACGAUCUGAUCGUGGAGGAGAAUAUUUGAGUCACGAGUUUGGCACACACCUAAGGAAGUGUGGAAUCGUUUCAUAACUGACGCCGCCUGGCACACCGUAACGCAACGGAGUGUCUGAACGUCGUAAUCGCACUUUAUUAGAUAUGGUGCGAUCUAUGAUGUCUCUUACCGACUUACCGCUAUCAUUUUGGGGAUACGCAUUAGAAACUGCAGCANNNNNNNNNNCAACUGACACCGCCUGGCACACCGCAACGCAAGGGAGUGUCUGAACGUCGUAAUCGCACUUUAUUAGAUAUGGUACGAUCUAUGAUGUAUCUUACCGACUUACCGUUAUCAUUUUGGGGAUACGCAUUAGAAACUACAGCAUUCACUUUAAAUAGGGCACCGUCUAAAUCCGUUGAGACGACACCGUAUGAACUAUGGUUUGGCAAGAAACCUAAGUUGUCGUUUCUUAAAGUUUGGGGCUGCGAUGCUUCUGUGAAGAAACUUAAACUAGAAAAGCUCGAACCCAAAGCGGAGAAAUGCGUAUUCAUAGGAUACCCUAAGGAAACUCUUGGGUAUACCUUCUAUCUUAGAUCCGAAGGUAAAACCUUUGUUGCCAAGAACGGAUCCUUUCUAGAGAAAGAAUUUCUCUCGAAAGAAGUAAGUGGGAGGAAGGUAGAACUUGAUGAGGUAAUUACACCCCCUCUCGAACAGGAUAGUAGCGCAGCGCGGGAAGUUGUUCCUGUGGCGCCUACACCAACUGAAGAGGAAGUUAAUGAUGAUGAUCAUGAAGCUUCGAAUCAAGUUACUAUUGAACCGCGAAGGUCCACAAGGGCACGCUCCGCACCAGAGUGGUACGACAACCCUGUGAUGGAAAUCAUGUUGUUAGACAACGUUGAACCUUCGAACUAUGAAGAAGCGAUGGCGGGCCCGGAUUCCAACAANNNNNNNNNNNNNNNNNNNNNNNNNNNNNNNNNNNNNNNNNNNNNNNNNNNNNNNNNNNNNNNNNNNNNNNNNNNNNNNNNNNNNNNNNNNNNNNNNNNNUGCGAAGAGACUUUCUCUCCCGUAGCGAAGCUGAAAUCAGUCCGAAUCAUGUUCGCAAUUUCUGCCUUUUAUGAUUAUGAAAUUUGGCAAAUGGACGUCAAAACAGCGUUCCUUAACGGGAACCUCAAGGAAGAGUUGUAUAUGAUGCAACCAGAAGGUUUUAUCGACCCUAAGGGUGCUAACAAAGUGUGCAAGCUCCAGCUCUCCAUCUAUGGGCUGGUGCAAGAAUCUCGGAGUUGGAACAUUCGCUUUAAUGAGGUGAUUAAAGCGUUUGGGUUCAUACAGGAUUACGGAGAAGCCUGUCUGUACAAGAAAGUGAGUGGGAGCUCUGUAGCUUUCCUCAUACUGUAUGUGGAUGACAUAUUAUUGAUGGGGAAUAAUAUGGAGAUGUUGGAGAGCAUAAAGGCCUAUUUGAACAAAAGUUUUUCAAUGAAGGACCUUGGAGAAGCUGCAUACAUAUUAGGCAUCAAAAUCUAUAGAGAUAGAUCGAGACGCCUCAUAGGUCUUUCGCAAAGUACAUACCUUGACAAGAUAUUGAAGAAGUUCAAUAUGGAAAACUCAAAGAAAGGGUUCUUGNNNNNNNNNNNNNNNNNNNNNNNNNNNNNNNNNNNNNNNNNNNNNNNNNNNNNNNNNNNNNNNNNNNNNNNNNNNNNNNNNNNNNNNNNNNNNNNNNNNNACCGUAAACCCGGUUUACCCGUUUAAACCGAACGGUAGUUCGGGGUCGGCCGGGCCGGGGCCCGGAACGGGGGGGUAGGGAGGGGUCGGUCGGCCGCCUACCCCGUCGGUCGGGUCCUUACGGCCNCCUGGCUUAGGGUUUCCCCCCCUUUUCUCUCCCCUGCGCAUUGGGCUGAGCGGGGAGGCGCACCAGGCCACCUAGGGGCUGGUUCCCUCCCCUACUUGGCCCAUCUUACCUCCCGGGGUCGUUGCCCCCCUUCGGUGGACCCCCGGGGCCACCUCCGGUGGUCCCGGUGGUCCCGGUACGUUACCGGUGAUGCCCGAAACAUUUCCGGUGUCCGAAACCAUCCGUCCUGUAUAUCAAUCUUUACCUCCGGACCAUUCCGGAGCUCCUCGUGACGUCCGGGAUCUCAUCCGGGACUCCGAACAACUUUCGGUAACCUCGUAUAACAAUUCCCUAUAACCCUAGCGUCACCGAACCUUAAGUGUGUAGACCCUACGGGUUCGGCAGACAAGCAGACAUGACCGAGCCACCUUUAUGGCCAAUAACCAUCAGCGGGGUCUGGAUACCCAUGGUGGCUCCCACUUGCUCUACGAUGAUCUCAUCGGAUGAACCACGAUGUCAAUGAUUCAAUCAAUCCCGUAUACAAUUCCCUUGGUCUGUCGGUAUAGAACUUGCCCGAGAUUCGAUCGUCGGUAUACCAAUACCUUGUGCAAUCUCGUUACCGGUAAGUCUCUUUACUCGUUCUGUAGCACGUCAUCGUGUGACUAACUCCUUAGUCACAUUGAGCUCAUGAUGAUGUUCUACCGAGUGGGCCCAGAGAUACCUCUCCGUCACACGGAGUGACAAAUCCCAAUCUCGAUUCGUACCAACCCAACAGACACUUUCGGAGGUACCCGUAGUGCACCUUUAUACUCACCCAGUUACGUUGUGACGUUUGAUACACCCAAAGCACUCCUACAGUAUCCGGGAGUUGCACAAUCUCACAGUCGAAGGAAAAGAUACUUGACAUUAGAAAAGCUUUAGCAUACGAUCUAGUGCUAUGCUUAGGAUUGGGUCUUGUCCAUCACAUCAUUCUCCCAAUGAUGUGAUCCCGUUAUCAAUGACAUCUAAUGCCCAUGAUCAGGAAACCAGGAUCAUCUAUUGACUAACGAGCUAGCCAACUAGAGGCUUGCUAGGGACACUUUGUGAUCUAUUAAUUUAUUCACACAUGUAUUACUGUUUCCUAUUAAUAUAAUUAUAGCAUGAACAAUAGACGGUUAUCAUGAACAAGGAAAUAUGAUAAUAACCAUUUUAUUAUUGCCUCUAGGGCAUAUUUCCGACANNNNNNNNNNNNNNNNNNNNNNNNNNNNNNNNNNNNNNNNNNNNNNNNNNNNNNNNNNNNNNNNNNNNNNNNNNNNNNNNNNNNNNNNNNNNNNNNNNNNACGCAUCGUGUUGUUUGCCUAUCAGGUAAAAGAAUGGGUUUAGUUAUCAUACUUGUCAUGAAUUUAUCCCUCUACAGCAUGUCAUCUUGCUUAAGGCGUUACUCUGUUUGUUAUGAACUUAAUACACUAGAUGCAUGCUGGAUAGCGGUCGAUGUGUGGAGUAAUAGUAGUAGAUGCAGAAAGUAUCGGUCUGCUUGUCUCGGACGUGAUGCCUAUAUGUAUGAUCAUUGCCUUAGAUAUCGUCAUGACUUUGCGCGAUUCUAUCAAUUGCUCGACAAUAAUUCGUUCACCCACCGUAAUACUUGCUAUCAUGAGAGAAGCCUCUAGUGAACACUAUGGCCCCCGGGUCUAUUAUAUAUUCACAUACAAAAAUACCAAAAAUACCUUGCUGCACUUUUAUUUAUUUAUUUAUUUAUAUUUACCUAUUAUCACUAUCAGAUCUCACCUUGCAAGUAAUCGUAAAGGGAUUGACAACACCUUUAUCGCGUUGGGUGCAAGUUUGUUUGUUUUUGCGCAGGUGCCUUGGUGCCUCAUCUUGAUACUCCUACUGGAUAGAUACCUUGGUUCUCAAACUGAGGGAAAUACUUAUCUCUACUUUGCUCCAUCACCCUUUCUCUUCAAGGAAAAACCAACGUAAUCUCAAGAAGUAGCACCAGUCUUUAUCCCGUUGAGAGAGCCUCACAUAGAAAUUAGUAAUAAUCAUACCUUUGGGGAGCCCAUGGUUAUGACAUUUUAACAUUAAAGUUUUCAGUCUCCCCCAAGCUCGAGCUAUGCUCUCUCCAUCAUGAGGAUAGAGAUUAUAAACAUAAUUCCUAUUCUCAUGGACUUCAUAAAGAGGAUAAAACUUGGAGUAAAAGAGAGACUGAAUCUCUUCCAAAUCCCGUAGGUGAGAAUCAUCUAGUAGCCUAUACAAUUCCAAUGAUUUUCCUUUCAGUGACAAGGCAAAUAAUUUCCUCAUGACUAUAUCUCUUGUCAAACCUGAAAUCUUGAACAGCUCACAAAGUUCUGUAAGUUUCAACAAAUAAUCACUAGAACUGGCUGUUCCAUCUCCUGCAUAACAAUCCUUCCUAAUUAUUUCUAUUAUCCCAAGUGGUAUUUUGAAUGGGAUACAUUUAGUAGGUGGAGGAGACUUCUCUACCACGGGUGUGGUAAAGCGGCCUUACCCAAGCAGCGAACUAAGAGUGCAAUUUUCCAUAAGCCUAACUAGUGAAAAUAAAAACAAGAAACGAAAAGAUUUAAUUGCAAGAUCUAAAGAUAUACCUUCAAGCACUCACCUCCCCGGCAACGGCGCUAGAAAUAGCUUGAUGUCUACGCACGCUUCUAUUCUUCUAGACUAUGUUGGGCCUCCAAGCAUAGAGGUUUGUAGGACAACAACAAUUUCCCUCAAGUGGAUGACCUAAGGUUUAUCGAACUCAGGGAAGUAGAGGUUCAAGAUGGUCUCUCUCAAGCAACCCUACAAUUAAGAGAGGAGAAGUCUCUUGUGUCUCCAACACACCUAAUACUAUGGUAAAUUGUAUAGGUGCACUAGUUCGGCGAAGAGAUGGUAAAAUAUGGGUGAUAGGGUUGGCAAAGCAACAUAAUAUAAAUCUGAAAUAAAAAUGGCAACAAGGUAGCAAGUGACAAAAGUGAGCAUAAACAGUGUAACAAUGGUGAGAAAUAGGGCCUAGGCUUCAUACUUUCACUAGUGGAAACUGUUGGAAAUAUGCCCUAGAGGCAAUAAUAAAUUAGUUACUAUUAUAUUUCCUUGUUCAUAAUAAUCGUUUAUUAUCCAUGCUAGAAUUGUAUUGAUUCGAAACUCAAAUACAUGUGUGGAUACAUAGACAACACACUGUCCCUAGAGCCUCUAGUUGACUAGUUCGUUGAUCAAAGAUGGUCAAGGAUUCCUGGCCAUAGGCAAGUGUUGUCACUUGAUAACAGGGUCACAUCAUUGGGAGAAUGAUGUGAUGGACAAGACCCAAACUAUAAAUAUAGCAUAUGAUCGUGUCACUUUAUUGUUACUAUUUUCUGCAUGUCAAUGUAUCUGUUCCUAUGACCAUGAGAUCAUGCAACUCCCGGACACCGUAGGAAUACCUUGUGUGUACUAAACGUCGCAACAUAAUUGGGUGACUAUAAAUGUGCUCUACAGGUAUCUCCAAAGGUGUUUGUUGGGUUGGCAUGGAUGAAGACUGGGAUUUGUCACUCCGUGUGACGAAAAAGUAUCUCGGGGCCCACUCGGUAGUACAACAUCACAACAAGCCUUGCAAGCAAUGUGACUAAGGAGUUACUUACAGGAUCUUGUAUUACGGAACGAGUAAAGAGACUUUCCGGUAACGAGAUUGAACUAGGUAUGGUGAUACCGACGGUCGAAUCUCGUGCAAGUAACAUACCCAUGGACAAAGGGAAUAGUAUACGGGAUUAUAUGAAUCCUUGACAUAGAGGUUCAACCGAUAGAGAUCUUCGUAGAAUAUGUAGGAGCCAAUAUGGACAUCCAGGUCCUGCUGUUGGUAAUUGACUAGAGAAGUGUCUCAGGUCAUGUCUGCAUAGUUCUCGAACCCGCAGGGUCUGCACACUUAAGGUUUGGUGACGUUUCGGUAUAGUUGGGUUAUAUGUGUUGGUGACCGAAGUUUUGUUCAGAGUCCCGGGUGAGGUCCCGAACGUCACGAGGGUUUCUGGAAUGGUCCGGAAAUGAAGAUUGAUAUACAGGAAGUUGGUGUUUGGAUUCCGGAAGGUUUUCGGGCAUUGCCGGCACUGUACCGGGAGUGACGAAUGGGUUCCGGGGGGCCCACUGGGUGGGCCCACCAUGCCCCAAGGGGUCCACAUGGGUUUAUUGGAUGCACAAUAAGGUAUAAUGGGCUGACAAAUUCAUCCAAGGAAAGCCCAUGAAGAAAAGGUGGAAAAUCCAAAAGAGGUGGGAAAAUAAGGAAGGAGUCCUAAUCCAUGUGGGAUUGGAGGAGGACUCCUCCCUUCCCCAGUUCGGCCGACCCAAGGAGGCCUUCGUUGGCGCGCCAAGGCUGCCUUUCGCCUCCUCCUAUAUAUGCUAGAGGUUUAGGUCUUUUUGAGACACAACUUUGCCACGUGUUGCCCUCUCCUCUAGAUCGUAGCUCUUCCUCUACAUCGGUUUUCUACGGAGCUCGGGCCGAGCCGUGUAGGAAUAGAUCAUUACCAUCACCAGCGCACCGUCACACUGCCGGAGAACUCAUCUACUUCCCCGUCUCUCUUGCUGGAUCAAGAAGGCGGAGAAUGUCAUCGAGCUGUAUGUGUGCGGGACGCGGAGGUGCCGUCCGUUCGGCAUUUGAUCGGGACGGAUCGUGGGACGAAUCGCGAGACGGUUCGUGGGACAGAUUCUGGGACGGUUCAUGGGACGGAUCAUGAAGACGUACCACUACAUCAACCGCGUUUAUUAACUCUUCCGCUUAGCGAUCUACAAGGGUAUGUGGAUCCAAUCUCCCUCUCGUAGAUGAACAUCACCAUGAUAGGUCUUCAUGUGUGUAGGAAAUUUUUUGUUUCCCCCGCAACGUUCCCCAACAGUAGCAUCAUGAGCUAGGUUCAUCCGUAGAUGUAAUAUCGAGUAGAACACAAAAGCUUUUGUGGGCAUUGAUGUUCGAUUUGCUUCCCUCCUUAGUCUUUUCUCAAUUCGACUGUAUUGUUGGAUUGAAGCGGCCCGGAUCAACAUUACUCAUACGCUUACGAGAGACCGGUUUCAUCGACUAACAUGCAACUCGUUGCAUAAAGAUGACUGGCGGGUGCCUGUUUCUUCAACUUUAGUUGAAUUGGAUUUGACCGAGGCGGUCCUUGGAGAGAGGUUAAAUAGCAAUUUGCAGAUCACCUUUGUGGUUUUGUGUAAGUAAGAUGCGAUCAUACUAGAUACCCAUAGCAGCCACGUAAAACAUGCAACAACAAAUUAGAGGACGUCUAACUUGUUUUUGUAGGGUAUGCAUGUGAUGUGAUAUGGCCAAAGACAUGAUGUGAUAUAUUGGAUGUAUGAGAUGAUCAUGUUCUAAUAGUUAAAUAUCGACUUGCACGUCGAUGCUACAGCAACCGGCAGGAGCCAUAGGGUUGUCUUCAAACUAACGUUUGUGCUUGCGCAUGCGUUUAAUAUGUUUCUAGGUUGUAGCUUUAGUAGUAAUAGCAUACAUAGCACGACAACCUCGAUGGCGGCAUGAUGAUGGAGAUCAUGGUGUGGCGCUGGUGACGAUGAAGAUCAUGCCGGGGCUUUGGUGAUGGAGAUCAAGAAGCACAAGAUAAUGGCCAUAUCAUGUCACUUAUGAAUUGCAUGUGAUGUUAAUCCUUUUAUGCACCUUAUCUUGCUUAGAACGACGGUAGCAUUAUAAGGUGAUCCCUCACUAAAAUUUCAAGAUAAAAUUGUGUUCUCCCCGAUUGUGCACUAUUGCGACAGUUCGUCGUUUCGAGACACCACAUGAUGAUCGGGUGUGAUAGACUCAACGUUCACAUACAAUGGGUGCAAAACAGUUGCACACGCGGAACACUCGGGUUAAAAUUGACGAGCCUAGCAUGUACAAACAUGGCCUCGGAACACAAGAGACCGAAAGGUCGAGCAUGAAUUAUAUAGUUGAUAUGAUCAACAUGGAGAUGUUUACCACUGAAACUAUACUCAACUCACGUGAUGAUCGGAUUUGGGUUAGUGGAUUUGGAUCAUGCGUCACUUGAAUGACUAGAGGGAUGUCUAUUUGAGUGGGAGUUCUUAAGUAAUAUGAUUAAUUGAACUAAUUAUCAUGAACAUAGUCAAAAGGUCUUUGCGAAUUAUGUUGUAGCUUGCGAUGUAGCUCUACUGUUUUUUACAUGUUCCUAGAGAAAAUUUAGUUGAAAGAUGAUAGUAGCAACUUUGAGGACACAGUCCGUAAAUUGAGGAUCGUCUCAUUGCUGCGCAGAAGGCUUAUGUCCUUCAUGCACCACUCGGUGUGCUGCACCUCGAGCGUCAUCUGUGGAUGUUGCGAACAUCUGACAUACACGUUUUUGAUGACUACGUGAUAGUUCAGUGCGUAAUACUAAACGGCUUAGAAGCUAGGCACCGAAGACGUUUUGAACGUCACGGAGCAUAAGAGAUGUUCUAAGAGAUGAAGUUGGGAUUUCAUGCUCGUGCCCUUGUUGAGAGGUAUGAGACCUCUGACAAGAUUCUUUGUCUACAAAGUAAAGGAGAAAAGCUCAAUCAUUGAGCAUGUGCUCAGAUUGUCUGAGUACAAUAGUCGCUUGAAUCAAGUGGGAGUUAAUCUUCUAGAUGAGAUAGUGAUGGUUCUCCAAAGUCACUGCCACCGAGCUGCUAGAGCUUCGUGAUGAACUAUAACAUAUCAAGGAUAGAUAUGAUGAUCCUUGAGCGAUUCGCAAUGUUUGACACUGCGGAAGUAGAAAUCAAGUAUGAGCGUCAAUUGUUGAUGGUUAGUAAAACUACUAGUUUCAAGAAGGGCAAGGGCUAGAAGGGAUACUUCAUGAAACGGCAAACCAGUUGCUGCUCUAAUGAAGAAACCCAAGGUUGAUCCCAAACCCGAGACUAAGUGCUCCUGUUAUGAGGGAAACGGUCACUGAGGCGGAACUACCCUAGAUACUUGGUAGAUGAGAAGGCUGGCGAAGUCGAUAGAGGUAUAUUUGAUAUACCUGAUAUUGAUGUGUACCUUACUAGUAUUCUUAGUAGCACCAGGGUAUUAGAUACCGGUUCAGUUGCUAAGUGUUAGUAACUUGAAGUUAUAGCUAUGGAUUAAAAGGAUACUAGUAAGGGUGACGAUGAGUAUUGGAAGUAAUUGUAAAGUUGAUGUGAUCAAACAUCGCACGCUCCCUCUACCAUCGGGAUUGCUGUUAAACCUAAAUAAUUGUUAUUUGGUGUUUGCGUUGAGCAUGAACAUGAUUAGAUCGUGUUUAUUGCAAUACGAUUAUUCAUUUAAAGAGAAUAAUGGUUAUUCUAUUUGCUUGAAUAAUUACCUUGAAUGGUUUAUUGAAUCUCGAUUGUAGUGAUACACGUGUUCAUAAUAUUGAUGCCAAAAGAUACAAAUUAGUAAUGAUAGUACCACUUACUUGUGGCACUGCCACUUGAGUCAUGUUGGUGUAAAAUGCAUGAAGAAGCUCCAUGUAGAUGGAUCUUCAUACUCAAUUAUUUUUGAAAUGUUUGAGACAUGCAAACCAUACCUUUUGGUAGAAACAAAUGAAGAAACUCCAUGCAGAUGGAUCGUUUGGACACACUUGAUUUUGAAUCACUUGAGACAUGCAAAUCAUACCACAUUAAACAAGAAAGUAACUUGUUGGAAGUAAUACAUUUUUUAUGUGUGAAGUCCAAUGAGUGCUGAGGCACGUAGUGGAUAUCAUUAUGUUCUUACUUCACUGACGAUUUGAGUAGAUACAGGAGUAUUUACUUGAUGAAUCACAAGUCUGAAAUAUUGAAAAGUUCAAGGCUGUUUCAGAGUGAAGAUCGUCGUGACAAGAGGAUAAACUAUCUACGAUAUGAUCAUAGAGAUGAAUAUCCGAGUUGCGAGUUUUGGUACACAGUUAAGACAAUGUGGAAAUUGUUUCGCAAUUAAUGCCACUUAGAACACCAUAGUGUGAUGGUGUGUCCGAACGUCAUAGCUACGCCCUAUUUGAUAUGGUGCAUACUAUGAUGUCUCUUAUCAAAUUACCACUAUCGUUUAUGGGUUAUGCAUUAGAGACAAACACAUUCACUUUAAAUAGGGCACCGCGUAUUUCCGUUGAGAUGACACGGUAUGAACUAUGGUUUGGAGAAACCUGAGCUGUCGUUUCUUGAAAGUUUGGGGCUACGACGCUUAUGUGAAAAAGUUUCAGUCUCAUAAGCUCGAACCCAAAGCGGAUAAAUGCAUCUUCAUAGGAUAUCCAAAACAGUUGGGUACAUCUCCUAUCUCAGAUCCGAAAGCAAAGUGUUUGUUUCUAGAAACGGAUCCUUUCUCGAGGAAAGGUUUCUCUCGAAAGAAUUGAGUGGGAGGGUGGUGGAACUUGAUGAGGUUAUUGAACCGUCACUUCAACCAGUGUGUAGCACGACGCAGGAAGUUGUUCCUAUGGCGCCUACACCAAUUGAAGUGGAAGCUGAUGAUAGUGAUCAUUAAGCUUCGGAUCAAGUUACUACAAACCUCGUAGGUUGACAAGGUCGCGUACUACUAUAGAGUGGUACUGUAAUCCUGUCUUGGAGGUCAUGUUGUUGAACAACAAUGAACCUACGAGCUAUGGAGAAGCGAUGGUGGGCCCGGAUUCCGACAAAUGGCUGGAGGCCAUGAAAUACGAGAGAGGAUCCAUGUAUGAAAACAAAGUGUAGACUUUUGAAGAACUACUUGAUGGUCGUAAGACCGUUAAGUAUAGAUGGAUCUUUUAAAGGAAGACAGACGAUGAUGGUGAAAGUCGCCGUUAAGAAAAGCUCGACUUGUCGCAAAGAUGUUUCCGACAAGUUCAAAGAGUUGACUAUGAUGAGACUUUCUCACUCGUAGCGAUGCUAAAAGUCUAUUGGAAUCAUGUUAGCAAUUGCUGAAUUAUUUAUGAAAUAUUGCAGAUAGGAUGUCAAAACAUUGUUUCCUCGACGGUUUCCUUGAGGAAAGGUUGUAUGUGAUACAACCAGAAGGUUUUGUCAAUCCUAAGGAUGCUAACAAGUAUGCAAGCUCCAGUGAUCCUCCUAUGGACUGAUGCAAGCAUCUCGGAGUUAGAAUAUACGCUUUGAUGAGAUAAUCAAAGCUUUUGGGUUUAUACAAGGUUUAUGAGAAACUUGUAUAUCCAAAGAAGUGAGUGGGAGUACUAUAGAAUUUCUGAUAAGUAUAUGUGGUUGACAUAUUGUUGAUCGAAAGUAAUGUAGAAUUUCUCUAAAGCAUAAAGGGUUGUUUGAAAGGAGUUUUUCAAAGGAAGACCUCGAUAGAGCUACUUGAACAUUGAGCAUCAAGAUCUAUAGAGAUAGAUCAAAACGCUAAAUAGAACUUUCAAUGAAAUACAUGCCUUGACGGGUUUUCGAAAGAGUUCAAAAUAGAUCAUCAAAGAAGGAGUUCUUGGCUGUGUUGUAAGGUGUGAAUUUGAGUAAGACUCAAAGCCCGAGCAUAGAAGAAGAAAGAGAAAGGGCGAAGGUCGUCACCUAUACCUUAGCCGUAGACUCUGAAGUAUGCCAUGUUGUGUACCGCACCUACUGUGUGCCUUGCCAUGAGUCUUUCGAGGGGUACAAAGAGUGAUCCAGGAUUGAAUCAUUGAACAACAGUCAAAGUUAUCCUUAGUAACUAAAUGGACUAAGUAUUUUUUUCUCGGUUAUGGAGGUGCUUAAAGAGUUCGUCGUAAAGGGUUACGUCGAUACAAGCUUUAACACUAAUCCGAAUAACUCUGAGUAGUAAACCGGAUUCGUAUAGUAGAGCAGUCAUUUGGAAUAUUUCCAAAUAACACGUAGUAACAGCAUCUAUAGGAUGACAUAAAGAUUUGUAAAGCACACACGGAUCUGAAAGGUUCAGAACCAUUGACUAAAACCUCUCUCAUAAGCAAGACAUGAUCGAACCCGGAACUAUAUGGGUGUUAGAUUCAUUACAAUCACAUAGUGAUGUGAACUAGAUUAUUGACUCUAGUGCAAGUGGGAGACUGUUGGAAAUAUGCCCUAGAGGAAAUAAUAAAUUAUUUAUUAUUACAUUUACUUGUUCAUAAUAAUCAUUUAUUAUCCAUGCUAGAAUUGUAUUGAUUGGAAACUCAAAUACAUGUGUGGAUAGAUAGACAACAAACUGUCCCUAGUGAGCCUCUAGUUGACUAGUUCGUUGAUCAAACCUUUGGGGAGGAAGCAUCGAGCCAGUCUUUAUCCUGUCGUGAGAGCCUCGCAUAGAAAUUAGUAAUAAUCAUACCUUUGGAGAGCCCAUGGUUAGGAAUUUUAACAUUAAAGUUUUUAGUCUCCCCCAAGCUUGAGGUAUGCUUUCUCUGUCAUGAGGAUAGAAAUUAUAAACAUAAUUCAUAUUAUCAUGGACUUCAUGAAGAGGAUAAAACUUGGAGUAAAAGCAGGCCCGGUCCUGAGGGGGGGGCGAGCGGGGCGGCCGCCCCGGGCCCCCAAGUCUCAAGGGCGCCCCGUCUUGUAGUAGUUGCGAGCAUGCCUGAUCGGCGACGCGUGCAUAUGACUCAUUGACACAGACAUACUUGGCUAUUUUUGGGAGUAUCGCUAGACAACGCGGAUCACCAAUUGGCUAUUUUAACGAAAGAAUCACUUUUUCCCCAAUUCACUCGAUCAAAUCAACGGCGAGUGAUAACUCGAGGUUGAGGCUUUAUCUCCCCAAUUAACCUUCCAUGAGCGCCGCCUCGAUGACCUUAUUUUCUUUUUCCCAUGGUUCUUUUUUCUGGCUACUGAAGGAAUAAGAGCACAACACAGCUUAGGCAGCAGUGGAUGCUACAUCGCUGCGCCCCACAAGGGAACGAGAGCAGGUAUAGGUCUCACCUAUGCCUUGUGCUAUUAUUUUUUCUUGGAAUACUAUCCUGUGCGAUUUUGCCAAGUCGAAGUGAUGAUUUUGCCAAAUCGAAAUGACGGUUUUGUUAGGUUCACGUUAGUUUUAAUUACUAAUUGCUUCUUAAAUUUUGACAUCGUCACAUCAUCUAAAAAGAUUGCAUCCGGGUAGUCAGUAAAACAGAAAGGAAACAUGUACGUGGUUUGGUAGAAUCACAUAGAUAAUGUAUCGAUAGAUUUCUUAGGAGGAACUUUUUUUUGGAUGAGGUUCAUAUUGAUACCACCACCAGCAAUUUUGCAUGUUGGAUAGAAGAAAGUUUUAAGAUGACAUUUAUAAAUUAAUUGACAAGAAUAUUGUAUUUGGAUUCACUUAUUACUACCUCCGUUCGGGUGUAUAUAUAGGACAUGCACAUGGUUCUAGGUGGAUAAUUUAAAUAGCUAAAUAUAUUAUAUAUGUGAUAAAAAUAUGUUUAAAAACUACAUUCAUGUAUGAAUGUAAUUAUAUAAUUUUGAUAACAUAUAUUACAUAUUAAACAAGUCAAAUUGAUGAUCUAGAACAACGCAUACGUCCUAUACACCGGACGGUGGGAAUACUAACAUUAAUUCAGAUCUAGGGCCCCUUAAUUUUAGUUUCGCCCCGGGCCUCUGAAAUCCUAGGACCGGCCCUGAGUAAAAGAGAGACUGAAUCUCUUACCAAUACCGUGGGUGAGAAUCAUCUAGUAGCAUAUACCAUUCCAAUGCUUUUCCUUUCAAUGACAAGGCAAAUAAUUUCCUCAUGACUCCGUCUCUUGUCAAACCUAAAAUCUUAAACAACUCACAAAGUUCUGUAAGUUUCAACAAAUGAUCACUAGGACUGACUGUUCCAUCUCCUGCAUAACAAUCCUUCCUAAUUAUUUCAAUUAUCCCAAGUGGUAUUUUGAAUGGGAUACAUUUAGUAGGUGGAGGAGACUUCUCUACCACGGGUGUGGUAAAGCGGCCUUCCCCAAGCAGCGAACUAAGAGUGCAGUUUUCCAUAAGCCUAACUAGUGAAAAUAAAAACAAGAAACAAAAAGAUUUAAUUGCAAUAUCUAAAGAUAUACCUUCAAGCACUCACCUCCCCGGCAACGGUGCCAGAAAUAGCUUGAUGUCUACGCACGCUUCUAUUCUUGUAGACUAUGUUGGGCCUCCAAGCACAGAGGUUUGUAGGACAGCAGCAAUUUCCCUCAAGUGGAUGACCUAAGGUUUAUCGAACUCAGGGAAGUAGAGGUUGAAGAUGGUCUCUCUCAAGCAACCCUGCAAUUAAGAAACGAGAAGUCUCUUGUGUCUCCAACACACCUAAUACAAUGGUAAAUUGUAUAGGUGCACUAGUUCGGCGAAGAGAUGGUAAAAUAUGGGUGAUAGGGGGUGCAAAGAAAGGUAAUAUAAAUCUGAAAUAAAAAUGGCAGCAAGGUAGCAAGUGACAAAAGUGAGCAUAAACGGUGUAACAAUGGUGAGAAAUAGGGCCUAUGCUUCAUACUUUCACUAGUGGCAACUCCCAACAACAUUAACAUAGUAUAAUCACAUGAUAUUUCCACUAAAACAUGCAAUGGAGACGUACUUGGUGGUCAUUCCUUUGUGAUCAAAGAGGACGAGAGUUAUGUAGGGCUACAAAAGCACACAUCAGAGUUCGUAGUUCUCAUCUAUGGAUUUCCCAAUGUCACCGCGGCCAUCCAAAGAGAGUACCACAAUCACCACAACAUAUCUCAAGGAUAGUCAAAGACAAGCACCAAGAGACUCUCAAUCUUCAAUCAAUUCACAAAAGAGGAAAUCACUCAUGAAAAUAUUCUUCUAAUUCUUGUCCAAUAGACCGCUGUCACCAUGGUCUCGGGGAUUAUACUCUAUAAGAUCAAGUAAGUACAUCAAUUCAAUACAUAGAAGAAGGGGAAACAUCAUGGGAUCACCCUAGAUUAACAUAGCCUAUGAUAACAAUCAAGAUCACAUCAUGGGAGAGAGAAUUAACCACAUAGCUACUGUAGAAGACCUCAGCCCCGAGGAGCAACUACUCCCGCUUCAUGGAAGGAGGAAGCAAUGUCGAUGGAGAUGAAUCCGGAGGCACUUCCCCGUCCCGGCACGGUGCCGACACAGGAAUUCAGGUCCCCCGAAACUUGUUGGCCAUGAAGGCGGAGAUUGGAAUUGCUUCUAGAGAAAAGGGUUCCAGAAUCAGGGUUUCCUCGACGGGGGCUAUAUAUAGGCCAAAGGAGGGCACCAGGGGUGGUCCCAGUCGCUCAUGCGGCCUCUUGGCGCGGCCUCCCCCUAGGUCGCGUGGGCAGGCCGCCUGGGUGACAGGUGGCCCCCCUCCGGUUCUCCUUCGGGCAUCCGGAAGCUUCCGUCACGCUGAUUUUUAUAUUUUUUUCUCGGGAUUUUUGGGACUCUGUAAAUUUGGAUAAAAGUCCGUGACAAAAAAAAGACAUCAGCAGACAGGAACUGGCACUGGGUGCACUGAGUUAGUAGGUUAGUCCAAAUAUGUGUAAAAAGAUAUAAAAGUGUAGCAAAACAUAUAACAAUAUCACCCAUAAGAUCAUGGAACAAGCAGAAAUUAUAGAUACGUUUGGGACAUAUCAGCGUCAUCUUAUCCUUGAGGUGGUGGUGAGGAAGGUUGAGGUGGAUCAUCAAGAUGUUUCUCUUCCUCUUCUCCAUCAUGUCGAGUACCGCUUGUGGAUGCUUCCAUGUCAUUUUGCGGUUUGGCUUGAUGCGAAGUAGGAGCUUCCACUUGAGUUGAUGAAGUGCUUUCCUUCACCUCCAUGGGACGAAUCUUGCCAAUGGACAAAUCUUUGAUAGCUUCCGAAGGUUCCUUAUCUCCUAUAUCAAUUGGCAAUUGUUCGACUUGCCAACCGUUAUUCUCAUCAAACUUCACAUCUACCAUCUCUUCAAAUUUUCGAGUGAAGUUGUUGUAUACAUGGUAAGCGCGAGAGUUUGAUCCGUAACCAAGAAGGAAACCUUCAUAUUAUUUAGGUGCAAAUUUAGAUCGACGAUGCUUAUCAAUAAUAUAGCACUUAGAGACGAAUACUCAAAAGUAUCCAACUUGGGGUUUUUUACCAGUGAGUAGCUCGUAUGCCGUUUUACCGAGAAGCUUGUGCAGGUAGAGUCGGUUUAUGGCAUGGCAAUAUGUUUCCACGGCUUCUGCCCAAAAGUGUCUUGGAGUCUUGUAUUCAUCAAGCAUCGUUCUCGCCAUCUCCAUGAGCGUCCGGUUCUUCCUCUCAACAACUCCAUUUUGUUGAGGUGUGUACGUUGCCGAGAACUCAUGUAAGAUACCUUCUUCAUCAAGAAAAGUAUCCACAUUAGUGUUCUUGAACUCCAUUCCGUUGUCGCUCCAAACCUUCUUGAUCUUCACUUCAAACUGGUUUUGAGCUUUUCGAGCAAAGUUCUUGAAGAUCAUUUGUACCCGUGACUUAUCAUUGAGAAGGAACACCCACGUAAAUCUGGAAAAAUCAUCAACAAUAACUUGACCAUAAGAAUUUCCACCGAGGCUCUUAUAAGCGUUGGGACCAAAGAGAUCCAUGUGAAGCAGCUCGAGGGGUCUUCUUGUGGUCAUGAUGUUCUUCACGGGAUGACUUCCUCCAACUUGUUUUCCUGCUUGACAAGCACUGCAAAGUCUGUCUUUGUCAAAGAUAACAUCUUUAACAUCAAGAAUAUGAUCACCUUUGAUGAGUUUGUCAAGAUUACGCAUAUCAACAUGUCCAAGCCUUCUAUGCCAUAACCAACCCUUAGAAGAUUUUGAAAUAGGGCAUGUACGGGGUUUGGAUAUCUUACAGAAAUCAACAAUGUAUAGAUCACCUCUACGGAAACCAGUAAAGACGAUGUUAUGAUUGCCCCUACGCAACAUUCAGCAUUCAACUUUCAUAAAUAGCACAUCGAAACCGAAAUCUGCUAGUCUGGAUACGGAAAGUAGAUUGUAGCCAAGAGAUUCUACUAGCAUGACAUUCUGAAUGGAACUAUCAUGAGAUACGGACACCUUACCGAGACCAAGUACCUUACCUUUUGAGUUGUCUCCAAAAGUUACAUACCUUCGAGGUCCACGAUUCGAUGUGAUUUCAUGGAACAUGUCUUUAUCUGCGGUCAUGUGAUCAGUGCAUCCACUCUCGAGAACCCACUCCUUACCACCAGCCAUGUAGUCUUCAAGGUUAGCCAUAAGACUGCGAUUCUUCAUGAUCUUCUCAUACUCGGUGUCUAAGUUCUCAUCAUGAUCAUAGUAGCCACGUUCCGCAUAGUCAUCAUUGGAUGAAGUUUCCUCGUAAGAGAAAAAAGUUUCAUCAGAAAUUUGACCAUUACAAUAUUCAAGUUUAUGCAUUUGAAUGGAUUCAACAAUGAUGUUGUUGAUGGUAAUGACAUUUCCUUUGGCACGCACGAGGUCACGAAGCUCAAAUAGGCAUUUAUCGAAGUUAGGAUCGGUUGGCUUAAUCUUAUGGAAAGCAAUGUAUUUGUGAACAAUGAUAUCAAGAUUUUUGAAGGAAUAAUUUGGAUAUAUUUUAUCUAAGUAUUUCCACAAGGUAUGAGUACACAAAAGUUUUGCAACUAAUUAAGCACAUUUCUUGGUAAACCUCUAAUGAUAAGAUUGAUAAUGUUGAGGUUACCAAGAUGUUAAACCUCUAAUGAUAAGAUUGAUAAUGUUGAGGUUACCAAGCAUGUUAACUUCAUCAUCAUGAGAAGGAUGUAUGGGGUCAAUCGGAGGCGCAUAGGGAUAUUCAAUAUACUUGCACAAAUGGAACUCAUCCAAUAUAUCAAGCAUUUCGUCUUUCCAUUGUCUAAAGUACUCCCCAUCAAGAAUAGGCACUUGAUACGUCCCAAACAUAUCUAUAAUUUCUGCUUGUUCCAUGAUCUUUUGGGUGACAUUGUUAUAUGUUUUGAUACACUUUUAUAUCAUUUUACACAUAUUUGGACUAACCUACCAACUCAGUGCACCCAGUGCCAGUUUCUGUCUGCUCAUGUCAAUUUUGUAGGGGCUUUUACCCAAUUUUCGGAAGCCCGGAAAAAUCCAGAAAAAAUAUAUAAAAAAUCAGCGAAACAGAAGCUUCAGGAUGACCAAAGGAGGGCCAGAGGGGGGUAGGGGCCUCCCAGGCGGCCUGCUGGCGCGGCUAGGCCCUAGGCCGCGCCAGGAGGUCACCUGGGUGGGUCCCACCUCCUCCGGUGCCCUCCUUUGGCCUAUAUUUAGUGUUCCGUGAGGAAACCCUCGCAGACUUUCUGGAAUCGUGAUUUUCUCCAUCGUUCUGCCACUGCAGCGCUUCCAAAAUCGGGAGCGUUAGGAGACCUCUUCCCGGCACCCUGCCGGAGGGAGGAUUGACCUCCGGGAGCUUCUCCACCGCCAUGGUCGCUUCCCGGACGUGCUGUGAGUAGUCCUUCUUGGACCAUUAGUCCAUGACCAGUAGCUAUGUGAUGUCUUCUAUCCAAUCUUGUGCUUCAAUGGUUAGUCCCUAUGAGCUGCCCUACAUGAUCAAGGCAUCUAUGUAAUCCUCUUGCUUUUCCUAUGCUCGGUUUGUUGGGAUCCGAUGGAUUAUGAGAUUAUGUUCAGAUUGUUAUGAGUUAUAUAUUUGAUUAUCAUUUUAUAUUAUGUUCCUUAGUGAUUCAUCCAUGUUCUCCUUUCCUUUUUAUUGCUUUGGCCAAGUAGUAGAUCAUAACUCCAAGAGGGAGCGUUAUCCAUGAUUGUGGGUUCGGGCCCCUCGAUGUCUAGCUUGAGUGACAGAAACAUGAGACUAGGGGAUGUGCUUGUUGCCACCAGGGAGAAAACAAUGGUGCUUGUGACCAUGGUUGCAAGGAUUGUUUACCUUACAGAUAGUUUGUUAAUGUAGUUGUCCGUUGCUUUGAGUUUACACUUUGGGUGGGGCUCGCAACUUAAUAUCAGAGAGAUGUUCUCGAUAGAUAUCUCAAGGUGAAUGAUUAGUAAGUAGAUGCUGAUGAAUAAGCGGUCUAAUUGUCUUGGCGUACUGUCCAUUACUAUUGAACCUCUAACUAUCAAGGAGCAUAAUUAGCAUUGUGGUGCGAUCAUAAUUUUAUCAAUUGCCCAACUGUGACUUGUUUACCCUAACAUAGUUGUUUAUCGUCUUUUGGGAGAGAGACAUCACUAGUGAAUAUUAUGUGACUCCGGUCAAUAUAACCAUCAUUGUUUACACCUCCAUCAUUUACCACUUUCAUUUACUUUUCCGUUGCAAUCACUAUUACCUCCCCACUUGUGUUUUGAUCCUUUGCAAACUACAAGGCCAUAGAGAUUGACAACCUCUCUGUACUCGUUGGGAGAAAAGUUAUUUGUUGUGUGUGCAGGUCCACGUCUUCUGCUAGCGCCAGGGUGGAAGACACCUACUUGUUGAGCCUAGGAGUCCUCCUGAUUCGAUAAACCUCAGUCUCCGUGUGAGGGAAAUUUUCUCCUGACUACAUCUCCACCUUCCACUUGGGGUAACCAACGAGGGGCGAGAAGUAUAUCCAUCAACUCAUCGGUAGCACUCUACAACUAAAAAUCUGGAAACUAGUCACAUUCAUCUUCUUCCAAAGGCGGUUAAACCAAGGUUUUGGAGACAAAGCUCUGAUACUGAUACGUCUGCAACGUAUCUAUAAUUUUUGAUGGUUUCAUGCUAUUAUCUUGUCAAACUUUGGAUGUUUUGUAUGCCUUUUAUAUAUUUUUUGGGACUAACUUAUUAACUCAGUGCCAAGUGCUAGUUCCUAUUUUUUCCAUGUUUUUGACCCCUUUCAGAGGAGGAUUUUGAACGGAGUACAAACGGAACAAAACUGCCAAAAAGAUUUUUUUUUCGAAAUAGAAAAAGAUCGGGAAGCCUGAGAAUCAGGGAAGGGGGCCUGUAAGGACCCCACAAACCCCCUAGCCGCGGCCAGGGGGGCCUGCGCCUCCCUGGCUUGUGGGCUCCCUGGGCCAUCUCUGCCCUAGGACUUUCGCCUAUAAAUUCCCUAAAAUCCCAGAAUAAAUCAGGAGAUCAUCAAAAGUACUUUUCCGCCGCCGCAAGCUUGUGUCUCCGCAAGAUACCAUCUGGGGCACGUUUUGGUGCCCUGCCGAAGGGGGAUUCGAAUACGAAGGGCUUCUUCAUCAACACCAUGACCUCUCCGAUGAUGCGUGAGUAGUUCACCAUAGACCUACGGUCCAUAGCUAGUAGCUAGAUGGCUUCUUCUCUCUCUUGGAUCUUCAAUACAAAGUUCUCCAUGAGCUUCAUGGAGAUCUAUCCGAUGUAAUCUUCUUUUGCGGUGUGUUUGUCGAGAUCCGAUGAAUUGUGGAUUUAUGAUCAGAUUAUCUAUGAAUCUUAUUUGAGUUUCUUCUGAUCUCUCUUAUGCAUGAUUUCAUAUCCUUGUAAUUCUCUUCGAGUUGUGGGUUUUGUUUGGCCAACUAGAUCUAUGAUUCUUGCAAUGGGAGAAGUGCUUGGUUUUGGGUUCAUACCGUGCGGUGACCUCACCCAGUGACAGAAGGGGUAGCGAGGCACGUAUCGUGUUGUUGCCAUCAAGGGUAAAAAUAUGGGGUUUUCAUCAUUGGUUUGAGAUUAUCCCUCUACAUCAUGUCAUCUUGCUUAAGGCGUUACUCUGUUCAUCAUGAACUCAAUACACUAGAUGCAUGCUAGAUAGCGGUCGAUGUGUGGAGUAAUAGUAGUAGAUGCAGAAAGUAUCAGUCUACUUGUCUCGGACGUGAUGCCUAUAUGUAUGAUCAUUGCCUUAGAUAUAGUCAUGACUUUGCGCGGUUCUAUCAAUUGCUCGACAGUAAUUUGUUCACCCACCGUAAUACUUGCUAUUUUGAGAGAAGCCUCUAGUGAACACUAUGGCCCCCGGGUCUACUCCACACCAUAUUUUCAGCCUUACUCUUUUUCUUCGUUGCACUUUCCGCCUUCAGAUCUCACUUGGCAAUCAAUCUUGAAGGGGUUGACAACCCCUUUAUAGCGUUGGGUGCAAGCUCUUUGUGUUUGUGCAGGUACUCUGGACUUGACGAAAUUCUCCUACUGGAUUGAUACCUUGGUUUUCAAACUGAGGGAAAUACUUACUGCUCCUAUGUUGCAUCACCCUUUCCUCUUCAAGGAAAAACCAACGCAAGCUCAAGAGACGACAGAAGGUUUCUGUCGACAUAGCAGAAGGGUUUCUGGCGCCUUUGCCAGGAAAGGACUUUUGUUGCCGUAGCAGAUACCAAUUGAGGGAUCGGUAGAAGAUGUGUCUAGAGGCGGGUGAAUAGACAACUUGUCAAGAUAAAAAUUCUAGCCUAACCUAAUUUCUAGAGGGCAAAAAUCUAGCAGUUGUAACAAGUUUAGGUCACCCUACACAUGCAAUUCUAAGAGUAUAGCAGCAGAAAGUAAAACAUGCAAGUGUAAUGUAGAGGAGUAAGGUAGGGAGAUCAAACGCAUGAAGUUGACACGACAUUUUUUGGUAUGGUUCCGAUAUGUGGCGCUAUCGUAUGACCAUGUUUGUGGAGACUUCAACCCACGGAGGGUAACGGCCGCGACAGUCCACGGAGGGCUCCACCCACGGAGGUUCCACAAAGAAGCGACCUUGUCUAUCCCACCACGUCUUCCAUCCAUGGAGGACUAGACUUACUCACGGUAGAUCUUCACGAAGUAGGCGAUCUCCUUGCCCUUACGAACAUCUUGGUUCAACUCCAGAACACGAAGUAGGAGGCUCCCAAGAGACACCUAACCAAUCUAGGAGGCACCACCCUCCAAAAGGUAAUAGAUGUGGUAGAUCAAUGAACUCCUUGCUCUUGUGCUUCUAAAGUAGUCUCCUCAACACUAAUCACUCUCUCACGGAAUAUGCAUGGGUAGGACAGGUUGAUUUGGUGGAAAGCAGUUUGGGGAGGCUAGAGAUCAAGUUUCAAAUGAUUGGAUUGGAAUAUCUUGGUCUCAACACAUGAGUAGGUGGUUCUCUCUCAGAAAAUGGAACUGGAAAUGAAGUGUGUGUUUUGAGUGCUUCUCCCAAAAAUGAGAGGUGUGUGAAGGGGUAUAUAUAGGGAGCAGCCAAAAUCCAACCGUUACACAUAAAAGAGCAAACUCGGUGACACCAAAGUUGGAAACUCGGUGGUACCGACUAGCACUAAACAUGUGAACUUUUGAAUCUCGAUGAAACCGAUAUAUACAACUCGGUGGCACCGAAAAGGUGACUAAAGGCCAGAAGGCCAAACUCGGUGGCACCGAUACUCAAAAUCGGAAAUUCCGAUUUUGUGUAUCUUAGCAACAGAAUGUUGGUCACCCAAACUCGAGAACACCGAUGCAGUUUCGGUUGCAUCGAUUUGGUGGGAAUGGCUAGGGUUCUGUCUGAGGUUCAAACUCAGUGGGUUCAAUAUGGAAAUGUUGGCGACACCGAAUUUGUGAAAUGGAAUUUGAUAGAGUGGAAAUGUGGGAAAAAUGAGUGAGUGUUUUGGUGGCUAACUUUGAGCAUUUGAGGAAUCAGUUCAUUUUACUACCUCACCCCCUUUCAAUAGUAUUGGCUUUCCUAUGAACUCAAAAGUGAUUUCUCACAAAUAUAAAAUGAAGAGUCUUAUAGCUUGAAGCUUGCGCCAAAAUUAUUCCUUUCUUGCAUCCAGGGGUAUCUCCACAUAAUCCUUUAGCCAAUGCUCUCUAUGGACUAUUCCUGAAAUAUCUAGGUAAAAGUGUUAGUCCAAGAGAUACUGUAUGUUGUCAUGAAUUAUCAAAAACACCAAGAGAGCAUAUGUGCUUUCACAUAGACUUGCGGAGGAAAAAAAAAGUGUUUCGGGAGGCUCUCUAUGGUUUUGGGAUAUUAGACAAUUUCUAAGAUAGAGAACGAGGGUCCGGAGGGCUCGGAGAUUGCCCCAAGCCAUCAAGGUUCGUUCACCCCCUAGGGCCCCCCUCUUGGCUUGGGGAGCCUCGUGUGCCCUCUAGUCUUCCUAUGAAUCUUAGAGGUCCUUAUUUUGUCCAGAAAAAAUCAUCAAAAAGUUUCGGGGUAUUUGGACUUCAUUUGGUACAGUAUUCCUGAAAAGCCAAAAACAUGCAGAAAAUAACAAGUGGCACUUGUCACUGGUUUAAUAGGUUAGUGCUCAAAAUAGUAUAAAAUAGCAAGUAAAUGCUUAAGAAGCAUCCUAAAAUGAUAAUAUAAUACCAUGGAACAAUGAAAAUUAUAGAUACAUUGGAGACGUAUCGGAGUAAGUCUACGUACCCUUGUAAGCGUAUGAGAGUGUGUCAAAAAAUUCUAGAUACACGAUUGAUGUAGUUGUACUUCUUCAUGAUCCAAUCGUGAUCCGACCUGAUCUAACGCCGAACGGACAUCACCUCCAUGUUCAGCACACGUGCGGAUCGAUGACGUCUUUGCCUCCUCGAUCCAACGAGUGAGGGCGGAGUAGUAGAUGGAAUCGUCAGCAGCAUGACGGCCUCACGGCGAUGGUAGUGGUGCUAUCCCGACAAUUCCUCGCCGAGCGUUAUCAGAACCCUGAACGGAGGAAGAAAUGGACUAGGGAGAGGAGGGUUGCACCACGGCCCGGGGUAUGUCUAUCCUUCCUCUCCUCCACUAUAUAUAGGGGGAAGGGGGAGGGGUGUCGACCCUAGCCCCUCCUCCAAGGGAAGGGGAGACGUCCUAGGGGUGGCUUGGCCCCCAAGGCAAGGGGGCGCCCCCUAGGAUUCCCCCUCAACCCUAGGUACAUGGGCCUUGGGGAGAGGGUGCCUCCCAGCCCGCCAAGGGCUAGUGUGCUCCUUUCUUCAGCCAAUGAGGCCUCUAUGGCAGGUGGGACCCUCCCGGUGGACCCCCGGUGACCCCUCGGUACUCCCAAUACACUACCGGAAAAUCACGGAACCUUUCCAGAACCCAAACACCACUUUCCAAUAUAUAAUUAUUCACCUCAGACCAUUCCAGAGUUCCUCGUCAUGUCCAGAUCUCAUCCGGGACUCUAAACAACAUCCGAUCACCAACGUAUAUAUCCUAAUCCUACUCUAGUGUCACCCAACAUUAAGCAUGUGGACCCUACGGGUUCGAGAAUCAUGUAGACAUGAACGAGACACCUCUCCAGUCAAUUACCAAUAGUUGGACCUGGAUGUCCAUAUUGAUUCCUACCUAUUCCAUGAAGAUCUUUAUCAUUCAAACCACGAUGUCAAUGAUUCAGUCAAUCAUGUAUGUAGUUCCCUUUGUCCAUCAGUAUGUUACUUGCUCGAGAUUCGAUCGUCAGUAUCUCAUACCUAGUUCAAUCCCAUAACCAGCAAGUCUCUUUACUUGUUUCAUAAUAAAGAUCUCGUGACUAGCUCCUUAGUCACAUUUCGAGCAAGCUUCUUGUGAUAUUGUAUUACCGGGAGGGCCCGGAGAUACUUCUCCGUCAUAUAAAGUGAUAAAUCCAAGUCCCGAUCCACGCCAUCCCAACACACACCCUCGAAGAUCCCUGUAGAGCACCUUUAUGAUCACCCAGUUAUGAAGUGACAUUUGAUAGUACACAAGGCAUUCCUCCGGUGUCACGGAGUUGCAUGAUAUCAUGGUCAUAGGAAUAGAUACUUGACAGGAAGGAAGCAGCAGCAAUAAACUAAAUGAUACGAUCAGAUGAUAUGCUUACGGUUGUGUCAUGUCCAUCACAUCAUUCUCCUAAUGAUGUGUUCCCGUUAUCAAAUGACAACUCAUGUCUAUGGUUAGGAAACCUUAACCAUCUUUGAUCAACGAGCUAGUCUAGUAGAGUCUCACUAGGGACAACGUGUUUUUUAUGUAUUCACACAUGUAUCUAAGUUUCCGAUCAAUACAAUUCUAGCAUGGAUAAUAAUCGAUUAUUAUGAACAAGUAAAUAUGAUAAUAACCAAUUUAUUAUUGCCUCUAGAGCAUAACACUAUUUUUGAAGAGGUUUCAAUUGAUUAUGACAACAAAUUUGUUAUCUAUGAUGAUUAUUGUGAUGACAUGUAUACUAUAAAGAGUAAUGAUAACCAUGAAACUUUUUACCAUGAUUUUAAUGUUCAUUUUGGUUAUGCCGAUCAAGUAUCUCAUCAUAGUUAUUUUUUGAGUUUGCUCCCACUAUUAUUAACAAGAAGAAAUUUGCUUAUGUGGAGAGUAAUAAAUUUCUUGUGCAUGUGGAUCAUGAAAAGAAUGCUUUAUGUGAUAGUUAUAUUGUUGAAUUUAUUCAUGAUGCCAUUGAAAAUUAUUAUGAGAGGGGAAGAUAUGCUUAUAUAUAUUUCAACAACACCAAGUUCCCGUGUGGGUGUUGGAAUUUUUAAGUUGCACAUAUUUUGCCUUCCGAUGCUAGUUGAUUAUUGCUACAAUAAAUUGUUUUCUUAUAAAGCCCCUAUGCAUAGGAAGUGGGUUAGUCUUAAAUGUGUUAUAUAUAUAUAUCUCAUGAUGCUCCCUUUAUGUUUCAAUUCAUUACUUUUAUGUGAGUAUCAUUAAAAUCAUCAUGCCUAGCUAAAAGACAUUGAAGAAAAAACACUUGUUGUGAGGAAACCCAAUACAUAUAAUUUAUAUUUUUGUGUCGUUACACGAUUAUGUAGUCAUGUUAUGUAUAUGUUAUUUCAAUAAAGUGUCAAGUUUAGCCUUUUUCAUGCCUAGCUUACAAGUUUACUAGACCAUGGAAUGUUUCUAAAACUUUAUGUAGUAGUGCCAUACAAAUUUUUAUUACUUCCUAAGUUUUCAGAAUUUAGCGAGUUAUAGAAGUAUACUUUUGGAAUUAAUUCCUACAAAUUGUUUUAUUUUAGACAAAUUGAUGUCGUAAUUUUGUUAUCUUCUUAUCCUAGAGUUUUUCAUGGCUUAUAGUGGUAGAUAUAAAUUGUGGAAAUGAUAGUAUGUAGUAGCUAAUGUUUUUAAAAUUACUAUGUAAUCUUCAUAAAACAUGAUUUGGUUAUCCAUGCUUAUGUGUACUAACAUAUGUCACGAGUUUUGUUAAGUUUUAUGUGGAUGAAGUUUUUGAGACUUAGGGGAAACCGUGCAAUGAGAGGAAUUAACGAGACACAAGAGCUUAAGCUUGGGGGUGCCCAAGGCUCCCCAAGUUAAUAUUACAAGAAGUCUCAAGAAUCUAGGCUCGGGGAUACCACGUUAUCAUCCCACCUCUCUUCGUCAACACCUACCGGUUAGUCUAGGUUGAUCCAAAGUUCUUAUUUCUUCACAUUAUAUGCAUUAUUCUUGGAGAGUCCUUCUAUUUUUGUUUUGCUUGAUGUUUAAUACAAUCUUUAUAUGUGAUUUUAAAGCGUCUAUACAUAGCUAGCUAUUUACUUAAAUACUCUAUGUUCUUCACUUAUACAUUUUGGAGUAGUUUAUUGCUUACUAGUGUGCUUCACUUAUACCAUUAUAGAAAGAAAUUUAUGAAUGAAGUGAAUGUCAUGUGCUUCAUUUCUUAUAUGUACAUUGAGAAGUAAAUAUGCAUCCUUCAUUUAAUAUGUUUAAAUAUAAAUGAGACUAUGAUAGUACAUAUCUUUAAUCAAGUAAGGCAGUUUUAUCAAGUUGAACCUAUAAUGGUGUUGUGAUAAGUAUCUCCCAAUGAAGGACUAAUGAUUAACUCGACUCUUGUUUACACAUGUUUGAUUAAUUCCAAAUUCAACCUUCAUGGUACUAAAGAUCUAUAGGUUAUCAUCAUGGUUAUAUUUUUCAAUUAUGUUACUAUUAGGUAAUGCAUGAUUGUGGUUUUUGUGCUCGGUAAAGUGGUUGCCCCUAGUCUUAUGUAGCCUCGUCAUGCAUUAAACAGAAAUACUGCUUAUGCUUUGAAAUUCUGAAUAAAAAAAUUAUGCCAUAGCGUGUCCACCAUGGCUACCUAUAAGAUGGAAUUUCACUGUCAUUCCAAGUAAAUUUACAUGUCCCACCUCUAAAUAUUCAAAUAAAAUCUCUUUUUGCGUACACGUACAAGCUCAUAGGAUCAGUAGGCUAGCUCAUAUCUUCCAUGCUAAGUGAGUUACCUCACAAAAAAAGUUACUCAAAUGUUGCCUUGAGGGAGGCUAGUACAUGAUGCCCAACCCCAAUUAAAUAUCUAAAUAAUAUAAACAUAACUUCCAUGGAAAGUGAUUGAUUGAAGGGCAUCCAUGAAUUCGGCUAGCCAUGGCUAUGAUUAGUAUGGUGGAAGGGAAACAAAAUAUUUUUUGUUUGGGAACCGCCUCAAAUGUGUUUAGCAUGAAAUAUACAUAAUAUUCUAACAUUAAUGUUGACUCAAAAAGCAUAGCUCUCAAAAUACAAUUAUAUUUAUUUUUAAUCAAUGGGCUUUGGCACAUAAGCAAAUAUCUGCUCCCCUCUGCGAGAAACAUAUCUUUUAUUACUUAAAGCUUUACUUUUAUGCAAGAGUCAAAAUAUUUCCUCCUAUUCCAACCUCAAUUCUUCUCCACUUGUAAGCAUCAUGUGGUGGGAAAAGAUCCACGCACAUAAAUCCAGUAAAAUAUAUGUGAAGAUGAGUUAUUAUUGAUGAUGCUUAUCCUUGUGAUAAGAAAGUUGGAAGGUGGCUUAUUAAACCCACACCUUAAUCUAUGUCUGAUAAAAACAAUUUGAUCUAAAGAUAUGCUUUGAGUGCCAACAAUCAUGGAAGAUUAUAUGAUAGUUGGGUAUGUGGAGUUUGCUAAUCAAAGCACUUACAUAGACCCUUCUUGAAAAUAAGAUGAAUUAUAAUUUUUUAUGACUAAAAACACAGUUUGUCAAGUUUCAAAAGAGUUUAUGGUUUAUACUUUAACAUGUGAAUAAUUUGCUAAUUGAUCAUUAGAAGAUUUAUGAGAAACAAGUUGUUAUUUAUGAUAUAUCAUUGAUCAAAAUUAUAGGGCAUGUUGGCUCGGCCACGCAUGCACAUGAGGUGGCCGAAGUGGGGAAUGUGGACUCGGACAUGAGCGCGUGCACACGCAUGUUGCAGGAUGGUUGGCACAAAGUGGGGGACGACCCUAACGUGCGGGCCUCACACGUCCGCGGCUCAUGGAAGGGGAGUGCGGGAGUUAGGUGGGUUGGGGUUAGUUAGGUCUAGGUGGGCCGGUUGGGUUAGGUUUAGGCCUUUUCUUUUUUCUGUUUUUGUUUCUAUUUUUAUUUUUUAGAUUUUUUCUAAUUUCAAAACUAUUUUGAAUUUAAAUUUACUAUGAGAGACAAGCUUGCAUGCNNNNNNNNNNNNNNNNNNNNNNNNNNNNNNNNNNNNNNNNNNNNNNNNNNNNNNNNNNNNNNNNNNNNNNNNNNNNNNNNNNNNNNNNNNNNNNNNNNNNUGCAGACAUGGCCUCGGAANACAUGAGACCGAAAGGUCGAGCAUGAAUUGUAUAGUUGAUAUGAUUAGCAUAGAGAUGCUUACCACUGAAACUAUUCUCGACUCACGUGAUGAUCGGACUUGAGAUAGUGGAUUUGGAUCAUGUACCACUCAAAUGACUAGAGAGAUGUACUUUUUGAGUGGGAGUUCUUAAGUAAUAUGAUUAAUUGAACUAAUUGUCAUGAACAUAGUCUAAUGGUAUUUGCGAAUUACGAUGUAGCUUGCGCUAUAGCUCUACUGUUUUUAUAUGUUCCUAGAGAAAAUUUAGUUGAAAGUUGAUAGUAGCAAACUUUGCAGACUGAGUCUGUAAAACCAAGGAUUGUCCUCGUUGCUGCAUAGAAGGCUUAUGUCCUUAAUGCACCACUCGGUGUGCUGCACCUCGAGCGUCGUCUGUGGAUGCUGUGAACAUCCGACAUACACGUUUCUGAUUACUACACAAUAGUUCAGUGCAAGAUACUUAAUGGCUUAGAAGCAAGGCGCCGAAAACGUUGUAAAACGUCACGGAACAUAAGUGAUGUUCUAAAGAGAUGAAAUUAUGAUUUCAUGCUUGUGCCCUUGUUAAGAGGUACGAGACCUCCAACAAGAUUCUUUGUCCACAAAGUAAAAGAGAAAAGCUCAAUCGAUGAGCGUGUGCUCAGAUUGUUUGAGUACGACAAUCACUUGAAUCAAGUGGGAGUUAAUCUUCCAGAUGAGAUGGUGAUGGUUCUCCAAAAGACACUGCCACCAAGCUGUGAGAGCUUCGUGAUGAACUAUAACAUAUUGAGGAUAGAUACAAUGAUCCUUGAGCGAUUCGUGAUGUUUGACACUGCGAAAGUAGAAAUCAAGAAGGAGCGUCAAUAGUUGAUGGUUUGUAAAACCACUAAGUUUCAAGAAAGGCAAGGGCUAGAAGGGAUACUUCGUGAAACGGCAAAACAGUUGCUGCACUAAUGAAGAGACCCAAUAUUAAACCCAAACCCGAGACUAAGUGCUUCCGUAAUGAGGGGAACAAUCACUGAGGCGGAGCAACUCAAGAUACUUGGUAGAUAAGAUGGCUGGCAAAAGUCGAAAGAAGUGUAUUUGAUAUACAUGAUGUUGAUGUGUACUUUACUAGUACUCCUAGUAGCACGAGGGUAUUGGAUACCGGUUCAGUUGCUAAGUGAUUAGUGACGCGAAAUGAAAGCUACGGCAUAAACGGAGACUAGCUAAAGGCGAGGUGACGAUACGUGUUGGAAGUGUUUCCAAGAUUGAUAUGAUCAAACGUCGCACGCUCCCUCUAUCAUCGGGAUUGGUGUUAAACCUAAAUAAUUGUUAUUUCGUGCUUGCGUUAAACAUGAACAUGAUUGGAUCGUGUUUAUUGCAAUACGAUUAUUCAUUUAAAGAGAAUAAUGGUUACUCUAUUUUCUUGAAUAAUCACCUUCAAUGGUUUAUUGAAUCUCGAUCGUAGUGUUACACAUGUUCAUGAUAUUGGUGCCAAAAGAUACAAGUUGAUGAUGAUAGUACCACUUACUUGUGGCACUGCCGCUUAAGUCAUGUUAGUAUAAAUUGCAUGAAGAGGCUCCAUGCUGAUGGAUCUUUUUACUCACCUGAUUUCGAAUCACUAGUGACAUGCAAAUCAUACCACAUGAGCAAGGCCUUGUUUUCAUUGAGAUGAAAUAAGAUAGUAACUUGUUGAAAGUGAUACAUUUUGAUGUAUGCAGUCCAAUGGGUGCUGAGGCACGUAGUGGAUAUCAUUAUGUUCUUACUUCACUGACGAUUUGAGUAGAUACAGGAGUAUUUACUUAAUGAAUCACAAGUCUGAAAUGUUGAAAAGUUCAAUUCCGUUUCAGAGUGAAGUUCGUCGUAACAAGAGGAUAAACUGUCUACGAUAUGAUCAUGGAAAUGAAUAUCUGAGUUAUGAGUUUUGGUACGCAGUUAAGACAAUGUGGAAAUUGUUUCGCAGUUCAUGCCACCUGGAACAUCAUAGUGUGAUGAUGUGUCUGAACGUCAUAGCCACGCACUAUUUGGUAUGGUGCAUACUAUGAUGUCUCUUAUCGAAUUACCACUAUCAUUUAUGGGUUAUGCAUUAGAGACAACCGCACUCACUUUAAAUAGGGCACCGCGUAUUUCCGUUGAGAUGACACAGUAUAGACUGAGGUUUAGAGAAAUCUAAACUGUCGUUUCUUGAAAGUUUGGGGCUUCGACACUUAUGUGAAAAAGUUUCAGUCUGAUAAGCUCGAACCCAAAGCGGAUAAAUGCAUCUUCAUAGGAUAUCCAAAACAGUUGGGUACAUCUCCUAUCUCAGAUCCGAAAGCAAAGUGUUUGUUUCUAGAAACGGAUCCUUUCUCGAGGAAAGGUUUCUCUCGAAAGAAUUGAGUGGGAGGGUAGUAGAACUUGAUGAGGUUAUUGAACCAUCACUUCAACCAGUGUGUAGCAGGGUGCAGGAAGUUGUUCCUGUGGCGCCUACACCAAUUGAAGUGGAAGCAGAUGAUGGUGAUCAUCAAGCAUCGGAUCAAGUUACUACAAGCCUCGUAGGUUGACAAGGUCGCAUACUACUACAGAGUGGUACGGUAACCCUGUCUUGGAGGUCAUGUUGUUGAGCAACAGUGAACCUACGAGUUAUGGAGAAAGCGAUGGUGGGCCCAGAUUCUGACAAAUGGCUGGAAGCCAUGAAAUCCGAGAGAGGAUCCAUGUAUAAAACAAAGUGUAGACUUUGAAAGAACUACUUGAUGGUCAUAAGACUAUUGAGUAAAGAUGGAUCUUUAAAAGAAGACAGACGAUGAUGGUGAUAAGUCACUAUUAAGAAAAGCUCGACUUGUCGCAAAGAUGUUUUCGACAAGAUCAAACAGUUGACUAUGAUGAGACUUUCUCACUCGUAGCGAUGCUAAAGGUCUGUUGGAAUUAUGUUAGUUGUUGAUGCAUUAUUUAUGAAAUAUUGCACGUAGGAUGUCAAAACAUUGUUUUCUCGACGGUUUCCUUGAGCAAACAUUGUAUGUGAUUCAACCAGAAGGUUUUGACGAUCCUAAAGAUACUAACAAGUAUGCAAGCUCCAGUGAUCCUUCAAUGGACUGGUGCAAGCAUCUCGGAGUUGGAAUAUACACUUUGAUGAGAUGAUCAAAGAUUUUGGGUUUGUACAAGGUUUAUGAGAAACUUGUAUUUCCAAAGAAGUGAGUGGGAGCACUAUAGAAUUUCUGAUAGGUAUAUGUGGUUGACAUAUUGUGGAUCAGAAGUAAUGUAGAAUUUAUGUAAAGCAUACAAGGUUGUUUGAAAGAAGUUUUCAAAGGAGUACCUGGAUUACGCUACUUGAACGUUGAGCAUCAAAGAUCUAUGGAGAUAGAUCGAAAGCGCUUAAUAGAAGUUUCAACAAGAUGCAUGCCUUGACAAGUUUUUGAAAGAGUUCAAAAUAGACCAGCAAAGAAGGAGUUCUUGGUUGCGUUGUGAGGUGUGAAUUUGAGUAAGACUCAAAACCCGACCACGGCAGAAUAAAGAGAAUAGACGAAGGUCGUCUUCUAUGCCUUAGCCGUAGAAUCUAAAGUAUGCCAUACUGUGUACCUAUCCCCUAGUGUGCCUUGACUCAAAGUAUGUUGAGAGGUACAGAGAGUGAUCCAUGAUUGAAUCACUAGCAGCGGUCGAAAUUGAUCCUUAGUAACUAAUGGACUAAGGAAUUUUUCUCGAUUAUGGAGGUGGUUAAAGAGUUCGUCGUAAAGGGUUACGUCGAUGCAAGCUUUGACACUAAUCCGAAUAACUAUGAGUAGUGAAACGGAUUCGUAUAGUAGAGUAGAUAUUUGGAGUAUUUCCGAAUAGCACGUAGUAGCAGCAUCUAUAAGAUGACAUAAAGAUUUGUAAAGAACGCACGGAUCUGAAAGUUUCAGAACCGUUGACUAAAACCUCUCUCACGAGCAAGACGUGAUCAGACCCCAUAACUAUAUGGGUGUUGGAUUCGUUGGAAUCACAUGGUGAUGUGAACUAGAUUAUUGACUCUAGUGCAAGUGGGAGACUGUUGGAAAUAUGCCCUAGAGGCAAUAAUAAAUUAGUUAUUAUUAUAUUUCUUAGUUCAUGAUAAUCGUUUAUUAUCCAUGCUAUAAUUGUAUUGAUUGGAAACACAAUACUUGUGUGGAUACAUAGACAAAACACUGUCCCUAGUAAGCCUCUAGUUGACUAGCUCGUUGAUCAAAGAUGGUCAAGGUUUCCUGGCCAUAGGCAAGUGUUGUCACUUGAUAACGGGAUCACAUUAUUAGGAGAAUCAUGUGAUGGACUAGACCCAAACUAAUAGACGUAGCAUGUUGAUCGUGUCAUUUUGUUGCUACUGUUUUCUGCGUGUCAAGUAUUUAUUCCUAUGACCAUGAGAUCAUAUAACUCACUGACACCGGAGGAAUGCUUUGUGUGUAUCAAACGUCGCAACGUAACUGGGUGACUAUAAAGAUGCUCUACAGGUAUCUCCGAAGGUGUUAGUUGAGUUAGUAUGGAUCAAGACUGGGAUUUGUCACUCCGUGUGACGGAGAGGUAUCUCAGGGCCCACUCGGUAAUACAACAUCACACAUAAGCCUUGCAAGCAAUGUAACUUAGUGUAAGUUGCGGGAUCUUGUAUUACGGAACGAGUAAAGAGACUUGCCGGUAAACGAGGUUGAAAUAGGUAUACGGAUACUGACGAUCGAAUCUCGGGCAAGUAACAUACCGAAGGACAAAGGGAAUGACAUACGGGAUUAUACGAAUCCUUGGCACUGAGGUUCAAACGAUAAGAUCUUCGUAGAAUAUGUAGGAUCCAAUAUGGGCAUCCAGGUCCCGCUAUUGGAUAUUGACCGAGGAGUCUCUCGGGUCAUGUCUACAUAGUUCUCGAACCCGCAGGGUCUGCACACUUAAGGUUCGACGAUGUUUUAUGCGUAUUUGAGUUAUAUGGUUGGUUACCGAAUGUUGUUCGGAGUCCCGGAUGGGAUCACGGACGUCACGAGGGUUUCCGGAAUGGUCCGGAGACGAAGAUUGAUAUAUAGGAUGACCUCAUUUGGUUACCGGAAAGUUUCCGGGCAUUACCGGAAAAGUUUCGGGCUCAUCGGUAGUGUACCGGGAGUGCCGGGAGGGGUGCCGGGGACCAUCGGGAGGGGUGUCACGCCCCAAGGGGUCUCAUGGGCUAUGGGAAGAGAUAAACCAGCCCCUAGUGGGCUGGAAUAAGUUCCCACUAAGGCCCAUAAGGUUUGAGAAGGAAAAAACACAAGGUGGAAAGAGUUUCCAAGUGGGAAGGUGGAAUCCUACUCCAAGUAGGAUUGGAGUAGGACUCCUCCACCUCCAAUUUCGGCCAAACCUUUGGGUUUUGAGGCUGCCUCCUCCCCUCCCUCCCACCUAUAUAUACGGAGGUUUUAGGGCUGAUUUGAGACGCUUUUCUCACGGCUGCCCGACCACAUACCUCCAUAGUUUUUCCUCUAGAUCACGUUUCUGCGGAGCUCGGGCGGAGCCCUGCUGAGACAAGAUCAUCACCGACCUCCGGAGCACCGUCACGCUGCCGGAGAACUCUUCUACCUCUCCGUCUCUCUUGCUGGAUCAAGAAGGCCGAGAUCAUCGUCGAGCUGUACGUGUGCUGAACGCGGAGGUGCCGUCCGUUCGGUACUAGAUCGUGGGACUGAUCGCGGGAUUGUUCGCGGGGCGGAUCGAGGGACGUGAGGACGUUCCACUACAUCAACCGCGAUCUCUAAUCGCUUCUGCUGUACGAUCUACAAGGGUACGUAGAUCGCUCAUCCCCUCUUGUAGAUGAACAUCACCAUGAUAGGUCUUCGUGCGCGUAGGAAAUUUUUUGUUUCCCAUGCGACAUUCCCCAACACUUUUUACCCUUGAUGGCAACAACACGAUACGUGCCUUGCUAACCCUUGUGUCACUUGGUGAGAUCACCACACGGUAUGAAUCCAAAACCAAGCACUUCUCUCAUGGCAAGAAUCAUAGAUCUAGUUGGCCAAACAAAACCCACAACUCGAAGAGAAUUACAAGGAUAUGAAAUCAUGCAUAAGAGAGAUCAGAAGAAACUCAAAUAAGAUUCAUAGAUAAUCUGAUCAUAAAUCCACAAUUCAUCGGAUCUCGACAAACACACCGCAAAAGAAGAUUACAUCGGAUAGAUCUCCAUGAAGAUCAUGGAGAACUUUGUAUUGAAGAUCCAAGAGAGAGAAGAAGCCAUCUAGUUACUAACUAUGGACCCGUAGGUCUAUGGUGAACUACUCACGCAUCAUCGGAGAGGUCAUGGUGUUGAUGGAGAAGCCUUCCGUGUCCGAAUCCCCUCUCUGGCAGGGCACCAAGACGUGCCCCAGAUGGGAUCUUGCGGAGACAGAAGCUUGCGGCGACGGAAAAGUGAUUACGAUGCUCCCCUGAUUUUGUGUGGAAUUUUUGGGGAUAUAUAGGCGCAAACCCUAGGGCACACGUGGCCUAGGGAGCCCACAAGCCUGGACAGCGCGGCCCCCCUGGCCACGCCAUGAGGGCUUGUGGGGUCCCUGAGGACCCCCUGCCUUCGUUCUCAAGUCUCCCGAUCUUCUUCCGUUCCGGAAAAAUCUUUUUGGAAGUUUUAUUCCGUUUGGACUCUGUUCAAAAUCCUCCUCUGAAAGGGGUCAAAAACAUGGGAAAACAGGAACUGGCACUUGGCACUGGAUUAAUAAGUUAGUUCUAGAAAAUAAAUAAAAGGCAUGCAAAACAUCCAAAGUUUGACAAGAUAAUAGCAUGAAACCAUAAAAAAUUAUAGAUACGUUUGAGACGUAUCAAGCAUCCCCAAGCUUAACUCCUGCUCGUCCUCGAGUAGGGAAGUGAUAAAGAAUGAAUUUUUGAUGUGGAAUGCUACCUAGCAUAGUUGCCCUUUGCAACUUCUUUCACGUGGCAUGAACGUUCAGAUCCGUAAGAUUCAAAACAAUAGUUUGCUAUUGACAUGAAAACAGUAAUACUUCAAGCAAACUAGCAAAGUAGUCAUGAACUUUCAAAAUAACAAGGCCAAAGAAAGUUAUCCCUACAAAAUCAUAUAGUCUGGCUAUGCUCCAUCAUCCUCACACAACUAAUGUAAAUCAUGCACAACCCCAGAAUUGGCCAAGUAAUUGCUUUCACACUCUUACUUUCUCAAAAUUUUUAUAACUAUCACGCAAUACAUGAGCACGAGCCAUGGAUAUAGCACUAUAGGUGGAAUAGAGUGUGGUGGUGGUUGUGAGACAAAAAGGAGGAGAUGGUCACAUUGACUCGACGUAUCAAUAGGCUAUGGAGAGGCCCAUUAAUAGAUAUCAACCUGAAUAAGUAGGGAUUGCCAUACAAGAGAUGCACUAGAGCUAAAAGUAUGUGGAAGCUCAAAAGGAAAACUAGUGGGUGUGCAUCCAACUUGCUUGCUCACGAAGACCUAGGGCAAUUUUGAGGAAGCCCAUCAUUGGAAUAUACAAGCCAAGUUAUAUAAAAGGUUCCCACUAGCAUAUUGUAGUGACAAAGCAAGAAGCUCUCAAUCAUGAAGAACAUGGUGCUAAUACGAAGCACAAGUGUGGAAAAAGAUAGUAGCAUUAUCCCUUCUCUCUUUUUCUCUCAUUUUUUAUUUGGGCUCUUAGGCCUCUUUUUUCUUUUCUCUUUUUUUUUGUUUUUGGGCUCUUUGGCCUCUUUUUUUUCCUCACAUGGGACAAUGCUCUAAUAAUGAUGAUCAUCACACUUUUAGUUACUCAAAGCUCAAAGAUCACAAUGAUGAUGACUCCAUAGGGAAUGCCUCCGGCAGUGUACCGAGAUGUGCAACGAUCUAGUAUGAUCAUGCAAUGGCAAUAUGAGAGUGACAACACAAGUCAUGAGACGGAACGGUGGUAGUUGCAUGGCAAUAUAUCUCGGAAUGGCUAUGAAAAUGCCAUAGUAGGUAGGUAUGGUGGCUGUUUUGAGGAAGGAAUUUGGUGGGUUUGUGCACCGACGAGAAUUGCGCGACACUAGAGAGGCUAGUAAUGGUGGAAGAUGAAAGUGCAUCUAAUCCAUGGACUCAACAUUAGUCAUAAAGAACUCACAUACUUGUUGUGAAAGUUUUUAUUAGUAAUCGAAACAAAGUGCUAAACGCAUACUCCGAGGGGAAGGAUUGGUAGGUGUAAACCAUCGCGCGAUCCCGACCUCAACACAAAGGAUGACAAUCAAUAGAUCAAUUAUGCUCUGACUUCCUAACAUAGCGGUUCACCAUACGUGCAUGCUACGGGAAUCACUAACUUCAACACAAGUAUUUCUAGAUUCACAACACCCUACUAAUAUAGCUUUAAUAUUCCCGAAUCCAUGUCUCAAAACUAAUUGAGAGGAAUCGAAACUUUUCUUUCUACUCAAUGCACAUGAAGAUGGAAGUUUUUGCAUCCUUUUUGGGUACCUAGCACAUGGGACUACUUUAUAGCAUAAUCCAACUACCAAAUAACGCACCACCGUGCUCUAAAGAUAUAAGUGAAGCACAAGAGCAAAAGUAUCUAGCUCAAAGGAUAUAAGUGAAGCACUAGAGCAAAAGUAUCUAGCUCAAAAGAUAUAAGUGAAGCACUAGAGCAAAAGUAUCUACCUCAGAAGAUAUAAGUGAAGCAUUAUGAGCAUUCUAGCAAAAUCACGAUGAGUGCGUGUCUCUCUCUCUCUCAAAAAGGUGUGCAGCAAGGAUGAUUGUGACACAAAAAAAAUAAAAGACUCCUAUGAUACAAGACGCUCCAAGCAAAACACAUAUCAUGUGGUGAAUAAAAAUAUAGCUCCAAGUAAUGUUACCGAUGGAUUGAAGACGAAAGAGGGGAUGCCUUCCCGGGGCAUCCCCAAGCUUAGGCUUUUUGGUGUCCUUGAAUUUAGCUUGGACGGCCUUGGGCAUCCCCAAGCUUGAGCUCUUUCCACUCCUUGUCUCUUUGUCCAUGAGAACGUCACCCAAAACUUGAAAACUUCACAACACAAAACUUAAACAGAAACUUGUGAUAACAUUAGUACAAGAAAGCAAACUACCACUUCUUUUGGUACUGUAGCAAACUUGAAUUCCAUCCAUAUUGAUGAUGAGCUACUGUAUUCUCACUUUUCCAUGGCUAGUACCCCCCGAUACUAAGCAUAGUUUCAUCAAAACCAAGCAACCAACUCAAUAAAAAUAGAAUCUGUCAAAAACAUACCAGUCUGUAGCAAUAUGUAUACUUCGUAUACCUAUGGUACCUCAAUAAUUUUGAAAACUUACGAUGGUCUAUGUAAAAAGCAUAUCAAUUAGUAGCAAAAAGAAUCAACUCAAAAUAUUUUUCUAAUAAAAAUGAAAAAUCAUCUCGUGAGCUAAAAGUUUCUGUCUUUUUCCAGCAAGAUCAAACAACCAUUACCAAGACCAAUCAUAAAGGUCUUGCUUGGCUCAAACACAAAAAGAAACACAAAAAACACAAUCACAACAGAAUUGUGAAAGUGUGGACGCAACAAAACAGAAAGAAAAAGAUAAAUUCAUUGGGUUGCCUCCCAACAAGCGUUAUUGUUUAACGCCCUUAGCUAUGCAUUGAUAAUUCAAUGAUGCUCACACAAAAGACAAGAAUUUAAGCACAACGAGAGCAUCAUAAAGCAUGUGAAAAUCACAUCUAAGUCUAACAUACUUCCUAUGCAUAGGCAUUUUAUAGGAAAACAGAUUGUCAAGACAACCAAUAGUUACCAUAUGCAAGGAAUAAGAAAGAGACAAUAGCAAUCUCAAUAUAACGAGAGGUGAUUUAGUGAUAUGAAAGUUUCUACCAUCAUAUUUUCCUCUCUCAUUAGAUGUGGGAUCAUAUUCGAAUUCAACAAUGUAACUAUCACAUAGGAUAUUCUUUUCAUGAUCCACAUGCAUGCAAAGUUGACGCUCUUCAAAAAUAGUGGGAUUAUCAUCAACUAAAGUCAUGACUUCUCCAAACCCACUUUCAAUAAUAUUGCAAAUAUCAUAUUCCUCAUGCGGGUUAAACAAAUUUUCAAGAUCAUAAGAAAAAUCAUCACCCCAAUCAUGAUCAUUGCAACCAGUAGUGGACAUAGCAAAACUAGCAUCCCCAAGCUUAGGGUUUUGCAUAUUUUUGGCAUGAUUGUCACUAAUAGAAUUUAUAGUGAAACCAUUGCAAUCAUGCUUUUCAUCCAGGGAGCCCUCGUGAAUCACUUCAUAAAUUUCUUCCUCACAAUUCUCAGAUUCACGCAUCUCAAGCAAAACUCCAUAAAGAUAGUCAAGUGCCCUCAACUCACUAGCCAAUUGUUCAUCAUAAUUUGGUCUUUUGAAAAGACUAGCCAGUGGAUGAGGAUCCAUAUCAAUGGAUUAUUAGCAAGCAAAUAUGCAAGUUAAAAGAAGGCACAUGGUAACACAAGCAAACAGAAAGCGAGCGGAAGAAGGGCAAACGGAAAAAGGCAAAUUGGUGAAGUGGGGGGAGAGGAAAACGAGAGACAAAGGCAAACAAAGUAAAUGCAAGAGAUGAGUUUGCGAUACUUACUUGGAUGAGUUCUUGACUUGAUCUUCCUCCCCGGCAACGGCGCCAGAAAUUGGCACGUUGACGGGAGACUAUUCUUGACUUGAUCCUCCUCCCCGGCAACGGCGCCAGAAAUUCUUCUGCUACGGCAACAAAAGUCCUUCCCUGGCGCGUAGGAAUUCCUCUUGUUACUUCUCUGAUUUGCGUUGGUUUUUCCCUUGAAUAGGAAAGGGUGAUGCAGCACAGGAGCAGUAAGUAUUUCCCUCAGUUUGAGAACCAAGGUAUCGAACCAAAAGGAGGGCCUCGUCAAGUCCAAAGUACCUGCGCAAAAACAAACAACUUGCACCCAACGCUUCAAAGGGGUUGUCAAUCCCUUCAAGAUUGUUUGCAAAAGUGAGAUCUGAAGGCGGAAAGUGCAACGAAGUAAAAAGUGUAAGGCUGAAAAUAUGGUGUGGAGUAGACCCUGGGGGCCAUAGUGUUCACUAGAGGCUUCUCUCAUAAUAGAAAAUAUCGCGGUGGGUGAACAAAUUACUAUCGAGCAAUUGAUAGAACCGUGCAAAGUCAUGACGAUAUCUAAGGCAAUGAUCAAGCAUAUAGGCAUCACGUCCGAUACAAGUAGACCGAUACUUUCUGCAUCUACUACUAUUACUCCACACAUCGAUCGCAAUCCAGCAUGCAUCUAGUGUAUUGAGUUCAUGACGAACAGAGUAACGCUUUAAGAAAGAUGACAUGAUGUAGAGGGAUAAUCUCAAACGAAUGAUGAAAACCCCAUCUUUUUACCCUUGAUGGCAACAAAACGAUACGUGCCUUGCUACCCCUUCUGUCACUGGGUGAGGUCACCACACGGUAUGAACCCAAAACCAAGCACUUCUCCCAUGGCAAGAAUCAUAGAUCUAGUGGGCCAAACAAAACCUACAACUCGAAGAGAAUUACAAGGAUAUGAAAUCAUGCAUAAGAGAGAUCAGAAGAAACUCAAAUAAGAUUCAUAGAUAAUCUGAUCAUAAAUCCACAAUUCAUCGGAUCUCGACAAACACACCGCAAAAGAAGAUUACAUCGGAUAGAUCUCCAUGAAGAUCAUGGAGAACUUUGUAUUGAAGAUCCAAGAGAGAGAAGAAGCCAUCUAGUUACUAGCUAUGGACCCGUAGGUCUAUGGUGAACUACUCACGCAUCAUCAAAGAGGUCAUGGUGUUCAUGGAGAAGCCUGCCGUGUCCAAAUCCCCUCUCUGGCAGGGCACCAGGACGUGCCCCAGAUGGGAUCUUGCGGAGACAGAAGCUUGCGGUGGUGGAAAAGUGAUUACGAGGCUCCCCUGAUUUUUUGUGGAAUUUUUGGGGAUAUAUAGGCGCAAACCCUAGGGCAGACGUGGCCCAGGGAGCCCACAAGCCUGGACGGCGCGGUCCCCCUGGCCGCGCCAUGAGGGCUUGUGGGGUCCCUGAGGACCCCGUGCCUUGGUUCUCAAGGAUCCCGAUCUUCUUCCGUUCCGGAAAAAAUCUUUUCGGAAGUUUUAUUCCAUUUGGACUCCGUUCAAAAUUCUCCUCUGAAAGGGGUCAAAAACAUGGAAAAAACAGGAACUGGCACUUGGCACUGGAUUAAUAAUUAGUCCCAGAAAAUAAAUAAAAGGCAUGCAAAACAUCCAAAGUUUGACAAGAUAAUAGCAUGAAACCAUCAAAAAUUAUAGAUACGUUGGAGACGUAUCAGAGCUUCUACCGCAAAAUGUUCCAUUACCCAUUGUGAAGCUAUGUGCAUUCCUCAAUGCAAUAUCUCAGAAGGUAAUCGAUCGAGAACGUCUGGAAAGGCUACAGAAGGAUGUGGUCCAAUGUCUUGUCAGUUUUGAGUUGGUGUUCCCCCCGUCCUUCUUCAAUAUUAUGACGCAUCUCCUGGUUCACCUAGUCGACGAGAUUUCCAUUCCCGGUCCUUUAUUUCUACACAAUAUGUUCCCCUUCGAGGGAUUCAUGGGAGUCUUAAAAAAAUAUGUUCAUAACCGUGCUGGGCCAGAAGGAAGCAUCUCCUUGGCUAUGGAACAGAGGAGGUCAUUGGGUUCUGUGUAGACUUUCUUCCUGACCUUAAGCCGAUUGGUAUUCCUGAAUCGCGGCAUGAGGGGAGACUGAGUGGAAAAGGCGCACUAGGAAAGAAAGCAGUGAUAUGUAGGGACGGGCAUUCUUUCACUCAAGCACACUACACAGUUCUAAAAAGUUCCACCUUCGUGGCUUCGUAUAUCGAGGAGCACAAGAAUUUUGUACGCUCCGAGUUCCCGGGGAAGGCUAUCUCCUGGAUUGAAGAAAAACACAUGGAUACUUUCGGCAGUUGGUUGCGAGCACGUCUCAUGAAUGACAAUACUGUUGGAGAUCAACUCUACUUGUUGGUCGCGUCACCUUCUUCGACUGUAUUACAUUUCCAAGGGUACGAGAUAAACGGGAAUACUUUUUACAUGACCGCCAAAGAUAAAAAGAGCACCAACCAAAACAGUGGUGUCCGCUAUGAUGCCAUAGACAAUAAUGGGAAAAAGGACACAUACUAUGGUUACAUAGAGGAUGUAUGGGAAGUUGACUACGGACCUACUUUGAAGAUUCCUUUGUUUCGGUGUAGUUGGGUGAACAUGAAUGGAGAAGGGGUACAGGUAGACCAGUUGUACGGAAUGACAAUAGUUGAUCUCAAGAAUCUUGGUUACACAGACGAGCCAUUAGCCAAUGAUGUGGCUCAGGUUUUCUACGUGAAAGACAUGUCCUCUAGACCGAAAAAAAGAAAGAAAAAAAUAAGCAAAUGAAUACAUCAUACGAUGAGCCAAAGCGUCACAUAGUUCUUUCAGGGAAAAGAAACAUCAUGGGGAUCGAGGACAAGACAGACAUGUCAGCAGAUUAUAAUAAGUUUGAUGAAAUUCCGCCCUUCAUAGUGAGAAUUGACCCAAGCAUCCCGUUAAAUAAUGAAGAUGCUCCAUGGUUACGGCAUAAGCGAUCAUAGGGAAGGGAUCGAAAUAUAAAUCUAUGUAAUGUAUUAAACUUUAUGUGAUGUGUACUAAUGUAUUAAACUUUAUAUACUAUGUCAGCAGAUUGUCCGUUUUGUACACGAAGUGCUUCGAGUUUUUGUCGUAACCCUCUCAACUCUUUAUCACAUGCUAUGUGGGUGAAAUGAUGAUACCAUGCCAACUUUCAACAUUUUCAGAGUUCAUUUGUAGUGUUUUUCAAUUUCAGGGUCCACUAGCUAAAAAAAUAAGUAAAUGAACGAAAAAUAUCAAAUGAAGUCAGAAAUUGUUCAAAAUUUGUGAUGUGCCUUUGAAUAGUGCAUUUUGAACACACAAGAAGUAUGGAGUUCAAACAAGUUCAAAAGAAUGAAAUCCCUUUGUUAAAAUCUUAAAUAGAAAACAAAAAUAAAAGAGAAAAAUUAUAAAAGGAAAAAAAAUGCCGCCUAUUGGGCCAUCAUGGCCUGCAUACGACUAGAAACCCUAGAGGACAGGUGGGCCAGGAUGCAGGCCCGCGAGCCCAAUAUAGGACCAACAGGCAACGAGAGAACAGAUAGGCCCGAAGGCCUGCUUUAGAGAGGAGUUCGAUGCAGUUGCUGCGACGGGGCUUAUAAACUAGUGCCAACGCCCCUCGCUCGGCGAGGUGGGACUAAACAUUUCGCGGGGCUUUAGCCCCGGGUCGUUGCUAGAAUGGGAACUAAAGACACCCUUUAGUCCCGGGUCUGGCCACGACCCGAGGCUAAAGACCAUCUCCUUCCCGCCUCUUUGCGUGCUGAAAACUACCUUUAGCCCCGGGUCGUGGGACGAACCGGGACUAAAGGAUGGUCAUUAGUCCCAGUUCUUCCUACGACGCGGGGCUAAAGCCCGUCCUAUAUAAGCGGGACUUCGAUUUUUCCAACCCCCAACAUCGCCAGUUUCGUUUUCUUCCUCCUCUCGCUCUCCUACGCCGCACGCGACGACGAUCUGGACGCCGCCAGGCUGCCCCGACGUCCGCCUCGCUGUUACCAUCGCCGACGCCCGUCGUCCUCCUCGGCGGCAUCAGAUCUACGCGCGGGCCUCUUCUCCCCCGAGGUGAGCCGCCCUCUUCUCCCUCUCCUCCACGGCUGCGACGAGCUCGACCGCGCGCGCGCCAUUGCCGCCAUGGCCGCCCCUCCCCGAGCCCAUCCCCCACCUAGCCACCACCGGAGAUGCCCGAUCCAUCUCCGGCGUAGGAGCCCCGGCCCGCCGCGCCCCGUCCAUCUCCGACGUUUGAGCCGCCGGUGUCGUACGUACACACACACACACUCUGUGAAACACUGUGAAAAAAAUUAUGGUUAAGAAAUAAAAUUAGUUAAUUAGAGAGUAAAACAGAAAAUUAGGAUUAUUGUUUUAGGUAAUUAAGUGUUCAUAUUGUUUUUGUUAAUUAAGUGUGUCCAUAUUAUUUUUGGUAAUUAAGUGUUUCAUAUUGUUUUAGUUAAUUUAGUUGUUUAGUUUUUUUUGCAAAAGUUUGAUGAGAAUUUUGACAUUUGCUCCGUAUGUAGUUUUCUGAUGAAAUCUUUAAAAUGUCUUAUAUUUUGAAACAGAAGGAGUGUACAUAUUUAGAAAUUUUUAUUAAACAGUAGGAAUUUAAAUAGUAGGACAUAUACGAUGCCCGACCAACAUCCUCGUCGUCAAUUCGGUGGCGGCCACCUGCUUGAUAUGCGCCAGCGUGUGCGGGACUGGGCUCCGCCGGGCUGACACUAGGAGGAGUUAGCUUCCGGGCCGCGCAGCUUGGUGAGGAACGAGGCUCCCGUUGUCGACCCGGAGCAUCUUUGGUGGCAGUCGCGGGGGCCACUUUUGGUGCCUAGGUUGCCGGCCCCCGAGGCGGACGUACGUCGCCGUGUCAGGGAGGAGGACGAGCACGUCCGUCGGUACAUGGAGGCGUUGGAUGCCAGGUUCGACAGCACCUGGCAGGUUCUUAUGGGAUCUCACCAGAGCUAUGUGUUGGGUAACGUAGCAUAAAUUCAAAAAAAUUCCUACGCAUAUUCAGAUCUUCCUAUGGAGAGACCAGCAACGAGAGAGGGGUGAGUGCAUCUUCAUACCUUUGAAGAUCGCUAAGCGGAAGCGUUACUAGAACGCGGUUGAUGGAGUCGUACUCGCGGCGAUUUAGAUCGCGGUGUGAUUCCGAUCUAGUGCCGAACUACGGCACCUCCACGUUCAACACACGUGCAGCCCGGUGACGUCUCCCGCACCUUGAUCCAGCAAGGAGGAGGGAGAGGUUGCGGAAGAUCUCGGGCAGCACGACGGUGUGGUGUUGAUGGAGAGACGAGGUCUCCCGGCAGGGCUUCGCCAAGCACCGGCAGAGAGGAGGAGAAUGAAGAGCAAGGCUCCGCCGAGGGAGAGGGAAAACUCUGUCCAAAACAGCCCCGAAACCCCCACUAUAUAUAGGAGGAGGGGAGGGGGGUGCCACCUCUAGGGUUCCCAGCCUAGUUGGUGCGGCGGCCCCCCCAGAUGGGAGGUGCGGCGGCCAGGGCAAGGGGAGGGGGUGGCGCACCCCUAGGUGGGCCUUAGGCCCACCAGCGCCUAGGGUUUCCCCCCUCUCCACCUCCUGCGCCUCGGGCUGAGUGUGGGGGACGCACCAGCCCACCUAGGGGAUGGUUCCCUCCCGCACUUGGCCCAUCUAGCCUCCCGGGGUCGUUGCCCCCUUCCGGUUGACCCCGGGGCCACCUUCGGUGGUCCCGGUGGUGCUGGUACGUUACCGGUGACGCCCAAAACACAUCCGGUGUCCGAAACCAUCCGUCCUAUAUAUCAAUCUUUACCUCCGAAUCAUUCCGGAGCUCCUCGUGACGUCUAUGAUCUCAUCCGGGACUCCGAACAACUUUCGAUAACCUCGUAUAACAAUUCCCUAUAACCCUAGCGUCAUCGAACCUUAAGUGUGUAGACCCUACGGGUUCGGGAGACAGGCAGACAUGACCGAGACACCUCUCCUGCCAAUAACCAUCAGCGGGGUCUGGAUACCCUUGGUGGCUCCCACUUGCUCCACCAUGAUCUCAUCGGAUGAACCACGAUGUCAAGGAUUCAAUCAAUCCCGUAUACAAUUCCCUUUGUCUGUCGGUAUAGAACUUGCCCGAGAUUCGAUCGUCCGUAUACCUAUACCUUGUUCAAUCUCGUUACCGGUAUGUCUCUUUACUCGUUCUGUAGCACGUCAUCGUAUGACUAACUCCUUAGUCACAUUGAGCUCAUGACGAUGUUCUACCGAGUGGGCCUAGAGAUACCUCUCCGUCACACGGAGUGACAAAUCCCGAUCUCGAUUCGUACCAACCAAAUAGACACUUUUAGAGGUACCGGUAGUGCACCUUUAUAGUCACCCAGUUACGUUGCGACGUUUGAUACACCCAAAGCACUCCUAUGGUAUCCGGGAGUUGCACAAUCUCACGAUCGAAGGAAAAGACACUUGACAUUAGAAAAGCUUUAGCAUACGAACAAUACGAUCUAGUGCUACGCUUAGGAUUGGGUCUUGUCCAUCACAUCAUUCUCCCAAUGAUGUGAUCCCGUUAUCAAUGACAUCUAAUGCCCAUGAUCAGGAAACCAUGAUCAUCUAUUGACUAACGAGCUAGCCAACUAAAGGCUUGCUAGGGACACAUUGUGAUCUAUUUAUUCACACAUGUAUUACUGUUUCCUGUUAAUACAAUUAUAGCAUGAACAAUAGACGAUUAUCAUGAACAAGGAAAUAUGAUAAUAACCAUUUUAUUAUUGCCUCUAGGGCAUAUUUCCAACAGUUUCCCACUUGCACUAGAGUCAAUAAUCUAGUUACAUUGUGAUGUAUCGAAUACCCAUAGCAUUAUGGUGUUGAUCAUGUUUUGCUCGUGGAAGAGGUUUAGUCAAGGGGUUUGCGACAUUCAGAUCCAUGUGUACUUUAAAAAUCUCUAUUACUCCACUUUGGACAUGGUCAUGGAUGGAGUUGUAGCGGUGUUUGAUGUGUUUCGUCUUCCGGUGAAACCUGGGCUCCUUGGCUAUGGCAAUGGCCCCAGUGUUAUCACAGAAGAGUCUCAUUGGACCCGACGCGCUUGGAACCACUCCAAGGUCGGUGAUGAGCUCCUUCAUACAAAUUCCUUCAUGAGCCGCUUCUGAAGCAGCUCUAUACUCCGCUUCACAUGUAGAUGCUGCCACGACUUCUUGCUUGCUGCUGCACCAGCUCACUGCCCCACCAUUCAAAACAUAUACGUAUCCGUUAUGUGACUUAGAGUCAUCUAGAUCUGUGUCAAAGCUAGCAUCGACGUAACCCUUUACGACGAGCUCUUCAUCACCUCCAUAAACGAGAAACAUUUCCUCAGUCCUUUUCAGGUACUUAAGGAUAUUCUUGACCGCUGUCCAGUGCUCCAUACCGGGAUCACUUUGGUACCUCCCUACCAAACUUAUGACAAGGUUUAUAUCAGGUCUGGUACAGAGCAUGGCAUACAUAAGAGAGCCUACGACUGAAGCGUAGGGGACAAAACUCAUCUUCUCUCUAUCUGCUGCCGUGGUCGGCGACUCAGUCUUACUCAAUCUCAUACCUUGCAAAACUGGCAAGAACCCUUUCUUUGAGUUUUCCAUAUUGAACUUCUUCAAUAUCUUGUCAAGGUAUGUACUUUGCGAAAGACCUAUGAGGCGUCUCGAUCUAUCUCUAUAGAUUUUGAUGCCUAAUAUGUAUGCAGCUUCUCCAAGGUCCUUCAUUGAAAAACUCUUGUUCAAAUAGGCCUUUAUGCUCUCCAACAUCUCUAUAUUAUUCCCCAUCAAUAAUAUGUCAUCCACAUACAGUAUGAGGAAAGCUACACAGCUCCCAGUCACUUUCUUGUACAGACAGGCUUCUCCGUAAACCUGUAUGAACCUAAACGCUUUAAUCACCUCAUUAAAGCGAAUGUUCCAAUUCCGAGAUGCUUGCACCAGCCCAUAGAUGGAGCGCUGGAGCUUGCAUACUUUGUUAGCACCCUCAGGGUCGACAAAACCUUCUGGUUGCAUCAUAUACAACUCUUCCUUAAGGUUCCCAUUAAGGAACGCUGUUUUGACGUCCAUUUGCCAAAUUUCAUAAUCAUAAAAGGCGGCAAUUGCUAACAUGAUUCAGACUUAUUUCAGCUUCGCUACGGGAGAGAAAGUCUCUUCAUAGUCAAUUCCUUGAAUUUGUUGAAAACCCUGUGCGACAAGUCGAGCUUUAUAAACGGUUACAUUACCGUUUGCAUCAGUCUUUUUCUUGAAGAUCCAUUUAUUUCUAUGGCUCGCCAGUCAUCGGGCAAGUCCACCAAAGUCCAUACUUUGUUCUCAUACAUGGAUCCUAUCUCGGAUUUCAAUAACCUUYWAGCMAWWYGUKGUMMYCCUAAAUUUUUUUCGGGUUUAGGGUUUUAAAAAAACGUUUCCCCCCGGGGGGUUACCUUGGGUUAAACCGGGUAAACCCGUUUCGGACCCCCGUAAAAAACGGGGGGUCCCUAAAACCCGGUAACCCGUAAAACGGGGGGGGGGGGAAACUUUUAAAACGGGGGGGUACGCGUACGUACGUACGUACGUNNNNNNNNNNNNNNNNNNNNNNNNNNNNNNNNNNNNNNNNNNNNNNNNNNNNNNNNNNNNNNNNNNNNNNNNNNNNNNNNNNNNNNNNNNNNNNNNNNNNACCAACACCACGCCGUCGUGUUGCUGGUCUUCUUCCCCAACCUCUCCCUCCUCCUUGCUGGAUCAAGGUGCGGGAGACGUCACCGGGCUGCACGUGUGUUGAACGCGGAGGUGCCGUUGUUCGGCACUAGAUCGGAAUCGCUGCGAGUACGACUCCAUCAACCGCGUUCUAGCAAACGCUUCCGCUUAGCGAUCUUUAAAGGUAUGAAGAUGCUCUUACCCCUCUCUCGUUGCUGGUCUCUCCAUAGGAAGAUCUGAAUAAGCGUAGGAAAAUUUUGAAUUUAUGCUACGUUACCCAACAGUGGCAUCCGAGCCAGGUUUUCUAUGCGUAGAUUCUAUGCACGAGUAGAACACAAAAGUUGUGGGCGAUGGUUUGUCAAUUUGCUUGCCGUUACUAGUCUUAUUCUUUUCCGGCGGUAUUGUGGGAUGAAGCGGCCCGGACCGACCUUACACGUACGCUUACGUGAGACUGGUUCCACCGACAAACAUGCACAUCGUGCAUAAAGGUGGCUAGCGGGUGUCUGUCUCUCCUACUCUAGUCGGAUUGGAUUUGAUGAAAAGGGUCCUUAUGAAGGGUAAAUAGCUUUGGCAUAUCAUCGUUGUGGCUGUCACGUAGGUAAGAAGGCGUUCUUGCUAGAAACCCAAAUCAGCCACGUAAAACUUGCAACAACAAUUAGAGGACGUCUAACUUGUUUUUGCAGGGUUUGACAUGUGAUGUGAUAUGGCCAAAGUUGUGAUGUUGCGUGUAUGAUGUAUGAGAUGAUCAUGUUAUUGUAAUAGGUUUCACGACUUGCAUGUCGAUGAGUAUGACAACCGGCAGGAGCCAUAGGAGUUGUCUUAAUUUAUUGUAUGAGAUGCAACGCCAUGUGCUUGCUACUUUUACUUCAUUGCUAACGGUUAGCCAUAGUAGUAGUGAUAGUAGUAGUUGGCGUGACGACUUCACGGAGACACGAUGAUGGAGAUCAUGAUGAUGGAGAUCAUGGUGUCACGCCGGUGACGAUGAUGAUCAUGCGAUGCCUGAAGAUGGAGAUCGAAUGAGCAAAGAUGAUAAUGGCCAUAUCAUGUCACUAUAUGAUUGCAUUGUGAUGUUUAUCAUGUUUUACAUCUUACUGCUUAAAACGACGGUAGCAUAAUAAGAUGAUCCCUCCUAAAAUUUCGAGAACGUAUUCCCCUAAGUGUGCACCGUUGCGAAGGUUCGUUGUCUCGAAGCACCACGUGAUGAUCGGGUGUGAUAGAUUCUAACGUUCGCAUACAACGGGUGUAAGCCAGAUUUACACACGCAAAACACCUAGGUUGACUCGACGAGCUUAGCAUGUACAGACAUGACCUCGAAUACAAGAGACCGAAAGGUCGAACAUGAGUCGUAUGGUUGAAUACGAUCAGCAUGAGUUGCUCACCAUGGUGACUAGUCCGUCUCACGUGAUGAUCGGACACGGGUUAGUCAACAUGGAUCAUGUAACACUUAGAUGACUAGAGGGAUGUCGAUUUAAGUGGGAGUUCAUACUUAAUUUGAUUAAAUGAACUUAAUUGUCAUGAACUUAGUCUAAAAGUUGUCUUUAUAAAUAUUGUAGAUGUCCAACGUCAACCUCAACUUCAACGCAUUCCUAGAGAAAAACAAGGUGAAAGAUGAUGGUAGCAACUAUGCGGACUGGGUUCGCAACCUGAAGCUCAUCCUUGAAGCAGCUCAAAAGGCUUAUGUCCUUAAUGCGCCGCUAGGUGACCCUCCCGCUCCCGCAGCAGCGCAGGACGUUCUAAACGUCUGGCAAGCGCGAAGUGAUGACUACUCUCUGGUCAGGUGUGGCAUGUUAUACAGUCUAGAAACGGGGCUCCAAAGACGUUUUGAGCAACACGGGGCAUAUGAGAUGUUCCAAGAGCUGAAGCUAGUUUUUCAAGCUCAUGCCCGUGUCGAGAGAUAUGAAGUCUCCGACAAGUUCUUCAGCUGUAAGAUGGAGGAGAACAGUUCUGUCAGUGAGCACAUACUCAAAAUGUCUGGGUUACACGGUCGUCUGACUUCACUUGGAGUCGAACUUCCGGAUGAUGCUAUCAUUGAAAGAAUCCUCCAGUAUCUCCCACCAAGCUACAAAGGCUUUGUGCUUAACUACAACAUGCAAGGGAUGGAGAAAACCAUUCCCGAGUUGUACUCGAUGCUCAAGUCUGCAGAAGUAGAAAUCAAGAAGGAGCAUCAAGUGUUGAUGGUCAACAAGACCACUAGUUUCAAGAAAGGCAGGGGUAAGAAGAACUUCAAGAAAGACGGCAAAGCUGUUGCCGUGCCCGGUAAACCAGAUGUCGGGAAGAAGAAAAAGAACGGACCCAAGCCUGAGACUGAGUGCUUCUACUGCAAGGGAAAAGGUCACUGGAAGCGCAACUGCCCCAAAUACUUAGCGGACAAGAAGGCCGGCAACGUUAAAGGUAUAUGUGAUAUACAUGUUAUUGAUGUGUACCUUACCAGCGCUCUUAGUAGCUCCUGGGUAUUUGAUACCAGUGCUGUUGCUCACAUUUGCAACUCAAAGCAGGAACUGCGGAAUAAGCGGAGACUGGCCAAGGACGAGGUGAUGAUGCGCGUCGGGAAUGGUUCAAAGGUCGAUGUGAUCGCCGUCGGCACGCUACCUCUACAUCUACCGUCGGGAUUAGUUUUAAACCUUAAUAAUUGUUAUUUAGUACCAGCUUUAAGCAUGAACAUUGUAUCAGGGUCUUGCUUAAUGCGAGACAGCUACUCAUUUACGUCAGAGAAUAAUGGUUGUUCUAUUUAUAUGAGUGACAUGUUUUAUGGUCAUGCUCCGCUGGUGAAUGGUUUAUUCUUGAUGAAUCUCGAUCGUGAUGUUACACAUAUUCAUAGUGUGAGUACCAAAAGAUGCAAAGUUGAUAACGAUAGUCCCACAUACUUGUGGCACUGCCACCUUGGUCAUAUCGGCGUUAAGCGCAUGAAGAAGCUCCAUACUGAUGGACUGCUAGAGUCUCUUGACUUUGAAUCAUUUGACACAUGCGAACCGUGCCUCAUGGGCAAGAUGACUAAGACUCCAUUCUCAGGAAUAAUGGAGAGAGCCACCGACUUAUUGGAAAUAAUACAUACUGAUGUGUGUGGUCCAAUGAACGUUGAAGCUCGCGGUGGUUAUCGUUAUGUUCUCACUCUCACCGAUGAUUUGAGUAGGUAUGGGUAUAUUUACUUGAUGAAGCACAAAUCUGAGACGUUUGAAAGGUUCAAGGAAUUUUAGAGUGAGGUUGAGAAUCAACGUGACAGAAAAAUUAAAUGUCUACGAUCUGAUCGUGGAGGAGAAUAUUUGGGUCAUGAAUUUGGCACACACCUAAGGAAGUGUGGAAUCGUUUCACAACUAACGCCGCCUGGCACACCGCAACGCAACGGAGUGUCUGAACGUCGUAAUCGCACCUUAUUAGAUAUGGUACAAUCUAUGAUGUCUCUCACCGACUUACCGCUAUCAUUUUGGGGAUACGCAUUAGAAACUGCAGCAUUCACUUUAAAUAGGGCACCGUCUAAAUCCGUUGAGACGACACCGUAUGAACUGUGGUUUGGCAAGAAACCUAAGUUGUCGUUUCUUAAAGUUUGGGGCUGCGAUGCUUAUGUGAAGAAACUUCAACCAGAAAAGCUCGAACCCAAAGCGGAGAAAUGCGUAUUCAUAGGAUACCCUAAGGAAACUAUUGGGUAUACCUUCUAUCUUAGAUCCGAAGGUAAAACCUUUGUUGCCAAGAACGGAUCCUUUCUAGAGAAAGAGUUUCUCUCGAAAGAAGUAAGUGGGAGGAAGGUAGAACUUGAUGAGGUAAUUACACCCCCUCUCGAACAGGAAAGUAGCGCAGCGCAAGAAGUUGUUCCUGUGAUGCCUAUACCAACUGAAGAGGAAGUUAAUGAUGAUGAUCAUGAAGCUUCGGAUCAAGUUACUACUGAACCACGAAGGUCCACAAGGGUACGCUCCGCACCAGAGUGGUACGGCAACCCUGUGAUGGAAAUCAUGUUGUUAGACAACGGUGAACCUUCGAACUAUGAAGAAGCGAUGGCGGGCCCGGAUUCCAACAAAUGGCUUGAGGCCAUGAAAUCCGAGAUAGGAUCCAUGUAUGAGAACAAAGUAUGGACUUUGGUGGACUUGCCCAAUGACCGGCGAGCCAUAGAAAAUAAAUGGAUCUUCAAGAAGAAGACUGAUGCAAACGGUAAUGUAACCGUUUACAAAGCUCGACUUGUCGCAAAGGGUUUUCGACAAAUUCAAGGAGUUGACUGCGAAGAGACUUUCUCUCCCGUAGCGAAGCUGAAAUCAGUCCGAAUCAUGUUAGCAAUUGCCGCCUUUUAUGAUUAUGAAAUUUGGCAAAUGGACGUCAAAACAGCGUUCCUUAACGGGAAUCUUAAGGAAGAGUUGUAUAUGAUGCAACCAGAAGGUUUUGUCGAUCCUAAAGGUGCUAACAAAGUAUGCAAGCUCCAGCGCUCCAUCUAUGGGCUGGUGCAAGCAUCUCGGAGUUGGAACAUUCGCUUUAAUGAGGUGAUUAAGGCGUUUGGGUUCAUACAGGUUUACGGAGAAGCCUGUCUGUACAAGAAAGUGAGUGGGAGCUCUGUAGCUUUCCUCGUACUAUAUGUGGAUGACAUAUUAUUGAUGGGGAUGAUAUAGAGAUGUUGGAGAGCAUAAAGGCCUAUUUGAACAAGAGUUUUUCAAUGAAGGACCUUGGAGAAGCUGCAUACAUAUUAGGCAUCAAGAUCUAUAGAGAUAGAUCGAGACGCCUCAUAGGUCUUUCGCAAAGUACAUACCUUGACAAGAUAUUGAAGAAAUUCAAUAUGGAAAACUCAAAGAAAGGGUUCUUGCCAGUUUUGCAAGGUAUGAGAUUGAGUAAGACUCAGUCGCCGACCACGGCAGCAGAUAGAGAGAAGAUGAGUUCUGUCCCCUACGCUUCAGCCGUGGGCUCUCUAAUGUAUGCCAUGCUGUGUACCAGACCUGAUAUAAACCUUGCGAUAAGCUUGGUAGGGAGGUACCAAAGUAAUCCCGGUGCGGAACACUGGACAGCGGUCAAGAAUAUCCUUAAGUACCUGAAAAGGACUAAGGAAAUGUUUCUCUUUUAUGGAGGUGACGAAGAGCUCGUCCUAAAGGGUUACGUCGAUGCUAGCUUCGACACAGAUCCGGAUGACUCUAAGUCACAAACCGGAUACGUAUAUGUGUUGAAUGGUGGGGCAGUGAGCUGGUGCAGCAGCAAGCAAGAAGUCGUGGCAGCAUCUACAUGUGAAGCGGAGUACAUAGCUGCUUCAGAAGCGGCUCAUGAUGGAAUUUGGAUGAAGGAGCUCAUCACCGACCUUGGAGUGGUUCCAAGCGCGUCGGGUCCUAUGACACUCUUCUGUGAUAACACUUGAGCCAUUGCCAUAGCCAAAGAGCCCAGGUUUCACCGGAAGACGAAGCACAUCAAGCGCCGCUACAACUCCAUCCAGGACCAUGUCCAAACUGGAGUGAUAGAUAUUUGUAAAGUACACACGGAUCUGAAUAUUGCAGACCCGUUGACUAAACCUCUUCCACGAGCAAAACAUGAUCAGCACCAUAAUGCUAUGGGUGUUCGAUACAUCACAAUGUAACUAGAUUAUUGUCUCUAGUGCAAGUGGGAGACUGUUGGAAAUAUGCCCUAGAGGCAAUAAUAAAAUGGUUAUUAUCAUAUUUCCUUGUUCAUGAUAAUCGUCUAUCGUUCAUGCUAUAAUUGUAUUAACAGGAAACAGUAAUACAUGUGUGAAUGAAUAGAUCACAAUGUGUCCCUAGCAAGCCUCUAGUUAGCUAGCUCGUUAGUCAAUAGAUGAUCAUGAUUUCCUGAUCAUGGACAUUGGAUGUCAUUGAUAACGGGAUCACAUCAUUGGGAGAAUGAUGUGGUGGACAAGACCCAAUCCUAAGCCUAGCACUAGAUCGUAUUGUUCGUAUGCUAAUGCUUUUCUAAUGUCAAGUAUCUUUUCCUUCGACCGUGAGAUUUUGCAACUCCCGGAUACCGUAGGAGUGCUUUGGGUGUAUCAAACAUCACAACGUAACUGGGUGACUAUAAAGGUGCACUACGGGUACCUCCGAAAGUGUCUGUUGGGUUGGCACGAAUCGAGAUCGGGAUUUGUCACUCCGUGUGACGGAGAGGUAUCUCUGGGCCCACUCGGUAGAACAUCAUCAUGAGCUCAAUGUGACUAAGGAGUUAGUCACACGAUGACGUGCUACGGAACGAGUAAAGAGACUUACCAGUAACGAGAUUGAACAAGGUAUAGGUAUACCGACGAUCGAAUCUCGGGCAAGUUCUAUACCGACAGACAAAGGGAAUCGUAUACGGGAUUGAUUGAAUCCUUGACAUCGUGGUUCAUCCGAUGAGAUCAUCGUGGAGCUAGUGGGAGCCACCAUGGGUAUCCAGACCCCGCUGAUGGUUAUUGGCCAGAGAGGUGUCUCGGUCAUGUCUGCCUGUCUCCCGAACCCGUAGGGUCUACACACUUAAGGUUCGAUGACGCUAGGGUUAUAGGGAAUUGUUAUACGAGAUUACCGAAAGUUGUUCGGAGUCCCGGAUGAGAUCCAGGACGUCACGAGGAGCUCCGAAAUGGUCCGGAGGUAAAGAUUGAUAUAUAGGACGGAUGGUUUCGGAGACCGGAAGUGUUUCGGGCAUCACCGGUAACGUACCGGGACCACCGGGAUCACCGGAGGUGGUCCCGGGGGACCACCGAAGGGGGGCUGCGACCCCAAGAGGUAAUAUGGGCUAAGUGGGGGUGGGAACCAGCCCCUAGUUGGGCUGGUGCGCCUCCCCACUCAGCCCAUGGCGCAGGGGAAAGGAAAAGAGGGGGGGGAACCCUAACUCAGGUGGGCCUUAGGCCCACCAGAGGGGUGCGCCACCCCUCCCCCUUGCCCUGGCCGCCACCCCUUCCCCACUCUGAGGGCUGCCGCACCCCUUAGGGGUGGGAACCCUAAGGGCUGCGCCCCCUCCCUCUCCCCCUAUAUAUAGAUGAGGUUCGGGGCUGUUUGAGACACGGUUUAAUCUCUCUCUCUCGCAGCCCUGCUCCUCUCCCUCCUCCUCGCUGCCGGCGCUUGGCAAAGCCUUGCCGGGAGACCUCCUCUCUCCACCAACACCACGCCGUCGUGUUGCUGGUCUUCUUCCCCAACCUCUCCCUCCUCCUUGCUGGAUCAAGGUGCGGGAGACGUCACCGGGCUGCACGUGUGUUGAACGCGGAGGUGCCGUUGUUCGGCACUAGAUCGGAAUCGCUGCGAGUACGACUCCAUCAACCGCGUUCUAGCAAACGCUUCCGCUUAGCGAUCUUCAAAGGUAUGAAGAUGCUCUUACCCCUCUCUCGUUGCUGGUCUCUCCAUAGGAAGAUCUGAAUAAGCGUAGGAAAAUUUUGAAUUUAUGCUACGUUACCCAACAGAGGGUUCCUGCCAAGGUGAUGUGGCAUGCUCCUAUAAUACCACGGUUGAAAGGUUUGUUCCGAAACAAAGAGCAUGCCAAGUUGAUGCGAUGGCACAAAGAAGACCGUAAGGAAGACGAUAUGCUGAGACAACCCGCUGAUGGGUCGCAGUGAAGAUAAGAGACGCUUGGCCUGAUUUUAAGGCGUCCAAGAAAUCGGGUGUCUUUACAUCCCAAUCAGCCACAAAUACGGAGAAUGCGAAGAAGAAGAAAUAUCACCAUAUUUUGGGGUCAGGUGGCUACAUGACUGCCCUGCCUAGGUGGCGACGCUAUGAAGAUGCGCUUCUGAAAAGAAAUAUCAUUCCACAGACACAUGACUGGCCCGAUAGGUCCAAGUUCUGGUUGUUCGCGCAUGGGGCAACGUUGGACGCUGAGACUGGGAUGAUUGUUGCGGAGGGACCAUGGUCGGAAAAAAUAACACAAGUCGUAUCAGAUCUAGAGAAGGCAAUAGAAGCUGUUCGAAAAGGAACUUUUUUCCCGAUAGAGAGAACGACGAGUUGACGAAGGCACUCGGGAACCCCGAAAAGUGGGGACGAACACGAGGCUUUGGAGCCACUACCCCGUGGAACCAAGGGUUUCCGGCGGACCUUGGCACUUACAGAAGCUGUGGUAGAAGCAAGAGGAAGGCGCUGGAACGGAUAUCGACAUUAGAAGAAAAGGUGGCGUUUCUCUUGAAGAAAGGGGGACACCCUGUACCUGACACUGAAGAGGAGGAAGAAGAUCCUGCACCUGACGCUGAUCAGCAGCAAUUAGAAGACGAUCCUGUAGCAGAUGCCGUCCCAUCUCAGCAUAGAAGCAGCGUGGGUUCCACGCAGCUGCAGCUAGAAGACGGUCCUGCAAUCGAACCGUCGGCGCCUCACUACCCCGUGGAUGAUGUCACGGAGAAGACAAACUAUGAGAUACAUAUGCCAAUGGGGAACAUAUCCUUCAUGGUGGCGUCAGGCUAUGCUUUACCGAAUCAACCUGGAGCAACCUACCAUGGUGGUCAGAUUCCAGCAUCCCAUGCUCAUGUCGGGUUGUCAACAAUUACGCCGGGAUGCCAGUCAAUUUAGCUUGAUAUUCCUGGAGGUGAAGGCGAGAAGACACUGGGAGAAAUGGAGCUUGGUAUCAUCUUGUGGAAGAAGAAACACAUCGUGUUUCCUAACGCGGUGCCAAGGCCACCGACUCCUCCAGGUACAAAUGCACCACCUCCAACAAUUACUGAAUGUUGCACCACAUGUAAGCCUAUUUUUAAUAGUUUUUUCACGUUCGUACAGAGAAUGCACGACCUCCAAGUCCACCCCCCAACGCACCUCCAAGUCCACCCCACAACAAAGAUUGGGAGCCCGAGGCCGAGAGUCCAUCGCCCGUGCACUCCAGUGAGCCGACGGAUGCGCCCACUACGGGUACGGCAAAGCGGAAGAUGCAGUUCAGAAGAAACGGGACUCCUCCCAAGAAGAGAGAAAGGAAACCCAAGAAAGUCAAGACUCCCCCGAAGUUACCAGGCCUGAUGACUCCGGAGGAACUAGACGAGGCCGUGAAAGCCAAAAACAAAGCAUGGUUCGCACGGUUUCCCCUGAAGCCCCCUCCAGACAUCUGGAAGGAAACUCUGAAGAACAUACCAAAGUGGAAAAUUGAGCGCACCAUCGACAACUUAUAUUAUCCUGAACCGCCGCCACCGCCGCCCCUUUCAGACUAUGAACGGUACAUUGAAAAGAUGCACACCGCACAGAUGAAGCAGGCGGAGCAGAUGAAGCAGGCGGAGCAGACGAAAUGCGGGAAACAAGUUCCCCAGCUCGGACAACAAGAAGCACAGUCAAUUGCCCCGCUCAAGGUGUUAUCUGACCAGGCUUCAGUGUCCGGUCCACGCAUGGGCGACGUAGGUUACGCUAUUGCUGAUGUGGUAUAUAAAUAUAAGCCCGAGCACCCUCUGGCCGGAAAUCCUAGUGCUCUAACAACCCAACUAUGGAAUUUACAUGUUUGGUGCUUGGAGGCCGCAAGGCAAAAGAAAGACUGUAUCAUGGCGGCAGUUCAGGAUCAACACUACUUCGGAGAGUACGGUGUGGAGGUUGGGUUCGAUGAUUUUUUCCAGAUGUACAAUCAACGUGCCCUCGACAAAGCUAUCGUCAGCUGCUACUGUUUGUAAGUGAUUUAUUUGUGUAAUUUAAUUAUUUAGUUAAGCUCGCGUUCAUUGCCCGUAUAAUUAUCACUCACGAGACAUUCUUUUUGUACGCUACUAUGCAGAAUGAAGAUUCGUGAAUGCAGGCUGGCAGGAAUCUGGGACUUUGGGUUCAUUGACCCGUAUUCGUUUCAUCAAGAGACAAUAGAAAAGUUCAACAAGGAUACACCGGAUGAUUUGCUAAGGUUUUUGAAGCGACAAAGUACUAAAAAAGAAAUACUUUGGCCCUACGGAUUCAAGUGAGUGUUACUGUCUUGUACACAUUCCAUUUUGCUUACCUGAUGUUAAGUGUAAUUGAUGAGUAUGCAUGACUGCGCGUGUACACGUGCGCAGGUCCCACUUCAUAUUGUUCAUCGUUAGAAUCGAUCAAGGACAAGUUGAAGUCUGGAACCCGUUAACCUGGGACGCUGACACAUGGAAGAGCGCGCGUCAGAUGCUUCAAAGGUAUAUAUAUAUCGGCCUCUUUCGUUCAUCGGCCUCUUUUUCGUUCAUUUCCUGAUAUCAAGUAAGUAAUAAUUAACUCUUGUAUUCAUUUUUCUUUGUCGGCCAGGGUUUGGCAAAUGUUCAUCAAGGAAGAACCCGGUACAUGGGCAGACAAGCUCCACUUUCAGAUUAACAAAGUAAGUAGUACUACGUACCCUGGUUUCAAUACCAUUACCAUUCUCUUGAUUAUUAUUAAUUUGACUGAAUUAUGUUCUCGUAUAUAGGGCGUCCCGCAACAACCACCGGGCACUGAUUAUUGUGGAUACUACGUUUGCGAGUACAUUCACAGGAUUAUCAAUGAGAAAUCCCGUACUUCCAGAAAUCUAGAGGUACGUAACCGGAUCUUCACAACUUUAUUUAUGUUGCCAUCAAUUAUGUUUAGUUUUGUUCAUAACUUAAUUGUUUUCAUCUACUUCUUUUAAAGUUGCAACGAAAGCGGGCGAUGCUCAGACCAAUCCAACGUUGCAAGGCAGUUGCAGAGGAAUUGGCAGGAUUUCUCCUCACGCAAGUCAUAGAUGAAGGCGGAGAAUUUUUCCAUCCUAUGAACCAAUAGCCAGCUCCCUUCUUUAUGCAAGUAUACAGCUAUAGGAAACAAACUUCAAAUUAUGUAAUGAUAAUCGGUCGAGUACUUCGUGUUACAUGUAUAUAUGUACUUUUAUUUGGUGCAUCAACAUUUAACUGCAAACACGGAAUCGGAAACACUUAACCGCAAACACGGAAUCGGUGUUUCCGGAUACGUGUUUCCGAUUACGUGUUUUCGAUUCCGUGUUCGUAAAAAACGGAACACGGACACACGGAAUCGGAAACACGGAAUCGGAAAGACGUAAACGGAAAUACGGAACCGGAAACACGUAAACGGAAACCCUGAAAAUACGGAACACGGAAACACCGAAAUACGGAAUCGGAAACCCUGAAAAGAAAAGGAAAAAAAAAGAAAAAAAAAGCAUUAGGACCGGUUGGUGUUACCAACCGGUUCUAAAGGUCCUUACCAACCGGUUCUAAUACCCCUUUCUCCACUAGUGUUAGUACGUAUAAAUUAGAUUAGGUAUGUACGGAUUCGUUUAUUUGGUACACAUUCAUUAGUUUUUUUCAUAUGUAUGUACCUAAAAUAUUUAGUAUGUGACGCAUUAUAUUUUUUGUAUGUAUAUACCUAGAAUAUGUAGUACAUAUCCAUUAUGUAUGUAUGGAUUCACUUAUUUUAGUACGUAUGCAUUAGAUUUUUGUGUAGAUAUAUACAUAGGGUAGGCAAUAUAUUUUUUUGUAUGUGCGUACUCAUCAAAUUCAAUAUCUCGACAUAAAAUUUAUGAUUAUAUACCUUGAUACAAUAAUGACAUAGGAUCGUAUGUGGGUAUAUGUAACAUACAUUUGUAACACUAAAGAGAAUCAUUGGUGGAUAUACGUAUAUAGGAAAAAUUCAUGCGUGGGUAUCAUAUAUUCAUACAAGAAAAAAAAAUAGGAUCAUAUUUUAUGUUAUUUGGUCACGUUAAUCUGUAUAGAAAUAUUUGGUCAUCUUAAUUUGUAUAGAUAGCCGUCAAAAGUGUCACACGGUCUUACUUUUUUCUAAAAUACUAGAUACCUUGAAAAGUAGAACUUUAGAAAAAUAUUUUUAGGUAUAUUUGUUAUCUCUUGUUUGUACUUAUUUGAGAUACUGAAGGUAUAUCUUUAUUUAGUAUAAUACCUCGAGUAUUAUAUGUUCUUAGUACAUAUAAUAACAUGGAUAUAUGUAUAUUUUUUCUUAAGUCAUAUUUAUGGUAUGUGUAUAUUUUUAUUAGAUAUAAUAGCCCACUUACGUGUACAUUUUUUGACUAUACUUACGUGUACAUUUUCAUUAGGUAUCAUACAUGAACAUAAUAUUUGGAAAGGGAUUAUUGCUGGGAAAUCAACAUAAUAUUCUUUUUGGAAAGCAAUCAUUAAGUAUUGAGAGGUGUUAAUGCAUGCAAAUGAAAAAUGGAAAGGUACUAUUUAAUUGAAUGCACGUAAUGCAUCAAUGAAAAUGGCUUGCCAUAAUAGGCCUAGGUGCCCAGGCACCUAGGUGCCCCAAACAUUUUACCUAUAUAUAGAACGACCGCUUGGGGCACUUCUCUUUUAUACUCCCUGGGGUAUGUACCCCCACCUCUAGUAGAUGGGUAUAUGGGCUAGGAGUGAGAGGCCACCCGCUUGGAGCAGUUGGCACCGUAAUACGAAAAAGAAAAGAAAAGAAAAUAGGUAGUGGUUAUGAGCCGGCUGCAUGCUCCUACAUGAAGGGCGUUCAACUCAAUCUACACACGUCCAGGAAAGUUGUUACGGUGGUAUCUCUUGUGUCUUCCUUUUGUGUGGAAAGGUAUCUCAUCUGGCUGCCACGGGAGGUAUGAUGGAUGCGACGGCUAGCGAAAUGGAAGGUAUGUCAAUGGAGAUUGUUCCCGCAACCUGCGACAAGGAGAACUCGGUGAUCGACGGCAACAUGCAUAUUAACUUGUGUUCUGUGUUUCUUGUUCCUCUGUCCGGUUGUCGUCGAGUAUGACAAAUACGUCCGGCGGCGACUUUGGUGAAUACUUAUUUAUGAUACUGGGUAUAGGGAUCUGCCGUUGUGUUUUGAUUGGACUGAAGGAGUUCCAGCGGAGAUGGAUCAUGCGGACGUCCCUGUCGAGAGGCAUGAGUGUUGAUUAAAGUAGUAUAGUAUAUACCUUUUCUUUAUCUGUAUAUUUCAAACGAGAAGUAUGAAAUACUACAUUCCUGAUUCAUGGGUGCUGAAAAAUUGUAUGUAGGAGUAUAUACUUUAUGUAGGGAGUAGGACUAUGUUCCAGCGUUGCUAACUUUUUUCUUGUUCUUUGUACUUGUACGGGCUUUCUUGCUGACAUAUUAGGUUAUGCUUCAUGUAUUCAUGAUUAGUAUGUGCUUCCAUUUUUUAUGCUAAGUAUGUACUUCAUUUAUAUGUGAUUCGUAUAUACUUCUUUUAUCUGUUUUUUGUAGCACAUAUACUUUAUUAUCUGUGAUCCGUAUAUACUUCACUUAUUUGUGAUUAGUAUAUACUUCAUUUAUCUCUGAUUAUUAUGUAUUUCAUUAUUUGGUGCUAAGUAUAUACUUCAUUAAUCUUUGUUUAUUAUAUAUUUCAUUUGUUUAUAAGUAUAUACUACCUGUGAAUGUCGUAUGUAGUCAUUCCUUUGUAACUAGGAAAUGUCGUACGCACUACUUUAUUUUUCUGUAAACUAUUUUGUUAUACCACGACAGGGUUGUUGUAGAUGAUGAAGAAGGAUUACUUGAUUUGCUACCUGAAUACGCCGAUCCUGCGAUACUAGUUCCUAAGGUGGGAAAGAGUUUCAUGACUGAAAGAGAUGCUUUCAAUCUGUACAACAUCUAUGCUGUACGGAUGGGUUUUGGAAUUCGGCUAUCGAAGCUGCGUUACAAUGCAGCAAAGAAGUUGAGUAUGCGGGAAUUUUGUUGUUCGCAUCAGGUAACUGAUAACGAUGUAUUUUUUUGGGACUGGCCAUAUAGGUACGACAAUGUGGUAUAACUAUGUAAUUUUUGUGGUCCUUAUGUAGGGCAAUAAUCCUAAGACAAAAAAACCUUCUAUACGUGUUGGUUGUGGUGCCAUGUUGAGGAUUAAUAGACCAACCGGUGAGGGUUCGUGGACAGUGACUAAGUUUGUAGAGGAUCAUAACCAUGAACUGAAGGAGACAAUUGGCGUGACUAAGAAUUACAAGUCACAUAAUCAAAUUGAUGAGGGGACUAGAAAUGUCAUUGCAGACAUGGUGGAUAGUGGUAUGAGGUCAACCAACAUGUAUGGUUUAUUAUCAGGGUUUAAUGGAGGAGCUUCAAUGGUCCCAUUCACCCGUAGGAUGAUGGAUAGGCUAGCUUAUGCUAUCAAGAGGGGUGAGUGCGGUCAAGAUGUUCAGCUGACCCUUGAUGUUUUCAAAGAGUUGCAUAGCAAUUCCAGCAACUUUUUCUAUAGUGUGCAGGUUGACAAGGCAUGCCGUGUGAAGAAUAUAUUCUGGUCUCAUGCUGUAUCUAGGAGGAAUUAUCAGGCCUUUGGUGACGUUGUGACAUUUGAUACUACAUAUAAGACUAAUAUUUACAACAUGCCGUUUGCUCCAUUUGUAGGAGUCAAUAAUCAUUUUCAGAGCAUAUUGUUUGGGUGUGCAUUACUUAGAGAUGAGACAGUUGAGUCUUUCAGUUGGUUGUUCUCUACUUUCAGGAAGUGCAUGAAUUGUUUGGGUGUGCAUUACUUAGAGAUGAGACAGUUGAGUCUUUCAAUUGGUUGUUCUCUACUUUCAGGAAGUGCAUGAAUGGAAAGGAGACGCAGUGCGUACUUACUGGUAAUUUUGUUAUGUUAUUGUAGAGUAUAUAUAUGUAAGUUACUUUGUUUUACUGAUUACCUAGAGUUUUGUGAAAGAUAAUUGCCAACAGAUGCCAGCAUCUAUUGCAAAAGUUUUUCCAAAGGCUUCCCAUCGUGUUUGCAAGUGGCAUAUACUUAAGAAAGUGAAGGAAAAUUGUGGAAAUAUUUACAGCACUAGAGAAACGUUCAAAGAAGACUUCCACAGGGUUUUAACUCAGAUGUUGACAGUCGAUGAGUUUGAGGGGGCAUGGAAGGAAUUAAUGUCGGAGUAUAAGGUGGAAGAUUGUGUGUACCUAAAGCAGAUGUGGGAUAUCGGGGAAAAGUGGGCGUUCCCGUAUUUUGGACACUUGUUCUAUGCUGGAAUGACCACUACACAGAGGAGUGAAUCUGUGAAUUUUGUUUUGAAAAGGUUUGUUAUGCCGGCUUCUUCGAUGAAUGGUUUUGUACGAAAGUAUGAGAGAUUCUUCAUAGAUAGAUUGCAGAUGGAAGAUUACGAGGAAUUUCAUACUCGACAUGUAAGUAUAUUUAUUGCUUUCUAAUUUUAUGAGUAUACCACUUUGGCACAGUAAUACAUUCUGACAGAACAGAGCAUGCAGGACAAAGUUGUUAUGAAGACUAGAUCGCCAUUGGAAAGACAUGCUUCAAAGGUAUAUACUCGUGGUGUGUUCACAUUAUUCGUGGAGCAGCUAUCCGAAAGUUUGUCCUUCAAGGUCGUCGCCACUGAUGACGAGACUAUUUUAAAAUAGUACGUAUUGGGGGCUUUGCUCGGAACAUCUGGCAACGACACCAUUAUGAAGUGUAUGCAGACGUUGAAAGCAUGACAUUUUCUUGUGUAUGUAAGAUGUUUGAGCACAAGGGUAUACUGUGUUGUCAUGUGCUAAGUGUAAGUUCCUUGGCACUGUAACCAUACAAUUUUGGACAUACUUAGUAUAAAAUCAUAUAAUGGUUUUUCAUUGUUUUUGUAGGUCCUGAUACAUGAUGGCUGCGCCGAGAUCCCAGAGCAAUAUGUUUUGAAGAGAUGGAGGAAGGAUGCUAGAGAGCGUGUUCCUUUAUUCCUGGAGGGUUACAAAGAUGAUGUUGAUGCCGCUGCUUCUCAGAUGUACAGGCAUUUGGUGCUCCAUACGACAUCAGAGGAGGUAACUGGUCUUGGUAACAAAAACAUGAAGGCUUACAAGGUGGCGAUGGAAGACCUAAAUCAGUUGGUGGAAAACCUAAGAAAGGUAUUUUGGAGGAAGAGCAGGCUAAUAUGGAAGCAGCUAAAAUGCAGGCUGAAGGACAUAAUCAGACACAUGAUCCUACAACAGGUGAUGGUGAUACAACCCCGAGUAAAGGAAAUAGUAGUCUGAAUGUUCAUGAAGUCUGUGAAGGCCCAUUUGGAGAAGGGUGAGUAUGGAAGAUAUUUUGCCACCUAUUAAGAAUCGUCCCAGAGGCAGGCCAAAAACUAAAAGAUGGAAAACUGGCGGGGAAGUAGCUAGUACGAAGAAGAGUGGUAAGAAAGUGGGUGGCAGUAGUGAGACCACAUGCGAAGGUGGCAAUGCUUCUCGGAAGAAAGAGUCUGACAUCAUUAAGUAUCGUGGAGAAUGUGGCAACCGAGGACAUAAUAAGUCGACUUGUGGGAAGCCGUCCACAUACAAGAGGAAGUAUGUUUACAAGGAAUAGUUGCUAUUAGUGAUUACUUUUUUGUUUUAGUCGUGACUAAAUAGGUUGUAAGCACUGCGUAUUGCAAAUUCCGGGACAUGUCUUUAUUCUAGUCUUGUUUGGUCUUCAUUGUUAAUGCAGAAGUUUGCGUGAACAGUUUUCAUACAUUAAUGGUAUUGGUGAUGAGUGGUUAUAUAUAUAUAGUAGGCACAGUACGAAAAAAUGAAGGUUGAUUAAUUAUUCUUUGGUCGUAAAUUUUGCAGGUGGUUGAAUGGUACUUGUAGAUAGUAACUGUGGUUUUGAAAAGGGAAUUUUGGUUUAUAUUGCAGGUAUUGGGUAUGAUGGAGUGAAAAGGUAUAUACUAUCUGGUCUACAGUAUGUACUGUUUUGAGCACCUUGUAGUAUGUUUGUUAUGAAGGAUUGGAAGGUAUGUUAAUGUGUAAAAUUGGUGUAUGGUCAAUGGCAUAGAUAAUAAAGGAAGAUAAGACGUUCUCUAUAUAUAGUCGGGACGGUACAAGAAAAAUGAAGGUUGCUGCAACGGUAGUUGGUUUGAGUACAAAUGAAUGCCGAUAAUGGUAAGUACUACUCUAAUCCCUAAGCUGGGUGAGCUGGAGUUUGACCCAAUCUGGAAGAGAAACUUCAUUCGUCUUGAACGUGAGCAAGUCCAGUAAAAAAGUAGCACCUUAGGUCAUCAGAAUCUUGCAUUAUAAAUUGAUGAUGAAGAGGUUGAGCUACUUGUGAUUGUAAAAGUUGUCAUGUAUAAGUAGCGAGUAAAUACCUCGGUUAUUAAAUUUAUUAGACGGAGGCCAUUCCAGUUCCGCAUGAAGUUCACGACAAGAAAACCGCAAUCAUCCCUAGUAGUUCUUGAAUAUUAUAUGAAGUAGCGAUGGUGACUUAAGAAGCAACUGAAAAGAAUAGAACUUACGAGUUUUGUUGUUCAGGUAUGUUCUCUACCACCUCGAUAUCCCAGCUUGAUAUGUCCUCAUCCCAUCCAGGAAAAGCUAACCUCAUGCACUCCGCGAGAUGAUAUGCUAUGGCAUGACAUGUCUUCUUAUGUCUAGCCAUUCUAGAUUCAUUAAAGGGGCCUAAUGCACUGAGGGAGUCGAGUAUGGAUGUUUUCUUGUUCUCCAUGUCGAAUGCAUACAAUGCAUAAUCAUUAACUAGAUGUACUAGUAUGAGUAUCUGGAAAGGAUAAAUGAAAUCGUGAAAUUGUAAGGUAAAAUGAUUAAAUAGUGGUGCCCGGUACAGUAUAUAUACGUUGAUACCUGAUGGCUUUGUGAAACAUCGUAUGGUAUAUGUUUUCCAAUGAAGUGUCCUAGCUGGUGCUCUGGAACCCAGAAUUCGCCUCCCGCCAAGGCGAAUCUCUACAGACAAGUAAAAAUUAAUCAUGGAUUAAAAAUGAUUGAAGAAAUGCUCGUGUUGUAGAUAAAGUCUGACUGCAAAGUCGAGGUUUAUGAAGUGUCUCCAUCCCAAAUAGUUUGUUCCAUCCAACCAUUGCACCUCAUUCAAGAACAUUUUGCGAAUAGCAAAAUUUAAGCAGUCAGUAUCCAUCCAGCCACCACGUGCAAUGGAUUGCUGGAGAGUCCGUAACUUUAUCGAGAUGCUGAAUGGAGUAGAACUUUGAAGCCAUACUUCACUGGUGGUGCGAGAUAAACAUUAUUAGUUAAAAGUCAUAAAAUAGGUCUGUUGAGAUAUUAAAACUUUUUUACUAAUGCUCACUCUAACAAGGCUUUAUUCGAUAUUGUUUGAAUGUAUGAAUAAGUUGAGCGAGCUACCCGUGUAUCAGUACGUGUUACUGAGCAUUGCUUGGUCAGAAAGGGGGACGAAAUUUUCGUAUUCCGCUUUAUUUUUCAGGUGUUUUUAUCUCUUAGAAGGUGGGAUGGUGGAUUUUCUACUAUGUAUCUAUGUUGUUGUUCAUCUCCAUUGGUAUCCUGUGCACUUAGUGCGACAGUCCACUCUUGAGCCAGGCGAGCAGCGGAUGCUGGAGAGAUUGAUGAUUUCUGCUUGCUUGGUGAAGCUGAUUCGAAUAGAAGGAUUAGUUAGGAAACAUAACAUAUUAAGCUGUAUAAAAUAAUGAUAUGGGAAAGACAAUUUACCAGAAGCAUUACGAGUGCUUGGUGGAGUGUUGUAUGCUAGAUUUUUGUAGGUAUUACUUGUUGUGCUACCUGAACCAAUGUUCACUUCUGAUGCCGUUUGUGGUUGAUCCCUCUCUGGCAUGCUAGUAUGUUGGCAUGGUAAAACUGUAUGAUCCCUGAAUGAUGUUGGGGUAAGGCCUGAAAACAAAGGAAUAUAACAGAUUUAACACGAUGCUUGAAGAAGUAAUGGGUGACUUAGGCUAAGUAACCAGUUUAGGUAUGUAGUAGUGAAGCAUAUGAAUGUCGUUGGUAGAGGUAUAUGUAAUAUUUAUGGAUGAGGAAAUUAUGAGAAGUACCUGAUGGGGGGUUCGAAUGAGGUGCACGACGACUGUCGAUACUGCGGGGUGUAUUCUGGUUGUCUGAAAGAACAUUCCGAAGGGUGGCCCUUACUGCUAUUUUUAUUGAAUUGAAAACAGUAGUGCACAUGAUUUUGUUUAGUUUUUCAGAUGCUUGAAUCGCUAAAGGAUUGUCGAUAAAGUUUUCAAAAUCUGAAAUAUCUUGCAAAAUAGAUGAAAACUCUCCUUGAGCACUGGAGAUUCCAUCCUUUGUGGAAGAAGAAGCCUAAAAAUCAAUCAUGUCAACAUAUAAGGCGUGAUGAGUGCUUGGGUGUGACUUUAGUUUAGCCAGAACAACGAAAACAAGUUGUUACCUCUUCUCCAUAUAUCGAUCGUAAUUUAGUUGAUUUGAAACGCGUCUGCAAAAAUUCUGAAAUGUUGGACAUACAUGGUUGGUUAAUGUUUGUACUCGGAGUCGAAUGAUGCUUCUCCUGAGAGCCCUCUUUUGGUGUAGAUGAGUAAAUAGUUGGUGGUUUCCUCAGCUAACAAAAAGUAAAACAAUUAGUAUAAAAAUGAAUGAAAAAUUGACAGCUAAACUUAUUAUAAAUAUAGACGCACCUGCAGCUUCCCAAACUGAGGGAAAGGGACCCAAGGUUGUGUUUGCUUAUCAUGUCACUCAUGAUAAUGCGAUUGACGAGGUCAUCAUCGAAUGCAGAAAUUCUAGGACUAGUUUCACAGUUCACAUCCUCAUUUGGUUGCGCAAUAUGGUCCAGGUAGAGUGUCUACAGUACAAAAAACAUUGGUUUCAUAAACUUACUAAGAAAGUACGUAUGUGGUAUCUCAGAUGAUAAGUAGGUAUGUGCUUAGUGUAAGGUAUAUACUAUCGGCAAGUAAGUAUGGUGUGUAAAAAUGCAAGAUUAUAUGAUGGAAAUUGUGCUUAUCAUGUGAAUACACACCUGGAGGAAUAGUAUACACCCGUUUAUUGAUACUUGAGAAGAAUUAUGUAAACGUUUGGGCAUCAAGCUGGCAGAAUUCAUGAGGUCAUCGACGAUGAAUUGUGCCCAGUUGUAUAACGAAAUAUUGUCAAUAUCAGCAACUGCGCUGAUAUACCUUGUGGAAAUGUAGUUCGCCAGUGAUUGUGGAGCCAGGAACUUCGUCAUGACAUAAAGGACAAAUGCUGCCUUGAACGAUCGUUGGUCAUUUAAGCUCAUGGGAUAUGAAUAUUGUUUAUUAAGAACUGUCUCCAAAAACUUAACUGUAACCUGUGAAAAUAGUGAAACCUCAAAAAUAUCACAAAGAAUCCUCUUAUUCCGUUCUACCUCAUCUUGGCUGCAUGUCUCAAUGCUUUUCCCACCGCAUGGUACACCCAAGACUGAAUUAACGUCCCUCGCAGAGAAUGGGAUCACUUUAUGAACAUCAGCUACGAUGGCACAUGAAUCAAGAUCAAUUUUGCUCAGAAGCCAGGCGCCAUACUGCCUGUUAACUUUAGUUAACUUCAUGUGAAGAAUGCCGUGAAGCCCUGUUUGACGGACAAGAUCCUUUUUCAUGUCAUCAAAACUGUUAAAUAAACCGACGACACACCUUGGUUGGCAUCUUGAAUUUAUCCUCGUGUUUUUUGCAUUGGGUGACUUAUCUGUGAUCCUCUUACGACGGUAUUUAUCAGUCACGCGAGACGCGCUGCGUGACAACGUGCCUUUCCUGGACUUGUAUGGCUGGGAGUUCACACCCUGCGAGCAAAACUGUGCAGAUUCAGUUACAAGUAUUGUACAUACAGAAAAACAAAACAUGGAAGAGAGAUAUUUGCUUUGGUCAUGAAAAGUUCCGUCUUGGAACGAUAAAAUUUGUUGCUCCUGCAGCCACUUUCCCCUGACUAGAUUAUAUAUAUACAACUAGCUUCAUGGACAUGUAUUUGUUUACAUAGCAGAGAAUAUCGAUUAAGCAACAUACCCCGUGUGAGUUACAGUUGAUGCUGAUGGGAGGAGUGGCCGGUCGAGAGCAAUCGACGCCGAAGACCUGCUGGGCAUAAACGGGAGCGUCGUCUUGUUCCAUGCCGCUGCAUGGAGCGAUCCGCUGUCCAGCCGUCGUUAGCGCGGUAUGCACGAGAAGCGAGACGCUGUCCAGCCGUCGUCGUCCACGAGAAAAUAGAUCGAGACGCUGUCCAGCCGUCGUCGUAGCGAGCGAGGUAUCCACGAGAAAAUAGAUGGAGACGCUGUCCAGAGAUUAGUUCAAGGGUGACGUUUGUUAUCCCUAUAAAAAAGGAGUCUGUUGCAACAAAUCAGCUGAUCUUUUUUUUGAACACGUAAUUAUCUCACCUUUUGAUCUGGAAGCUAACGCGGUGGAUGCUCGGGAGAUGAAUCGGACCUGUGAGUAUGUACUCCUAGGAGUACUAACCUAUUUUCUUAUAUAUAUAUAUGGAGAGAGAGAGAUAAAUUGAACACAUAGCUGCUGGUAUAUACCCCUAGCCUCGAGGGUGAACUACUCCCUCCUCAUCAUGGCCUCCGCCGGGAUGAUGAAGAUGGCCACCGGUGAUGGUUUUCCCUCUUCGACAGAGUACUAGAAUCGCUCCAUAUUGGUUUUUCGGCGAUACACAGAGUUGCAUCGGCGAAGCGAAAGUUCUCUCUUUACUUCUCGAGUUUCUCGGAUUUAUAGGAUUUUUCAGCGUUGGAAUCAUGCGCAACGGAUCCACGUGGGCCCCACAAGCCAUCACGAAGCGGCCAAGGCACGACCGCACCCUAKUGGCUUGUGCCUCCGUGGCAGCCCUCCUCUGGUGGUUCUUCGCUCCAACGUUUCUCAUAUGUUCCAGAAAAAAAUCAUAAAACACUUUUGGGCGAUUCCGUGAACUUUCAUUUUCUGCACAAAAAACAACACCACGGUAAUUCUACUGAAAAUAGCGUGAGUCCGGGUUAGUUUUAUAUAAAUAAUAAAGUUCAUAAAUACCAUAUAAAGUUAUUAUAAACAUAGGAAAAUAUGGCAUGAAUACUUCAUAAAUUAUCAAUACGUUGGAGACGUAUCACAUACCGAUGGAUUGAGAUGAAAGAGGGGAUGCCUUCCGGGGAAUCCCCAAGCGUGGCUUAGACGCUGGAGUAUUCCUAGAAUUUUACUUGACAUGCAUUAGGCAUCCCCAAUAUUAGGAUCUUUGUCUCUCCUUAUUCCUUCAUCCAUCGUGAUAACACCCAAAACUUGAAAACUUCAGCACACAAAACUCAACAGAAAACUCGAGAGAUCCGUUAGUAUGAUAGGCGAACCAGAAACAUUAGGUACUAUUAUGAAUUGAUUAAUAUUUUAGUAUUGCAUAAGGUAAUGUAUUCUAAUUUCUCCGUGACUUAUACCCUGGAAAGUUUGCAAGCAAAAAGAGAAUCAAUACUAUGAGCAAAAACAGAAUAUGUCUAAAACAUAACAAUCUGUAGUGAUUAACAAAGACACCAUACUUCUGUAACUCUAUUUUUUUUUAAAAUACAAAACCCUGAGUAAUUUGUAUACCAAUACUGCAUAAAACAUUCAGAUCAAAAAUACAUUCCUGUAAAAUCAGAGAAAUUUUGCACUGGACAUAAAAGUUUGUGUUGUUGCAAACAUCAAUUCUACUUAUCAUUCAAAUCAUCCCAGAGGCUUUACUUGGCACAAACAUUAAUUUAAACCUAAAAAUUAAUACUUACAGUAUAAAUAAUCAUUUUAACUCACACAAACAGAAAGUAAAACAAGAAAAAUAAGAUAACAAGUUGGUUGCCUCCCAACAAGCGUUAUUGUUUUACGCCCUAGCUAGGCAGAAUGUAUAGUUUCAAGUGUUAUCAUCUUUGACACUCAAACCAUAAGUAGUCCUCAUGGUAGAUUCAUAAGGUGGUUUAAUUCGCUGCAUAAUGAAGUGUUCCAUCCUUUCUUUAAUGGGAAUUGGAAUCUUACGUUUGACUCUUUAAUAUCAAUAAUGGCACCUACAGUUCGUAAGAAAGGUCCUCCAAGUAUUAUGGUACAAGAUAAAUUGCAUUCAAUAUCAAGCACAACGAAAUCUACCCGCACAUAAUUCCUAUUCGAAAUAAUAAUCACAUCAUUUACUCUACCCCAAAGGUUUCUUAAUCGUAGAAUCCGCAAGAUGCAAGUUAAGGGAACACUCAUGUAUAUCUGUGAGACUAAGCACAUCACAAAGAGAUUUAGGUAUAUUUGAAACACUAGCACGAAGGUCACACAAAGAAUUACAUUUAUAAUUUUAGUAUUAGGUUCCCAUUCAUCAUGCAAUUUUCUAGGUAUAGAAACUUCCAACUCAAGUUUCUCAUCAUAAGCCUACAUCAUUGCUUCCACUAUAUGUUUAGUAAAAGCUUUGUUUUGUUCAUAGACAUUGGGUGAGAUAAUAAUGGACUGCAGCAGGGAAAUACAUUCCACUAAAGAGCAACUCUCAUAAUUAAAGUCCUUGUAAUCCAAGAUAGGGGGCAUAUCACUAGUUAAAGUUUUGACCUCUCCAACCCCACUUUUUUCAUUUUUCAUCACUAGAAUCAUCACCCUCCGAACAAACGGACUACUUUAUAGAUAAAGUUGAAUCACCUACAGUCCCUUUAUAAUCUAUUUUAAGAUUAGCAAAUAAAGAUUCAAUGGAAGAAGUACCAAUUAUUUUAGUAUCUUCAUCAUGAUUAUGGUAAAAACCGGGUGGAAGAGUCGUUUCUAAGAAUUCUCGCUUAGCUCUCAACCUAGCAGUCCUCUCCUUACUUUAAUUAAUACUAGCAAAAGGGCCCGUGCGUUGCAACGGGAGAAAAGAAUACCACACGCUCUUAAUUUAUAAAAAUGAUCUAUAAUCUAAGAAUUUGUAGUUAUGACACAAACAAAGAUGGUUUUACCCUACAAAUGUGCAGUUCAAGAUUCCACAUGUCUUCUAUUUCAACACAGUUUGCAUGUAUAUUGAACACGUACAAAGAAACAGACAAGUGACCUUCAAUUUCAUCUCUAAUCCUGAUUUUGUUGAGAUGUUCAUCCUCAAUCUGGAUCAAUACCGGUAUGAAAGAAAGAUGAAUAAUGCAUUAUUCAUUAAGAUUGUAUCAUAUACAGUCUUUUUUUAAUUUAACAGGUAAAAUAUCAUCAUAUGUAGAUUCUACAUAUUUUUCUAAUCAAAUUUCAUAUAUAAGAUGUUAAAUUUGGAGUUACGGUUUAGAAGAUAUGAGUAUUUUAAAAAACAUUUAAUAUGUACUAUGGGUUUAAUAUCAGAAACAUCAGGUUUUUUUCUAUAAAAUAGCAUGACGGACUAAGAAUACCUAUUUCUUUUAUUAGUGGAUAUAGUAUUUUUUUAGAUGGAUUUAAUGCACUCAUUGAUAUCAUUGAAAUUUCCUCUAUAAGCAUUGUUGUUGAAAUUAUUUCGCGAGAUAAAGUUCACACCAAUAGCAUCAUCAUUUUGCUCAAUCAAUGUAGGCAAAGGCAUAUCAGUGGGAUCAACAUGAGCAUGUUUGCUAGCAACCUUAUUCAUAAUUGCAUCCAUUUUCUCACUCAAAGUAGUGAUUUCCUCAAGACAAUUUACUUUCUUAACAGUUGGAGCUCUUUCGGUAUGCCACUAAGAAUAAUUUGUGAUGAUCUUUUCCAGAAGUUUUGUGGCAUCUCCCAAUGUCACCUCCACGAAGGUACCACCUACAACAGAUUAUAGAAUAUUUCUAGACACAAAGUUUAGUCCAACAUAGAAAAUUUGUAUAACAAUCCAUAAGUUCAAACCAUGAGUAGGGCAAUUUUUAAUCAUCAAUUUCAUCCUCUCAAAAGCUUGUGCAACAUGUUCUUGAUCAUGUUACUUAAAAUUCAUAAUUUGAUUUCUAAGGGAGAUGAUCUUAGUAGGACGAAAAUACUUGGUAAUGAAAGUAUCUUUACAUUUAUCCCAUGUUCCAAUACUAUUACGUGGUAAAAAUGAAAACCAAUCAUUAGAUUUAUCUCAUAGUGAAAAACUUAAUAAUUUUAAUUUGACCACAUCAUUAUCCAUAUCAUUUUUCAUUUGCAUAUCACAUAAUUCAACAAAAGGUAAAAAUGAAUUGAGAUGCGCAGCCGGAUGCUGCGGCAACAAAAGUCCUUCCCUCGCGCUUAGGAAUUCUUCUUGUUACUUCUCUGGUUUGUGUCGGUUUUUCCCUUGAAGAGGAAAGGGUGAUGCAGCACAGGAGCAGUAAGUAUUUCCCUCAGUUUGAGAACCAACGUAUCGAUCCAGAAGGAGGGCCUCAUCAAGUCCAAAGUACCUGCGCAAACACAAACAAGUUUGCACCCAACGCUUCAAAGGGGUUGUCAAUCCCUUCAGGAUUGUUUGCAAAGUGAGAUCUAAAGGCGGAAAGUGCAAUGAAGUAAAAAGUGUAAAGCUGAAAAUAUGGUGUGGAGUAGACCCUCGGGGCCAUAGUGUUUACUAGAGGCUUCUCUCAAAAUAGCAAAUAUCACGGUGGGUGAACAAAUUACUGUCGAGCAAUUGAUAGAACCGCGCAAAGUCAUGACGAUAUCUAAGGCAAUGAUCAUACAUAUAGGCAUCACGUCCGAGACAAGUAGACCGAUACUUUCUGCAUCUACUACUAUUACUCCACACAUCGACCGCUAUCCAGCAUGCAUCUAGUGUAUUGAGUUCAUGACGAACAGAGUAACGCCUUAAGCAAGAUGACAUGAUGUAGAGGGAUAAUCUCAAACCAAUGAUGAAAACCCCAUCUUUUUACCCUUGAUGGCAACAACACGAUACGUGCCUCGCUACCCCUUCUGUCACUGGGUGAGGUCACCGCACGGUAUGAACCCAAAACCAAGCACUUCUCCCAUUGCAAGAAUCAUAGAUCUAGUUGGCCAAACAAAACCCACAACUCGAAGAGAAUUACAAGGAUAUGAAAUCAUGCAUAAGGGAGAUCAGAAGAAACUCAAAUAAGAUCCAUAGGUAAUCUGAUCAUAAAUCCACAAUUCAUCGGAUCUCGACAAACACACCGCAAAAGAAGAUUACAUCGGAUAGAUCUCCAUGAAGAUCAUGGAGAACUUUGUAUUGAAGAUCCAAGAGAGAGAAUAAGCCAUCUAGUUACUAGCUAUGGACCCGUAGGUCUAUGGUGAACUACUCACGCAUCAUCGGAGAGGUCAUGGUGUUGAUGGAGAAGCCCUCCGUGUUUGAAUCCCCCUCCGGCAGGGCACCAGGACGUGUCCCAGAUGGGAUCUUGCGGAGACAUAAGCUUGCUGCGGCGGAAAAGUGAUUACGAUGAUCUCUUGAUUUUUUCUGGAAUUUAUGGGAAUAUAUGGGCGAAAGUGGUAGGGCAAUGGGCGUCUAGGGGGCCCACAAGCCUGGAUGGUGCGCCCCCCUGGCCAUGGGGUGGGGGCUUGUSGGGCCCCUSGGGCUCUUUUGCCUUGGCUCCCAAGUUCCCCGAUCUUCUUCCGUUCCAAAAAAAAUCUUUUCGGGGAUUUUCUUCCGUUUGGACUUCGUUUCAAAAUCUCCUCUGAAAGGGGUCAAAAACAUGGAAAAACUAGGAAUUGGCACUUGGCACUGAGUUAAUAAGUUAGUCCCAAAAACUAUAUAAAAGGCAUGCAAAACAUCCAAAGUUUGACAAGAUAUUAGCAUGAAACCAUCAAAAAAUUAUAGAUACGUUGGAGACGUAUCAAGCAUCCCCAAGUUUAACUCCUGCUCGUCCUCGAGUAGGGAAGUGAUAAAUAAUGAAUUUUUGAUGUGGAAUGCUACCUAGCAUAGUUGUUCUUUGCAACUUCUUUCACAUGACAUGAAUGUUCAGAUCCGUAAGAUUCAAAACAAUAGUUUGCUAUUGACAUGAAAACAGUAAUACUUCAAGCAAACUAGCAAAGUAAUCAUGAACUUUCAAAAUAACAAGGCCAAAGAAAGUUAUCCCUACAAAAUCAUAUAGUCUAGCUAUGCUCCAUCAUCCUCACACAACUAAUGUAAAUCAUGCACAACCCCGCAAUUGGCCAAGUAAUUGUUUUCGCACUCUUACUUUCUCAAACUUUUUAUAACUAUCACGCAAUACAUGAGCGCGAGCCAUGGAUAUAGCACUAUAGGUGGAAUAGAGUGUGGUGGUGGUUGUGAGACAAAAAGGAGGAGAUGGUCACACUGACUCGGCGUAUCAAUAGGCUAUGGAGAUGCCCAUUAAUAGAUAUCAAUGUGAAUGAGUAUGGAUUGCCAUAUAAGAGAUGCACUAGAUCUAUAAGUAUGUGAAAGCUCAAGAGGAAAACUAGUGGGUGUGCAUCCAAGUUUCUUGCUCACGAAGACCUAGGGAAAUUUUGAGGAAGCCCAUCAUUGGAAUAUACAAGCCAAGUUAUAUAAUAAAUAUUCCCACUAGCAUAUGAUGGUGACAAAGCAAGAAGCUCUCAAUCAUGAAGAACAUGGUGCUAACAUGAAGCACAAGUGUGGAAAAAGAUAGUAGCAUUGUCCCUUCUCUCUUUUUCUCUCCUUUUUUAUUUGGGCUCUUAGGCCUAUUUUUUCUUUUCUCUUCUUUUCUCCUUUUUUGUUUUUGGGCUCUUUGGAUCUUUUUUUAUUUCCUCACAUGGGACAAUGCUCUAAUAAUGAUGAUCAUCACACUUUUAUUUACUCACAGCUCAAAGAUCACAAUGAUGAUGACUCCAUAGGGAAUGCCUCCGGCAGUGUAUCGGGAUGUGCAACAAUCUAGCAUGGCGUACGAUGUUGAAACAUCUCGCUAGCUAUCUUACGAUCAUGGAAUGGCAAUAUGAGAGUGAUGACACAAGUCAUGAGACGGAACAGUGGGAUUUGCAUGGCAAUAUAUCUCGGAAUGGCUAUGAAAAUGCCAUAGUAGGUAGGUAUGGUGGCUAUUUUGAGGAAGGAAUUUGGUGGGUUUGUGCACCGGCGAGAAUUGCGCGGCACUAGAGAGGCUAGCAAUGGUGGAAGGUGAAAGUGCAUCUAUACCAUGGGCUCACAUUAGUCAUGAAGAACUCACAUACUUAUUAUGAAAGUUUUUAUUAGUAAUCGAAACAAAGUGCUAAACGCAUACUCCGAGGGGAAGGGUUGGUAGGUGUAAACUAUCGCGUGAUCCCGACCUCAACACAAAGGAUGACAAUCAAUAAAUCAAUUAUGCUCCGACUUCCUAACAUAGAGGUUCACCAUACGUGCAUGCUACGGGAAUUACAAACUUCAACACAAGUAUUUCUAGAUUCACAACACCCUACUAACAUAACUCUCAAUAUUACCGAAUCCACGUCUCAAAACUAAUUGAGAGGAAUCGAAACUUCUCUUUCUACUCAAUGCACAUGAAGAUGGAGGUUUUUGCAUCCUCUUUGGGUACCUAGCACAUUUGGGACUACUUUCAUAGCAUAAGCCAACUACCAAAUCACGCACCGCCGUGCUCUAAAGAUAUAAGUGAAGCACUAGAGCAAAAGUAUCUAGCUCAAAAGAUAUAAGUGAAGCACUAUGAGCAUUCUAGCAAAAUCACGAUGAGUGCAUGUCUAUCUCUCUCUCUCAAAAAGGUGUGCAGCAAGGAUUAUUGUGACACAACAAAAAGAAAAGACUCCUAAGAUACAAGACAUCAUGUGGUGAAUAAAAAUAUAGCUCCAAGUAAUGUUACCGAUGGAUUGAAGACGAAAGAGGGGAUGCCUUCCCGGGGCAUCCCCAAGCUUAGGCUUUUUGGUGUCCUUGAAUUUGGCUUGGGAUGCCUUGGGCAUCCCCAAUCUUGAGCUCUUUCCACUCCUUAUCUCUUUGUCCAUGAGAACAUCACCCAAAACUUGAAAACUUCACAACACAAAACUUAAACAGAAACUCGUGAUAACAUUAGUACAAGAAAACAAACUACCACUUCUUUUGGUACUGUAGAAAACUUGAAUUCCAUCUAUAUUGAUGAUGGGAUACUGUAUUCUCAAUUUUCCAUGGCUAGUACCCCCCGAUACUAACCAUAGUUUCAUCGAAACAAGCAACCAACCCAACAAAAACAGAAUCUGUCAAAAACAGACCAGUCUGCAGCAAUCUGUAUACUUCGUAUACUUCUGAUACCUCAAACAAUCUGAAACAUUACGACGGCCUGGGUAAAAAGCAUAUCAAUCAUCAGGAAAAAGAAUCAACUCAAAAGCUCUUUUUGAAUAAAAAUGAAAAAUCAUCUCGUGAGCGAAAAGUUUCUGUAUUUUUUCAGCAGGAUGAAACAACCAUUACCAAGACUAGUCAUAAAGGCUUUGCUUGGCUCAAACACAAAAAGAAACACAAAAACACAAUCACAACAGAAUUUCGAUGGUGUGGACGCAACAAAACAGAAAGAAAACGAUAAAUUCAUUGGGUUGCCUCCCAACAAGCGCUAUUGUUUAACGCCCUUAGCUAGGCAUAGAAGCGAUAGAAUCACAUAUCGUCGUCUUUGGUGCUCAAACCAUAAGUGGCCCUCACAAUGGAUUCAUAAGGCAAUCUUAUUUUCUUUCUAGGAAAGUGUUCCAUGCCGUUCCUCAAAGGAAAUUGAAAACUAAUAUUCCCUUCCUUCAUAUCGAUGAUAGCACCAAUAGUCCUUAAGAAAGGUCUACCAAAAAUAAUAGGGCAAGUAGUAUUGCAAUCAUUGUCAAGCACAAUGAAAUCCACGGGUACAUAGUUCCUAUUUGAAACAAUAAGAACAUCAUUGAUCCUUCUCAUGGGUUUUUUGAUAUUAGAAUCAGCAGGAUGCAAAUUAAGAGAACACUCUUCAAUCUCAUUAAAACCCAGAACAUCACAUAAAUACUUUGGAAUCCCAGAAACACUAGCACCCAAAUCACACAAAGCAUUGCACUCAUAGUUUUUUAUUUUGAUUUUGAUGGUAGGUUCCCACUCAUCAUGAAUCUUUCUAGGGAUAGAGACUUCCAAUUCAAGUUUCUCUUCGAGAGAUUUUAUCAUAGCUUCGACGAUAUGAUCGGUAAAGGCUUUGUUUUGGCUAUAAGCGUGUGGAGAGUUCAACAUGGAUCGCAUCAAAGAAAUGCAUUCAAUCAAGGAGCAACUAUCAUAAGUGAAUUCCUUGAAAUCCACGGUAGUAAUUUCAUUACUACUCAAAGUUUUAACGUCUUCUACUCCACUUUUAAUGCUUUUAGCAUCAAGAUAGAUGGACUCCGAAUCAUUGGGGCACUAUUCAACCAAAGUGGAUUCAUAUCCAGCCCCAUAAUCAUUAGGUUUGACAUAAGAAAACAAAGAUUCAAUGGGAGUCACACCAAGCACAUUAAGAUCUUCGUGAUUCUCGUCACGAGAACACGCCUUUUUAAGCCAUUCAUGUCUAGCACGAAUUUUGGCGGUUCUUUCUUGGCUCUCAAUCAUGGAAACACGCAUAGAUUUCAAAGUUUCAUCCAUGUUUAUUUUGGGAGGAGCACAUCUAACUUUCAAAGCAUCAACAUCACAAGAAAUUCUAUCCACGCUCUUAGCCAAAUCGUCAAUUUUGAGUAGUUUUUCCUCUAUGGACGCAUUGAAAAUCUUUUGAGAGUUGAUGAACUCUUUGAUAUUACUCUCUAGAUCAGAGAGUAAUCUAUUGUAAUUUCCAUGCGUAUUGUUGUAGGAGUUGCCAAAAUUAUUAGAGGAGUUACUAGGGAAAGGCCUAGGAACAUAGUUUCCUCUAAAAGCAUUGUUGUUGCCAAAGUUAUUCCUACCAACAAAAUUAACGUCCAAGCUAGCAUUGCUACUCUCAAUCAAAGAAGACAAGGGCAUAUCAUUAGGAUCCAAAGGAGCACUUCUACUAGCAACCAAAUUCAUUAACUCGUCCAUCUUAGCACUCAACGAGUUAAUUUCCUCUAUAGCGUGUACCUUCUUACUAGUAGGUGACCUUUCAGUGUGCCACUGAGAGUAGUUCGUCAUGAUGUUGUCUAAGAGCUUUGUGGCUUCUCCUAACGUGAUUUCCAUGAACGUUACACCUGAGGCGGAGUCCAAGAUAUUUCUAGAAGCGAAAUUCAAGCCAGCGUAAAAGAUUUGAAUAAUCAUCCAAAGGCUCAAGCCAUGAGCGGGACAAUUUCUAAUCAUUAAUUUCAUUCUCUCCCAAGCUUGUGCAACAUGUUCAUGAUCAAGUUGCUUGAAAUUCAUGAUAUCAUUACGGAGAGAGAUGAUCUUAGUCGGCGGAAAAUACUUGGAUAUAUAAGCAUCUUAGCACUUAUCCCAAGAAUCAAUACUAUUUUUGGGCAAAGAAGAAAAGCAAGUUUUUGCGCGAUCUCGCAACGAGAAAGGAAAAAAGCUUCAAUUUAAUCACGUCAUUAUCCACAUCUUUUUUCUUUUGCAUAUCGCAAAGCUCAAUGAAGGUAUUGAGAUGGGAUGCGGCAUCUUCACUAGGAAGGCCAGAGAAUUGCUCUUUCAUAACAAGAUUCAGCAAAGCGGCAUUGAUUUCGUAUGACUCCGCACUAGUGGCGGGAGCAAUCGGAGUACUAAUAAAAUCAUUAUUAUUAGUAUUCGAGAAGUCACAAAGUUUGGUGUUUUCGUUCAUGGUGACUUCAGCAAGCAAGCAAGCACACAAGCAAACAAAGAGCAGGCGAGAAAAAGGGCGAACGAAAAGGCGAACGAAAAAUGCACAUUGGUGAAGUGGGGGAGAGGAAAACGAGAGGCAACUGGCAAACAAAGUAAAUGCAAGAGAUGAGUUUGCGACACCUACUUGGAUGAGUUCUUGACUUGAUCUUCCUCCCCGGCAACGGCGCCAGAAAUUCUUCUGCUGCGGCAACAAAAGUCCUUCCCUGGCGCUUAGGAAUUCUUCUUGUUACUUCUCUGGUUUGCGUCGGUUUUUCCCUUGAAGAGGAAAGGGUGAUGCACCACAGGAGCAGUAAGUAUUUUCCUUAGUUUGAGAACCAAGGUAUCGAUCCAGAAGGAGGGCCUCGUCAAGUCCAAAGUACGUGCGCAAACACAAACAAGCUUGCACCCAAUGCUUCAAAGGGGUUGUCAAUCCCUUCAAGAUUGUUUGCAAAGUGAGAUCUGAAGGCGGAAAGUGCAACGAAGUAAAAAGUGUAAGGCUGAAAAUAUGGUGUGGAGUAGACCCUGGGGGCCAUAGUGUUCACUAGAGGCUUCUCUCAAAAUAGAAAAUAUCACGGUGGGUGAACUAAUUACUGUCGAGCAAUUUAUAGAACCGCGCAAAGUCAUGACGAUAUCUAAGGCAAUGAUCAUACAUAUAGGCAUCACGUCCGAGACAAGUAGACCGAUACUUUCUGCAUCUACUACUAUUACUCCACACAUUGACCGCUAUCCAGCAUGCAUCUAGUUUAUUGAGUUCAUGAAGAACAGAGUAACGCCUUAAGCAAGAUGACAUGAUGUAGAGGGAUAAUCUCAAACCAAUGAUGAAACCCCCAUCUUUUUACCCUUAAUGGCAACAACACGAUACAUGCCUCGCUACCCCUUCUGUCACUGGGUGAGGUCACCGCACGAGGUCACCACACGAUAUGAACCCAAAACCAAGCACUUCUCCCAUUGCAAGAAUCAUAGAUCUAGUUGGCCAAACAAAACCCACAACUCGAAGAGAAUUACAAGGAUAUGAAAUCAUGCAUAAGAGAGAUCAGAAGAAACUCAAAUAAGAUCCAUAGAUAAUCUGAUCAUAAAUCCACAAUUCAUCGGAUCUCGACAAACACACCGCAAAAUAAGAUUACAUCGGAUAGAUCUCCAUGAAGAUCAUGGAGAACUUUGUAUUGAAGAUCCAAGAGAGAGAAGAAGCCAUUUAGUUACUAGCUAUGGACCCGUAGGUCUAUGGUGAACUACUCACGCAUCAUCAGAGAGGUCAUGGUGUUGAUGGAGAAGCCCUCCGUGUCCGAAUCCCAUCUGCGGUAGGGCACCAGGACGUGCCCCAGAUGGGAUCUUGCGGCAACAGAAGCUUGCGGCGGCGGAAAAGUGAUUACGAUGAUCUCCUGAUUUUUUCUGGAAUUUAUGGGAAUAUAUAGGCGAAAGUCCUAGGGAAAAGGGCUUCCAGGGGGCCCACAAGCCUGGAUGGCGCGGCCCCCUGGCCGCGGGGUGGGGGCUUGUGGGGCCCCUGGGGCUCUUCUGCCUUGGCUCCCAACUUCCCCGAUCUUCUUCCAUUUCAAAAAAAAUCUUUUCGGGGAUUUUCUUCCGUUUGGACUCCGUUUCAAAAUCUCCUCUGAAAGGGGUCAAAAACAUGGAAAAAACAGGAACUGGCACUUGGCACUGAGUUAAUAAGUUACUCCCAAAAUAUAUAUAAAAGGCAUGCAAAACAUCCAAAGUUUGACAAGAUAUUAGCAUGAAACCAUCAAAAAUUACAGAUACGUUGGAGUCGUAUCACCGGAUCCUCAUUAGGACUUACGAAAAAAUAACUUCUUUCAUCACAAGAUUUAGCAAUGCAGCAUUAAUAUCAUAAAAUUCCAUACUAGUGGCGGGUGGUAUGGGAGUACUAAUAAAAUCAUUAUUAUUAUUAUUAAAGAAGUCACACAACUUAGUGUUGUCUUGAGACAUGGUGACCAACAAAGCAAAGUAAUAAGCGAAGCAAGUACACUAGCAAGUAUAGCAAGCAAACAAGUAAACUAUCAAAGGAAAAAAAAUUGAUUUUUUGAUUUUUAUAGCAAGGAAAAUAUAACAGAAAUAAAAAGUAGAACAAGUGAAUCAUAAUUUGUGAGAAGGUACUUGAUAGGAAAUUGGUCAUACUCCCCGGCAACGACGCCAGAAAUCCUUCCUGAUACUUGUGAUCUACGUUGGAUUUUUAUCAAAGAGGAGGGGAUGAUGCAGGAUCAUAGAGGUAAGUAUUCCUCUCACUGAGAACCAAGGUUAUCGAACCAAUACGAGGACCGUGCAAUUUCCCAUCUUCAGCGCCUACACAAAGAGGGUUGUCAAUCCCCUUGAACUCGCUACUUGCAAGAGAUAAAUAGUGAUAAAUAGAUAAUUUAAAUAUAUUAAAUAUAAAAAGUAAGUACAAAUAAUAAAAGGCAUCAAGGUAUUUAGAGUUUUUGUACAUAUAUUUAUGAGUAGACUCGGGGGGCCAUAGUUUUCGCUAGAGGCUUCUCGCUCGUAGAAAGCAUACAGUGGGUAAACAAAUUACUAUUGGGCAAUUGAUAGAAUAGUGCAUAGUCAUGCAAUAUUUAUUCGUGGCAAUGAUAAUUACAUAUAGGCAUCAUGUCCUUAAACAAGUAGAAUGACUCCUGCCUACAUCUACUACUAUUUCUCCACCCAUCGACUGUUAUCCAGCAUGCAUCUAGAGUAUUAAGUGAAAACAGAGUAAUGCUUGGAGGAUGAUGACAUGAUGUAGACAAAGUAAAUACAAUUAAUAUGAAUGAACACCAUUUGUUUACCCUAAGUGGCAGCAAUACAAUGCGUGUCAUGUCCCUUUCUAUUACCAGGAUUGAGCACCGCAUGAUUGAACCCACUACAAGGCACCUCUCCGGUUGAGGAUGAGUCAGUCUAGUUGGCUAAACCAAAUUAAUAGAUUGGAGAUAAUUACGAAGCUAUCACAAUCAUCAAUAUAAUAAUUCGGAGAAGACUCAAACAUUAUUCAUGAAUUAUGUAAACAUAAACCCAAAAGUCAUCGUAUCCCAACAAAGUCACCGCACAUAAGUGAUUACAUAAGAUAGAUCACCGCGGGAAUCACGGUGACCCUCUAUACCACAAAGUUCACAAGUAAAAGGAUAAAGGUCACACAAUUCUCUAGCAAUUUCAUUUAAAUCUCUAACCCAAGUGAUUGUUCUUUCAUGCUUAUGUUGCUUACAAUACUUCUCUUCUUCAAUCAUAGGCCUUUCAGAAGGUCUAUCCAUUCCACAAAAUUAACAUGCUUAUAUAAAACUUCAUUUUCAGGAAUUGGAUCAUGCAUGUUGCAAUUAUCAUUAACAAUUUCAUUUUCUUUGCAAAUAUUUUUAAAAGGUUCAUGAUGCUUGAUCCAAUUCUCCUUACGCAUAUUAAGAUGUGAAGCAAUAGAUUUGAGAAAAAUCAACAAGGAGGUGAGAAUCAAGCCCAAACUUAGCACUAAACUUAUUAAAACUUGCAGUUUCAACAAAGGUCUUAAUGCAAUCAUACUCAUAAUUUAUACCUCACUCUUUACCUUUGUUGAUCUCCCAUUCUUCAGUAUUGCGUUGAAUUCUUUCAAGGAGUUCCCAUUUAGCAUCAAUCCUUUUGUUUGUGAAAGAACACAUAGAGGAAGCAUCGAGCCAGUUGAUACGUCUCCAACGUAUCUAUACUUUUUGACUGUUCCAUGUUAUUAUAUUAUCAACUUGGGAUGUCUUAUAUGCAUUUAUAUGACAUUUUAUAUCAUUUCUGGGACUAACCUAUUAACUCAGUGCCCAGUGCCAGUUUCUGUUUUUUCCGUGUUUUUGACCUUUUUCAGAUAAGAAUAUUAAACGGAGUCCAAACGGAAUAAAACCUGCGGGAUGAUUUUUUCCAUAACAGAAGAUACCCAGAAGACUUGAGAACCAAGGCAGGGGGUCUCGUGGGAGGUCACGAGCCCCCUAGGUGCUCCCUAGGGGGGCGCCUAGCAGGCUCGUGGGCCCCCCUUGCCUCCUUUGCCCUACCUCUUUCGCCUAUAAAUUCCCUAAAAUCCUGAAACCAACAGAGAGAGCCACGAAAAUACUUUUCCGCCACCGCAAGCUUCUGUUUCCGCGAGAUCCCAUCUCGGGACCGUUUUGGUGCCCUGCCGGAGGGGGAUUCGGACACAGAGGGCUUCUUCAUCAACACCAUUGCCUCUCCGAUGAUGCGUGAGUAGUUCACCACAGACCUUCGGGUCCAUAGCUAGUAGCUAGAUGGCUUCUUCUCUCUCUUGGAUCUUCAAUACAAAGUUCUCCAUGAUCUUCGUGGAGAUCUAUCUGAUGUAACUUUCUUUUGCGGUGUGUUUGUCGAGAUCCGAUGAAUUGUGGAUUUAUGAUCAGAUUAUCUAUGAAUAUUAUUUGAGUCUCCUGUGAUUUCUUAUAUGCAUGAUUUUGUAUCCUUGUAAUUCUCUUCGAGUUAUGGGUUUCGUUUGGCUAACUUGACCUAUAAUUCUUGCAAUGGUAGAAGUGCUUGGUUUUGGGUUCAUACCGUGCGAUGUCCUCACCUAGUGACAGAAGGGGUAGCAAGGUGAUAACCCACAAGUAUAGGGGAUCGCAACAGUUUUCGAGGGUAGAGUAUUCAACCCAAAUUUAUUGAUUCGACUCAAGGGGAAGCCAAAGAAUAUUCUCAAGUAUUAGCAAUUGAGUUGUCAAUUCAACCACACCUGAAAGAUUUAGUAUCUGCAGCAAAGUAUCAGUAGCAAGGUAGUAUGAUAGCAACACUAGCAACUGUAACCAGUAGCAGCAAAGUAACAGCAGUAGCAACAGAGUAAUAGCAGCAGUAGUGACAGCAGUAGCAGCAAAGUAACGUAGCAAGGACCAGUAGGAAAAGACUCGUAGGCAUUGGAUCGGUGAUGGAUGAUUAUGCCGGAUGCUAUUCAUCAUGCAACAGUUAUAACAUGUAGUUAUACGUGCUUAGGGAAAAGAACUUGCAUGACAUCUAUUGUCCAUCCCUCUCGUGGCAGCGGGGUCCUAAUGGAAACUACGGGAUAUUAAGGUUCUCCUUUUAAUAAAAAACUGGACCAACGCAUUAACACUUGGUGAAUACAUGAACUCCUCAUACUAUGGUCAUCUCCGGGAGUGGUUCCGGCUAUUGUCAAUCCGGGGUUGCCGGGUCAUAACACAUAGUAGGUGACUACAACUUGCAAGAUAGGAUCAAGAACACACAUAUAUUGACGACAACAUAAAAGGUUGAGAUCUGAAAUCAUGGCACUCGGGCCCUAGUGACAAGCAUUAAGCAUGGCAAAGUAGUAGCAACAUCAAUCUCAGAACAUAGUGGAUACUAGGGAUCAAUCCCCGUCAAAACUAACUCGAUUACAUGAUAGAUCUCAUCCAACCCAUCACCGUCCAGCAAGCCUACGAUGUGAUUACUCAUGAACGGUGAAGAGCAUCAUGGAAUUGGCGAUGAAGGAAGGUUGAUGAUGACGAUGGCGACGAUCUCCCCUCUCCGAAGCACAUAAUGGACUCCAGAUCUGCCCUCCAGAUGAAGAAUAGGAGGUGGCGUCGCCUCCGUAUCGUAAAACGCGAUGGACUCUUCUCCUUGAUUUUUUUCUGGACGAAAGAGGAUAAAUAGAGCUGGAUUUGGAGGCGGUGGAGCUUUGUGGGCCCCACAAGCCUGCCAGGCGGGGCUAGGGGGCCCACGCAUGGUGGGCUUGUGGGCUCACGGCUCCACUUCCUCCGUUGAUUCUUGCGCUAGUAUUUUUCAUAAAUACCAGAAAAAUUCUCCGUAAAUUUUCAGGUCAUUCCGAGAACUUUUAUUUCUGCGCAAAAACUACACCAUGGCAAUUCUGCUGAAAACAGCGUUAGUCCGAGUUAGUUCCAUUCUGAUCAUGCAAAUUAGAGUCCAAAAACAAGGGGAAAAAAGAGUUCGGAAAAGUGAUACGAUGGAGACGUAUCACAAGGCACGCAKGGUSUAGGUUGCCAUCAAGGGUAAAAAGAUGGGGUUUAUAUCAUAUUGCAUGAAUUUAUCCCUCUACAGCAUGUCAUCUUGCUUAAGGCGUUACUCUGUUUGUUAUGAACUUAAUACAUAGAUUGCAUGNUGAUGCGUNNNNNNNNNNNNNNNNNNNNNNNNNNNNNNNNNNNNNNNNNNNNNNNNNNNNNNNNNNNNNNNNNNNNNNNNNNNNNNNNNNNNNNNNNNNNNNNNNNNNCUCCUUAGGUUCCAUUAGAACGCNUUUGAGUCCAUUGCCAAAUUUCAUAAUCAUAAAAGGCGGCAAUUWGCUAMCAUGAUUCAGACUUAUUUCAGCUUCGCUACGGGAGAGAAAGUCUCUUCAUAGUCAAUUCCUUGAAUUUGUUGAAAACCCUGUGCGACAAGUCGAGCUUUAUAAACGGUUACAUUACCGUUUGCAUCAGUCUUUUUCUUGAAGAUCCAUUUAUUUUCUAUGGCUCGCCAGUCAUCGGGCAAGUCCACCAAAGUCCAUACUUUGUUCUCAUACAUGGAUCCUAUCUCGGAUUUCAUAACUUCAAGCCAUUUGUUGUAAUCCGGGCCCGCCAUCGCUUCUUCAUAGUUUGAAGGUUCACCGUUGUCUAACAAGAUGAUUUCCAUCACAGGGUUGCCGUACCACUCUGGUGCGGAGCGUGCCCUUGUGGACCUUCACGGUUCAGUAGUAACUUGAUCCGAAGCUUCAUGAUCAUUAUCAUUAACUUCUGCUUCAGUUGGUGCAGGCGCCACAGAAACAACUUCCCGCGCUGUGCUACUUUCCUGUUCGAGAGGGGGUGUAAUUACCUCAUCAAGUUCUACCUUCCUCCCACUUACUGCUUUCGAAAGAAACUCUUUCUCUAGAAAGGAUCCGUUCUUGGCAACAAAGGUUUUACCUUCGGAUCUAAGAUAGAAGGUAUACCCAAUAGUUUCCUUAGGGUAUCCUAUGAAUACGCAUUUCUCCGCUUUGGGUUCAAGCUUUUCUGGUUGAAGUUUCUUCACAUAAGCAUCGCAGCCCCAAACUUUAAGAAACGACAACUUAGGUUUCUUGCCAAACCAUAGUUCAUACGGUGUCGUCUCAACGGAUUUAGACGGUGCCCUAUUUAAAGUGAAUGCUGUAGUUUCUAAUGCGUAUCCCCAAAAUGAUAACGGUAAGUCGGUAAGAUACAUCAUAGAUCGUACCAUAUCUAAUAAAGUGCGAUUACGACGUUCAGACACUCCCUUGCGUUGCGGUGUGCCAGGCGGUGUCAGUUGUGAAACGAUUCCACACUUCCUUAGGUGUGUGCCAAACUCGUGACUCAAAUAUUCUCCUCCACGAUCAGAUCGUAGACACUUAAUUUUUCUGUCACAUUGAUUCUCGACCUCACUCUGAAAUUCCUUGAACUUUUUGAAUGUCUCAGAUUUGUGCUUCAUCAAGUAGAUAUACCCAUACCUACUCAAAUCGUCGGUGAGAGUGAGAACAUAACGAUAGCCACCGCGAGCUUCAACGUUCAUUGGACCACACACAUCAGUAUGUAUUAUUUCCAAUAAGUCGGUUGCUCUCUCCGUUAUUCCUGAGAACGGAGUCUUAGUAAUCUUGCCCAUGAGGCACGAUUCGCAUGUGCCAAAUGAUUCAAAGUCAAGAGACUCUAAUAGUCCAUCAGUAUGGAGCUUCUUCAUGCGCUUGACACCGAUAUGACCAAGGUGGCAGUGCCACAAGUAUGUGGGACUAUCAUUAUCAACUUUACAUCUUUUGGUACUCACACUAUAAAUAUGUGUGACAUCACGAUCGAGAUUCCUCAAGAAUAAACCAUUCACCAGCGGAGCAUGACCAUAAAACAUAUCACUCAUAUAAAUAAAACAACCAUUAUUCUCUGACUUAAAUGAGUAGCCGUCUUGCAUUAAGCAAGACCCUGAUACAAUAUUCAUGCUCAAAGCUGGUACUAAAUAACAAUUAUUAAGGUUUAAAACUAAUCCCGACGGUAGAUGUAGAGGUAGCGUGCCGACGGCGAUCACAUCGACCUUGGAGCCUUUCCCGACGCGCAUCGUCACCUCGUCCUUGGCCAGUCUCCGCUUAUUCCACAGUUCCCGCUUUGAGUUGCAAAUGUGAGCAACAACACCGGUAUCAAAUACCCAGGAGCUACUACGAGCGCUGGUAAGGUACACAUCAAUAACAUGUAUAUCACAUAUACCUUUAACGUUGCCGAUCUUCUUGUCCGCUAAGUAUUUGGGGCAGUUCCGCUUCCAGUGACCCUUUCCCUUGCAAUAGAAGCACUCAGUCUCAGGCUUGGGUCCAUUCCUUUUCUUCUUCCCGGCAUCUGGCUUACCAGGCGCGGCAACGGCUUUGCCGUCUUUCUUGAAGUUCUUUUUAUCCUUGCCCUUCUUGAAACUAGUGGUCUUGUUGACCAUCAACACUUGAUGCUCUUUCUUGAUUUCUACUUCUGUAGACUUGAGCAUCGAGUACAACUCGGGAAUGGUCUUCUCCAUGCCUUGCAUGUUGUAAUUUAGCACAAAACCUUUGUAGCUUGGUGGGAGAGACUGGAGGAUUCUGUCAAUUAUAGCAUCAUCCGGAAGUUCGACUCCAAGUGAAGUCAGAUGACCGUGUAACCCAAACAUUUUGAGUAUGUGCUCACUGACAGAACUGAUCUCCUCCAUCUUACAGCUAAAGAACUUGUCGGAGACUUCAUAUCUCUCGACACGGGCAUGAGCUUGAAAAACUAGCUUCAGCUCUUGGAACAUCUCAUAUGCACCGUGUUGCCCAAAACGCCUUUGGAGCCUCGUUUCUAAACUAUAUAACAUGCCACACCUAACCAGAGAGUAGUCAUGACUCCGCGUUUGCGAGACGUUCAGAAUGUCCUGGGCUGCUGUGGGAGUGGGAGGGUCACCUAGCGGCGGAUCAAGGACAUAAGCCUUUUUAGCUGCUUCAAGGAUGAGCUUCAAGUUGCGAACCCAGUCCGCAUAGUUGCUCCCAUCAUCUUUCAGCUUGUUUUUCUCUAGGAAUGCGUUGAAAUUGAGGUUGACGUUGGCCAUCUACAAUAUUUAUAAAGACAACUUUUAGACUAAGUUCAUGACAAUUAAGUUCAUUUAAUCAAAUUAAGCAUGAACUCCCACUUAAAUCGGCAUCCCUCUAGUCAUCUAAGUGAUACAUGAUCCAUGUUGACUAACCCGUGUCCGAUCAUCACGUGAGACGGACUAGUCACCAUGGUGAGCAACUUCAUGCUGAUCGUAUUCAACCAUACGACUCAUGUCUGACCUUUCGGUCUCUUGUAUUCAAGGUCAUGUCCGUACAUGCUAAGCUCGUCGAGUCAACCUAGGUGUUUCGCGUGUGUAAAUCUUGCUUACACCCGUUGUAUGCGAACGCUAGAAUCUAUCACUCCCGAUCAUCACGUGGUGCUUCGAGACAACGAUCCUUCGCAACCGUGCACACUUAGGGGAAUACUUUCUCGAAAUUUUAAGAGGGAUCAUCUUAUUAUGCUACCGUCGUUCUAAGCAAUAAGAUGAAAAACAUGAUAAACAUCACAAUGCAAUCAUAUAGUGACAUGAUAUGGCCAUUAUCAUCUUUGCCCUUUCGAUCUCCAUCUUCAGGCAUCGCAUGAUCAUCAUCGUCACCGGCGUGACACCAUGAUCUCCAUCAUCGUGUCUUCGUGAAGUCGUCACGCCAACUACUACUAUCACUACUACUAUAGCUAACCGUUAGCAAUGAAGUAAAAGUAGUAAGCACAUGGCGUUGCAUCUCAUACAAUAAAUUAAGACAACUCCUAUGGCUCCUGCCGGUUGUCAUACUCAUCGACAUGCAAGUCGUGAAACCUAUUAUAAUAACAUGAUCAUCUCAUACAUCAUACAUGCAACAUCACAACUUUGGCCAUAUCACAUCACAUGUCAAACCCUGCAAAAACAAGUUAGACGUCCUCUAAUUGUUGUUGGAAAUUUUACUUGGCUGAUUUGGGUUUCUAGCAAGAACGCCUUCUUACCUACGUGAAAGCCACAAUGAUGAUAUGCCAGAGCUAUUUACCCUUCAUAAGGACCCUUUUCAUCAAAUCCAAUCCGACUAGAGUAGGAGAGACAGACACCCGCUAGCCACCUUUAUGCACGGUGUGCAUGUCUGUCGGUGAAACCAGUCUCACGUAAGCGUACGUGUAAAGUCGGUCCGGGCCGCUUCAUCCCACAAUACCAUCGGAAAAGAAUAAGACUAGUAGCGGCAAGCAAAUUGACAAAUCAUCGCCCACAACUUUUGUGUUCUACUCGUGCAUAGAAUCUACACAUAGAAAACCUGGCUCGGAUGCCACUGUUGGGUAACGUAGCAUAAAUUCAAAAUUUUCCUACGCAUAUUCAGAUCUUCCUAUGGAGAGACCAGCAACGAGAGAGGGGUAAGAGCAUCUUUAUACCUUUGAAGAUCGCUAAGCGGAAGCGUUGCUAGAACGCGGUUGAUGGAGUCGUACUCGCAGCGAUUCCGAUCUAGUGCCGAACUACGGCACCUCCGCGUUCAACAUACGUGCAGCCCGGUGAGGUCUCCCGCACCUUGAUCCAGCAAGGAGGAGGGAGAGGUUGGGGAAGAGCUCUAGCACCACGACGGCGUGGUGUCGAUGGAGAGAUGAGGUCUCCCGGCAGGGCUUCGCCAAGUACCGGAGAGAGGAGGAGGAAGAAGGGCAGGGCUGCGUCGAGGGAGAGGGAGAAGUCUAUCUUCCAAUGGCCAAAAUUGCCCGCUAUAUAUAGGGGAAGGGAGGGGCUGCACCCCCUUGAGGGUUUCCCCCUCCGUGGGGGGGGGGGGGCGGGCAGCCCGAGAUGGGGAUGGUGUUGGAAUUAUGCCCUAGAGGCAAUAAUAAAUAUAGUUGUUAUUAUAAUUCAUGUAUCAAGAUAAUCGUUUAUUAUCCAUGCUAUAAUUGUAUUGAAUGAAGACUUAUAUACAUGUGUGGAUACAUAAACAGAACACUAUCCCUAGCAAGCCUCUAGUUGGCUAGCCAGUUGAUCAAAGAUAGUCAUGGUCUUCUGAUUAUAUACAAAGGUGUUGUUGCGUGAUAACUGGAUCACGUCAUUAGAAGAAUCACGUGAUGGACUGGACCCGAACUAAUAGACGUAGCAUGUUGAUCGUGUCAUUUUGUUGCUACUGUUUUCUACGUGUCAAGUAUUUGUUCCUAUGACCAUGAGAUCAUAUAACUCACCGACACCGGAGGAAUGCUUUGUGUGUAUCAAACGUCGGAACGUAACUGGGUGACUAUAAAGAUGCUCUACAGGUAUCUCCGAAGGUGUUCGUUGAGUUAGUAUGGAUCGAGACUGAGAUUUGUCACUCCGUGUGACGGAGAGGUAUCUCGGGGCCCACUCGGUAAUACAACAUCACACACAAGCCUUGCAAGCAAUGUGACUUAAUGUAAGUUGCGGGAUCUUGUAUUACGGUACGAGUAAAGAGACUUGCCGGUAAACGAGAUUGAAAUAGGUAUGUGGAUACUAACGAUCGAAUCUCGGGCAAGUAACAUACCGAAGGACAAAGGGAAUGACAUACGGGAUUAUAUGAAUCCUUGGCAAUGAGGUUCAAACGGUAAGAUCUUCGUAGAAUAUGUGGGAUACAAUAUGGGCAUCCAGGUCCCGCUAUUGGAUAUUGACCGAGGAGACACUCGGGUCAUGUCUACAUAGUUCUCGAACCCGCAGGGUCUGCACACUUAAGGUUUGACAUUGUUUUAUGCGUAUUUGAGUUAUAUGGUUGGUUACCGAAUGGGUUUCGGGUGUUCACCGGGGGGCAACCCACCCCGGGGAAGCCCAUAGGCCUUGUGGGUGGCGCACCAGCCCUUGGUGGGCUGGUGGGAUAGCCCAAGAAGGUCCUAUGCGCCAAGGAUAGAAAAUCAAAGAUAAAGAAAAAAAAAGGAGGUGGGAAAGGAGAGAAGGACUCCACUUUCCAAUCCUAGUUGGACUAGGAUUGGAGGAGGACUCCUCCUCCCUUGGUGGCGCAGCCCUUGGGGCUCCUUGAGCCUCAAGGCAAGCCUCCCCUCCCUCCUCCUAUAUAUAUGGAGCAAUUAGGGCUGAUUUGAGACAACUUUUCCAAGGCAGCCCGACCACAUAACUCCAUGGUUUUACCUCUAGAUCGCGUCUCUGCGGAGCUCGGGCGGAGCCCUGCCGAGAUUAGAUCAUCACCAACCUCUGGAGCGUCGUCACGCUGCUGGAGAACUCAUCUACCUCUCCGUCUCUCUUGCUAGAUCAAGAAGGCCGAGAUCAUCGUCGAGCUGUACGUGUGCUGAACGCGGAGGUGCUGUCCGUUCGCCACUAGAUCGUGGGACGGUUCGCGGGGCGGAUCGAGGGACGUGAGGACGUUCCACUACAUCAACCGCGUUCACUAACGCUUCUGCUGUGCGAUCUACAAGGGUACGUAGAUCGGAAAUCCCCUCUCGUAGAUGGACAUCACCAUGAUAGGUCUUCAUGCGCGUAGGAAAAUUUUUGUUUCCCAUGCAACGUUCCUUAACAGAUGGUGCGGCGGCCCAAGGGGGGGAGGAGGGGUGUGGCCGCACCCCUGGUGGGCCUUAGGSCCACCUGGCUUAGGGGUUUCCCCCCCUUUUCUCUCCCCUGCGCAUUGGGCUGAGCGGGGAGGCGCACCAGGCCACCUAGGGGCUGGUUCCCUCCCCUACUUGGCCCAUCUUACCUCCCGGGGUCGUUGCCCCCCUUCGGUUGGACCCCCGGGGCCACCUCCGGUGGUCCCGGUGGUCCCGGUACGUUACCGGUGAUGCCCGAAACAUUUCCGGUGUCCGAAACCAUCCGNNNNNNNNNNNNNNNNNNNNNNNNNNNNNNNNNNNNNNNNNNNNNNNNNNNNNNNNNNNNNNNNNNNNNNNNNNNNNNNNNNNNNNNNNNNNNNNNNNNNAAAGAUACCCAGAAGACUUGAGAACCAAGGCAGGGGGUCUCGUGGGAGGUCACGAGCCCCCUAGGUGCUCCCUAGGGGGGCGCCUAGCAGGCUCGUGACCUUUCUUCAGUUUUUUCAAUCUUUCUUUCAGGCCAACAUUUUCUUGUUCAACUAAGUGUAACUUCUCAAUAAUAGGGUCGAUUGGCAUUUCCGGUUCCACUAUCUCCUAGAUAAAAAUAUCUAUGUCAAGUUGGUCGGCGUAAUUAAUUGUCAUAUAAUCAGGAAAUGAAAAUAUGUAGUUAUAAAAGAUAAUAUACCACAUCCGAAUCAUAGACUGGACAAGGGCCAACGGGGACGGAUAUCAAAACCAUGGCGCUAUACAUAUAAAAAAAAUCUUACACAGUAAGAAAAUUAUAUACAAGUAAAUAUGUAAAUCAUACAAAUCAAAAUUUGUUUUGGUAAAUAAAAACAAUAGGCUCACCAAGGUUGUGUCGGUGACGGGGCGAUCGACGGCGGUGAGGAAGGGGACAAGGCGCGCGACACUAAAAAAACACAAAUCAUAAUUAAAUUUGAGCUCAAAUUGCAUAUGUAUACAUAACAAAUGAUGAACUCUCUCUAGCUUAGGCAUUUCAUCAAACACCUAGCUAGCAUAACAAAAAUGGAAUGAGCAAGAAAACGAGCAAAACUUGCAAUGCCGGAAGAGGGAAUGUUGAUGCUAACCGUAGGACCGAUGGGUGCCAACAAUCUUGACAAAUGGUGGAGAAAAAUGGGGAUGGAUUAGAGCUCCCAAGAGGAAGGAGCGAGCAAAAAUGGAGUUGAGCUCGAGCUGGAAAAAAUGGAGCUGAGCUCGGGGUGGAAUAUAGGGGAGGGCUUUAGGACCGGUUUGUGUUAAAAACCGGUGCUAAAGGGUCUGAUAGCGGGGCCCCGCAGUUGCUGCAAAAAUGAGAAACCUUGCACCGGUUUGUGAUACAAACCGGUUCUAAAGGGUCUGUCCACGUSGGSCCCCCCUCCCUGCAGCAAANNNNNNNNNNNNNNNNNNNNNNNNNNNNNNNNNNNNNNNNNNNNNNNNNNNNNNNNNNNNNNNNNNNNNNNNNNNNNNNNNNNNNNNNNNNNNNNNNNNNAGUCUCCGCUUAUUCCGCAUUUCCUGCUUUGAGUUGCAAAUGUGAGCAACAACACCGGUAUCAAAUACCCAGGAGCUACUACGAGCGCUGGUAAGGUACACAUCAAUAGCAUGUAUAUCACAUAUACCUUUAACAUUGCCGGCCUUCUUGUCCGCUAAGUAUUUGGGGCAGUUCCGCUUCCAGUGACCUUUUCCCUGKCAAUAGAAGCACUCAGUCUCAGGCUUUGGUCCAUUCUUUUACUUCUUCCUGGCAUCUGGCUUACCGGGCGCGGCAACAACUUUGCCGUCUUUCUUGAAGUUCUUCUUACCCUUCCCCUUCUUGAAACUAGUGGUCUUGUUGACCAUCAACACUUGAUGCUCUUUCUUGAUUUCUACUUCUGCAGACUUGAGCAUCGAGUACAACUCGGGAAUGGUCUUCUCCAUCCCUUGCAUGUUGUAGUUAAGCACAAAGCCUUUGUAGCUUGGUGGGAGAGACUGGAGGAUUCUGUCAAUUAUAGCAUCAUACGGAAGUUCGACUCCAAGUGAAGUCAGACGACAGUGCAACCCAGACAUUUUGAGUAUGUGCUCACUGACAGAACUGUUCUCCUCCAUCUUACAGCUAAAGAACUUGUCGGAGACUUCAUAUCUCUCGACACGGGCAUGAGCUUGAAAAACUAGCUUCUGCUCCUGGAACAUCUUAUAUGCUCCGUGUUGCUCAAAACGCCUUUGGAGCCCCGUUUCUAAACUGUAUAACAUGCCACACCUAACCAGAGAGUAGUCAUGACUCCGCGUUUGCCAGAUGUUCAGAAUGUCCUGGGCUGCUACGGGAGCGGGAGGGUCACCUAGCGACGCAUCAAGGACAUAAGCCUUUUUAGCUGCUUCAAGGAUGAGCUUCAAGGUGCGAACCCAGUCCGCAUAGUUGCAACCAUCAUCUUUGAGCUUGUUUUUCUCUAGGAAUGUGUUGAAAUUGAGGUUGACGUUGGCCAUCUACAAUAUUUAUAAAGACAACUUUUAGACUAUGUUCAUGACAAUUAAGUUCAUUUAAUCAAAUUAAGUAUGAACUCCCACUUAAAUCGACAUCCCCCUAGUCAUCUAAGUGAUACAUGAUCCAUGUUGACUAACCCGUGUCCGAUCAUCACGUGAGACGGACUAGUCACCAUGGUGAGCAACUUCAUGCUGAUCGUAUUCAACCAUACGACUCAUGUUCGACCUUUCGGUCUCUUGUAUUCGAGGUCAUGUCUGUACAUGCUAAGCUCGUCGAGUCAACCUAGGUGUUUCGCGUGUGUAAAUCUGGCUUACGCCCGUUGUAUGCGAACGUUAGAAUCUAUCACACCCGAUCAUCACGUGGUGCUUCGAGCAACGAACCUUCGCAACGGUGCACACUUAGGGGAAUACGUUCUCGAAAUUUUAAGAGGGAUCAUCUUAUUAUUCUACCGUCGUUCUAAGCAAUAAGAUGAAAAACAUGAUAAACAUCACAAUGCAAUCAUAUAGUGACAUGAUAUGGCCAUUAUCAUCUUUGCCCUUUCGAUCUCCAUCUUCAGGCAUCGCAUGAUCAUCAUCGUCACCGGCGUGACACCAUGAUCUCCAUCAUCGUGUCUUCGUGAAGUCGUCACGCCAACUACUACUAUCACUACUACUAUAGCUAACCGUUAGCAAUGAAGUAAAAGUAGUAAGCACAUGGCGUUGCAUCUCAUACAAUAAAUUAAGACAACUCCUAUGGCUCCUGCCGGUUGUCAUACUCAUCGACAUGCAAGUCGUGAAAUCUAUUGCAAUAACAUGAUCAUCUCAUACAUCAUACAUGCAACAUCACAACUUUGGCCAUAUCAGAUCACAUGUAAAACCCUGCAAAAACAAGUUAGACGUCCUCUAACUGUUGUUGCAAGUUUUACGUGGCUGAUUUGGGUUUCUAGCAAGAACGCCUUCUUACCUACGUGACAGCCACAAUGAUAAUAUGCCAAAGCUAUUUACCCUUCGUAAGGACCCUUUUCAUCAAAUCCAAUCCGACUAGAGUGGGAGAGACAGACACCCGCUAGCACCUUUAUGCACGGUGUGCAUGUCUGUCGGUGGAACCAGUCUCACGUAAGCGUACGUGUAAUGUCGGUCCGGGCCGCUUCAUCCCACAAUACCGCCGGAAUAGAAUAAGACUAGUAGCGGCAAGCAAUUGACAAUUCAUCGCCCAGAACCUUUUGUGUUCUACUCGUGCAUAGAAUCUACGCAUAGAAAACCUGGCUCGGAUGCCACUGUUGGGUAUCGUAGCAUAAAUUCAAAACAUUUCCUACGCAUAUUUAGAUCUUCCUAUGGAGAGACCAGCAACGAGAGAGGGGUGAGUGCAUAUUCAUACCCUUGAAGAUCGCUAGGCGGAAGCGUUGCUAGAACGCUGUUGAUGGAGUCGUACUCGCGGGGAUUCAGAUCGCGGUGUGAUUCCGAUCUAGUGCCGAACUACGGCACCUCCGUGUUCAACACACGUGCAGCCCGGUGACGUCUCCCGCACCUUGAUCCAGCAAGGAGGAGGGAGAGGUUGGAGAAGAUCUCCGAUAGCACGACGGCAUGGUGUCGAUGGAGAGACGAGGUCUCCCGGCAGGGCUUCGCCAAGCACCGGCAGAGAGGAGGAGAAAGAAGAGCACGGCUACGCCGAGGGAGAGGGAAAACUGUGUCCAAAACAGCCCCGAAACCCCUACUAUAUAUAGGAGGAGGGGAGGGGGUGCCACCCCUUGGGUUCCCACCCUAGGUGGUCCGGCAGCCCCCACAGAUGGGAGGUGCGGUGGCCAGGGCAAGGGGAGGGGGUGGCGCACCCCUAGGUGGGCCUUAGGCCCACCAGCGCCUAGGGUUUCCCCCCUCUCCAGCUCCUGCGCCUUGGGCUGAGUGUGGGGGGCGCACCAGCCCACCUAAGAGCUGGUUCCCUCCCGCACUUGGCCCAUCUAGCCUCCCGGGGUCGUUUCCCCCUUCCGGUGGUCCCGGUACGUUACCGGUGACGCCCGAAACACUUCCGGUGUCCGAAACCAUCCGUCCUAUAUAUCAAUCUUUACCUCCAGACCAUUCCGGAGCUCCUCGUGACGUAUGGGAUCUCAUCCGGGACUCCAAACAACUUUCGAUAAACUCGUAUAACAAUUCCCUAUAACCCUAGCGUCAUCGAACCUUAAGUGUGUAGACCCUACGGGUUUGGGAGACAGGCAGACAUGACCGAGACACCUCUCCGGGCAAUAACCAUCAGCGGGGUCUGGAUACCCAAGGUGGCUCGCACUUGCUCCACGCUGAUCUCAUCGGAUGAACCACGAUGUCAAGGAUUCAAUCAAUCCCGUAUACAAUUCCCUUUGUCUGUCGGUAUAGAACUUGCCCGAGAUUCGAUCGUCGGUAUACCUAUACCUUGUUCAAUCUCGUUACAGGUAAGUCUCUUUACUCGUUCCAUAGCACGUCAUUGUAUGAAUAACUCCUUAGUCAUAUUGAGCUCAUGAUGAUGUUCUACGAGUGGGCCAGAGAUACCUCUCCGUGACACGGAGUGACAAAUCCCGAUCUCGAUUCGUACCAACCCAACAGACACUUUCAGAGGUACCCAUAGUGCACCUUUAUAAUCACCCAGUUACGUUGUGACGUUUGAUACACCCAAAGCACUCCUACGGUAUCCGGGAGUUGCACAAUCUCACGGUCGAAGGAAAAGAUACUUGACAUUAGAAAAGCUUUAGCAUACGAACAAUACGAUCUAGUGCUAUGCUUAUGAUUGGGUCUUGUCCAUCACAUCAUUCUCCCAAUGACGUGAUCCCGUUAUCAAUGACAUCUAAUGCCCAUGAUCAGGAAACCAUGAUCAUCUGUUGACUAACGAGCUAGCCAACUAGAGGCUUGCUAGGGACACUUUGUGAUCUAUUUAUUCACACAUGUAUUACCGUUUCCUCUUAAUACAAUUAUAGAAUGAACUAUAGACGAUUAUCAUGAACAAAGAAAUAUGAUAAUAACCAUUUUAUUAUUGCCUCUAGGGCAUAUUUCCAACAGUCUCCCACUUGCACUAGAGUCAAUAAUCUAGUUACAUUGUGAUGUAUCGAACACCAUAGCAUUAUGGUGUUGAUCAUGUUUUGCUCGUGGAAGAGGUUUUGUCAACGGGUCUGCAAUAUUCAGAUCCGUGUGUACUUUACAAAUAUCUAUCACUCCACUCUGGACAUGGUCCUGGAUGGAGUUGUAGCGGCGUUUGAUCUGCUUCGUCUUCCGGUGAAACCUGGGCUCCUUGGCUAUGGCAAUGGUCCCAGUGUUAUCACAGAAGAGUGUCAUUGGACCCGACGCGCUUGGAACCACUCCAAGGUCGGUGAUGAGCUCCUUCAUCCAAAUUCCUUUAUGAGCCGCUUCUGAAGCAGCUAUGUACUCCGCUUCACAUGUAGAUGCUGCCAUGACUUCUUGCUUGCUGCUGCACCAGCUCACUGCCCCACCAUUCAACACAUAUACGUAUUCGGUCUGUGACUUAGAGUCAUCCGGAUCUGUGUCGAAGCUAGCGUCGACGUAACCCUUUACGAACGAGCUCUUCAUCACCUCCAUAAACGAGAAACAUUUCCUUAGUCCUUUUCAGGUCCUUAAGGAUAUUCUUGACCGAUGUCCAGUGUUCCAUACCGGGAUCACUUUGGUACCUCCCUACCAAGCCUAUGGCAAGGUUUAUAUCAGGUCUGGUACACACCAUGGCAUACAUUAGAGAGCCCACGGCUGAUGCGUAGGGGACAAAACUCAUCUUCUCUCUAUCUGCUGCCGUGGUCGGCGACUGAGUCUUAAUCAAUCUCAUACCUUGCAAAACUGGCAAGAACCCUUUCUUUGAGUUUUCCAUAUUGAACUUCUUCAAUAUCUUAUCAAGGUAUGUCCUUUGCGAAAGACCUAUGAGGCGUCUUGAUCUAUCUCUAUAGAUCUUGAUGCCUAAUAUGUAUGCAGCUUCUCCAAGGUCCUUCAUUGAAAAACUUUUGUUCAAAUAGGCCUUUAUGCUCUCCAACAUCUCCAUAUUAUUCCCCAUCAAUAAUAUGUCAUCCACAUACAGUAUGAGGAAAGCUACAGAGCUCCCACUCACUUUCUUGUACAGACAGGCUUCUCCGUAAUCCUGUAUGAACCCAAACGCUUUAAUCACCUCAUUAAAGCGAAUGUUCCAACUCCGAGAUUCUUGCACCAGCCCAUAGAUGGAGAGCUGGAGCUUGCACACUUUGUUAGCACCCUUAGGGUCGAUAAAACCUUCUGGUUGCAUCAUAUACAACUCUUCCUUGAGGUUCCCGUUAAGGAACGCUGUUUUGACGUCCAUUUGCCAAAUUUCAUAAUCAUAAAAGGCAGAAAUUGCGAACAUGAUUCGGACUGAUUUCAGCUUCGCUACGGGAGAGAAAGUCUCUUCGUAGUCAACUCCUUGAAUUUGUCGAAAACCCUUUGCGACAAGUCGAGCUUUAUAAACGGUUACAUUACCGUUUGCAUCAGUCUUCUUCUUGAAGAUCCAUUUAGUUUCUAUGGCUCGCCGGUCAUCGGGCAAGUCCACCAAAGUCCAUACUUUGUUCUCAUACAUGGAUCCUAUCUCGGAUUUCAUAGCCUCAAGCCAUUUGUUGGAAUCCGGGCCCGCCAUCGCUUCUUCAUAGUUCGAAGGUUCAACGUUGUCUAACAACAUGAUUUCCAUCACAGGGUUGUCGUACCACUCUGGUGCGGAGCGUGCCCUUGUGGACCUUCGCGGUUCAAUAGUAACUUGAUUCGAAGCUUCAUGAUCAUCAUCAUUAACUUCCUCUUCAGUUGGUGUAGGCGCCACAGGAACAACUUCCCGCGCUGCGCUACUAUCCUGUUCGAGAGGGGGUGUAAUUACCUCAUCAAGUUCUACCUUCCUCCCACUUACUUCUUUCGAGAGAAAUUCUUUCUCUAGAAAGGAUCCGUUCUUGGCAACAAAGGUUUUACCUUCGGAUCUAAGAUAGAAGGUAUACCCAAGAGUUUCCUUAGGGUAUCCUAUGAAUACGCAUUUCUCCGCUUUGGGUUCGAGCUUUUCUAGUUUAAGUUUCUUCACAGAAGCAUCGCAGCCCCAAACUUUAAGAAACGACAACUUAGGUUUCUUGGCAAACCAUAGUUCAUACGGUGUCGUCUCAACGGAUUUAGACGGUGCCCUAUUUAAAGUGAAUGCUGCAGUUUCUAAUGCGUAUCCCCAAAAUGAUAGCGGUAAGUCGGUAAGAGACAUCAUAGAUCGCACCAUAUCUAAUAAAGUGCGAUUACGACGUUCAGACACUCCGUUGCGUUACGGUGUGCCAGGCGGCGUCAGUUAUGAAACGAUUCCACACUUCCUUAGGUGUGUGCCAAACUCGUGACUCAAAUAUUCUCCUCCACGAUCAGAUCGUAGACAUUUAAUUUUUCUAUCACGUUGAUUCUCAACCUCACUCUGAAAUUCCUUGAACUUUUCAAACGUCUCAGAUUUGUGCUUCAUCAAGUAGAUAUACCCAUACCUACUCAAAUCAUCGGUGAGAGUGAGAACAUAACGAUAGCCACCGCGAGCUUCAACGUUCAUCGGACCACACACAUCAGUAUGUAUUAUUUCCAAUAAGUCGGUUGCUCUCUCCAUUAGUCCUGAGAAUGGAGUCUUAGUCAUCUUGCCCAUGAGGCACGGUUCGCAUGUGUCAAAUGAUUCAAAAUCAAGAGACUCUAAUACUCCAUCAGUAUGGAGCUUCUUCAUGCGCUUAACGCCGAUAUGACCAAGGCGGCAGUGCCACAAGUAUGUGGGACUAUCAUUAUCAACUUUACAUCUUCUGGUACUCAUACUAUGAAUAUGCGUAACAUCACGAUCGAUAUUAAUCAAGAAUUAACCAUUCACCAGCGGAGCAUGACCAUAAAACAUAUCACUCAUAUAAAUAGAACAACCAUUAUUCUCUGACUUAAAAGAGUAGCCAUCUCGCAUUAAGCAAGACCCUGAUACAAUGUUCAUGCUUAAAGCUGGUACUAAAUAAGAAUUAUUAAGGUUUAAGACUAAUCCCAACGGUAGAUGUAGAGGUAGCGUGCCGACGGCGAUCACAUCGACCUUUGAACCAUUCCCGACGCGCAUCGUCACCUCGUCCUUGGCCAGUCUCCGCUUAUUCCGCAUUUCCUGCUUUGAGUUGCAAAUGUGAGCAACAACACCGGUAUCAAAUACCCAGGAGCUACUACGAGCGCUGGUAAGGUACACAUCAAUAGCAUGUAUAUCACAUAUACCUUUAACAUUGCCGGCCUUCUUGUCCGCUAAGUAUUUGGGGCAGUUCCGCUUCCAGUGACCUUUUCCCUUGCAAUAGAAGCACUCAGUCUCAGGCUUUGGUCCAUUYCUUUUACUUCUUCCUGGCAUUCUGCGGUCUUACCGGGCGCGGCAACACUUGCCGUUCUUUUCUUGUAAGUUUCCGUUUACCUUUACCCCCUUUUCCCCCUUUCCGUUUACGUAAAACCGUUAAGGGUUUCGGGUUUACCGUUUGGUUUUACGGUAACCCNNNNNNNNNNNNNNNNNNNNNNNNNNNNNNNNNNNNNNNNNNNNNNNNNNNNNNNNNNNNNNNNNNNNNNNNNNNNNNNNNNNNNNNNNNNNNNNNNNNNUUCCUUGUUCAUGAUAAUCGUCUAUCGUUCAUGCUAUAAUUGUAUUAACAGGAAACAGUAAUACAUGUGUGAAUGAAUAGAUCACAAUGUGUCCCUAGCAAGCCUCUAGUUAGCUAGCUCGUUAGUCAAUAGAUUAUCAUGAUUUCCUGAUCAUGGACAUUGGAUGUCAUUGAUAACGGGAUCACAUCAUUGGGAGAAUGAUGUGGUGGACAAGACCCAAUCCUAAGCCUAGCACUAGAUCGUAUUGUUCGUAUGCUAAUGCUUUUCUAAUGUCAAGUAUCUUUUCCUUCGACCGUGAGAUUGUGCAACUCCCGGAUACCGUAGGAGUGCUUUGGGUGUAUCAAACGUCACAACGUAACUGGGUGACUAUAAAGGUGCACUACGGGUACCUCCGAAAGUGUCUGUUGGGUUGGCACGAAUCGAGAUCGGGAUUUGUCACUCCGUGUGACGGAGAGGUAUCUCUGGGCCCACUCGGUAGAACAUCAUCAUGAGCUCAAUGUGACUAAGGAGUUAGUCACACGAUGACGUGCUACGGAACGAGUAAAGAGACUUACCAGUAACGAGAUUGAACAAGGUAUAGGUAUACCGACGAUCGAAUCUCGGGCAAGUUCUAUACCGACAGACAAAGGGAAUCGUAUACGGGAUUGAUUGAAUCCUUGACAUCGUGGUUCAUCCGAUGAGAUCAUCGUGGAGCUAGUGGGAGCCACCAUGGGUAUCCAGACCCUGCUGAUGGUUAUUGGCCAGAGAGGUGUCUCGGUCAUGUCUGCCUGUCUCCCGAACCCGUAGGGUCUACACACUUAAGGUUCGAUGACGCUAGGGUUAUAGGGAAUUGUUAUACGAGAUUACCGAAAGUUGUUCGGAGUCCCGGAUGAGAUCCAGGACGUCACGAGGAGCUCCGGAAUGGUCCGGAGGUAAAGAUUGAUAUAUAGGACGGAUGGUUUCGGAGACCGGAAGUGUUUCAGGCAUCACCGGUAACGUACCGGGACCACCGGGACCACCGGAGGUGGUCCCGGGGGACCACCGAAGGGGGGCUGCGACCCCAAGAGGUAAGAUGGGCUAGUGGGGGUGGGAACCAGCCCCUAGUUGGGCUGGUGCGCUUCCCCACUCAGCCCAUGGCGCAGGGGAAGGAAAAGAGGGGGGAACCCUAACUCAGGUGGGCCUUAGGCCCACCAGAGGGGUGCGCCACCCCUCCCCCUUGCCCUGGCCGCCACCCCUUCCCCAUCUGAGGGCUGCCGCACCCCUUAGGGGUGGGAACCCUAAGGGCUGCGCCCCCUCCCUCUCCCCCUAUAUAUAGAUUGAGGUUUCGGGGCUGUUUGAGACACCGGUUUAAUCUCUCUCUCUCGCAGCCCUGCUCCUCUCCCUCCUCCUCGCUGCCGGCACUUGGCAAAGCCUUGNNNNNNNNNNNNNNNNNNNNNNNNNNNNNNNNNNNNNNNNNNNNNNNNNNNNNNNNNNNNNNNNNNNNNNNNNNNNNNNNNNNNNNNNNNNNNNNNNNNNUGGUUAUUAUCAUAUUUCCUUGUUCAUGAUAAUCGUCUAUCGUUCAUGCUAUAAUUGUAUUAACAGGAAACAGUAAUACAUGUGUGAAUGAAUAGAUCACAAUGUGUCCCUAGCAAGCCUCUAGUUAGCUAGCUCGUUAGUCAAUAGAUUAUCAUGAUUUCCUGAUCAUGGACAUUGGAUGUCAUUGAUAACGGGAUCACAUCAUUGGGAGAAUGAUGUGGUGGACAAGACCCAAUCCUAAGCCUAGCACUAGAUCGUAUUGUUCGUAUGCUAAUGCUUUUCUAAUGUCAAGUAUCUUUUCCUUCGACCGUGAGAUUUUGCAACUCCCGGAUACCGUAGGAGUGCUUUGGGUGUAUCAAACAUCACAACGUAACUGGGUGACUAUAAAGGUGCACUACGGGUACCUCCGAAAGUGUCUGUUGGGUUGGCACGAAUCGAGAUCGGGAUUUGUCACUCCGUGUGACGGAGAGGUAUCUCGUGGGCCCACUCGGGUAGAACAUCAUCAUGAGCCUNUAAUGGUUGGAAACCUAAAGGGGUAAGUUUACGGUUACCACCGAACCGGAAUUCGGAACGUGGUNNNNNNNNNNNNNNNNNNNNNNNNNNNNNNNNNNNNNNNNNNNNNNNNNNNNNNNNNNNNNNNNNNNNNNNNNNNNNNNNNNNNNNNNNNNNNNNNNNNNCCGUAUGAACUGUGGUUUGGCAAGAACCUAAGUUGUCGUUUCUUAAAGUUUGGGCUGCGAUGCUUAUGUGAAGAAACCUUCAACCAGAAAAGCUCGAACCCAAAGCGGAGAAAUGCGUAUUCAUAGGAUACCCUAAGGAAACUAUUGGGUAUACCUUCUAUCUUAGAUCCGAAGGUAAAACCUUUAUUGCCAAGAACGGAUCCUUUCUAGAGAAAGAGUUUCUCUCGAAAGAAGUAAGUGGGAGGAAGGUAGAACUUGAUGAGGUAAUUACACCCCCUCUCGAACAGGAAAGUAGCGCAGCGCAAGAAGUUGUUCCUGUGAUGCCUAUACCAACUGAAGAGGAAGUUAAUGAUGAUGAUCAUGAAGCUUCGGAUCAAGUUACUACUGAACCACGAAGGUCCACAAGGGUACGCUCCGCACCAGAGUGGUACGGCAACCCUGUGAUGGAAAUCAUGUUGUUAGACAACGGUGAACCUUCGAACUAUGAAGAAGCGAUGGCGGGCCCGGAUUCCAACAAAUGGCUUGGACGCAUAGAACUCCGAGAAGUAGGUACUUACCAAGUUGUAGUAGGAAACGGAAACUAAAAGGUUAAGUCGGGUUACGUUUGGGUAGUACGUUCGANNNNNNNNNNNNNNNNNNNNNNNNNNNNNNNNNNNNNNNNNNNNNNNNNNNNNNNNNNNNNNNNNNNNNNNNNNNNNNNNNNNNNNNNNNNNNNNNNNNNAAUUAUAAGGUAAGGGGAAGGGGUACGGGUGGCCGCCCUACCGUACGGUUCCCGUUCCGUCGGGUCGGGNGGGGGCGGCAGCCCGAGAUGGGGAUGGUGUUGGAAUUAUGCCCUAGAGGCAAUAAUAAAUAUAGUUGUUAUUAUAAUUCAUGUAUCAAGAUAAUCGUUUAUUAUCCAUGCUAUAAUUGUAUUGAAUGAAGACUUAUAUACAUGUGUGGAUACAUAAACAGAACACUAUCCCUAGCAAGCCUCUAGUUGGCUAGCCAGUUGAUCAAAGAUAGUCAUGGUCUUCUGAUUAUAUACAAAGGUGUUGUUGCGUGAUAACUGGAUCACGUCAUUAGAAGAAUCACGUGAUGGACUUUAGAGACAAACACAUUCACUUUAAAUAGGGCACCGCGUAUUUCCGUUGAGAUGACACGGUAUGAACUAUGGUUUGGAGAAACCUGAGCUGUCGUUUCUUGAAAGUUUGGGGNUACGACGCUUAUGUGAAAAAGUUUCAGUCUCAUNNNNNNNNNNNNNNNNNNNNNNNNNNNNNNNNNNNNNNNNNNNNNNNNNNNNNNNNNNNNNNNNNNNNNNNNNNNNNNNNNNNNNNNNNNNNNNNNNNNNACGAAGGUCCACAAGGGUACGCUCCGCACCAGAGUGGUACGGCAACCCUGUGAUGGAAAUCAUGUUGUUAGACAACGGUGAACCUUCGAACUAUGAAGAAGCGAUGGCGGGCCCGGAUUCCAACAAAUGGCUUGAGGCCAUGAAAUCCGAGAUAGGAUCCAUGUAUGAGAACAAAGUAUGGACUUUGGUGGACUUGCCCAAUGACCGGCGAGCCAUAGAAAAUAAAUGGAUCUUCAAGAAGAAGACUGAUGCAAACGGUAAUGUAACCGUUUACAAAGCUCGACUUGUCGCAAAGGGUUUUCGACAAAUUCAAGGAGUUGACUGCGAAGAGACUUUCUCUCCCGUAGCGAAGCUGAAAUCAGUCCGAAUCAUGUUAGCAAUUGCCGCCUUUUAUGAUUAUGAAAUUUGGCAAAUGGACGUCAAAACAGCGUUCCUUAACGGGAAUCUUAAGGAAGAGUUGUAUAUGAUGCAACCAGAAGGUUUUGUCGAUCCUAAAGGUGCUAACAAAGUAUGCAAGCUCCAGCGCUCCAUCUAUGGGCUGGUGCAAGCAUCUCGGAGUUGGAACAUUCGCUUUAAUGAGGUGAUUAAGGCGUUUGGGUUCAUACAGGUUUACGGAGAAGCCUGUCUGUACAAGAAAGUGAGUGGGAGCUCUGUAGCUUUCCUCGUACUAUAUGUGGAUGACAUAUUAUUGAUGGGGAAUGAUAUAGAGAUGUUGGAGAGCAUAAAGGCCUAUUUGAACAAGAGUUUUCAAUGAAGGACCUGGAGAAGCUGCAUACNUAUUGGCNUCAAGAUCUAUAGAGAUAGAUCGAGACGCCNNNNNNNNNNNNNNNNNNNNNNNNNNNNNNNNNNNNNNNNNNNNNNNNNNNNNNNNNNNNNNNNNNNNNNNNNNNNNNNNNNNNNNNNNNNNNNNNNNNNUGCGGCGGCGGAAAAGUGAUUACGAUGAUCUCCUGAUUUUUUCUGGAAUUUAUGGGAAUAUAUAGGCGAAAGUCCUAGGGAAAAGGGCUUCCAGGGGGCCCACAAGCCUGGAUGGCGCGGCCCCCUGGCCGCGGGGUGGGGGCUUGUGGGGCCCCUGGGGCUCUUCUGCCUUGGCUCCCAACUUCCCCGAUCUUCUUCCAUUUCAAAAAAAAUCUUUUCGGGGAUUUUCUUCCGUUUGGACUCCGUUUCAAAAUCUCCUCUGAAAGGGGUCAAAAACAUGGAAAAANNNNNNNNNNNNNNNNNNNNNNNNNNNNNNNNNNNNNNNNNNNNNNNNNNNNNNNNNNNNNNNNNNNNNNNNNNNNNNNNNNNNNNNNNNNNNNNNNNNNNNNNNNNNNNNNNNNNNNNNNNNNNNNNNNNNNNNNNNNCAAAAACAUGGAAAAAACAGGAACUGGCACUUGGCACUGAGUUAAUAAGUUACUCCCAAAAUAUAUAUAAAAGGCAUGCAAAACAUCCAAAGUUUGACAAGAUAUUAGCAUGAAACCAUCAAAAAUUACAGAUACGUUGGAGUCGUAUCACCGGAUCCUCAUUAGGACUUACGAAAAAAUAACUUCUUUCAUCACAAGAUUUAGCAAUGCAGCAUUAAUAUCAUAAAAUUCCAUACUAGUGGCGGGUGGUAUGGGAGUACUAAUAAAAUCNNNNNNNNNNNNNNNNNNNNNNNNNNNNNNNNNNNNNNNNNNNNNNNNNNNNNNNNNNNNNNNNNNNNNNNNNNNNNNNNNNNNNNNNNNNNNNNNNNNNNNNNNNNNNNNNNNNNNNNNNNNNNNNNNNNNNNNNUAAAAUCAUUAUUAUUAUUAUUAAAGAAGUCACACAACUUAGUGUUGUCUUGAGACAUGGUGACCAACAAAGCAAAGUAAUAAGCGAAGCAAGUACACUAGCAAGUAUAGCAAGCAAACAAGUAAACUAUCAAAGGAAAAAAAAUUGAUUUUUUGAUUUUUAUAGCAAGGAAAAUAUAACAGAAAUAAAAAGUAGAACAAGUGAAUCAUAAUUUGUGAGAAGGUACUUGAUAGGAAAUUGGUCAUACUCCCCGGCAACGACGCCAGAAAUCCUUCCUGAUACUUGUGAUCUACGUUGGAUUUUUAUCAAAGAGGAGGGGAUGAUGCAGGAUCAUAGAGGUAAGUAUUCCUCUCACUGAGAACCAAGGUUAUCGAACCAAUACGAGGACCGUGCAAUUUCCCAUCUUCAGCGCCUACACAAAGAGGGUUGUCAAUCCCCUUGAACUCGCUACUUGCAAGAGAUAAAUAGUGAUAAAUAGACNNNNNNNNNNNNNNNNNNNNNNNNNNNNNNNNNNNNNNNNNNNNNNNNNNNNNNNNNNNNNNNNNNNNNNNNNNNNNNNNNNNNNNNNNNNNNNNNNNNNAUUCAACCACACCUGAAAGAUUUAGUAUCUGCAGCAAAGUAUCAGUAGCAAGGUAGUAUGAUAGCAACACUAGCAACUGUAACCAGUAGCAGCAAAGUAACAGCAGUAGCAACAGAGUAAUAGCAGCAGUAGUGACAGCAGUAGCAGCAAAGUAACGUAGCAAGGACCAGUAGGAAAAGACUCGUAGGCAUUGGAUCGGUGAUGGAUGAUUAUGCCGGAUGCUAUUCAUCAUGCAACAGUUAUAACAUGUAGUUAUACGUGCUUAGGGAAAAGAACUUGCAUGACAUCUAUUGUCCAUCCCUCUCGUGGCAGCGGGGUCCUAAUGGAAACUACGGGAUAUUAAGGUUCUCCUUUUAAUAAAAAACUGGACCAACGCAUUAACACUUGGUGAAUACAUGAACUCCUCAUACUAUGGUCAUCUCCGGGAGUGGUUCCGGCUAUUGUCAAUCCGGGGUUGCCGGGUCAUAACACAUAGUAGGUGACUACAACUUGCAAGAUAGGAUCAAGAACACACAUAUAUUGACGACAACAUAAAAGGUUGAGAUCUGAAAUCAUGGCACUCGGGCCCUAGUGACAAGCAUUAAGCAUGGCAAAGUAGUAGCAACAUCAAUCUCAGAACAUAGUGGAUACUAGGGAUCAAUCCCCGUCAAAACUAACUCGAUUACAUGAUAGAUCUCAUCCAACCCAUCACCGUCCAGCAAGCCUACGAUGUGAUUACUCAUGAACGGUGAAGAGCAUCAUGGAAUUGGCGAUGAAGGAAGGUUGAUGAUGACGAUGGCGACGAUCUCCCCUCUCCGAAGCACAUAAUGGACUCCAGAUCUGCCCUCCAGAUGAAGAAUAGGAGGUGGCGUCGCCUCCGUAUCGUAAAACGCGAUGGACUCUUCUCCUUGAUUUUUUUCUGGACGAAAGAGGAUAAAUAGAGCUGGAUUUGGAGGCGGUGGAGCUUUGUGGGCCCCACAAGCCUGCCAGGCGGGGCUAGGGGGCCCACGCAUGGUGGGCUUGUGGGCUCACGGCUCCACUUCCUCCGUUGAUUCUUGCGCUAGUAUUUUUCAUAAAUACCAGAAAAAUUCUCCGUAAAUUUUCAGGUCAUUCCGAGAACUUUUAUUUCUGCGCAAAAACUACACCAUGGCAAUUCUGCUGAAAACAGCGUUAGUCCGAGUUAGUUCCAUUCUGAUCAUGCAAAUUAGAGUCCAAAACAAGGGGAAAAAAGAGUUCGGAAAAGUAGAUACGAUGGAGACGUAUCACAAGGCACGCAUCGUGUUGUUGCCAUCAAGGGUAAAAAGAUGGGGUUUAUAUCAUAUUGCAUGAAUUUAUCCCUCUACAGCAUGUCAUCUUGCUUAAGGCGUUACUCUGUUUGUUAUGAACUUAAUACACUAGAUGCAUGCUGGAUAGCGGUCGAUGUGUGGAGUAAUAGUAGUAGAUGCAGAANNNNNNNNNNNNNNNNNNNNNNNNNNNNNNNNNNNNNNNNNNNNNNNNNNNNNNNNNNNNNNNNNNNNNNNNNNNNNNNNNNNNNNNNNNNNNNNNNNNNUCAGCCGGCAUGGGAUUUGUGGAGUAGGCUAGUUUUGGGUGGGGUGGGGUGGGGGGGGGGGGGGGGAUCGAACGCAGAGUCUAACAGUCACACGAUUAGCAGUAGACUGAAACCAGUGAGGAGGCGAUCUUCCGCCUCAAAUCGGGCACGCGCAUGCCACCGAUCUCCCCGCGCAGGCCCGCCCCACACCCUAGGAGCCGCGAUCCCAGCCCGCCCACCGUCCAGAUUUACCCCCUGAUCGAGCCGAUCGCGGUUUCCUACCUCCGGGAAAAUCACACAAGGAUCGCCAAAACAACGCCGAAACGGAGGGCGCGACAGGACGUACGUGCUACCUCAGAGACACCGCACCACCCAAGCCGAGCGGGGAUGGGUUCUCUUCUCUCGGAAGUAUGAUGAGAAACUGUUAGCGGAGCAGCUUCCUCCUUUUCUUCUCCCUCCCGAACAGUAGACUGUUUUCCAAUUUGAGAGAAAUGGGGAAGGGAAGACGGACCUUGUCAAGCACACUGAAGAGCUGCAUCCGGGAGGCGGCGGCUCGUGUUCCUCCUGCCAAGCGCCGACAGUUAGGACGAGGAGGAGAAGGGGCGGGGCAGCCACGGAGAAGAGGCAGGCCUACCAAAUCAAAACACAUCAGGACCAACUCGAAACACAUUAGGGGGAGAGGGAGAGAAGAAGAAGAACAUGGGCCGGGAGAGGAGACCUGUGCAUCCAUGGCGGCGACGGUGUGGUCUGAGGUCGAUGGCGGCAUCCCGAGAAGAAGCACGCAGGGGGGAGGGCGACGUCCCGAGCCAGCCAUGGCGUGGGCGCGGAGNNNNNNNNNNNNNNNNNNNNNNNNNNNNNNNNNNNNNNNNNNNNNNNNNNNNNNNNNNNNNNNNNNNNNNNNNNNNNNNNNNNNNNNNNNNNNNNNNNNNUCCUAAAUUCCUUACAGAAUAUUGUUGACUGGGUGGACAUUUUAUUUGGACAUUUUGGGGAAUCAAUUCCUGUACUUAUAUUUUUCCUUUCGAAUUUGGUUUUGACACCAAAUAUGUUUCGGAUCUAAUAUGAAAAAUAUGCAGGGGUCAAAUAUCUUUUGGGGCUUAUGGAGUUCCACUUUCCUACCAAACAAUUGGAAACUAACUUUCUUCAGAUAAUUCCCUUUUGAGUUUUGAAUUGAUUCCAACACACCCAAUUCAAAUUCUUUUUAGGAAAAAAUCUUUAGGGCUCUGCCCUUCCUAGCAAUCAAUCAAGCCACACUUUAGCAAGUAAGGUGAAUGACCAGCAAAACUUGACAUUCAUUGGUUUUUCCUUGAAAAUAUUUAAUUUCCUGUGUAAUUUUUAACAUAACAGAUUUGGGGAAAAUCUAGGAUGUGACAAUCGGCCCAUUUAACACUUUUUUUUCUUCGUCGAAACAUAAGUCGCGCGUACUACGUUCGUCAAAUUCUGUUGUAGUUUAUUUUGGAACCUGACGCACACCCCCACUUCCGCUCUCGACAAAUCAAUUUCACCUUUUUCUGUUUUAAACUCCACAAAAUAGCGUUGCGUAUGGUUUGAACUAGCUACCUCUCGGCUUCAGUACCAACUGGAUAACUAAGUGGGACACCCGACUCAUUGUGCCUAGAUUAUUUUUAUUUUUAUUUUUCAAAUGUAACACAAAAAACAGCGGUUUCAUGUUCUUUUUUUGUUUUGGUUGGUUUUCUUUGGUUUCUCUUUUUCUCUUUCUUUUUUCCUUUUUAUUAAUUUCUUGAACGCUUUCCAAAAUCGAUGAACCAUUUCUCAAAUUUGUGAACUUUUCAACGUUUGAUGAAAAAAAAUCAAAAUCAAAAUUUUAUAUUAUUGUGUUUUCUUCAAUUUGUGAUUUUCUGUGAAAUUAUGAACCUUUUUAAAAAUCCAAAAACUAUUUUUGAAAUCCAUNNNNNNNNNNNNNNNNNNNNNNNNNNNNNNNNNNNNNNNNNNNNNNNNNNNNNNNNNNNNNNNNNNNNNNNNNNNNNNNNNNNNNNNNNNNNNNNNNNNNNNNNNNNNNNNNNNNNNNNNNNNNNNNNNNNNNNNNNNNNNNNNNNNNNNNNNNNNNNNNNNNNNNNNNNNNNNAAAUCCACAAACUUUUUCCAAAUCCAUGAUUUUUUCAAAAUCCACGAACUUUCUACAAAUUAUUUUUUAUUCAAAAUGCAUGUACUUUAUUGAAAAUUUUGUAUUUUUUCAUAUACGUGAAUUGUUUUGAAAUAUAUGAACUAUUUUUAAAAUCAUGUUUUAAAAAUAUAUUUAUUAUUAUUAUUAUNNNNNNNNNNNNNNNNNNNNNNNNNNNNNNNNNNNNNNNNNNNNNNNNNNNNNNNNNNNNNNNNNNNNNNNNNNNNNNNNNNNNNNNNNNNNNNNNNNNNCUCAUACCCAUCUCCCUCGAUGCACUAUCUAUCACAACACGUGAUAGCCCUUUAGUAAAGGGAAUUGUCAGAUACUUAGCCGUUCGGAUGUAAACCAACGCUAUCACUCCGAAGUUUCUUAAACGUCUGACAGACUUCUAUCUCAUUCUUAUAUGUUUGUUGGACUUCACGUUGUCCUUUGAACUCUUCACUUUGACAAUAACUGUCUGAUUAUCGCAGUUCAUAAGGAUAGCCGGAACCGGCUUCUCAACCACGGGCAAGUCCAUCAAAAGAUCUCGAAGAAAUUCUGCUUCGACACCAGAUGUGUCUAAUGCUGUUAAUUCUGCUUCCAUUGUCGAUUUCGUUAAGAUCGUUUGCUUGCAAGACUUUCAGGAAACAGCACCACCUCCAAGAGUAAACAUAUACCCAGUAGUGGCCUUCAUCUCAUCAGCAUCAGAGAUCCAAUUCACAUCACUAUACCCUUCAAGUACCGACGGGUAUCCCGUAUAGUGAAGUCCGUGGUUGAUAGUACCUUUCAGAUAGCGCAUAAUUCUUUCAAUAGCACGCCAAUGAACAUCACCCGGAUUGGAAACAAACCGGCUCAGUUUGCUCACAGCAAACGCGAUGUCAGGCCUCGUUGCGCUAGCUAGGUACAUAAGUGAACCAAUAAUUUGAGAGUAUCUCAAUUGAUCUAUAGCUGUGCCAUUGAACUUUCGAAUCAGCACACUAGGAUCAUAUGGUGUUUGAGAAAUUUUGCAGUCUGAAUAUCCAAAUCGACUCAAGAUCUUCUCAACAUAGUGGGAUUGCAGAAGUGUAAUCCCACCCUCAUAAUAUCUCAAGAGCUUGAUGUUCAAGAUAACAUCAGCCACUCCAAGGUCCUUCAUCUCAAAGUUUAGAGACAGAAAGGACUUAACCUCCUCAAUCACCUUGAGGUUGGUUCCAAAUAUCAGUAUGUCAUCAACAUACAAGCACAGUAUAACUCCUUCCCCCCACCAUGGCGAUAGUAUACACACUUGUCAGAUUUAUUAACAACGAAGCCAACAGAUGUCAGAGUUGUAUUAAACUUAUCAUGCCAUUGCUUAGGUGCUUGCUUCAGGCCAUAUAAAGAUUUCAGCAACUUACACACUUUUCCUUCUUGACCAUCUAUCACAAAGCCAUAUGGCUCUUGCAUAUAGAUUUCCUCGUCUAGCUCUCCAUUUAGGAUAGUCGUCUUAAUGUCCAUUUGAUGAACAAGAAAACCAUGCGAGGCUGCCAACGAGAGUAGUACUCGAAUGGUGGUCAGUCUGGCCACAGGUGAAUAAGUGUCGAAUAAAUCUUCUUCUUCUUUCUGGGCAUAGCCCUUAGCCACAAGCCUGGCCUUGUACUUCUCGAUUGUACCAUCGGGCCUAAGCUUCCUUUUGAACACCCACUUGCAUCCCAGUGGUUUGCAACCAUAGGGACGAUCAGUAAUUUCCCAUGUCCCAUUAGCCAUGAUGAAAUCCAUCUCACUACGGACCGCAGCUUUCCAGUAAUCAGCAUCUGGAGAAGCAUACGCUUCUGAAAUGGAAGUGGGAUUAUCAUCCACGAGGUACACGAGGAAAUCAUCACCAAAGGUCUUUGCAGUCUGUUGUCUCUUGCCCCUACCAAGGGUUUCCUCGUCAUCCUCCUCAGGAUUUUCAUCAUGUGUUUGUUCAUAUUCCAUAGGAAUCGCAGGCUCAGGAGUUCUCUCAGAUUCCUGUCUAGAAGUGCUUUGCAUAUCUCUCAUGGGAAAAAUAUCCUCAAAGAAUGUAGCAUCCCUCGACUCCAUUAUUGUACCGACUUACACGUCAGGUACCUCAGAUUUCACUACUAGAAAUCUAUAGCCUACGCUAUUCUUAGCGUAUCCCAAAUUAACGUAGUCCACAGUCUUUGGUCCAAGCUUACGCUUCUUGGGGAUCGACACAUUGACUUUCGCCAAGCAGCCCCAAGUACGUAAGUACGAGAGCGUCGUCCUUCUCUUCGACCAUUCCUCAUAAGGAGUGACCUCAUUAUCUUUUAUAGGAACCUUAUUCAGGACAUGACACGCGGUCAAUAUAGCCUCCCCCCACCAUGCCUUGGAUAAACCCGAUGUAUCUAACAUGGCGUUAACCAAAUCAGUUAGAGUACGGUUUUUCCGUUCGGCAACCCCGUUUGACUGGGGUGAAUAGGGAGGCGUCCUCUCAUGAAUAAUGCCAUGUUCCGCACAAAAAGAAUCAAACUCGUUUGAGAAGUACUCUCCACCACGAUCAGACCGGACUCGUUUAAUUUUCUUUUCAAGUUGAUUCUCAACUUCUGCCUUAUAGAUUUUAAAGUGGUGUAGAGCCUCAUCUUUAGUAUUUAACAGAUACACAUAGCAAUAUCUAGUGAAAUCAUCUAUCAAUGUCAUGAAAUAUUUCUUUCCACCUUUAGUCAACACACCAUUCAUCUCACAAAGAUCAGAAUGUAUGAGUUCUAACGACGCCAAGUGUCUCUCCUCUGCAGCCUUGUGAGCCUUGCGAGGUUGCUUUGCUUGCACACACGAAUGGUACUUAGAACCUUUGGCUAAAGUGAAAGUUGGAAUUAAAUUCAGUUUUGCUAGCCGCGACAUAACACCGAAACUUAUGUGACAAAGUCAUGAAUGCCAAACUUCAGAUUCAUUAACACUCGAAUGAAUAUUGUUCAUGACUUUACUACAUAAAUCUGCGAGGGAAAGGCGGAACAGACCUCCGCACUCAUAACCUUUUCCAACAAAAAGUCCAUAUUUCGUAACAACUACUUUAUUAGACUCAAAGACCAACUUAAACCCUUCUCUACACAGAAGGGAGCCACUAACGAGAUUCUUCUUGAUGGCGGGGACAUGCUGCACGUUCUUCAGCUGCACGAUCCUUCCCGAAGUAAACUUCAGAUCGACCGUGCCAACACCAAGAACAGAAGCACUCGCUUCAUUCCCCAUCAAUAUGGACCCUCGACCUGUGACCUGGUAAGAAGAGAACAAUGAGAUGUCAGCACACACAUGAAUAUUUGCACCUGUGUCCACCCACCAAUCGGUAGAUUGACAAACCGAAAAUACAGUAAACAAAUUACCGUACCCAGAUGCACCACUUUCAUUGUUGCUCACAAUCAUAUUGGCAGACUUGGAGUCCUGCCCUGGCUUCUUGUACUUUUUUGGGCACUUGUUGGCCCAAUGUUCCUCAGAACCACAAUUGAAGCAGUCAUCUCCCUUCUUGUUCUUCUUGAAGGGCUUCUUACCCUUCUUCUUAAAGUCGGUAUUCUGUUGGACAUAAUUCUUCCCCUUAGGCUUGUGGGAAUUGAAAUUCCUCUGAUGUACCAUAUUGGCAAGAGAAGAACCUUCACCGUUUUUCCAUGCGAGUCCUUUACUCAGUUCUGUUCAACACUGAGAUGGCCAAUGAUGUCCUCUACUGAGAAUUCACGCCUUUGAUGUUUCAGAGUAGUAGCAAAGUUCCUCCAGGAAUUAGGGAGCUUAGCGAUUAUACACCCGCGACAAACUUGCCCGGUAAAUCGCACUUCAGAACCUCAAGUUCUUUAGCAAUGCAUAUUAUCUCAUGAGCUUGUUCCAAUACAGAACGGUUCUCGACCAUUUUGUAAUCAUGGAACUCCUCCAUAACAUACAUCUCGCUCCCAGCAUCGGUGGCCCCGAACUUAGAUUCGAGCGCCUCCCGCAAGUCCUUGGCGACACGCACAUGUAAAUAUGCGUCGACCAGUUUAUCACCGAUCACGCUAAGCACUGCUUCAAGAAACACAACGGUGGCCUCUCUGAACGCCUUCUCCUGUUCAGGAGCAAUCGUUCCCGUGGAGACACCGGUGACCCAGAACACGUUCAUAGCCGUGAGCCAUAAAGUGGUCUUUGUCUGCCAACGCUUAAAGUACGUACCGGUAAACUUAUCCGGUUUCAGUGCGGCAGCAAAGCCACUUGCCGAAAAAUUCCUACACAUAUUAACUUUUUGGAUUGCCGAGUAAAUAGGCAAUUUUUUGACUAAUUUAAUCCAUAAAUAGAUGACUAUCAUGGCAUUGACAGAAUUAACUACAUACUGAUAUUGAUCUAAACGGACACGUACUACGCAAACAGUAGACAAAUCUACACAUGAUACUAGUACUGCUAAGACGAAAGUAAUCAGGAGAGAGAUAAGCGCGUUAUGCCCUCCAGUAGGCCAUGCAGAAGCCCCCGCGGCGGUGGCGGCGGCAGCGGCGUCCUCGGCGGCCUUCUUGUCGGCCUCGGCCUUCUCGGCGACAGCACGGUCGGCGUCGGUUGACAUGGUGAUGGCGGAGACGACGCGGAUGUAGAGGAAGUAGACGAACGGAGGCGAGCAGUCGCGUGAUCGCUCCCCAAAAACCUAAUCGCCCCUCUUCCCCGUACAGGAACCGGAGAGGCGGGGUUUCGGAGGCAUGCUCUCCCGUCGACCGUGUACGCAGCGGACUGGAUGGAGUCGCUGGCGGUAGCAACAGUAAGGGAACGAGCGCGUGAGGCAGAUGUGAUCUGAUUCUCGUGACGGCUAGGGUUGGCGUUGGCCGGGUGGAGAGACGUGGCCACGUCCGAGUCGGUAACAGCCCACGAUCCGACAUCUCAAAUCGAUCCUGACCGGCAAAAAUAUGAGCUCGGCUCGUUCCCGCAACCCGCGUCGUGACGAGGCGGGCGGCGGAGGAGGAGUGCACAAGGGCAUCUUUUCUUCUCACUCUUCAAUAGCAUGUGGAAGAGAGACCCUUAUAAAGGGGUCCAACUUCUUCUCCACUAACGGGGUGGGAUUAAACUUUCCACCACCACGUUGUCAUGCCACCACCUACAUGGACCCUUGGAGAUUUCUGAAAUUCUCUUAUGGACCUAAGACCCACUACUAAUUUCAACACAGUCUACUUCCAUAUGACAAGUCUCUUGUGAUUGUGCUCACUACUGUAAAACCUGCUGGACCUCACGGGCCUAUCCUAUGCCUGACUGCCAUGUUUAUAUAUUAUAUGUUAAAAAUACAUGAUUAAGGGCUGCUAGGAGUCUUGCCAACUACCAAACUCGAUCAGCUGGGUUAAUUAUAGAACCCUGUUUCUUAUAAGAAACAGUUCCCAACAAGCAAGCCAUCAGAACAGCUCGGUACCAAGGUAUCUUAUACUCCUAUCUUAUUAUGGCUAUCUAAAAAUCUCUUGGCUUCUCAUCCUAUUAUACUAUAUAUAGGACAAGGUAUCACACUGUGAACAUCUCUUGGCGGCUUGGCCUUCAUUAAGCUAUUAAACUUUGGUCCUAAUCGCCUUCUUGCGCCAUGGGCACAACAGGAAAUCUAAUGCAGAUAAGACUGACGGAAGCUCCAUCACCUAGGUUUUGAGUCAUCACCUAGGCAUGUGCUGCAAUUUGGGCAAGCAGGGGACCUCUGCCGAACCUGAACUCCUUUCCAUGUAAAAAUGGAUAGUGCGUUGAUUAAUAAUCGGGCAGAGGCCUGCCGAACACUGCUAAAAUGGUCUGGCCGUGGGAGGCAACGGAUGAUCAGAGCAUGCCCUGUCUAUGCUCGAAUGCACGUAGCAAGACCCAACAAAUGGUGUAAAAAUGAAUUCAUUUCUAUGCAUGCAUGAAUCCUGGUUUAACUGAAGUUAGGCAGAGAUAAUUAACAAGCUAGCACACAAUUGUGUGAUCCAAGUAAUGGUGGUGGUGCUACAAGUUCUUAAAGUUUAAACUAUCAUAUCUGUCGGUCACCGAGCUGAGCAGACCCUUCCCCUGGCCGCGGUUAUAUAAGCAGGCACCUUCCCCUCGCCUCCUUCCCGCCAGAAACCAAGAAAAACCCAAACACACCCGCACCCACUGCCACCACACAACGCUCUGCCGUCUUCAACUCCGGGAGCCGAAGAUGAGGCACACACACAUCACGGUGGCGGUCGCCGUUGCAUUCGCCAUCCUCGCAAUCACCGCCGCAGCGUCCACGGGCGCCACCGCCGCCGGCAGGGGGAAGCAGCAGCGCUCUCCCGGUCCUGCUUCCGGCAGCAUCGUGUACAUCGUGAUGGUGAAGCCCCCGGCCGGCGGCGUCGACAGCGCGGAGUACCAUAUCGGCAUCCUCACCGCCGCGGUCGGCAGGUAUAUACAGAGCAUGCAUUUGGUUUCCUUCCCUAUCUUUGGCCUAGAGAUUUGACACCAUCCUUUCUCUUGUUUGGGUUGAAUCUUCAAGCGGGGACAAGGCCAAGGCGGCGUUGAUCUACAGCUACAAGAACGCCAUCAGCGGGUUCGCGGCGAGGCUCACGCCCGCGCAGGUCGCCGUCCUCAGGAGUGAGUUUCCCUCUUUGCUACUCUGUUCUACUCUCACAGCUACAGUUAACAAGAGAUUUCUUCAAUUGCAUGAUGGUCAACUAAGGCGAACCAUAGUUGUAUAUUCCUUAAGAUCAAAGUGGGUAGUUUUAGUCAGACCUGUUGCCAAUACCGAGGUCAAUGCAAGGCCUACUCACACCACAUGGUUAAUAUGCUAGUUUUUCCGCAUGAUCAAGAAAUGUGUACAUCAUCAGCAAGGACCGACAUUAUAAAUGUAUACUGUAUAGUACAGCCCAGCAAAUAAUUUUAGCGAACUUUCGGUAUAUAUAUUUUUCCUUUACCGAGAAGAAAAUUAGCUGCUUCACUUUCGGUGUCCAACUCCCGUUAUCCAAGUUAAGUUAACUUUUGCCGUCCAGGUUGGUCGUUAAGUUAACAAAUACAGUGUAGCAUUAUCACCUCGUCUUUCAAAUGGUGCGUGUACUUGUUAGUGCCUUAAAAAGGCCACGGGAUUAUUAUUUUUUGACCGUUGUUUAAUUUCUCUCCACCUUUUUAGAAAACCCUGCCGUCAUCCGGGCGCAGCCUGAUGUCAAGUACUCCCUUCACAACAACAACAACAACAACCUCAACUGAGCAAGAGCUCCUGUUCUUUUUUAAGGGUUGUUGCACAAUAUGGAACGAGAAGCGGCACGCAUGUUCUGCACCAUGAAGAACCUGGGUUGAUCUUUCUCUGCAUACUUCAAAAUUACAUAUAUAGUGUAACGUUGCAAGAUGAUUAAAGUGUAAUUUGUUUAGAAUUGAAGCACUUUUAUAACUCUGCGUAUAUACUAAUGGGCAAAGAUGUCUGGUUUGCUACCAUAUUAUAUCUCCUCUUAAGGGGUUGCGCACUGGGUUAGGUUGGGUUAUCCAGCAUGUGCGUCAUAAACUGCAAUGCAAAGGUACAAGUGAGAGUUAUGUUAACAGGAUGAUAAUAUAUACAAAUAUACUAACCUACCGGUUGCACUUUCUUAGCUUGUAUGCAACCAAAGUAAACAAAUAGUGCAGUUCAUAUAUAAAAGAGUUUAUCCGCAAAAAAAACAUAUAUAAAAGAGUAAUUGGAUUCAUGCCACUACAACUUUCACGAAUAAAAAAAAACCACUACAAAAAUCCAAGUUCGAAUAUGCCAUUACAACUUUAUCAUCCCACUACAUAUGACAUUUUCAGCCCGCCAGAGUGAAUAAAGGUUCAUUAAAGCUUGUAUUUCAAUGUGCAUUGCAGUACUGCCCAUGCCAGCCUUGUUCCAAACGGUGAACAACACGGAUCAAACAGAACUUAGAAAUUGCCAACUAUUACGAAGCACCCUCCAUAAUAUUUUGUAGGUUGCGGAGGUUGUGUGCAAACUCGGAUUCAGGAUAACCUGAAUUCUACAUUUUGCAAAUAUGACCAUCAACUUUUGGUUUUUUUCUUAACAUAAAGACAUUGCAAUUUCAUCCCUGUUGUGUUCAACAUCACAUACACACUCAAUUUCAUUGACAUUGCAUUCAACAUCACACAAACAUUGCAAUUUAUGUAGUAUAACUAGUUUUCAACAUCAGACAAUUAAAAUAGAAAUUGGCCUAGAACGACAAACUGAUACUCGAUUUUAUUAUGUCACCUUCCGUGGUAUGGAAGUCACCUCAUCAAAGGAGGAGUCUUUGGCUGUUUCGACUUCCUCCACGAUGAGGUCGACAUGCCAAUGUGAUUCUUGGAUGUGGGGAAAGGCCACAUCUUUGUAGCCCACCAUACCGCUGAUUUCAUUUCGCCCAUGGUGGUGGCCCCCAUGCAGUCGAGGUACCAUCAUGCAGCAGGGAGGUGCUCAUACCCAAUGGAUAACUCGGCCUCAUGGAGAGCAAUACCUUCAACCAUCUCGGAGUACCACUGGACAGUUUCCCAAUACUCAUAGGCGGCGCGAUCCUCUUCGGGCUCGCUUGGGAAGGUUCCACAGGGGGGGGGGGGGGGGGGGGGGGAGGGGGGNNNNNNNNNNNNNNNNNNNNNNNNNNNNNNNNNNNNNNNNNNNNNNNNNNNNNNNNNNNNNNNNNNNNNNNNNNNNNNNNNNNNNNNNNNNNNNNNNNNNNCCCCCCCGGGGGGGGGGGGGGGGCUGGUGCGACAUGGCAGAGACUAGGUGGUUAGUAACAUAUGCGCCAUUUGCAGGGACAUGAAGAGAAUGACCGAAACUUUCUCUCGCAUAGAUGGUUGGGUAAAGAGUACGCUCCCCGAGCCUCCAAUGUGGAACCUAUGACCCAGGUUUUGGAGUGUGCUCCAUAAUUUUUGGAGGUUGAGACAUGUUUGUUGAAUUUGCUACACCCGUUUUUUCACCCGAACUCCAUAUUGGCGGUUACUAGUUCGGAUUGUUGGGGUAUGUUUGACAACUUUGCUACAGUUGCUCUAACGUUAGCACACCAUCCUCUUUAUUCUAUCUAUAGUGCCUUUAAAUCAUUUGGACAUUAUCUUUAUGCCCGAUGUAAGAAAUAUGAUAGAGAACCUGAUAACAUAGAUUGUCGUACUAGGGUAUGAAGAAACAAUUGAACAAUGCAUGGCCAGGUGACCUACAAAACAAAUCCAAAAAAACAAAAGUACAAAACGGAUCCAACAUGCUCCCAUAAUCUCCAGUAACCUCCAAUAAUUAUUUUGCAGAAACAAAACUAACAUUACCUUGUUCUUGAAAGAAAACUUUGCCCAAAACAAAUGCACUAAACAUUAUUUUUCAUGUGGGCAAUAGAAAAAUUAUGUUAAUUAGCAGAAGGCACAUACGACAUCCGUAGAUAUGUAAAAAACGUCAUCUAACAAAAAUAUACAACAUUUGCUUUCACUUCCGAAGUUAUACAUGAUUGCCUGGUGUUGACAUUGAAAAACAAAACCCUUCAAUAUCACAAAUCAGUUAUGGAAAGGCACUACGGUAGCGAUGUUUUUUAGGAGGCAAUAGUGAUGUGAGGAAUGUGGAGACGAAUAUGAUUAACAUAACCAAUGGGCAUGAGUUUUGGCCUUACGCCUCACAACUUUCCUUGGUGUUGGAUAUCAUCAUCUAUUGUAUUGGUGGUGGAUGUUUGGUUAAGCAGAGACUCAUGCCCAAUAAAAACUAAAACAACUAGAGGAUGAUGGACCUCAAAAGGCCAAUUAAAUUUAGCAAUAGGCUUUGCCGAAUCAGAUAUUGUGAAUUGUGUUACAUGCAUGUAAAAGUGUAUCAAACAUUUACAUAUUUCCUAUUAUUCUAUUUCCAGUUUUUGAAUGUUUUGAUUGAUUUUUGCCCUAUAAAAAGCAGUGGGCCUAAAGAGGGAAACAACCCGACCAGACGUGUCACGGUCAUCGGAGGCAAGAUUGACGGUUGACGAUACAUGUGCGGGUUCAGGGGUUUGCCAGCAUACAAGGGGAAUGGAGCCAGAGGGGUGGCCAAAGAGAGGUGGCUACUUAGAUAAUACCAAGUGGCAAUGUCGCCGAGCAUAGGUGGAGGGGGCGGUUAGGACAAUGGCAACGACCAGUUCAAUGCUAACGGGGGUGAAGAGCCGACGAUGACAAGAAAACAUAAUUGAUGAAUAAUAGAUCCCAAGAAUGUAUGGAUAGAAAUAACAUGUCCAGUCAUAUUUAAGGGACAACAAGGAAGUUUAUUUAGUCAUAUGGCUAUUAGAAAGAUCAUGUUAAUCAGUAGAAGGAACAUACAACAUCCAAUAGUUAUGUAAAAGCAUACCCCAUUCAUUAUAUAUUGGUUUUUUAAUAAUAGAAGUUAUAAAUGACUGUCUGAUGUUGACAUUGAACCAACAAAAGCUUAUAAUUGAUGAAAAAAACAAAGGCCCUUCAGGUCCGAAAUGAAACUCCCCAGAUAAACAUGUUUUCUAUAAAUUAUCCAUUGUGAAAGUUAAAGCCACCUUCAUUGUUCACAGUCUGAUAGACCAAUCAACUUAACAUGCUUUGAAUGAGUACUGGACAAAACAUUCUUGCAUCUUUGCAAUUUGCCAACCUGAGAUUAAAACAGGCUUUAUUUUCAUUAAUUUGAUACUUCCUAGCAAGUGCCUAUUUUGAACAUUUGUUCAGUUUUGUGUAUACUAUAAUCAAAACUUGGGCUGGAAAAAAAACUCCUAUGAUGAACAUGUUUCUUAUAAAUUAUCUCCCACCAAAUCAAGGCCACCAUUCACUGUGCAAAAUAUUACAGACCGGUCAUCUGAACAUGCUCACGAAACAUUCUUGCAUGUGUCUCUUUAAUGUUUCCAGCAAAGUGAACCAAGGAAAGGCUUGUAUUUCAAUAAUUCCGAUCAAAUGAUAGAAAACAUAUUACAAGCCAUUUUGAUAAUGGAAUUUGUUUACAAAAUCAAUUUGACUCAUAGAUGUAGAUGCAUCUAUUGUCUAAAUACAUGUUUUAAGAAGUUAAAAAAUCAAGAAAAAAUCCCAUGUGUACAUAUAGACAUUAUAUGCUCGUGCACAACGGUUCGAUCAAAAAGAACAUUUUUUGUGGCUUGUGUAAAAAAACAUUUUUUAUGCUUGAUUAUAAAUAUUCAUGAGACAAUUUUCUAUUCUUUUAAUACAUGCCACAAAAAAUGCCUUUCUUUGCAAAAUUUUGUGUGUGAACAUAGAAUGUCCGAAUGUACACUACAAACUAUUGUUUGAAUUUUUUAACAUUUUAAAAUGUGUUUUGUAUAUAUUUCAUAAUAAGUGUAUUUACACCUAUGAGCCAAAGCACCAUUCUUUACACUAUCUAAUGUCAACAUGACAAAACCGGGGAGACAAGAAAUACUGAAAUAAUAACAACAAUAACCCAUAAGUAUAGGGGAUCGCAACAUUCUUUGCGGGUAGUAUUACAUCUUAAUUUAUUGAUUCGACACAAGGAGAACCAAAGAGUAUUUAUUGGUCUUAGUAGUUGAGUUGUCAAUUCAAUCACACCUCGGAUAUCUCUCUACAGCAAAGAUUUUAGUAGCACGAUAAAAUAGUAGUACUAAUGGUAAUGGCAGCGGUUUUGUAGUGAUUGUAACAGUAGCACGAGCAAUAGUAACUUGCCGAAAUUCAGUAUAUGAAAAGUGUAGGCACGUGGACCGGCGAUAGAUAAUGAUUUAGAUAACAUAUAUCAUGUAACAGUUACACACUAGAAUGACACAAAACUAACUCUAAGUCAUUAAUAUAAUGUAGGCAUGUAUUUCGUAUAUAGUCAUAUGUGCUUGCGAUAAGAACUUGCAUGCCAUGUUUUGUCCUACCCACCCAUGGCAGUAGAGUCCAUAAGGAAACUAAGGGAUAUUUAGGUUUCCUUUUAAUAAAGAACCGAAACAAUGCAUUAACACAUGGAGAAUACAUGAAGUUCUCAAACUACGACAAUCAUCAGAAAGAAUCUCAAUUAUUGUCACCUUGGGGGAUGCGAAUCAUAAAACGUAAUAGGUGCAUACAACUUGAAAGAUAGGAUCUAAACACAUUCGUAUUCAGAGAAAACACAAUAGGUUCAGAUCUGAAAUCACACUCGGACCCUAGUGAUAAGAAUUAAGCAUAACAAAGUCAUAGCAACAUCAAUCUCAGAACAUAGUGGACACUAGAGAUACCUAUCAACAUAACUCGAUUACAUGGUCAAUUUCAUCCAACCCCAUCAUCGUCCAGCAAGUCUACAAAGGAAUUACUCACUCCCGGUGGUGAGCAUCAUGGAAUUAUUGAUGGAGAAGGAUUGAUGAUGACGACUGCCCCCUCUCUGGAGCCCCAAAGAGACUUGAGAUCAACCCUCCCAAGGAAGAACAGGAGGUGNNNNNNNNNNNNNNNNNNNNNNNNNNNNNNNNNNNNNNNNNNNNNNNNNNNNNNNNNNNNNNNNNNNNNNNNNNNNNNNNNNNNNNNNNNNNNNNNNNNNNNNNNNNNNNNNNNNNNNAAGAACAGGAGGUGGCGACGGAUCCGUGCCGUAAAACAUGAUGAAAACUUCUCUCUUAUUUUUUCUCCGUAAUUGUCAAUCUAUAGGAAUGGAAUUAGGAUCGGGGGAGCCAUGUGGGCUCCACAAGCUAACAGGGCGUGCCCAGGGGAUGGGCGUGCCUUGUUGGCUUAUGGCCCACAAGCAUCCCCUCCCACACGUCUUCGCUCCAUAUUAGAUAAAACUAAUGUAAAGGUUAUAAAUGAUAAAAAACAUUGAGAAGAAAAAAAACCGAAGAAAACCGAUGGAUAAGUUAUGAAAGAUAAAAAACACUGAGAAGAAAAAACACUUGUNNNNNNNNNNNNNNNNNNNNNNNNNNNNNNNNNNNNNNNNNNNNNNNNNNNNNNNNNNNNNNNNNNNNNNNNNNNNNNNNNNNNNNNNNNNNNNNNNNNNNNNNNNNNNNNNNNNNNNNNNNNNNNNNNNNNNNNNNNNNNNNNNNNNNNNNNNNNNNNNNNNNNNNNNNNNNNNNNNNNNNNNNNNNNNNNNNNNNNNNNNNNNNNNNNNNNNNNNNNNNNNNNNNNNNNNNNNNNNNNNNNNNNNNNNNNNNNNNNNNNNNNNNNNNNNNNNNNNNNNNNNNNNNNNNNNNNNNNNNNNNNNNNNNNNNNNNNNNNNNNNNNNNNNNNNNNNNNNNNNUUUUUUCUUUUUCUUUUCAUUUCAAAAUUCAUGUUAAUUCUUCAGGUUUGAAAAAGAAUGAAAUGCCUGAACAUUUUCCAAAUAAUGAAAAUUUAUUAAAUUCUUGAGCAUAUUCAACAUUCAUGGAUAUUUUUGGUAUUUCUGAAUUCUUCAAAUACAAAGUUAGCUUUUUCCAAUUUGUAAAUGUUUUAAAAUUUGAGGAAUUUUUAAAAACCCAAAAACAUUAUUUGAAUUCNNNNNNNNNNNNNNNNNNNNNNNNNNNNNNNNNNNNNNNNNNNNNNNNNNNNNNNNNNNNNNNNNNNNNNNNNNNNNNNNNNNNNNNNNNNNNNNNNNNNCCCCCCCCCCCCCCCAGGAGGGGGAAACCCUCAAGGGGGCGCAGCCCGUCCCUUCCCCUAUAUAUAGUGGGCACUUUUGGCCAUUGGGAAACAAACUUUUGCCUCUCCCUCGGUGCAGCCCUGCCCUUCUUUCUCCUCUUCUCUACCGGUGCUUGGCGAAGCCCUGCCGGGAGACCUCGUCUCUCCANNNNNNNNNNNNNNNNNNNNNNNNNNNNNNNNNNNNNNNNNNNNNNNNNNNNNNNNNNNNNNNNNNNNNNNNNNNNNNNNNNNNNNNNNNNNNNNNNNNNNNNNNNNNNNNNNNNNNNNNNNNNNNNNNNNNNNNNNNNNNNNNNNNNNNNNNNNNNNNNNNNNNNNNNNNNNNNNNNNNNNNNNNNNNNNNNNNNNNNNNNNNNNNNNNNNNNNNNNNNNNNNNNNNNNNNNNNNNNNNNNNNNNNNNNNNNNNNNNNNNNNNNNNNNNNNNNNNNNNNNNNNNNNNNNNNNNNNNNNNNNNNNNNNNNNNNNNNNNNNNNNNNNNNNNNNNNNNNNNNNNNNNNNNNNNNNNNNNNNNNNNNNNNNNNNNNNNNNNNNNNNNNNNNNNNNNNNNNNNNNNNNNNNNNNNNNUUUAUGCUACGUUACCCAACAACGCCGGUGGGCCGCCGCAGGCCCUAGAUCGACCUCCCCCACGCCCUCGUGGCUCGUCUCACCAGAAAGCUAUAGAUCGGCGGUUGUUUUGUCGCGACCGACUGAUUUGGCUUUUCCGGCCACCGGCGGCUGCGCCACAGCCAUGGAUUGGCCGGGGAGCACCCCGUAGCCCCGGCAAAGCUCCAACACCGCAUGCAGGUACUCGUUUAUCCUCUAGUCGUCUGCGUCGGUUUGCCGGCAUGGACUCUUCGGUCGUCGCCCGGGCUCGGUGGUCAUGCAAUGGCUCGCCGGCUUGGCGAUGCCGCUCAUACAAUGCGACGACUGCCUAGAAACAGCAUUGCGGCUCACAUCCAACACACGGCAGCACCUCGGAUGGGUAUUCUUCAAAUGCAAAAACGACGGGGUAUGGUCUUCUUCCUCUUCGGAUUUGUCAACUGAUUUGGUUAAAUUACGGUAGCUUAUUGAGGUCUUCAUCUGUGUAGGAAGGUGUAUGCUCAUUUUGGUAUUAGGAAGAAGAAUACAUUGAUCUAUUGAUAAAAAGAAACUUAAUAGAUGUUUGUGCACUCCUUAGUAUAACUGAGUCUAGCGAUGCAGCUGCAUGUGCAAUUACAAAAGAAAUUAGAGGGGAAGCAACGUCUAAUUCUUUAGAAUCAAAGCCAAAGAAUGAAGAAUGCAAGUUGAAGAACCCCCAGAUCAACAAUGAGUGCAUGGAGAAGAUGUUGAUCCAACUAGUGGGAGCAGUUAUGGAAGUUGGAUAUCUUCUACAAUGUCUAAUUGUGGUUCUUGUUUUCUUUGCUCUUGCUAUUUUAGCAAAUAUUUGAAGAGAAUAAAAAAGCAACUAAAUGUGUUUUCAUGCCUUUGAAGAAAAUAAAAAAGCAACUAAAUGUGUUUUCAUGCCUGAAAAUGUAACGCAAAUAACAGAUUUUGCCGACCGGCGUGGGCGGCGGCCGAGCAAACCCCGCAAAACGGACCUGUAUAAAAGGAUAUUCCUUUUAUACGGGUCCGUUUUGCAGGGUCUGCUCGGCCGCCGCCCAUGCCGGCCCGCAAAAGCGUUUUUCGGCGACCUGCAAACAACUUUUGUGGUACGGCUUUAUACGGGAUCUACUAGAGACGCUCUAAGGAUGACUCUUUGCCCGCGCGUUGCUGUGAUAAUUUUGUUAAAAAUGCGUAAGUAGUUGCUAAAUCUAAUAAAAAAGAAUGUAUGAGAUUGAAAAUUAAUAAAAGAAGUGUCUAAAAAUAGAACAAAACUUCUGAAUUGCAGUUAGUCACUUCGAACAAAAAUGUGAAGGAUGACUAACAUAUAUGAUAUGGCAACAUUACAUACAUAGACUAAUGCAAAAAAAUUAUAAUUUGUAAGUUAAAUGGUAUGGCUCGUUUAUGUGAAAGAUUUUGCAUGGCUUAGUGGAAGAGAAGAUUUAAAUGCAUUACUUAGCGGGACAUUGAGGUGGGCACUUCGUAUGUUGAAAGAAUUGAGACCAACUUCUUAAGAACGUAAGGUUCCAUGCCAAAAUCUUAAGGCUGAAAAGGGCAUCUUGGGUGCAUUGAAAAUGUGUUAUGGCUUUAGCCCUUGUAAAAGAUAGAUUUGAAUUAUCCUCAUUUCCCAAUUAAAAUUAAUUAAACAUGAUCUUGUGAGAUGCUUAUAAUGCACAAACAAUACCAAAAUAAUAUCAUUAUUCUGUGGUUGUUACACUAAUAUAGUUUGAUGAUUUUUUAUUUUAUUUUGAUAGGAAACGUAUACCAUGAAGCUCAUGUGCUUGGUACCUUCCAUGGUUUUUAAGUCGUGUUAUAUCUUGUGAAGCUUACCUACUGAUUCUGCGGUGCCUUUCCAUUUUCGUUGGGUUUCAUGUUAUUUUGCACAUGCAUAAGGGAAUCACAUUGCUGAAGAAAGUUGACAACAAUGGAGCACUACUGUUGAGCACGUCUACGUAAACACUAACGAGAAUUCAUAUGAACAAAUAUUUAUAUGUCUUAGCUGGAGUGAUUUCAGAUCCACAACACCAUCUUUCUGUUAAGAAGAUCAACCAUAUAAUGCUAAACUUUCCAUUAUUCUUAGAGCUAGGAGAACUGCUAUGCGUACACCAUUGCUUCGUCCAAUGCUCAUCCAACGGUGAACCAUCACCUUGGAUCAAACGUUAGAUUGCAAAGCUGACCAUGCAUUGAGAAUAUCAAAUGGAAAUCGGAUAUGAAAUGUUGUGUGUGGAGGAAUACCAUAAAAGUAUUGAAUCAUGUCAUUCCUUAUUCUGGUGUUUGCCUGAUAUGGAGAAAGAGAGAUUUGGUACUAAUGUUUACAGAGUCCUGCUACACAUACGAUAAUUUUCAUAUGAUGUGUAUGACACUAAAUCAGACCCAUCAAUUGUGUAAUGCUAGUUUGGCUAUAGGGCUAAGAUAUGAAUGUACGAGAAUCGUACCUAACAAAUUUAUUAAGUUGAAGCAAUACGAUGCUAGAUUUGUAACAAUCUCCUUGCGUUAAGUUGAAGCAAUACAAUACUCGAGUUUAUAUUAUUCACAAAACCAUUGUUAACAAAUUCAUUUUUAUUCUGAUGUUUAUUGCAAUGAUUUAUCCUUGAGGAUCACAUGCUGAAUUAGCCCUUUAAACCUUUUUUGAAGUACCUUCAGUCUGCUGAGUAAAUAGGCAAUUUUUCGACUAAUUUAAUCCAUAAAUAGAUGACUAGCAUGGCAUUGACAGAAUUAACUACAUACUGAUAUUGAUCUAAACUGGCACGUACUACGCAAACAGUAGACAAAUCUACACAUGAUACUAGUACUGCUAAGACGGAAGUAAUCAGGAGAGAGAUAAGCGCGUUAUACCCUCCAGUAGGCCAUGCAGAAGCCCCCGCGGCGGUGGCGGCAGCAGCGGCGUCCUCGGCGGCCUUCUUGUCGGCCUUAGCCUUCUCGGCGACAGCACGGUCGGCGUCGGUUGACAUGGUGAUGGCGGAGACAGCACGGAUGUAGAGGAAGCAGACGAACAGAGGCGAGCAGUCGCGUGAUCGUUCCCCAAAAACCUAAUCGCCCCUCUUCCCCGUACAGGAACCGGAGAGGCGGGGUUUCGGAGGCCUGCUCUCCCGUCGACCGUGUACGCAGCGGACGGGAUGGAGUCACCGGCUGUAGCAGCAGUAAGGGAACGAGCGCGUGAGGCAGAUGUGAUCUGAUUCUCGUGACGGCUAGGGUUGGCAUUAGCCCUGCUUAAAUAGGCAGCCGGGUGGAGAGAUGUGGGUUGAACCCACGUCCGAGUCGGUAGUAGCCCAUGAUCCGACGUCUCAGACCGUGGCGCAUCCGUUACGUAUUCUCCGAUCCUGACCGGCAAAAAUAGGCGCGUAGGUAUGAGCUCGGCUCGGCUCAUUCCCGCAAGGCAAGGCAAGGCAAGGCGCGGCGCGUCAUGACGAGGCGGGCGACGGAGGAGUGCGCGAGGGCAUCUUCUCUUGUCACUCUCCAAUAGCAUGUGGAAGAGAGACCCUUAUAAAGGGGUCCAACUUCUUCUCCACUAGCGGGGUGGGACUAAACUUCCCACCACCACCUUGUCAUGCCACCACCUACAUGGGACCUUGGAGAUUUUUGAAAUUCUCUUAUGGGCCUAAGGCUCCCUACUAAUUUCAACAAUCCCCCACCAGAUCUCAAGGGCACAUCGUGUUCCCUCGUUCCAAUCACUGUUUUAAUAUACCAGCAUUUCAGUGAAGACCUGUUAAGGUUGAGCUUCACCUAGAACAAGUAGCUACACCCAUUUACAACUGAACAAUGGACUAUGCCUUGAAUUGUCAGUUUGGCCUAAAGAAGCUUCACCACAAGUCUUACUAGUACUAGGCUACCGAAGACUGACCCCUCGGGUGGAGCAUAUAAGUCACACUCCUGGCCUAUUCAUGAGUUUACUAGAGAUCACCCCAAUCUCAUAGACUGUGACCAGCAGUCAGACUCAUAUAGGUGUGUUCCUCCAAAGAUCGCUCUGUAGGACAGCAUCUUGCUUACACAUAAGCUUUAGAACACAUUAAGACAGUAGUCAUCCUACCAUACAGUAUCUGAGAGCAUUGCAUCUCCAACGGAGUGGGUUAGUAAAGUUACUCUCCUCGGUUCACCACUGGCUUGUUUUUCCCAGGUCCUACUUCACGGGAUCUCCGAUCAUAUAGGUUGGGUUACUACCAUGGCAACUCAUGUGGGUCUCAUACCCAUCUCCCUNNNNNNNNNNNNNNNNNNNNNNNNNNNNNNNNNNNNNNNNNNNNNNNNNNNNNNNNNNNNNNNNNNNNNNNNNNNNNNNNNNNNNNNNNNNNNNNNNNNNGACCGAGACACCUCUCCUGCCAAUAACCAUCAGCGGGGUCUGGAUACCCUUGGUGGCUCCCACUUGCUCCACCAUGAUCUCAUCGGAUGAACCACGAUGUCAAGGAUUCAAUCAAUCCCGUAUACAAUUCCCUUUGUCUGUCGGUAUAGAACUUGCCCGAGAUUCGAUCGUCCGUAUACCUAUACCUUGUUCAAUCUCGUUACCGGUAUGUCUCUUUACUCGUUCUGUAGCACGUCAUCGUGUGACUAACUCCUUAGUCACAUUGAGCUCAUGAUGAUGUUCUACCGAGUGGGCCUAGAGAUACCUCUCCGUCACACGGAGUGACAAAUCCCGAUCUCGAUUCGUACCAACCAAAUAGACACUUUUAGAGGUACCGGUAGUGCACCUUUAUAGUCACCCAGUUACGUUGCGACGUUUGAUACACCCAAAGCACUCCUACGGUAUCCGGGAGUUGCACAAUCUCACGAUCGAAGGAAAAGACACUUGACAUUAGAAAAGCUUUAGCAUACGAACAAUACGAUCUAGUGCUACGCUUAGGAUUGGGUCUUNNNNNNNNNNNNNNNNNNNNNNNNNNNNNNNNNNNNNNNNNNNNNNNNNNNNNNNNNNNNNNNNNNNNNNNNNNNNNNNNNNNNNNNNNNNNNNNNNNNNUGAAGUUGCUCACCAUGAUGACUAGUCUGUCUCACGUGAUGAUCGGACACGGAUUAGUCAACAUGGAUCAUGUAUCACUUAGAUGACUGGAGGGAUGUCGAUUUAAGUGAGAGUUCAUACUUAAUUUGAUUAAAUGAACUUAAUUGUCAUGAACUUAGUCUAAAAGUUGUAUUUAUAAAUAUUGUAGAUGGCCAACGUCAACCUCAAUUUCAACGCAUUCCUAGAGAAAAACAAGCUGAAAGAUGAUGGUAGCAACUAUGCAGACUGGGUUCACAACUUGAAGCUCAUCCUUGAAGCAGCUAAAAAGGCUUAUGUCCUUGAUGCGCCGCUAGGUGACCCUCCCGCUCCCGCAGCAGCCCAGGACAUUCUGAACGUCUGGCAAACGUGGAGUGUUGACUACUCUCUGGUUAGGUGUGGCAUGUUAUACAGUUUAGAAACGGGGCUCCAAAGGCGUUUUGAGCAACACGGUGCAUAUGAGAUGUUNNNNNNNNNNNNNNNNNNNNNNNNNNNNNNNNNNNNNNNNNNNNNNNNNNNNNNNNNNNNNNNNNNNNNNNNNNNNNNNNNNNNNNNNNNNNNNNNNNNNNNNNNNNNNNNNNNNNNNNNNNNNNNNNNNNNNNNNNNNNNNNNNNNNNNNNNNNNNNNNNNNNNNNNNNNNNNNNNNNNNNNNNNNNNNNNNNNNNNNNNNNNNNNNNNNNNNNNNNNNNNNNNNNNNNNNNNNNNNNNNNNNNCUCAAAAUGUCUGGGUUACACGGUCGUCUGACUUCACUUGGAGUCGAACUUCCAGAUGAUGCUAUAAUUGACAGAAUCCUCCAAUCUCUCCCACCAAGCUACAAAGGCUUUGUGCUUAACUACAACAUGCAAGGAUGGAGAAGACCAUUCCCGAGUUGUACUCGAUGCUCAAGUCUGCAGAAGUAGAAAUCAAGAAAGAGCAUCAAGUGUUGAUGGUCAACAAGACCACUAGUUUCAAGAAGGGCAAGGGUAAGAAGAACUUCAAGAAAGACGGCAAAGCUGUUGCCGCGCACGGUAAGCCAUAUGCCGUGAAGAAGAAAAAGAAUGGACCCAAGCCUGAGACUGAGUGCUUCUAUUGCAAGGGAAAAUGUCACUCGAAGCGGAACUGCCCCAAAUACUUAGCGGACAAGAAGGCCGACAACGUUAAAGGUAUAUGUGAUAUACAUGUUAUUGAUGUGUACCUUACCAGCGCUCGUAGUAGCUCCUGGGUAUUUGAUACCGGUGAUGUUGCUCACAUUUGCAACUCAAAGUAGGAACUGCGGAAUAAGCGGAGACUGGCAAAGGACGAGGUGACGAUGCGCGUCGGGAAUGGCUCCAAGGUCGAUGUGAACGCCGUCGGAACGUUACCUCUACAUCUACAGUCGGGAUUAGUUUUAAACCUUAAUAAUUGUUAUUUAGUACCAGCUUUGAGCAUGAACAUUGUAUCAGGGUCUUGCUUAAUGCGAGACGGCUACUCAUUUAAGUCACAGAAUAAUGGUUGUUCUAUUUAUAUAAGUGAUAUGUUUUAUGGUCAUGCUCCGCUGGUGAAUGGUUUAUUCUUGAUGAAUCUCGAUCGUGAUGUUACGCAUAUUCAUAGUGUGAGUACCAAAAGAUGUAAAGUUGAUAAUGAUAGUCCCACAUACUUGUGGCACUGUCGCCUUGGUCAUAUCGGUGUUAAGCGCAUGAAGAAGCUCCAUACUGAUGGACUAUUAGAGUCUCCUGAUUUUGAAUCAUUUGACACAUGCGAACCGUGCCUCAUGGGCAAGAUGACUAAGACUCCAUUCUCAGGAAUAAUGGAGAGAGCAACCGACUUAUUGGAAAUAAUACAUACUGAUGUGUGUGGUCCAAUGAACAUUGAAGCUCGCGGUGGCUAUCGUUAUGUUCUCACUCUCACCGAUGAUUUGAGUAGGUAUGGGUAUAUCUACUUGGUGAAGCACAAAUCUGAGACAUUUGAAAGGUUCAAGGAAUUUCAGANNNNNNNNNNNNNNNNNNNNNNNNNNNNNNNNNNNNNNNNNNNNNNNNNNNNNNNNNNNNNNNNNNNNNNNNNNNNNNNNNNNNNNNNNNNNNNNNNNNNNNNNNNNNNNNNNNNNNNNNNNNNNNNNNNNNNNNNNNNNNNNNNNNNNNNNNNNNUGUCUACGAUCUGAUCGUGGAAGAGAAUAUUUGAGUCACGAGUUUGGCACACACCUAAGGAAGUGUGGAAUCGUUUCACAACUGACGUCACCUGGCACACCGCAACGCAAUGGAGUGUCUGAACGUCAUAAUCGCACUUUAUUAGAUAUGGUACGAUCUAUGAUGUCUCUUACCGACUUACCGCUAUCAUUUUGGGGAUAAGCAUUAGAAACUGCAGCAUUCACUUUAAACAGGGCACUGUCUAAAUCCGUUGAGANNNNNNNNNNNNNNNNNNNNNNNNNNNNNNNNNNNNNNNNNNNNNNNNNNNNNNNNNNNNNNNNNNNNNNNNNNNNNNNNNNNNNNNNNNNNNNNNNNNNNNNNNNNNNNNNNNNNNNNNNNNNNNNNNNNNNNNNNNNNNNNNNNNNNNNNNNNNNNNNNNNNNNNNNNNNNNNNNNNNNNNNNNNNNNNNNNNNNNNNNNNNNNNNNNNNNNNNNNNNNNNNNNNNNNNNNNNNNNNNNNNNNNNNNNNNNNNNNNNNNNNNNNNNNNNNNNNNNNNNNNNNNNNNNNNNNNNNNNNNNNNNNNNNNNNNNCCGAAGGUAAAACCUUUUUUGCCAAGAAUGGAUCCUUUCUAGAGAAAGAGUUUCUCUCGAAAGAAGUAAGUGGGAGGAAGGUAGAAUUUGAUGAGGUAAUUACACCCCCUCUCGAACAGGAUAGUAGCGCAGCGCGGGAAGUUGUUCUUCUGGCGCCUACACCAAGUGAAGAGGAAGUUAAUGAUAAUGAUCAUGAAGCUUCGAAUCAAGUUACUACUGAACCGCGAAGGUCCACGAGGGCACGCUCCGCACCAGAGUGGUACGGCAACCCUGUGAUGGAAAUCAUGUUGUUAGACAACGGUGAACCUUCGAACUAUGAAGAAGCGAUGGCGGGCCCGGAUUCCAACAAAUGGCUUGAAGCUAUGAAAUCCGAGAUAGGAUCCAUGUAUGAGAACAAAGUAUGGACUUUGGUGAACAUGCCCGAUGACCGGCGAGCCAUAGAAAAUAAAUGGAUCUUCAAGAAGAAGACUGAUGCAAACGGUAAUGUAACCGUUUACAAUGCUCGACUUGUCGCAAAGGGUUUUCGACAAAUUCAAGGAGUUAACUACGAAGAGACUUUCUCUCCCGUAGCGAAGCUGAAAUCAGUCUGAAUCAUGUUAGCAAUUGCCGCCUUUUAUGAUUAUGAAAUUUGGCAAAUGGACGUCAAAACAGCGUUCCUUAACGGGAACCUUAAGGAAGAGUUGUAUAUGAUGCAACCAGAAGGUUUUGUCGACUCUAAGGGUGCUAACAAAGUGUGCAACCUCCAGCGCUCCAUCUAUGGGCUGGUGCAAGCAUCUCGGAGUUGGAACAUUCACUUUAAUGAGGUGAUUAAAGCGUUUGGGUUCAUACAGGUUUACGGAGAAGCCUGUCUAUACAAGAAAGUGAGUGGGAGCUCUGUAGCUUUCCUCAUACUGUAUGUGGAUGACAUAUUAUUGAUGGGGAACAAUACAGAAAUGUUGGAGAGCAUAAAGGCCUAUUUGAACAAGAGUUUUUCAAUGAAGGACCUUGGAGAAUGUGCAUACAUAUUAGGCAUCAUGAUCUAUAGAGAUAGAUCGAGACGCCUCAUAGGUCUUUCGCAAAGUACAUAACUUGACAAGAUAUUGAAGAAGUUUAAUAUGGAAAACUCAAAGAAAGGGUUCUUGCCAGUUUUGCAAGGUAUGAGAUUGAGUAAGACUCAGUCGCCGACCACGGCAGCAGAUAGAGAGAAGAUGAGUUAUGUCCCCUAUGCUUCAGCCGUAGGCUCUCUAAUGUAUACCAUGCUGUGUACCAGACCUGAUAUAAACCUUGCCAUAAGUUUGGUAGGGAGGUACCAAAGUGAUCCCGGUAUGGAACAGUGGAAAUUUUUCUCGUUUAUGGAGGUGACGAAGAGCUCGUCGUAAAGGGUUACGUUGAUGCUAGCUUCGACGCAUAUCCGGAUGACUCUAAGUCACAGACCGGAUACGUAUAUGUUUUGAAUGGUGGGGCAGUGAGCUGGUGCAGCAGCAAGCAAGAAGUCGUGGCAGCAUCUACAUGUGAAGCGGAGUACAUAACUCCUUCAAAAGCAGCUCAUGAAGGAAUUUGGAUGAAUGAGCUCAUCACCGACCUUGGAGUGGUUCCAAGAGCGUCGGGUCCAAUGACACUCUUCUGUGAUAACACUGGGGCCAUUGCGAUAGCCAAGGAGCCCAGGUUUCACCGGAAGACGAAGCACAUCAAACGCCGCUACAACUCCAUCCAGGACCAUGUCCAGAGUGGAGUAAUAGAGAUUUGUAAAGUACACACGGAUCUGAAUGUUGCGGACCCAUUGACUAAACCUCUUCCACGAGCAAAACAUGAUCAACACCAUAAUGCUAUGGNNNNNNNNNNNNNNNNNNNNNNNNNNNNNNNNNNNNNNNNNNNNNNNNNNNNNNNNNNNNNNNNNNNNNNNNNNNNNNNNNNNNNNNNNNNNNNNNNNNNAUCAAAGAUAGUCAUGGUCUUCUGAUUAUAUACAAAGGUGUUGUUGCGUGAUAACUGGAUCACGUNNNNNNNNNNNNNNNNNNNNNNNNNNNNNNNNNNNNNNNNNNNNNNNNNNNNNNNNNNNNNNNNNNNNNNNNNNNNNNNNNNNNNNNNNNNNNNNNNNNNNNNNNNNNNNNNNNNNNNNNNNNNNNNNNNNNNNNNNNNNNNNNNNNNNNNNNNNNNNNNNNNNNNNNNNNNNNNNNNNNNNNNNNNNNNNNNNNNNNNNNNNNNNCUGCGUGUCAAGUAUUUGUUCCUAUGACCAUGAGAUCAUAUAACUCACUGACACCGGAGGAAUGCUUUGUGUGUAUCAAACGUNNNAACGUAACUGGGUGACUAUAAAGAUGCUCUACAGGUAUCUCCGAAGGUGUUCGUUGAGUUAGUAUGGAUCGAGACUGAGAUUUGUCACUCCGUGUGACGGAGAGGUAUCUCGGGGCCCACUCGGUAAUACAACAUCACACACAAGCCUUGCAAGCAAUGUGACUUAAUGUAAGUUGCGGGAUCUUGUAUUACGGAACGAGUAAAGAGACUUGCCGGUAAACGAGAUUGAAAUAGGUAUGUGGAUACUAACGAUCGAAUCUCGGGCAAGUAACAUACCGAAGGACAAAGGGAAUGACAUACGGGAUUAUAUGAAUCCUUGGCAAUGAGGUUCAAACGGUAAGAUCUUCGUAGAAUAUGUGGGAUACAAUAUGGGCAUCCAGGUCCCGCUAUUGGAUAUUGACCGAGGAGACACUCGGGUCAUGUCUACAUAGUUCUCGAACCCGCAGGGUCUGCACACUUAAGGUUUGACAUUGUUUUAUGCGUAUUUGAGUUAUAUGGUUGGUUACCGAAUGGGUUUCGGGUGUUCACCGGGGGGCAACCCACCCCGGGGAAGCCCAUAGGCCUUGUGGGUGGCGCACCAGCCCUUGGUGGGCUGGUGGGAUAGCCCAAGAAGGUCCUAUGCGCCAAGGAUAGAAAAUCAAAGAUAAAGAAAAAAAAAAGGAGGUGGGAAAGGAGAGAAGGACUCCACUUUCCAAUCCUAGUUGGACUAGGAUUGGAGGAGGACUCCUCCUCCCUUGGUGGCGCAGCCCUUGGGGCUCCUUGAGCCUCAAGGCAAGCCUCCCCUCCCUCCUCCUAUAUAUAUGGAGCAAUUAGGGCUGAUUUGAGACAACUUUUCCAAGGCAGCCCGACCACAUAACUCCAUGGUUUUACCUCUAGAUCGCGUCUCUGCGGAGCUCGGGCGGAGCCCUGCCGAGAUUAGAUCAUCACCAACCUCUGGAGCGUCGUCACGCUGCUGGAGAACUCAUCUACCUCUCCGUCUCUCUUGCUAGAUCAAGAAGGCCGAGAUCAUCGUCGAGCUGUACGUGUGCUGAACGCGGAGGUGCUGUCCGUUCGCCACUAGAUCGUGGGACGGUUCGCGGGGCGGAUCGAGGGACGUGAGGACGUUCCACUACAUCAACCGCGUUCACUAACGCUUCUGCUGUGCGAUCUACAAGGGUACGUAGAUCGGAAAUCCCCUCUCGUAGAUGGACAUCACCAUGAUAGGUCUUCGUGCGCGUAGGAAAAUUUUUGUUUCCCAUGCAACGUUCCUUAACAGAUGGUGCGGCGGCCAAGGGGGGGAGGAGGGGUGUGGCGCACCCCUGGUGGGCCUUAGGCCCACCUGGCUUAGGGUUUCCCCCCCUUUUCUCUCCCCUGCGCAUUGGGCUGAGCGGGGAGGCGCACCAGGCCACCUAGGGGCUGGUUCCCUCCCCUACUUGGCCCAUCUUACCUCCCGGGGUCGUUGCCCCCCUUCGGUGGACCCCCGGGGCCACCUCCGGUGGUCCCGGUGGUCCCGGUACGUUACCGGUGAUGCCCGAAACAUUUCCGGUGUCCGAAACCAUCCGUCCUGUAUAUCAAUCUUUACCUCCGGACCAUUCCGGAGCUCCUCGUGACGUCCGGGAUCUCAUCCGGGACUCCGAACAACUUUCGGUAACCUCGUAUAACAAUUCCCUAUAACCCUAGCGUCAUCGAACCUUAAGUGUGUAGACCCUACGGGUUCGGCAGACAAGCAGACAUGACCGAGCCACCUUUAUGGCCAAUAACCAUCAGCGGGGUCUGGAUACCCAUGGUGGCUCCCACUUGCUCUACGAUGAUCUCAUCGGAUGAACCACGAUGUCAAUGAUUCAAUCAAUCCCGUAUACAAUUCCCUUGGUCUGUCGGUAUAGAACUUGCCCGAGAUUCGAUCGUCGGUAUACCAAUACCUUGUGCAAUCUCGUUACCGGUAAGUCUCUUUACUCGUUCUGUAGCACGUCAUCGUGUNNNNNNNNNNNNNNNNNNNNNNNNNNNNNNNNNNNNNNNNNNNNNNNNNNNNNNNNNNNNNNNNNNNNNNNNNNNNNNNNNNNNNNNNNNNNNNNNNNNNACAUAUACGUAUCCGGUUUGUGACUUAGAGUCAUCCGGAUCUGUGUCGAAGCUAGCAUCGACGUAACCCUUUAGGACGAGCUCUUCGUCACCUCCAUAAAAGAGAAACAUUUCCUUAGUCCUUUUCAGGUACUUAAGGAUAUUCUUGACCGCUGUCCAGUGUUCCGCACCGGGAUUACUUUGGUACCUCCCUACCAAGCUUAUCGCAAGGUUUAUAUCAGGUCUGGUACACAGCAUGGCAUACAUUAGAGAGCCCACGGCUGAAGCGUAGGGGACAGAACUCAUCUUCUCUCUAUCUGCUGCCGUGGUCGGCGACUGAGUCUUACUCAAUCUCAUACCUUGCAAAACUGGCAAGAACCCUUUCUUUGAGUUUUCCAUAUUGAACUUCUUCAAUAUCUUGUCAAGGUAUGUACUUUGCGAAAGACCUAUGAGGCGUCUCGAUCUAUCUCUAUAGAUCUUGAUGCCUAAUAUGUAUGCAGCUUCUCCAAGGUCCUUCAUUGAAAAACUCUUGUUCAAAUAGGCCUUUAUGCUCUCCAACAUCUCUAUAUCAUUCCCCAUCAAUAAUAUGUCAUCCACAUAUAGUACGAGGAAAGCUACAGAGCUCCCACUCACUUUCUUGUACAGACAGGCUUCUCCGUAAACCUGUAUGAACCCAAACGCCUUAAUCACCUCAUUAAAGCGAAUGUUCCAACUCCGAGAUGCUUGCACCAGCCCAUAGAUGGAGCGCUGGAGCUUGCAUACUUUGUUAGCACCUUUAGGAUCGACAAAACCUUCUGGUUGCAUCAUAUACAACUCUUCCUUAAGAUUCCCGUUAAGGAACGCUGUUUUGACGUCCAUUUGCCAAAUUUCAUAAUCAUAAAAGGCGGCAAUUGCUAACAUGAUUCGGACUGAUUUCAGCUUCGCUACGGGAGAGAAAGUCUCUUCGCAGUCAACUCCUUGAAUUUGUCGAAAACCCUUUGCGACAAGUCGAGCUUUGUAAACGGUUACAUUACCGUUUGCAUCAGUCUUCUUCUUGAAGAUCCAUUUAUUUUCUAUGGCUCGCCGGUCAUCGGGCAUGUUCACCAAAGUCCAUACUUUGUUCUCAUACAUGGAUCCUAUCUCGGAUUUCAUAGCUUCAAGCCAUUUGUUGGAAUCCGGGCCCGCCAUCGCUUCUUCAUAGUUCGAAGGUUCACCGUUGUCUAACAACAUGAUUUCCAUCACAGGGUUGCCGUACCACUCUGGUGCGGAGCGUACCCUUGUGGACCUUCGUGGUUCAGUAGUAACUUGAUCCGAAGCUUCAUGAUCAUCAUCAUUAACUUCCUCUUCAGUUGGUAUAGGCAUCACAGGAACAACUUCUUGCGCUGCGCUACUUUCCUGUUNNNNNNNNNNNNNNNNNNNNNNNNNNNNNNNNNNNNNNNNNNNNNNNNNNNNNNNNNNNNNNNNNNNNNNNNNNNNNNNNNNNNNNNNNNNNNNNNNNNNNNNNNNNNNNNNNNNNNNNNNNNNNNNNNNNNNNNNNNNNNNNNNNNNNNNNNNNNNNNNNNNNNNNNNNNNNNNNNNNNNNNNNNNNNNNNNNNNNNNNNNNNNNNNNNNNNNNNNNNNNNNNNNNNNNNNNNNNNNNNNNNNNNNNNNNNNNNNNNNNNNNNNNNNNNNNNNNNNNNNNNNNNNNNNNNNNNNNNNNNNNNNNNNNNNNNNNNNNNNNNNNNNNNNNNNNNNNNNNNNNNNNNNNNNNNNNNNNNNNNNNNNNNNNNNNNNNNNNNNNNNNNNNNNNNNNNNNNNNNNNNNNNNNNNNNNNNNNNNNNNNNNNNNNNNNNNNNNNNNNNNNNNNNNNNNNNNNNNNNNNNNNNNNNNNNNNNNNNNNNNNNNNNNNNNNNNNGAUAGCGGUAAGUCGGUGAGAGACAUCAUAGAUUGUACCAUAUCUAAUAAGGUGCGAUUACGACGUUCAGACACUCCGUUGCGUUGCGGUGUGCCAGGCGGCGUUAGUUGUGAAACGAUUCCACACUUCCUUAGGUGUGUGCCAAAUUCAUGACCCAAAUAUUCUCCUCCACGAUCAGAUCGUAGACAUUUAAUUUUUCUGUCACGUUGAUUCUCAACCUCACUCUAAAAUUCCUUGAACCUUUCAAACGUCUCAGAUUUGUGCUUCAUCAAGUAAAUAUACCCAUACCUACUCAAAUCAUCGGUGAGAGUGAGAACAUAACGAUAACCACCGCGAGCUUCAACGUUCAUUGGACCACACACAUCAGUAUGUAUUAUUUCCAAUAAGUCGGUGGCUCUCUCCAUUAUUCCUGAGAAUGGAGUCUUAGUCAUCUUGCCCAUGAGGCACGGUUCGCAUGUGUCAAAUGAUUCAAAGUCAAGAGACUCUANNNNNNNNNNNNNNNNNNNNNNNNNNNNNNNNNNNNNNNNNNNNNNNNNNNNNNNNNNNNNNNNNNNNNNNNNNNNNNNNNNNNNNNNNNNNNNNNNNNNNNNNNNNNNNNNNNNNNNAAAGUCAAGAGACUCUAGCAGUCCAUCAGUAUGGAGCUUCUUCAUGCGCUUAACGCCGAUAUGACCAAGGUGGCAGUGCCACAAGUAUGUGGGACUAUCGUUAUCAACUUUGCAUCUUUUGGUACUCACACUAUGAAUAUGUGUAACAUCACGAUCGAGAUUCAUCAAGAAUAAACCAUUCACCAGCGGAGCAUGACCAUAAAACAUGUCACUCAUAUAAAUAGAACAACCAUUAUUCUCUGACGUAAAUGAGUAGCUGUCUCGCAUUAAGCAAGACCCUGAUACAAUGUUCAUGCUUAAAGCUGGUACUAAAUAACAAUUAUUAAGGUUUAAAACUAAUCCCGACGGUAGAUGUAGAGGUAGCGUGCCGACGGCGAUCACAUCGACCUUGGAGCCUUUCCCGACGCGCAUCGUCACCUCGUCCUUGGCCAGUCUCCGCUUAUUCCACAGUUCCCGCUUUGAGUUGCAAAUGNNNNNNNNNNNNNNNNNNNNNNNNNNNNNNNNNNNNNNNNNNNNNNNNNNNNNNNNNNNNNNNNNNNNNNNNNNNNNNNNNNNNNNNNNNNNNNNNNNNNACGUUUGAUACACACAAGGCAUUCCUCCGGUGUCAGUGAGUUAUAUGAUCUCAUGGUCAUAGGAAUAAAUACUAGACACGCAGAAAAACAGUAGCAACAAAAUGACACGAUCAACAUGCUACGUUCAUCACGUGAUUCUCCUAAUGAUGCGAUCCUGUUAUCAAGUGACAACACUUGCCUAUGGUCAGGAAAACUUGACCAUCUUUGAUCAACAAGCUAGUCAACUAGAGGCUUACUAGGGACAAUGUUUUGUCUAUGUAUCCACACAAGUAUUGUGUUUCCAGUCAAUACAAUUAAAGCAUGGAUAAUAAACGAUUAUCAUGAACAAAGAAAUAUAAUAAUAACCAAUUUAUUAUUGCCUCUAGGGCAUAUUUCCAACAGUCUCCCACUUGCACUAGAGUCAAUAAUCUAGUUCACAUCACCAUGUGAUUCUAACGAAUCCAACACCCAUAUAGUUCUGGGGUCUGAUCACGUCUUGCUCGUGAGAGAGGUUUUAGUGAACGGUUCUGAAACUUUCAGAUCUGUGUGUUCUUUACAAAUCUUUAUGUCAUUUUAUAGAUGUUGCUACUACGUGCUAUUCGGAAAUACUCCAAAUAUCUACUCUACUAUACGAAUCCGUUUCACUACUCAUAGUUAUUCGGACUAGUGUCAAAGCUUGCAUCGACGUAACNNNNUACGACGAACUCUUUAACCACCUCCAUAAUCGAGAAAAAAAAACCUUAGUCCAUUUAGUUACUAAGGAUAACUUUGACCGCUGAUCAGUGAUUCAAUCCUGGAUCACUCUCUGUACCUCUUAACAGACUUGCUGCAAGGCACACAUCAGGUGCGGUACUCAGCAUGGCAUACUUUAGAGUCUACGAAUAAGGCAUAGAAGACGACCUUCGUCUAUUCUCUUUAUUCUGCCGGGGUCGGGUUUUGAGUCUUACUCAAAUUCACACCUUACAACACUGUUGGGGAACGUCGCAUGGGAAACAAANNNNNNNNNNNNNNNNNNNNNNNNNNNNNNNNNNNNNNNNNNNNNNNNNNNNNNNNNNNNNNNNNNNNNNNNNNNNNNNNNNNNNNNNNNNNNNNNNNNNNNNNNNNNNNNNNNNNNNNNNNNNNNNNNNNNNNNNNNNNNACGCGCACGAAGACCUAACAUGGUGAUGUCCAUCUACGAGAGUGGAUUUCCGAUCUACGUACCCUUGUAGAUCGCACAUCAGAAGCGUUAAGAAACGUGGUUGAUGUAGUGGAACGUCCUCACGUCCCUCGAUCCGCCCUGCGAACUGUCCCGCGAUCCGUUCCACGAUCUAGUGCCGAACAGACGGCACCUCCGCAUUCAGCACACGUACAGCUCGACGAUGAUCUCGGCCUUCUUGAUCCAGCAAGAGAGACGGAGAGGUAGAUGAGUUCUCCGGCAGCGUGACGGCGCUCCGGAGGUUGGUGGUGAUCUAAUCUCAGCAGGGCUCCGCCCGAGCUCUGCAGAAACGCGAUCUAGNNNNNNNNNNNNNNNNNNNNNNNNNNNNNNNNNNNNNNNNNNNNNNNNNNNNNNNNNNNNNNNNNNNNNNNNNNNNNNNNNNNNNNNNNNNNNNNNNNNNNNNNNNNNNNNNNNNNNNNNNNNNNNNNNNNNNNNNNNNNNNNNNNNNNNNNNNNNNNNNNNNNNNNNNNNNNNNNNNNNNNNNNNNNNNNNNNNNNNNNNNNNNNNNNNNNNNNNNNNNNNNNNNNNNNNNNNNNNNNNNNCAAGGAGCCCCAAGGGGGUCGGACGAGCCAAGGGGGGGAGUCCUCCCCUUCCAAACCGAAUCCAACUAGGUUUGGAAGGAGGAGUCCUUCCCCUUUUUCCAACCUCCCCUUUUUUUCCUUUUCCUCUUUGAUUUUCUUCCUAUGGCGCAUAGGGCCUUCUUGGACUGUCCCACCAUCCCACUAAGGGCUGGUGCGCCACCCCCAAGGCCUAUGGGCUUCCCCGGGCUGGGUUGCCCCCCCCUCCGGUGAACACCCGGAANNNNNNNNNNNNNNNNNNNNNNNNNNNNNNNNNNNNNNNNNNNNNNNNNNNNNNNNNNNNNNNNNNNNNNNNNNNNNNNNNNNNNNNNNNNNNNNNNNNNNNNNNNNNNNNNNNNNNNNNNNNNNNNNNNNNNNNNNNNNNNNNNNNNNNNNCGGUACAUUCCCGGUAACUCUGAAAACCUUCCGGUAAUCAAAUGAGGUCAUCCUAUAUAUCAAUCUUCGUUUCCGGACCAUUCCGGAAACCCUCGUGACAUCCGUGAUCUCAUCCGGGACUCCGAACAACAUUCGGUAACCAACCAUAUAACUCAAAUACGCAUAAAACAACGUUGAACCUUAAGUGUGCAGACCCUGCGGGUUCGAGAACUAUGUAGACAUGACCCGAGAGACUCCUCGGUCAAUAUACAAUAGCGGGACCUGGANNNNNNNNNNNNNNNNNNNNNNNNNNNNNNNNNNNNNNNNNNNNNNNNNNNNNNNNNNNNNNNNNNNNNNNNNNNNNNNNNNNNNNNNNNNNNNNNNNNNAGUCAACCUAGGUGUUUUGCGUGUGUAAAUCUGGCUUACACCCGUUGUAUGCGAACGUUAGAAUCUAUCACACCCGAUCAUCACGUGGUGCUUCGAGACAACGAACCUUCGCAACGGUGCACACUUAGGGGAAUACGUUCUCGAAAUUUUAGGAGGGAUCAUCUUAUUAUGCUACCGUCGUUUUAAGCAGUAAGAUGUAAAACAUGAUAAACAUCACAAUGCAAUCAUAUAGUGACAUGAUAUGGCCAUUAUCAUCUUUGCUCAUUCGAUCUCCAUCUUCAGGCAUCGCAUGAUCAUCAUCGUCACCGGCGUGACACCAUGAUCUCCAUCAUCAUGAUCUCCAUCAUCGUGUCUCCGUGAAGUCGUCACGCCAACUACUACUAUCACUACUACUAUAGCUAACCGUUAGCAAUGAAGUAAAAGUAGCAAGCACAUGGCGUUGCANNNNNNNNNNNNNNNNNNNNNNNNNNNNNNNNNNNNNNNNNNNNNNNNNNNNNNNNNNNNNNNNNNNNNNNNNNNNNNNNNNNNNNNNNNNNNNNNNNNNNNNNNNNNNNNNNNNNNNNNNNNNNNNNNNNNNNNNNNNNNNNNNNNNNNNNNNNNNNNNNNNNNNNNNNNNNNNNNNNNNNNNNNNNNNNNNNNNNNNNNNNNNNNNNNNNNNNNNNNNNNNNNNNNNNNNNNNNNNNNNNNNNNNNNNNNNNNNNNNNNNNNNNNNNNNNNNNNNNNNNNNNNNNNNNNNNNNNNNUCCUCUAAUUGUUGUUGCAAGUUUUACGUGGCUGAUUUGGGUUUCUAGCAAGAACGCUUUCUUACCUACGUGACAGCCACAACGAUGAUAUGCCAAAGCUAUUUACCCUUCAUAAGGACCCUUUUCAUCAAAUCCAAUCCGACUAGAGUAGGAGAGACAGACACCCGCUAGCCACCUUUAUGCACGAUGUGCAUGUUUGUCGGUGGAACCAGUCUCACGUAAGCGUACGUGUAAGGUCGGUCCGGGCCGCUUCAUCCCACAAUACCGCCGGAAAAGAAUAAGACUAGUAACGGCAAGCAAAUUGACAAACCAUCGCCCACAACUUUUGUGUUCUACUCGUGCAUAGAAUCUACGCAUAGAAAACCUGGCUCGGAUGCCACUGUUGGGUAACGUAGCAUAAAUUCAAAAUUUUCCUACGCUUAUUCAGAUCUUCCUAUGGAGAGACCAGCAACGAGAGAGGGGUAAGAGCAUCUUCAUACCUUUGAAGAUCGCUAAGCGGAAGCGUUUGCUAGAACGCGGUUGAUGGAGUCGUACUCGCAGCGAUUCCGAUCUAGUGCCGAACAACGGCACCUCCGCGUUCAACACACGUGCAGCCCGGUGACGUCUCCCGCACCUUGAUCCAGCAAGGAGGAGGGAGAGGUUGGGGAAGAUCUCCAGCAGCACGACGGCGUGGUGUCGAUGGAGAGACGAGGUCUCCCGGCAGGGCUUUGCCAAGCACCGUGGGAGAGGAGGAAGAAGGGGGGCAGGGCUGCGCCGAGGGAGAGUGAAAACUGUGUGUAAAACAGCCCCAAAACCCCCACUAUAUAUAGGAGGAGGGGAGGGGGGUGCCACCCCUAGGGUUCCCACCCUAGGUGGUGCGGCAGCCCCCCCAGAUGGGAGGUGCGGCGGCCACGGCAGGGGGAGGGGGUGGCGCACCCCUAGGUGGGCCUUAGGCCCACCAGCGCCUAGGGUUCCCCCCCCCCUCUCCACCUCCUGCGCCUUGGGCCUCCUUGUGGGAGGCGCACCAACCCACUUUGGGCUGGUUUCCCUCCCUCUUUUGGCCCAUGCUACCUCAUGGGGCUGGUGGCCCCUCCCGGUGGACCCCCGGGACCAUUUUCAGUGGUCCCGGUACAUUACCGGUGAUGCCCGAAACAUUUCCGGUGUUCAAAACCAUCCAUCCUAUAUACAAUCUUUACCUCCGGACCAUUCCGGAGCUCCUCGUGACGUCCGGGAUCUCAUCCGAGACUCCGAACAACUUUCGGUAACCUCGUAUAACAAUUCCCUAUAACCCUAGCGUCAUCGAACCUUAAGUGUGUAGACCCUACGGGUUCGGGAGACACGCAGACAUGACCGGGACAACUCUCCGGCCAAUAACCAUCAGCGGGGUCUGGAUACCCAUGGUGGCUCCCACUUGCUCCACGAUGAUCNNNNNNNNNNNNNNNNNNNNNNNNNNNNNNNNNNNNNNNNNNNNNNNNNNNNNNNNNNNNNNNNNNNNNNNNNNNNNNNNNNNNNNNNNNNNNNNNNNNNGUAUGAACUAUGGUUUGCCAAGAAACCUAAGUUGUCGUUUCUUAAAGUUUGGGGCUGCGAUGCUUCUGUGAAGAAACUUAAACUAGAAAAGCUCGAACCCAAAGCGGAGAAAUGCGUAUUCAUAGGAUACCCUAAGGAAACUAUUGGGUAUACCUUCUAUCUUAGAUCCGAAGGUAAAACCUUUGUUGCCAAGAACGGAUCCUUUCUAGAGAAAGAGUUUCUCUCGAAAGAAGUAAGUGGGAGGAAGGUAGAACUUGAUGAGGUAAUUACACCCCCUCUCGAACAGGAUAGUAGCGCAGCGCGGGAAGUUGUUCCUGUGGCGCCUACACCAACUGAAGAGGAAGUUAAUGAUGAUGAUCAUGAAGCUUCGAAUCAAGUUACUAUUGAACCGCGAAGGUCCACAAGGGCACGCUCCGCACCAGAGUGGUACGACAACCCUGUGAUGGAAAUCAUGUUGUUAGACAACGUUGAACCUUCGAACUAUGAAGAAGCGAUGGCGGGCCCGGAUUCCAACAAAUGGCUUGAGGCUAUGAAAUCCGAGAUAGGAUCCAUGUAUGAGAACAAAGUAUGGACUUUGGUGGACUUGCCCGAUGACCGGCGAGCCAUAGAAACUAAAUGGAUCUUCAAGAAGAAGACUGAUGCAAACGGUAAUGUAACCGUUUAUAAAGCUCGACUUGUCGCAAAGGGUUUUCGACAAAUUCAAGGAGUUGACUACGAAGAGACUUUCUCUCCCGUAGCGAAGCUGAAAUCAGUCCGAAUCAUGUUCGCAAUUUCUGCCUUUUAUGAUUAUGAAAUUUGGCAAAUGGACGUCAAAACAGCGUUCCUUAACGGGAACCUCAAGGAAGAGUUGUAUAUGAUGCAACCAGAAGGUUUUAUCGACCCUAAGGGUGCUAACAAAGUGUGCAAGCUCCAGCUCUCCAUCUAUGGGCUGGUGCAAGAAUCUCGGAGUUGGAACAUUCGCUUUAAUGAGGUGAUUAAAGCGUUUGGGUUCAUACAGGAUUACGGAGAAGCCUGUCUGUACAAGAAAGUGAGUGGGAGCUCUGUAGCUUUCCUCAUACUGUAUGUGGAUGACAUAUUAUUGAUGGGGAAUAAUAUGGAGAUGUUGGAGAGCAUAAAGGCCUAUUUGAACAAAAGUUUUUCAAUGAAGGACCUUGGAGAAGCUGCAUACAUAUUAGGCAUCAAGAUCUAUAGAGAUAGAUCAAGACGCCUCAUAGGUCUUUCGCAAAGGACAUACCUUGAUAAGAUAUUGAAGAAGUUCAAUAUGGAAAACUCAAAGAAAGGGUUCUUGCCAGUUUUGCAAGGUAUGAGAUUGAUUAAGACUCAGUCGCCGACCACGGCAGCAGAUAGAGAGAAGAUGAGUUUUGUCCCCUACGCAUCAGCCGUGGGCUCUCUAAUGUAUGCCAUGGUGUGUACCAGACCUGAUAUAAACCUUGCCAUAGGCUUGGUAGGGAGGUACCAAAGUGAUCCCGGUAUGGAACACUGGACAUCGGUCAAGAAUAUCCUUAAGGACCUGAAAAGGACUAAGGAAAUGUUUCUCGUUUAUGGAGGUGAUGAAGAGCUCGUCGUAAAGGGUUACGUCGACGCUAGCUUCGACACAGAUCCGGAUGACUCUAAGUCACAGACCGAAUACGUAUAUGUGUUGAAUGGUGGGGCAGUGAGCUGGUGCAGCAGCAAGCAAGAAGUCGUGGCAGCAUCUACAUGUGAAGCGGAGUACAUAGCUGCUUCAGAAGCGGCUCAUGAUGGAAUUUGGAUGAAGGAGCUCAUCACCGACCUUGGAGUGGUUCCAAGCGCGUCGGGUCCUAUGACACUCUUCUGUGAUAACACUUGAGCCAUUGCCAUAGCCAAAGAGCCCAGGUUUCACCGGAAGACGAAGCACAUCAAGCGCCGCUACAACUCCAUCCAGGACCAUGUCCAAACUGGAGUGAUAGAUAUUUGUAAAGUACACACGGAUCUGAAUAUUGCAGACCCGUUGACUAAACCUCUUCCACGAGCAAAACAUGAUCAACACCAUANNNNNNNNNNNNNNNNNNNNNNNNNNNNNNNNNNNNNNNNNNNNNNNNNNNNNNNNNNNNNNNNNNNNNNNNNNNNNNNNNNNNNNNNNNNNNNNNNNNNGCUUAGGAUUGGGUCUUGUCCAUCACAUCAUUCUCCCAAUGAUGUGAUCCCGUUAUCAAUGACAUCUAAUGCCCAUGACCAGGAAACCAUGAUCGUCUAUUGACUAACGAGCUAGCCAACUAGAGGCUUGGUAGGGACACAUUGUGAUCUAUUUAUUCACACAUGUAUUACUGUUUCCUGUUAAUACAANNAUAGCAUGAACAAUAGAUGAUUAUCCUGAACAAGGAAAUAUGAUAAUAACCAUUUUAUUAUUGCCUCUAGGGCAUAUUUCCAANNNNNNNNNNNNNNNNNNNNNNNNNNNNNNNNNNNNNNNNNNNNNNNNNNNNNNNNNNNNNNNNNNNNNNNNNNNNNNNNNNNNNNNNNNNNNNNNNNNNNNNNNNNNNNNNNNNNNNNNNNNGGGCAUAUUUCCAACAGGCGUGACCUCGGCGGCUGGUGUGGCUCGAAUCGAAGGCGGCGCCCGACAACCAUGGGUGGGGGAAAGGCGCGGGUGAAAUGUCCCACCAACCAACCGUUUCUAGAUAUAUAUAGGGCACCGACGGGUCGGGGGGAGAACAUGCGUUUUCGAGGGGUUGGGGUGGGCAUUUUGCCGCGCCCUACAUAAUUUUUUAUGGGUCGGACACGGUUACGGGGUCUGGUCUCGCAACGUUUCCCACCCCUACCUGUAUUUUGACGGUUAUUUUACGGAUUCAGCCCUUUUACGGGGUGUGUUAGAGAUGCUCUUAGUACUCAUGUCCAAAUUUUCCAUAAUGAAGAAGACACACGCGUGAGCAACUCCAAGAAAUUUUAAACUCACAUUAUGUUGCUCAUGUUUCAGAACUGUUUUGCAACAAUAAACUAAUCAGAUAUAAUAAAUCUCAUAUAUUUACAUUUUCAUGUAUUCAUAUUGUUAAUUGUAAUAUUCAUGUUUCACANNNNNNNNNNNNNNNNNNNNNNNNNNNNNNNNNNNNNNNNNNNNNNNNNNNNNNNNNNNNNNNNNNNNNNNNNNNNNNNNNNNNNNNNNNNNNNNNNNNNNNNNNNNNNNNNNNNNNNNNNNNNNNNNNNNNUUCAUGUUUCACAUAAGCAAGUAUCAUCUGAACAUAAUGAUAAUAAUUCCCGCAACAACGCGCGGGGAAUUGUCUAGUUCAUAUAUAUGUAUAGAGGCUCACCCCAAAAUAUUACAUGGGUUGAAAAGGUUUAGAUCAUCGAACCCUAAUUAAAAUCAAAUUUUAAGAAAAUGCACAGAUACUCAUCAAUUUAAAUUCAGGUAAUUUCACUUACUGGAAUCUCUUGAAAACGAGAUCUAUUUUUCACUUAGUGAGUCGUUGACCGUUUCCCGAUGACCUUAGAAUGUUAAAGAAAAUCAUGAAAUAAUAAUAAUAAUAAAUAUAUUUUUAAAACAUGAUUUUAAAAAUAGUUCAUAUAUUUCAAAACAAUUCACGUAUAUGAAAAAAUACANNNNNNNNNNNNNNNNNNNNNNNNNNNNNNNNNNNNNNNNNNNNNNNNNNNNNNNNNNNNNNNNNNNNNNNNNNNNNNNNNNNNNNNNNNNNNNNNNNNNUUGUUCAAUCUCGUUACAGGUAAGUCUCUUUACUCGUUCCAUAGCACGUCAUUGUAUGAAUAACUCCUUAGUCAUAUUGAGCUCAUGAUGAUGUUCUACGAGUGGGCCAGAGAUACCUCUCCGUCACACGGAGUGACAAAUCCCGAUCUCGAUUCGUACCAACCCAACAGACACUUUCAGAGGUACCCAUAGUGCACCUUUAUAAUCACCCAGUUACGUUGUNNNNNNNNNNNNNNNNNNNNNNNNNNNNNNNNNNNNNNNNNNNNNNNNNNNNNNNNNNNNNNNNNNNNNNNNNNNNNNNNNNNNNNNNNNNNNNNNNNNNNNNNNNNNNNNNNNNNNNNNNNNNNNNNNNNNNNNNNNNNNNNNNNNNNNNNNNNNNNNNNNNNNNNNNNNNNNNNNNNNNNNNNNNNNNNNNNNNNNNNNCUUGACAUUAGAAAAGCUUUAGCAUACGAACAAUACGAUCUAGUGCUAUGCUUAUGAUUGGGUCUUGUCCAUCACANNAUUCUCCCAAUGAUGUGAUCCCGUUAUCAAUGACAUCUAAUGCCCAUGAUCAGGAAACCAUGAUCAUCUGUUGACUAACGAGCUAGCCAACUAGAGGCUUGCUAGGGACACUUUGUGAUCUAUUUAUUCACACAUGUAUUACCGUUUCCUCUUAAUACAAUUAUAGAAUGAACUAUAGACGAUUAUCAUGAACAAAGAAAUAUGAUAAUAACCNNNNNNNNNNNNNNNNNNNNNNNNNNNNNNNNNNNNNNNNNNNNNNNNNNNNNNNNNNNNNNNNNNNNNNNNNNNNNNNNNNNNNNNNNNNNNNNNNNNNAGCUGUAAGAUGGAGGAGAACAGUUCUGUCAGUGAGCACAUACUCAAAAUGUCUGGGUUGCACUGUCGUCUGACUUCACUUGGAGUCGAACUUCCGUAUGAUGCUAUAAUUGACAGAAUCCUCCAGUCUCUCCCACCAAGCUACAAAGGCUUUGUGCUUAACUACAACAUGCAAGGGAUGGAGAAGACCAUUCCCGAGUUGUACUCGAUGCUCAAGUCUGCAGAAGUAGAAAUCAAGAAAGAGCAUCAAGUGUUGAUGGUCAACAAGACCACUAGUUUCAAGAAGGGCAAGGGUAAGAAGAACUUCAAGAAAGACGGCAAAGCUGUUGCCGCGCACGGUAAGCCAUAUGCCGUGAAGAAGAAAAAGAAUGGACCCAAGCCUGAGACUGAGUGCUUCUAUUGCAAGGGAAAAUGUCACUCGAAGCGGAACUGCCCCAAAUACUUAGCGGACAAGAAGGCCGACAACGUUAAAGGUAUAUGUGAUAUACAUGUUAUUGAUGUGUACCUUACCAGCGCUCGUAGUAGCUCCUGGGUAUUUGAUACCGGUGUUGUUGCUCACAUUUGCAACUCAAAGNNNNNNNNNNNNNNNNNNNNNNNNNNNNNNNNNNNNNNNNNNNNNNNNNNNNNNNNNNNNNNNNNNNNNNNNNNNNNNNNNNNNNNNNNNNNNNNNNNNNAUAUAACUUGGCUUGUAUAUUCCAAUGAUAGGCUUCCUCAAAAUUGCCUUAGGUCUUCGUGAGCAAGCAAGUUGGAUACACACCCACUAGUUUUCUUUAAGAGCUUUCACAUACUCGUAGCUCUAGUGCAUCAUUUGUAUGGCAAUCCCUACUCAUUCACAUUGAUAUCUAUUAAUGGGCAUCUCCAUAGCCUAUUGAUACGCCGAGUCAGUGUGACCAUCUCCUCCUUUUUGUCUCACAACCACCACCACACUCUAUUCCACCUAUAGUGCUAUAUCCAUGGCUCGCGCUCAUGUAUUGCGUGAUAGUUAUAAAAAGUUUGAGAAAGUAAGAGUGCGAAAACAAUUACUUGGCCAAUUGCGGGGUUGUGCAUGAUUUACAUUAGUUGUGUGAGGAUGAUGGAGCAUAGCUAGACUAUAUGAUUUUGUAGGGAUAACUUUCUUUGGCCUUGUUAUUUUGAAAGUUCAUGAUUACUUUGCUAGUUUGCUUGAAGUAUUACUGUUUUCAUGUCAAUAGCAAACUAUUGUUUUGAAUCUUACGGAUCUGAACNNNNNNNNNNNNNNNNNNNNNNNNNNNNNNNNNNNNNNNNNNNNNNNNNNNNNNNNNNNNNNNNNNNNNNNNNNNNNNNNNNNNNNNNNNNNNNNNNNNNCACUCCUACGGUAUCCGGGAGUUGCACAAUCUCACGGUCGAAGGAAAAGACACUUGACAUUAGAAAAGCUUUAGCAUACGAACAAUACGAUCUAGUGCUAUGCUUAGGAUUGGGUCUUGUCCAUCACAUCAUUCUCCCAAUGAUGUGAUCCCGUUAUCAAUGACAUCUAAUGCCCAUGAUCAGGAAACCAUGAUCAUCUAUUGACUAAUGACCUAGCCAACUAGAGGCUUGCUAGGGACACAUUGUGAUCUAUUUAUUCACACAUGUAUUAUUGUUUCCUGUUAAUACAAUUAUAGCAUGAACAAUAGAUGAUUAUCUUGAACAAGGAAAUCUGAUAAUAACCAUUUUAUUAUUGCCUCUAGGGCAUAUUUCCAACAGUCUCCCACUUGCACUAGAGUCAAUAAUCUAGUUACAUUGUGAUGUAUCGAACACCCAUAGCACUAUGGUGUUGAUCAUGUUUUGCUCGUGGAAGAGGUUUAGUCAACGGGUUUGCAACAUUCAGAUCCGUAUGUACUUUACAAAUCUCUAUUACUCCACUGUGGACAUGGUCUUGGAUGGAAUUGUAGUGGCGUUUGAUGUGCUUCGUCUUCCGGUGAAACCUGGGCUCCUUGGCUAUGGCAAUGGCCCUAGUGUUAUCACAGAAGAGCGUCAUUGGACCCGACGCGCCUGGAACCACUCCAAGGUCGGUGAUGAGCUCCUUCAUCCAAAUUCCUUCAUGAGCCGCUUCUGAAGCAGCUAUGUACUCCACUUCACAUGUAGAUGCUGCCACGACUUCUUGCUUGUUGUUGCACCAACUCACUGCCCCACUAUUCAAAACAUAUACGUAUCCGGUCUGUGACUUAGAGUCAUCCGGAUCUGUGUCGAAGCUAGCGUUGACGUAACCCUUUACGACGAGCUCUUCGUCACCUCCAUAAACGAGAAACAUUUCCUUAGUCCUCUUCAGGUACUUAAGGAUAUUCUUGACCGCUGUCCAGUGUUCCAUACCGGGAUCACUUUGGUACCUCCCUACCAAACUUAUGGCAAGGUUUAUAUCAGGUCUGGUACAUAGCAUGACAUACAUUAGAGAGCCUACGGCUGAAGCGUAGGGGACAUUACUCAUCUUCUCUCUAUCUGCUGCCGUGGUCGGUGACUGAGUCUUACUCAUUCUUAUACCUUGCAAAACUGGCAAGAACCCUUUCUUUGAGUUUUCCAUAUUGAACUUCUUCAAUAUCUUGUCAAGGUAUGUACUUUGCGAAAGACCUAUGAGGCGUAUCGAUCUAUCUCUAUAGAUCUUGAUGCCUAAUAUGUAUGCAGCUUCUCCAAGGUCCUUCAUUGAAAAACUCUUGUUCAAAUAGGCCUUUAUGCUCUCCAACAUCUCUAUAUUAUUCCCCAUCAAUAAUAUGUCAUCCACAUAGAGUAUGAGGAAAGCUACAGAGCUCCCACUCACUUUCUUGUACAGACAUGCUUCUCCGUAAACCUGUAUGAACCCAAACGCUUUAAUCACCUCAUUAAAGCAAAUGUUCCCACUCCGAGAUGCUUGCACCAGCCCAUAGAUGGAGGGCUGGAGCUUGCACACUUUGUUAGCACCCUUAGGGUCGACAAAACCUUCUGGUUGCAUCAUAUACAACUCUUCCUUAAGGUUCCCGUUCAGGAACGCUGUUUUGACGUCCAUUUGCCAAAUUUCAUAAUCAUAAAAGGAGGCAAUUGCUAACAUGAUUCAGACUGAUUUCAGCUUCGCUACGGGAGAGAAAGUCUCUUCGUAGUCAAUUCCUUGAAUUUGUCGAAAACCCUUUGCGACAAGUCGAGCUUUAUAAACGGUUACAUUACCGUUUGCAUUACUCUUCUUCUUGAAGAUCCAUUUAUUUUCUAUGGCUCGCCGGUCAUCGGGAAAGUCCACCAAAGUCCAUACUUUGUUCUCAUACAUGGAUCCUAUCUCGGAUUUCAUAGCUUCAAGCCAUUUGUUGGAAUCCGGGCCCGCCAUCGCUUCUUCAUAGUUCGAAGGUUCACCGUUGUCUAACAACAUGAUUUCCAUCACAGGGUUGCCAUACCACUCUGGUACGGAGCGUGCCCUUGUGGACCUUCGCGUUUCAGUAGUAACUUGAUCCGAAGCUUCAUGAUCAUUAUCAUUAACUUCCUCUUCAGUUGGUGCAGGCGCCAGAGGAACAAUUUCCCGCGCUGCGCUACUUUCCUGUUUGAGAGGGGGUGUAAUUACCUCAUCAAGUUCAACCUUCCUCCCACUUACUUCUUUCGAGAGAAACUCUUUCUCUAGAAAGGAUCUGUUCUUGGCAACAAAGGUUUUACCUUUGGAUCUAAGAUAGAAGGUAUACCCAAUAGUUUCCUUAGGGUAUCCUAUGAAUACGCAUUUCUCCGCUUUGGUUUCGAGCUUUUCUGGUUGAAGUUUCUUCACAUAAGCAUCGCAGCCCCAAACUUUAAGAAACGACAACUUAGGUUUCUUGCCAAACCAUAGUUCAUACGGUGUCGUCUCAACAGAUUUAGACGGUGCCCUAUUUAAAGUGAAUGCUGAGUUUCUAAUGCGUAUCCCCAAAAUGAUAGCGGUAAGUCGGUAAUAGACAUCAUAGGUCGCACCAUAUCUAAUAAAGUGCGAUUACGACGUUCAGACACUCCGUUGUGUUGCGGUGUGCGAGGCGGCGUCAGUUGUGAAACGAUUCCACACUUCCUUAGGUGUGUGCCAAACUCGUGACUCAAAUAUUCUCCUCCAUGAUCAGAUCGUAGACACUUAAUUUUUCUGUCACGUUGAUUCUCGACCUCACUCUGAAAUUCCUUGAACUUUUCAAAUGUCUCAGAUUUGUGCUUCAUUAAGUAGAUACACCCAUACCUACUCAAAUCAUCGGUGAGAGUGAGAACAUAACGAUAGCCACUGCGAGCUUCAACGUUCAUUGGACCACACACAUCAGUAUGUAUUAUUUCCAAUAAGUCGGUCGCUCUCUCCAUUAUUCCUGAGAAUGGAGUCUUAGUCAUCUUGCCCAUGAGGCACGGUUCGCAUGUGUCAAAUGAUUCAAAGUCAAGAGACUCUAAUAGUCCAUCAGUAUGGAGCUUCUUCAUGCGCUUAACACCGAUAUGACCAAGGCGGCAGUGCCACAAGUAUGUGGGACUAUCAUUGUAAACUUUGCAUCUUUUGGUAUUGACACUAUGAAUAUGUGUAACAUCACGAUCGAGAUUCAUCAAGAAUAAACCAUUCACCAGCGGAGCAUGACCAUAAAACAUAUCACUCAUAUAAAUAGAACAACCAUUAUUUUCUGACUUAAAUGAGUAGCCGUCUCGCAUUAAGCAAGACCCUGAUACAAUAUUCAUGCUCAAAGCUGGUACUAAAUAACAAUUAUUAAGAUUUAAAACUAAUCUCGACGGUAGAUGUAGAGGCAGCGUGCCGACGGCGAUCACAUCGACCUUGGAGCCAUUCCCGACACGCAUCAUCACCUCGUCCUUGGCCAGUCUCCGCUUAUUCCGCAGUUCCUGCUUUGAGUUGCAAAUGUGAGCAACAGCACCGGUAUCAAAUACCCAGGAGCUACUACGAGCGCUGGUAAGGUACACAUCAAUAACAUGUAUAUCACAUAUACCAUUAACGUUGCCGGCCUUCUUGUCCGCUAAGUAUUUGGGGCAAUUCCGCUUCCAGUGACCUUUUCCCUUGCAAUAGAAGCACUCAGUGUCAGGUUUGGGUCCAUUCUUUUUCUUCUUCCCGGCAUCUGGCUUACCGGGUGCGGCAAUGGCUUUGCCGUCUUUCCUGAAAUUCUUCUUAUCCUUGCCCUUCUUGAAACCAGUGGUCUUGUUGACCAUCAACACUUGAUGCUCUUUCUUUAUUUCUACUUCUGCAGACUUGAGCAUCGAGUACAACUCGUGAAUAGUCUUCUCCAUCCCUUGCAUGUUGUAGUUCAGCACAAAACCUUUGUAGCUUGGUGGGAGAGACUCGAGGAUUCUGUCAAUUAUAGCAUCAUCCGGAAGUUCGACUCCAAGUGAAGUCAGACGACCGUGUAACCCAGACAUUUUAAGUAUGUGCUCACUGACAGAACUGUUCUCCUCCAUCUUAUAGCUAAAGAACUUGUCGGAGACUUCAUAUCUCUCGACACGGUCAUGAGCUUGAAAAACUAGUUUCAGCUCUUGUAACAUCUCAUAUGCACCGUGUUGCUCAAAACGCCUUUGGAGCCCCAUUUCCAAACUAUAUAACAUGCCACACCUAACCAGAGAGUAGUCAUCACUCCGCGUUUGCCAGACGUUCAGAAUGUCCUGGGCUGCUGCGGGAGCGGGAGGGUCACCUAGCGGUGCAUCAAGGACAUAAGCCUUUUUAGCUGCUUCAAGGAUGAGCUUCAAGUUGCGAACCCAAUCCGCAUAGUUGCUACCAUCAUCUUUCAGCUUGUUUUUCUCUAGGAAUGCGUUGAAAUUGAGGUUGACGUUGGCCAUCUACAAUAUUUAUAAAUACAACUUUUAGACUAAGUUCAUGACAAUUAAGUUCAUUUAAUCAAAUUAAGUAUGAACUCUGACUUAAAUCGACAUCCCUCCAGUCAUCUAAGUGAUACAUGAUCCAUGUUGACUAAUCCGUGUCCGAUCAUCACGUGAGACAGACUAGUCAUCAUGGUGAGCAACUUCAUGCUGAUCGUAUUCAACCAUACGACUCAUGUUCAACCUUUCGGUCUCUUGUAUUCGAGGUCAUGUAUGUACAUGCUAAGCUCGUUGAGUCAACCUAGGUGUUUCGCGUGUGUAUAUCUGGCUUACACCCGUUGUAUGCGAACGUUAGAAUCUAUCACACCCGAUCAUCACGUGGUCCUUCGAGACAACGAUCCUUCGCAACGAUGCACACUUAGGGGAAUACGUUCUCGAAAUUUUAAGAGGGAUCAUCUUAUUAUACUACCGUUGUUCUAAGCAAUAAGAUGAAAAACAUGAUAAACAUCACAAUGCAAUCAUAUAGUGACAUGAUAUGGCCAUUAUCAUCUUUGCUCUUUCGAUCUCCAUCUUCAGGCAUCGUAUGAUCAUCAUUGUCACCGGCGUGACACCAUGAUCUCCAUCAUCGUGUCUCCAUGAAGUCGUCACGCCAACUACUACUAUCACUACUACUAUAGCUAACCGUUAGCAAUGAAGUAAAAGUAGUAAGCACAUGGCGUUGCAUCUCAUACAAUAAAUCAAGACAACUCCUAUGGCUCCUGUCGGUUGUCAUACUCAUCGACAUGCAAGUCGUGAAACCUAUUACAAUAACAUGAUCAUCUCAUACAUCAUACAUGCAACAUCACAACUUUGGCCAUAUCACAUCACAUGUCAAACCCUGCAAAAACAAGUUAGACAUCCUCUAAUUGUUGUUGCAAGUUUUACGUGGCUGAUUUGGGUUUCUAGCAAGAACGCUUUCUUACCUACGUGACAGCCACAACGAUGAUAUGCCAAAGCUAUUUACCCUUCAUAAGGACCCUUUUCAUCAAAUCCAAUCCGACUAGAGUGGGAGAGACAGACACCCGCUAGCCACCUUUAUGCACGGUGUGCAUGUCUGUCGGUGGAACCAGUCUCACGUAAGCGUACGUGUAAUGUCGGUCCAGGCCGCUUCAUCCCACAAUACCGACGGAAAAGAAUAAUACUAGUAGAGGCAAGCAAUUGACAAAUCAUUGCCCACAACCUUUUGUGUUCUACUCGUGCAUAGAAUCUACGCAUAGAAAACCUGGCUCGGAUGCCACUUUUGGGUAACGUAGCAUAAAUUCAAAAAACUUCCUACACAUAUUCAAAUCUUCCUAUGGAGAGACCAGCAACGAGAGAGGGGUGAGUGCAUCCUCAUAUCUUUGAAGAUCGCUAAGCGGAAGCGUUGCUAGAACGCGGUUGAUGGAGUCGUACUCGCGGCGAUUCAGAUCGCGGUGUGAUUCCGAUCUAGUGCCGAACCACGACACCUCCGUGUUCAACACACGUGCAGCCCGGUGACAUCUCCCGCACCUUGAUCCAGCAAGGAGGAGGGAGAGGUUGGGGAAGAUCUCCAGCAGCACGACGGCGUGGUGUCGAUGGAGAGACGAGGUCUCCCGGCAGGGCUUUGCCAAGCACCGUGGGAGAGGAGGAAGAAGGGGGGCAGGGCUGCGCCGAGGGAGAGUGAAAACUGUGUGUAAAACAGCCCCAAAACCCCCACUAUAUAUAGGAGGAGGGGAGGGGGGUGCCACCCCUAGGGUUCCCACCCUAGGUGGUGCGGCAGCCCCCCCAGAUGGGAGGUGCGGCGGCCACGGCAGGGGGAGGGGGUGGCGCACCCCUAGGUGGGCCUUAGGCCCACCAGCGCCUAGGGUUCCCCCCCCCCUCUCCACCUCCUGCGCCUUGGGCCUCCUUGUGGGAGGCGCACCAACCCACUUUGGGCUGGUUUCCCUCCCUCUUUUGGCCCAUGCUACCUCAUGGGGCUGGUGGCCCCUCCCGGUGGACCCCCGGGACCAUUUUCAGUGGUCCCGGUACAUUACCGGUGAUGCCCGAAACAUUUCCGGUGUUCAAAACCAUCCAUCCUAUAUACAAUCUUUACCUCCGGACCAUUCCGGAGCUCCUCGUGACGUCCGGGAUCUCAUCCGAGACUCCGAACAACUUUCGGUAACCUCGUAUAACAAUUCCCUAUAACCCUAGCGUCAUCGAACCUUAAGUGUGUAGACCCUACGGGUUCGGGAGACACGCAGACAUGACCGGGACAACUCUCCGGCCAAUAACCAUCAGCGGGGUAUGGAUACCCAUGGUGGCUCCCACUUGCUCCACGAUGAUCUCAUCGGAUGAACCACGAUGUCAAGGAUUCAAUCAAUCCCGUAUACAAUUCCCUUUGUCUGUCGGUAUAGAACUUGCCCAAGAUUCGAUCGUCGGUAUACCUAUACCUUGUUCAAUCUCGUUACCGAUAAGUCUCUUUACUCGUUCCGUAGCAUGUCAUCGUGUGACUAACCCCUUAGUCACAUUGAGCUCAUGAUGAUGUUCUACCGAGUGGGCCCAGAGAUACCUCUCCGUCACGCGGAGUGACAAAUCCCGAUCUCGAUUCGUACCAACCCAAGAGACACUUUCAGAGGUACCCGUAGUGCACCUUUAUAGUCACCCAGUUACGUUGUGACGUUUGAUACACCCAAAGCACUCCUACGGUAUCCGGGAGUUGCACAAUCUCACGGUCGAAGGAAAAGACACUUGACAUUAGAAAAGCUUUAGCAUACGAACAAUACGAUCUAGUGCUAUGCUUAGGAUUGGGUCUUGUCCAUCACACCAUUCUCCCAAUGAUGUGAUCCCGUUAUCAAUGACAUCUAAUGCCCAUGAUCAGGAAACCAUGAUCAUCUAUUGACUAACGAGCUAACCAACUAGAGGCUUGCUAGGGACACAUUGUGAUCUAUUUAUUCACACAUGUAUUACUCUUUCCUGUUAAUACAAUUAUAGCAUGAACUAAAGACGAUUAUCAUGAACAAGGAAAUAUGAUAAUAACCAUUUUACUAUUGCCUCUAGGGCAUAUUUCCAAGAAUACUCGCUUCUCACUCUCUCUCUUGUUCGUCUAGGCUUUGUACCUCUCCUCACUAUUGUAAAACCAUCUCAAGUUUAGGCGUUUAAAAUGAAAAUUCAGCUGCGGACCCCACACCCCCACCCCAAGAAUGAGGUUCCUUGUUUGAGUCUUGAUGUUGAAAUCAAAAAUAAACUUUGUCGAACGAAGAUUGUCGAUGGUAGAUUCCACGAUGAAUCCUUGGUGCCCCCACACUUUAUGUCCUCCACCACUUCGAGACAUUUGAAGCACCAAGAUUGUCGACAAAUCAAGGUCAAGUGCAAGGGACAAGGUGUUGUCGCAUGCAUGAACUUAGAACUUGCAGGACCAGCUAGGUGUCAUGGACAAUGAGUGAAGCACCAAGGUUUAAACAUGUUCUAUCUUUGCAAACAAUUGUUAUAACACCUCGAUUGCUAUUGUGAGAGAAGCCCCCAUCAACGUUGAUCUUAGCCUAAUUACAUUCACGUGCCAGCCAACACGUGUUUCAUCUCCACUCUCUAGGUCUAUAUCAGUUCAUAUUGCACGUCUUGUGAGCAAAAUACAUCGUUGCGUCAUCCAAGAUUUUGUUAAUGAAGCUCACCGUGGAAAUAAGACUAUGGUAUUCAUCAUAAUGAAUCGCCUUUCCACUCCCACAAUAUGGCUCACGGCGUCACAAGAACUCGAGCUAGGUCAGGUUGAUUCAAGAUCUCACAUAACCAGAACGACGAGUACCGAACAUCAAAUGAUCGCUUCAUGAUCAUAUGCUUUGUCAAGUCUUCAUCUAGGAGAGUCCACACACAACAAAACAUGUGGCAAUCAAUGAGCGAGUGUCUCCAGGAAUCAUCGACGACUUUACAUAUAUGCCAUUUCUUAUAGGGGAGCAAUAUCCAUGUUUUGACAAAUACCGCUCGUAUGGAGUAACAUUCGUACCAAUCUUCAUGGAAAAACCAUAACCUUAAACUACACAUAUACCUUCCAAAGGCUAGCUCAUGACUUCUGCUCAGCCAAGACAUUUGAGUGCCUUGUACACUUCUCCAAACAAUCUUCAUGAUGCUUCUUGACUACCAUUAGCAUCAUGUUAUCGAUCAAACGCCUUAAAACCCGCUUGCACUCUCGUUCUAAGCAAAACAUUUAAGAUCACCUCUUUGCUCAUAUAAUAGAGGUGCUCCUAAAUUAUUGUUUGUUCUAAGCGCCAUUACUCGUACCAAUUGACUUAGUAAUCUCACUUGGUGGAUUUUAUAAACCAUAUAGUUUUUAUAUUAAUGGCUUAUUGUUAUCCAUGAGCUUCGUAUGUGCUAAUAUAUAAUUUUGGUGCUAAUCUCUACUCCCUUUGUUCAGGUUGGGUAGUUUAGUUUAGCCAACGUGGCGUAACCAAAGCAGAGAGGCCAAAUUUUGACUUUGGCAAGGUCUAAAGUGAGCAGUUCCCCUAAUUUGAUACUAAUUUUUAGUGGUUUCCUGCUCACCGCCCCCUAAAUCGUUGAUUCGAUCAUGUAACUGUCCCGUUCUUAAUACUAUGGGCUCACAUGAAGAAGAUAACUAAUUGCACACAUAAAACGAAACUUGAGUGGAAGAUAAUCAUGGAGUAAUGAGCACACUAAACUCAUUUGGCCCUACAUCACCGAAAUUUAUGAGCAACGUUAGCGGUCCUACACACCCGAACAACUAGAAUAUUCCCUCCAGUUAUGUUUAUAAGCCGGGCAUGAAUUUUUAGAUCUUUUGACUAAAAAAUAUGUGUAAUAUCUCACAAAAAUAUAUGUUCAGAAAACUUCAUUCAAUGACGAAUAUAAAGAUACUUCUUGUGGCAUAUAACACAUGUUUCACUAGUAAUUUUGAAGAUCUGAAAACCCAUAUCCGACUUACAAACCCAUAUCCGACUUACAAACCCAAUCAGAAAAAUAUAUGUUAUGUAUCAAUAGUGUGCACUUUUUUUUAACACAACACUGGAGGUUCUUGAUUCGUUAAAAAGGAGAAGUUAGUUGCCGCCGGGCAAAGCACGGUCGGCGUCGGCGACGACGGGACCUCUCCUCUCCUUUCCGUCGACGGCAGGCGGCGGCGCCGCGCCGGCGAGGACUUAGAGCAUCUCCAACGGCAGCGCAAAAAAUCUGUGUCCAAUAAAUUUUUUAACGCGCCACUGUAGCAGUUUUGAAGCGCGGGGACCGGAGCAUCUCCAACAAAAACGCGCUAGUGCGGUGCCCAAUCCAGUCCGAUCCAGCGGUCCCAUCUGCAGCCGCUCAGAGUUUGCUGCGCGCGCAAGCCGGCGCACCAAAUAUGCUGCGCGUGAUAGCGUUUUUGAGCGCAUGCCCAAAAGUUUUUAGCGCGCGCAGUGUUUUGCGGCUUCUGCUGGAGCAGUCCGACGCCCAAAAAACGAAUCUUUUAGCGCGCGGAGCAGUUUUUGGGCGCUUGUUGGAGAUGCUCUUAGGAGGAGAUGGCAGUAGCUUCAUACCACGCGCUCAUGACUCCCCCCGGUGGUCGCAUGGGGGGCCUCUCGGGGCGCUCGCGUGGUGGCUGGUGGUCGAUCUGUUCCAAAUAUGGCCGCAUGCGCCUCGGGUGGUGCGGGGCUACCCUCAAAUGGUUGGUGCAUCGCGGUGGACAUGGACGGCGGCAGCGUGACCAGAUUGGUCUGCAGUGGCACGGCCGGAUGUGGGCCCAGGUGUGGGCCUUGGUCCCUGGAUUGUGGUCAGUGCGGUGGCAGGUCGGACACGUCGACAGCUCGGCAGAUCCGUCGAGAUUAUACCCUUGUCUGGUCCAUGACAGCGCGGGCAACUCCGGGGGAUACCCUAGACCUCCUUAGGGGUCGAGCGAUGGCGGUGCUUCUGCGUCAUAAUUCCUCUUGAGGGCAUCGCUUUGGAGUUUGCUCCGGUUGAAGGGACCAACGAUGCCGGCGACGCACGACUGGUGGCGCAACUGCCGAUGAAAAUCGUGCCAACUACGAUCAUGGGGGACGAGAGCGGUGUCUUUGAUGCCGUUCCCUUGUCGAGAGAUUGUCGUUGCAGUUUGCGUCAUCAGGCUCGGGAUACUCCGAGGGAAACUCUAGAUUUGGGUCUCCCGGAUCGGACGAUGAUGACGUUUGCAGUAUCACUUUUCAUCGUGGGGGCAUAGUUUUGGAACAAGUGAUGACUUGAGGGACAAGAGGAGGAGCGGUGUUGCAUCUACUGCAGGGCUGACGGCGGAUCACGGCGGCAUGGCGUUGCGGAGUUUCGGCGAUGAGCGCGUGUGGAUGGACACGUGCAGGAUGGUGGCGUUGUCUGGCGCCAUGAUGGCAUCGACGACAGGCUAGGCAAGGUCAAUGCUUCAGUUCCUGCUCUGGAGAUGGACCGGUGGAAGAUGGCACGGAGAGAGUGCGUCGGACCUAUGUUGGACUUAUUCCCGCUAUGUGGCUGGGCUAGGGCAUCCGGCUAUAGUUGUUAGUAUUAUGUGCGAUGUUUGUUUUGUAUUAGGUCCGGAUAUUCGGCACACUUUCAUCAAGAGGAUAAGAGUAGCAACAGGUAUUGCGACGGCUUCGUAUUACCUUGUAUGAUCCUUGUGGAUAAUUUAUAAAAUGAUUGCAUGUACGGUUGGGUAUAUCUUACUUUUUUUUUUUAAAAAGUUCAAAUUAGCACAUAUCUUAUUUGCCAGACCAUUGACAAUGCUAUCAUCCAAAUUAAUAUCACCAUCUCAUGAAAAAAUAAAAGAGAAAUUUAUAUUAAAAAAAGACACAUCACAGCGCCGCGAUUUCGCUCGCCGGUGGCGACCAAGCGAUGGCGAUGGGGCUCGUCACCUUGUGCUUGCCGUCGCUCCACACGAUCGACCCGAACGUGUACUCCUUGAUGCUCCCCGCAGCUCGGAUAGCGAAGGUGACCUGGUACUCCUGUGUCUUGUGCGUCUUGCUGAACCGCAGCUUCCGCGGCUUCACGGUGAUGCGCAUGCCGGCGGGGCUGGUGACCGUGGCUCGGUACGUGGCCACCACAUCGCUGCCGACGUUGCGCACGACGCGGCGCUGCGUGAUGGUCCCGUUGCGCGAGGUGAGCACCGCCACGAAGGCCGGGUAGUUGUGGUCUCCCACAUAGGCGGAGCCCGGGGCCGCCGAGCAGUUGGUCGACGAGCCGUCUCUCGUGAAGACGGCGACUUCGUCGGCGGUGUAGCCGAGCGCGCACAGGAAGGCGACGUAGUCGUCCGUGCCGGCGUCGUACACGAGACCCGGGUCAAGGGCGCGGUCGGGGUCCACGUGGCCUGCCCCGCGCGCGAACGGCGUGGACGCCUUGCCCGUGGCCAUGUCUCCGAUGACGUUGCCGGCGCUGUCGACGUUGUACGCGGUGGUCAUCAGGGCGGACUUGAUCGCGGCGGGGCUCCACCCCGGCCUCGCCUGCCGGAGCAUUGCGGCGAUGCCGCUCACGUGUGGGCACGCCAUGGACGUGCCCGACAGGACAUUGUAGUGCACUCGCCUCCUGUCGCUGUCGAGGCCCGAAGGUGAGGCGGCGCCGGUCCAGGCGGCGAGGAUCUCCACGCCGGGUGCCGUGACGUCCGGCUUGAGGAUCUCCGGCGCAUGGAGGUUCGGCCCGCGGCUCGAGAAGGGCGCCAUUCUUGGGGAAGAUGGCGUCGGGCCGAUGACCGUGCCGUGGAACACGAUCGUCGCGGCUGGGGAUGUAGUCUUGUUCAUGUACGUUUUAAUCCUUUUCGCAGCGGCGAACGUGACGGUUGUGGCAGGGAAGGUGUGGGGGCUGCCGACAGCCAGCUCACCGAAUUGUUUGGUGCUCGUGAGGAUUGCUCCGACGCCGCCGGCGAGCUUGACGGCCUCUCCUUGCGCAGCAUUCAGGACUGCAGGGCCGCACAAAACGAUCUUCCCGGCCACCAAGCUGGCGUUCAUCUUCCCAGCUUCGCAGGUUUUCGAGCCGACGGCUCGGCCGUCCACGAGCGGUAUCGCGGUAGGGCCAAGCGGGGGGCCGGCGUAGAGCGAAGCGCCAGAAAAGGUAUCGCCGUUGCCGAGGACGACGUCCGCCGGGAACCGGCGGUUGAUGGUGGACGCGCCGACGGUCAAGAACCACGGCGCGAUGUUGUUGGCGGUGGACUCGACGGGGCCGGAGUUUCCCGCGGCGGCAGAGACUAUGAUGCCCUUGCGGACGGCGCUGAAGGCACCCACGGCGGUGGAGUCCAUAUAAAACGGCUCCGCGUAGCCGGAGGAGCCGAGCGAAGCGGAGAUGACAUCGACCCCGUCGGCGAUGGCCUCGUCAAACGCCGCGAGGAUGUCGGAGCUCGGGCACCCGUAUUUCCAGCACACUUUAUAGGAGGCGAUGCGCGCGCCCGGGGCCAUGCCGACGGCGUUCCCUCUGGCGUAGCCGUAGAAAGCCGCGUCCGGAACGGCAGAGCCGGCGGCGGUGGAGGCGGUGUGCGUGCCAUGGCCGACGGUGUCGAGCGGCGACUUGGACUCCUCCGUCUCGUUGAUCGGGCCUCCCAGGUUAACCUCGUACCCCUUGUAGAAGACCUUGGCGCCGACGAGCUUGCCGUUGCAGUAGGCGGAGGCGUUGAACGACGGAGUGGAGACGCAGGCACCGCGGAACUUGCCGGGCGGCGGCGGCAGCGAUGGGUCCGCCGCGAACGCCGCGCGGUCGAUGGGGUACACGCCGGUGUCGAGGACGCCAAUGACGACGUCCGAGGCGCCGUUGGACGCCGGCAGCAAGCCGGAAGACGCGGACAGGCCGAGGAAGGAUGGCGUCAGCGUGGUGUGCAGCUGCUGCAUCACGUCGGGCACGACGGCGAGCACGGAGCGCUGGGACGUGAGGUGCGCGGCCUGGCGCCCCGUGAGGCGCGCCGCGAAGCCCGUCGCGGCGUGGGAGUAGGAGUAGAGCACCCGCGGCGCCGGGAGCGACAUGUCCACGGGUACGUGGUCACGCAGGAAUGAGGCGUACGCCCGGGUACUGAGCAGGCCACGGCGCGGCAGCGGCGGCGCGUGCGCGUGGGCGACAUGCACGAUGUAAGCGGACGGCUCCUCCUCCUUUUCCCUGGCUGCCGACGCCGCGGCGGUGACAACGACGGCGAGCAGGACGCACAGGAGCACGAAUGGUCUGGCCAUCAUCGUUGCGGCGGCGGUGCUGUGCACUACCUCUACGGUGAUCGGAGUCGCGAAUAAGUAGGCGGCCAAGCUCUAACUUCAUAUCCGUCAGAGUUGGCUGGAUGAGUAAAGGCGUCAGGUUCAUCUUCGAUUGAGUUCAUCGAUCGUCGUGGAGGGGCCAACGAUCACGUGAGAUGUUAACCGGAUCCAGCGAAAUUGCUUAAUUGUGGGUUAUCUGGAAUCAGCAUUCAUUCAUGUUUUUUUUAAAGAUCUAGCUAAAGACUGGCUUGGAUUGAUUGAUAGUAGAGAGCAAGCCGGAAUAUAAAAGGUGGUUCUCCAUCAGGAGAUCAUGAAGGUAAAGAAAAGAAUAGAAAUAAACAACAACAUGGCUAAAACACUAUCUCACGAAGGGUCCCAAAAGAAUGCUCUAAAAAUGUUGCUCCCGCUUAAAACUCAAGAGUUCUUUUAAUGACCGUGUUGAUGCUUGUCAGCGCUGCUAUCUUGUUUGUAAAAGUACAUUCGUUUCUCUACUUCCAAAGCUCACAAAGAAUCAGGAUGCUUAUGAUUUUGAUGGCCUUCUUGUGUUCAGGUCUUGCUUCACUGAUCAUUUCAGCUAUGAUGGCCGCCGGCAUGGUCUUGUUUUGUCACUUGCUUGGGUGGAGCGAGCUGCAACCAUUGUCGGCCGCCACGACAGUCCACACUACAAUUGACAUCGGACACUGUGAGAACAAAUGUACAAAGGAUUCCAAGUUUCGGACGCACAACUGGCAAAAGUAUAUGUUUGGCCAUCCCCUUCUUUUGCAGACGGUCGUUGCACCAUAAUCCGUUCUUGAGAAGCAACCAUUUGGAAAACUUCAGCCGAGGAGGUGCCCAAGUGGGCCUUGUAUGCAGAGCUGGUAGUGUACAUUCCCGAUGUCUCGUGUGUUCACUUGAUGGUGUCUCUUGCUUGGUCUUGCAGCUGCUUGUUUUAAUCAACCUAUGCAGCUUGAUCGUCUCAGCCCAAAGGUGUUGGGUGUCCCCGUGCGCUAGAUCUUUUACCCAAGUAUUGUUUGUCCAGGCUUCUUUUACCGAUCUUUUCUUUCUUCUAGAGUGCCUAAAAAGCGUGGGGAAAGCCGUCUUCAGGUUGUCCGAGGUGGUCCACGAGGAGUGCCAAAAGGAGGUCGUUUCACCAUUGCCCGGUGUGACCGAGGUCGAGGCGCUGAACAAGGUCAUGUCGCCAUCGUCGCAACGCCAUUCCAUGGCCUGUCCAGGCUUGUCCAGGACAGCCAGAGCCAACGUAGCCGGAGUGCUCUACUGAAACGAUUCAUGUCCAAUAUUCCUAGUUCUCCAUUUUCAACUGGAGAGCAGACCACAUGCCAGCUCACUUUGCACUUUCCUCCAUUGAGUUCCUCUUCUUGUGCCCAUAGAAACCAUUGUCGAACCUUGUCCACUUCAGCAAGAAAUUUCUUCGGCGCUCGGAGCACAGACAAGGCAAAGGUCGGCAGCGCACUUAGCACGCUUCGGAUCAAAACCCGUCUGCUAGCGAUAGACAUGAGUUUGCCCUUCCAUCCCGCAAGUCUUGCUCUGAUCCGAUCCAGUAUGAACUGGAUGUGGACGAGGCGCAAUCCGGAGAGGGUUAGUGGGAGGCCCAGGUAUUUUAGGGGAAAACCCACUGUCGCCCCACCAAAACUAAGCAGAACAUCCUGCAAGUUGAUCUCCUCGAAGCGGAUAGCGGUGACAGCUGUUUUUGAGGGGUUCACUUGCAAUCCUAUUGUGAGUUCAAAAUCGUGGAGGAUGUCGAGCAGGGUACUGACCUCCGCUCUAUCAGGGUUGGCGAAGAUUACAUCGUCAUCAGCAUAUAGUCUAACUCGGAGGGAGAUGUCUUUGCCAGGUAGGGGCGAGCAGGGCUAACUAUGUCGCUUGCUGCACCAGCCUCUGGAGAGGGUCGAUGGCGAUGAUGUAGAGGAGGGACAAAAGCGGGUCUCCCUAUCGCAGGCCCUUACGGUGGCAAAUUUGUUGUCCUACAGUCUCAUUAAGUAGGAAAGAUGACAAUGUCGUGCCGAGAAGCAUCGAUCCAAUCAUGCCGGCGUGCCUGGAAGCCAAGAACUUGAAGCAGCUCCAGCAGAUAUUCCCAAGAGACAUCGUCAAAAGCUUGGGCGAUGUCUAACUUAAACAGUAGGGCCGGUGUCUUUUUUUGAUGGGGAGAUCUGACAACAUUCUUUACAUAUAUGAAACUGUCUUGCGUGCACCUACAUCGUAAGAAGGCCGAUUGCGCAGGCGAGAUGAUGUUGUGGAUCACUGGAGUUAGCCGCAUGGAGAGCACCUUGGCUACCAGUUUUGCAAUUGAAUGUAUCGGGCUAAUUGUCCUGAAGUCUUGGACCUUUGUUGCCCCAUCUUUUUUGGGGUAUCAUAGCCACCAUGGCAGCGUUCAGAUUGUUGAAGUCGCCUCCUGUCAUGUGGUAGAAUUUGUUGAAAACUUGCAGGACAUCGGUCUUGAUCAACGGCCAACAAACUCUGAAAAAGUGUUAGUGAAGACGUCAGGGCCACGGGCCUUCUCCGACGGAGAAGCCUUGAUCGCCUCCCAGAUUUCAUCUUCAGAGAAAGGGUUGUCAAGGCCUCCUCCUUGAACCGUGGGCAUAUCCAGGAGUCACCAGUCGAUGUCGAGUGGUCGAGCAGCCUUGGAACCUAGACUAUCGUUGAAAUGUUGAUAGAUGGCUACCUCUUUUUCUUCGUGCGCUCUGGCGGUCGCAUCACUCACCUAAAGGUUGUUGUACGUAGUUCUUUCGCAUGCACGAUCUCAUCUUUGCAUGGAAGGAUUUUGUUCCGGCAUCUCCUACUCGGAGCCACAUGAGGCGAGAAGCUUGGCCCCUGCAGGCAUGCUCAACCGCUGCAAGCCCAGAAUGCAAAGCUUUAGCAGCUUCGUGAGGUUGUAUUCUGUAUUUGUCAGCCGACGGGUUUCCUGUGCUACAUCUAGGCGUAGCACAAUUGCAGCUGCUAUAUGAAGUUGGAGCUUUGCAUUGCUGAAGAUGGAUUUGCUCCAAAUUUUCAGGUCCUGCGCCAUGCACGUCAUCUUUGUAUGAAGGGGCUGAAAGGUGCACGUCGACUGCACAUGUACGUUACACGCAUUCGCCACUGUGUCGUGGAAGCGAGGGAAGCAAAGCCAGAAGCUCUCGAGCUUGAAGAGCACACCGCGAGGUGGGGCACUAGUGUCGGCAAGGACCAACGUGCAGUGAUCAGACGUAGCCGUGAAGGCCGCCAUCAGCGAGAAAGAAGGCAAGAGGGAUACCCCAGGCUUGGUUGCACAAGAAUUUAUCUAUGCUGACAAGGGUGGGAUCUUGGCGUUCAUUGCUCCAAGUGUAGCGAUGAUUUUUGCAUUUAAUCUCCUUCAGGCCAGCCGCGCCGAUAACUAAUCUAAACCUACCCAUAAGUCUACGGUUUAGGUUUAGGUUGUUCUUAUCAUGCACCUCGUAAGUGAGGUUGAAAUUCCCAUUGAUUAACCACGGCUCGGAGGAAGGCGGAUCCGUGUGAGACAGUUCCAGAAGGAAAUUUUCCUUUCUAGCAUCGGAAGCAGGCCCAUAAAUAGAGGAGAGCCACAAGCUUUGGGACUGGCCUAGCAGGGUGACCUUUGCCGUGAUUGUGAAAACAUCGACAACAUGGGAAGCAGCAGUUGCAAGUUUUCUGUACCAGAGGAUCGCCACCCGCCACUGGCGCCAAUCGCCAGCAGGGAAAUGCAGUCAGUCACGGAUGCGCCCCCAAUCUCCCAUACAAGGCUAGGAGACCAGGCGUCGAUUUUUGUCUCGCGCAGGCACAAGAUAGCUACUCGAUGAGUCUUGGCGAUCUCGUAGACUGAGGCUCGUUUCGUAGGGUGGUUGAGGCCACACACGUUCCAACACAUGAUCGGAAGAAGUUUGUCAUUCAUGGGGGAAACAAGGGUAGCUCUGGUAACUGAAAUUACUAAUUCGCAUCGGGCCCAGGAGAUACACCUCCAUCUGAACAGGGGCACGCCUGCGUCCACCAAUAGGCCCCAAGACACGUCGACGCCUAACUAAACACCUCCUACUACUACACAAUGGAAACAAACCUAACUCGGACCAAUUCAUCGUCGGUCGCUACCGGAGGGGAAAGCUAUUAGUAACUAACAUGACUAAACUAUUGCCUUGUUGGCAGAUCCAUCACGCCCGACCAUGCGUGUCGCGACCCACCUCGUUCUAGAGGCGCGUGAUCUUGGCGGUGACCGCAAUGUCACUAUCAGUCAGCGGCCCGUCAAAACGGCGCAGGAGAGCUUCAGCUACCUCAAUUGUCAUCUUCUCCUUUGGCCCGAGAAGCCCUAGCUCCUUGACGAUGCGAAGGGACGCGGUGACCAGCAUGAAUGAAUGAAUGUCGGCAUUCAUUCAUGUAGCCCCCUGUCUCAACCACACAAUUUUAUGCUUGUGAAAUAGUAACAACACGUGCUCGGUCGGACUUCCGUGGAAGAGAAAUCUUUAGGGAUUUGUCAUGUAUCUAAAACUUAUUUUCAAUUUUUGAGGUAUCAAAAACAUUUCUAGCCUUUUUUUCCUUAACGACACUUUUUGGCCACUUGCUAUUCAUUAUUGUUUGGGAAACACUUACCAUGAGUCGGCCGAUCGCGUACGAGUGUUCGUCGCCUCCGUGUGCAUUAGAUUGACUCUUGAUUAGAGAGUCGUUCCUCCAUGUCCGUGUUUCCACAACUGAAGAUUUGUUUUAGAAAAAAAGAGUGUGCAUCUGUGUCGCGAGGAUUCCAGCCAAAUCUCGCCGAAUCCGGCGAGUAUGGCACGUGGGCAAGAGGCAGGUGUUGGAAAUAUGCCCUAGAGGCAAUAAUAAAUUGGUUAUUAUUAUAUUUUUUUGUUCAUGAUAAUCGUUUAUUAUCCAUGCUUUAAUUGUAGUGAUUGGAAACACAAUACUUGUGUGGAUACAUAGACAAAACACUGUCCCUAGUAAGCCUCUAGUUGACUAGCUUGUUGAUCAAAGAUGGUCAUGGUUUCCUGACCAUAGGCAAGUGUUGUCACUUGAUAACAGGAUCACAUCAUUAGGAGAAUCAUGUGAUGGACUAGCUAGACCCAAACUAAUGAACGUGGCAUGUUGAUUGUGUCAUGUUGUUGCUACUGUUUUUCUGCGUGUCAAGUAUUUAUUCCUAUGACCAUGAGAUCAUAUAACUCACUCACAUCGGAGGAAUGCCUUGUGUGUAUCAAACGUCACAACGUAACUAGGUGACUAUAAAGAUGCUCUAUAGGUAUCUCCGAAGGUGACCGUUGAGUUAGUAUGGAUCAAGAUUGGGAUUUGUCACUCCGUGUGACGGAGAGGUAUCUCGGGGCCCACCCUGGGGAAGCCCAUAGGCCUUAGGGGUGCCGCACCAGCCCUUAGUGACCUGGUGGGAAAGCCCAAAGAGGCCCAUGCGCAGGAGAUAAGAAAAUCAAAGAGAAAAGAAAAAAAGGGGAAGUGGGAAGGAAGGGAAGGACUCCACCAUCCAAUCCUAGUUGGACUAGGAUUGGAAGAGGAAUCCUCCUCCCCCUUCGGCCAAACCCCUUGGGGCUCCUUGAGCCCCAAGGCAAGGCCCCUCCCACCUAUAUAUACGGAGGUUUUAGGGCUGAUUUGACACAACUUUUCCAACUCCACGGUUUUUCCUUUAGAUCACGUUUCUGCGGAGCUCGGGCGGAGCCCUGCUGACAUUAGAUCACCACCAACCUCCGGAGCACCGUCACGCUGCCGGAGAACUCAUCUACCUCUCCGUCUCUCUUUCUGGAUCAAGAAGGGCCGAGAUCAUCGUCGAGCUGUACGUGUGCUGAACGCGGAGGUGUCGUCCGUUCGGCACUAGAUCGGAGCGGAUCGUGGGACGGAUCGCGGGACGGUUCGCGGGGCGGAUCGAGGGAUGUGAGGACUGCUACUGCAACAAAAGACCUUCCAAUGGCACCAGAAAUAGGCAUGUCGAUGGGAGAAUACUUGGCUUGAUCCUUCUGCUGCAGCUACGCCUUAAGGAACUUCCUAGGCAAGUAUGCAAAGGAUUUCCCUCGUGGACUUGGAGCGUUGCGUUGGUGUUCCCUCGAAGCGGAAAGGGUGAUGUAGCGUAGCGGUGGUAAGUAUUUCCCUCAGUUUGAGAACCAAGGUAUCAAUCCAGUGGAGGAGUAUCUCAAGAUCCUGCACAAACACAAAAUCUUGCUCCCAACGCUAUGAAGGGGUUGUCAAUCCCUUAUAGAUUGUUUGCCAACUGAGAACUGAAAGCAACAAAGUAACAAAGCAAAGUAAAAGCGGAGGUGUAAAUGAUGGAUGUGAAUAGACCCGGGGGCCGUAGUGUUUACUAGUGGCUUCUCUCAUGAAAGCAAGUAGACGGUGGGUGAACAAAUUACUGUCGAGCAAUUGAUAGAACCGCGCAAAGUCGUGACGAUAUCUAUGCAAUGAUUAUAUCUAUAGGCAUCACAUCCAAAACAAGUAGACCGAUACUUCUGCAUCUACUACUAUUACUCCACACGUCGACCGCUAUCCAGCAUGCAUCUAGUGUAUUAAGUCCAUAAGAACAGAGUAACGCCUUAAGCAAGAUGACAUGAUGUUGAGGGAUAAUCUCAAACCAAUGAUAAAAAACCCCAUCUUUUUACCCUUGAUGGCAACUACUUCCUGUGUGCCUUGCUGCCCCUACUGUCACUGGGAAAGGUCACCACAUGGUAGAACCCAAAACCAAGCACUUCUCCCAUUGCAAGAAUCAUAGAUCUAGUUGGCCAAACAAAACCCAAGACUCGGAGAGACUUACAAGGAUAUCAAAUCGUGCAUAUAAGAAAUCAGCAAAGACUCAAAUAUAUAUCAAAGAUAAUCUGAUCACAAAUCCACAAUUCAUCGGAUCUCGACAAACACACCGCCAAAGAAGAUUACAUCGGAUAGAUCUCCAUGAAGAUCAUGGAGAACUUUGUAUUGAAGAUCCAACAGAGAGAGAAGAAGCCAUCUAGCUACUAACUACGGACCCGUAGGUCUGAAGUGAACUACUCACGAGUCAUUGGAGGGGCGAUGAUGAUGAUGAAGAAGCCCUCCAACUCCAAAGUCCCCUCCGGCAGUGCGCCGGAAAGGGUCUUCAGAUGAGAUCUCGCGGAAACGGAAGCUUGCGGCGGCGGAAAAGUUUUUUUGAGGCUCCCCUGAUUUUUGCUGAAUAUUUGGGAAUAUAUAGGCCAAGGAUUUAGGUCAAGGGGGGCAGGGAGGCCACAAGCCCUGACACCGCCGCCUCCCCCUGGUGGCAGGGUGGGAGCUUGUGGGCUCCCUGGAGCCCACCUGGCUUGGCCUAGAGGCCCCCUGAUCUUCUUUCGUUCGGGAAAAAAUCAUUUUGGGGUUUUUAUUCCGUUUGGACUCCGUUCCAAAAUCAGAUCUGAAAAGAGUCAAAAACACAGAAAAAACAGGAACUCGCACUUGGCACUGAAUUAAUAAGUUAGUCCCAAAAAAAUAUAAAAGGUACAUAAAACAUCCAAAGAAGACAAGAUAACAACAUGAAACCAUAAAAAAUUAUAGAUACAUUUGAGACGUAUCAAGCAUCCCCAAGCUUAACUCCUACUCGUCCUCGAGUAGGGAAGUGAUAAAGAAUGAAUUUUUGAUGCUUUCAUGCUACCUAGCAUAGAUGUCCUUUGUAAUUCCUCUUAUGUGACGUGAAUGUUCAGAUCCAUUAGAUUCAAAAUAAUAGUUUGAUAUUGACGUGGAAACAAUAAUAAUUCAAGCAAACUAGCAAGGUAAUCAUGAACUUUCAAAAUAACAAGGCCAAAAGAAAGUUAUCCCUACAAAAGCAUAUAGUGUGGCUAUGCUCUAUCAUCAUUGCACAACAAAUUUAAAUCAUGCACAACCCCGGUAUUGGCCAAGUAAUUGUUUCACACCUUUACUUUCUCAAACCUUUUCAACUCUCACGCAAUACAUGAGCGUGAGCCAUGGUUAUAGCACUAUAGAUGGUGUGGAAUGUGGUGGAGGUUGCAAGACAAAAAAGGAGAAGAUAGUCACAUUAACUAGGCAUAUCAAUGAGCUGUGGAGAUGCUCAUCAAUAGAUAUCAAUGUGAAUGAGUAGGGAUUGCCAUACAAAUGAUGCACUAGAGCUACGAGUAUGUGAAAGCUCUUAAAGAAAACUAGUGGGUGUGUAUCCAACUUGCUUGCUCACGAAGACCUAAGGCAAUUUUGAGGAAGCCUAUCAUUGGAAUAUACAAGCCAAGUUAUAUUAUGAAAGAUUCCCACUAGCUAUAUGGUGGUGACAAAACGAGAGACUCUCAAUCAUGAAGAUCAUGGUGCUUAAUAUGCACAAGUAUGGAAAAAGUGGUAGCAUUGUCCCUUCUCUCUUCUUCUCUCUAUUUUUUUGGUGGGCUCUUUGGCCUCUUUUUUUGUGGGAUUCUUUGGCCUCCUUUAUUUCCUCACAUGGGACAAUGCUCCAUUAAUGAUGAUCAUCACACUUUCAACUCAAAACUUAGAGUAACGAUGACUCUAUAUGGAAUGCCUUCGGUAGUGUACCGUGGCAAUGAUCUAGCAUGGCAUAGACAUCAAUGGAAACCUUAUGCUAGCUAUCUUACGACCAUGCAAUGGCAAUGUAGACGUGGUGGCACAUGUCAUAGUGGUAAUUGCAUGGCAAUAUAUCUCGGAAUGACUUUGAAAAAGCCAUAGUAGGUAGGUAUGGUGGCUGUUUUGAGGCAGGCUAAUGGUGGGUUUUGUGCACCGGCGAAAGUUGCACGACACUAAGAAGAUAGUGAUGGUGGUAGGUGAAAGUGCAUCUAAACCAUGGACUCAACAGUAGUCAUGAAGAACUCAUAUACUUGUUGCAAAAGUUUCAUUAGUAAUCGAAACAAAGCAUUCAACGCAUACUCCUAGGGGAAGGGUUGGUAGGUAUAAACCAUCGCGUGAUCCCGACCGCCACGCAAAGGAUGACAAUCAAUAUAAUAAUCAUGCUCAGAUUUCAUCACAUAGCGGUUCACCAUACGUGCAUGCUAUCGGAAUCACUAAAUUCAACACAAGUAUUUCUAGAUCCACAACACCUUACUAGCAUGACUUCAAUAUUACCAUAAUCACAACUCAAAACUAAUUGAGAUGAAUCAAACUUCUCUAACUAUUCAAUGCACAUGAAGGUGGAAGUUUUCGUAUCCCUUUGGAUAUCUACCCCUUUUGAGACUACUUUCAAAGCAUAGAUCAACUACCAAGACACGCACCGCUGUGCUCUAAAAGAUAUAAGUGAAGCACAUAGAGCAAAAGUAUCUAGCUCAAAAGAUAUAAGUGAAGCAUAUGUGAGCUGAAUUGUCUACCAAAAGAUAUAAGUGAAGCUCGACAAAAUCACGGUGUGUGCAUGUCUCUCUCUCUAGGUGUGCAGCAAGGAUUAUUGUGACACAACAAAAAUAAAAGACUCCUACGAUACAAGACGCUCCAAGCAAAAACACAUAACAUGUGGUGAAUAAAAAUAUAGCCCCAAGUAACGUUACCGAUGGAUUGAAGACGAGAGAGGGGAUGCCUUCCCGGGGCAUCCCCAAGCUUAGGCUUUUACGACAUACUUGAAUCUCUUGGGGUGCCUUGGGCAUCCCCAAGCUUGAGCUCUUGCCACUCUUUAUCUCUUUGUCCAUAAGAACUUCACCCAAAACUUGAAAACUUCACAACACGAAACUUAAACAGAAACUCGUGAUAACAUUAGUACAAGAAAGCAAACCACCACUUCCUUAGGUACUGUAGCAACCUUAAAUUCUACUUGUGCUGAUGUUGGGUUACUGUACUUUCAAUCUUCCAUGGCUAAUACCCCCCGAUACUAUCCAUAGUUCCAUCAAAAUAAGCAACCAACACAACAAAAACAGAAUCUGUUAACAGCAUACCAGUCUGUAGCAAUCUGCAUAUUUCGUAUACCUCUGGUACUUCAAAAAUUCUGAAAAAUUACGACAGUUUGAAGAAUUUGCGUAGCAAUCAGCAGAAAAAAGAAUCAACUCAAAAGCUCUUACAGAAAAAAAUGAAAAUUCUUUUCGUGAGCAGAAAGUUUCUGUCUUUUCCAGCAUGACCAAACGAUCAUCCCCAAGACUAAUCAUAACGGUUUGCUUGGCACAAAUGCAAAAAGAAACACAAAAAACACAAUCAUAACAGAAUUAUGAAAGUGUGGAAAACAGAAAGAAAAAAGAUAGAUUCGUUGGGUUGCCUCCCAACAAGCGCUUUUGUUUAACGCCCUUAGCUAGGCAUUCAAUGAUGCUCUCACAAAAGACAAGAAUUGAAGCACAACAAGAGCAUCCUAACGCAUGUGAAAACCACAUCUAAGUCUAACAUACUUCCUAUGCAUAGGCAUUUUAUAGGAAAACAGAUUGUCAAGACAACCAAUAGUUGUCGUAUGCAAGGAAGAAGAAAGAGACAAUAGCAAUCUCCACAUAACGAGAGGUAAUUUGGUAACAUGAAGGUUUCUACCAAAAUAUUUUCCUCUCUCAUAGCAAUUACAUGUGGGAUCAUAAUCGAAUUCAACAAUGUAACUAUCACAUAGGAUAUUCUUUUCAUGAUCCACAUGCAUGCAAAGUUGACGCUCUUCAAAAAUAGUGGGAUUAUCGUCAACUAAAGUCAUGACUUCUCCAAACCCACUUUCAAUGUUAUUGCAAAUAUCAUAUUCAUCAUGAGGUUUGAACAAAUUUUCAAGAUCAUAAGAAAGAUCAUCACCCCAAUCAUGAUUAUUGCAACAAGUCGUGGACAAAGCAAAACUAGCAUCCCCAAGCUUAGGGUUUUGCAUAUUUUUAGCAUGAUUAUCACUAAUAGAAUUUAUAGUGAAACCAUUGCAAUCAUGUUUUCCAUCCAAGGAACCCUCGUGAACCACUUCAUAAUUUUCUUCCACACAAUUUUCAGAUUCACGCCUCUCAAGCAAAACUCCAUAAAGAUAGUCAAGUGUCCUCAACUCACUAGCAAUUCGUUCCACAAUAGUGGGUCUCUUAAAGAGAUUAGCAAACGAAGAUGCAAGCAUAUUGAAGGCACAUGGCACACAAGCAAACAAGCAAGAGAAAAAGGGCAAAAGAAAAAGGCAAAAGGCAAAAGAAAACGGCGAAGGAGAAAGGCAAAUGAAAGCGGCAAAUGUGAAGUGGGGGAGAGGAAAACGAGAGGCAACUGGAAACAAAAGUAAACGCAAGGGAAGAGUUUGUGAGACCUACUUGGAUAGAUCUUGAUUUCUCCUCCCCGGCAACUGCGCCAGAAAUACUUCUGCUACUGCAACAAAAGACCUUCCAAUGGCGCCAGAAAUAGGCACGUCGACGGGAGAAUACUUGGCUUGAUCCUUCUGCUGCGGCUACGCCUUAAGGGACUUCCGAGGCAAGUAUUUAAAGGAUUUCCCCCGUGGCCUUGGAGCCUUGCGUUGGUGUUCCCUCGAAGCGGAAAGGGUGAUGUAGCGUAGCAGUGGUAAGUAUUUCCCUCAGUUUGAGAACCAAGGUAUCAAUCCAGUGGAGGAGUAUCUCAAGAUCCCGCACAAACACAAAAGCUUGCUCCCAACGCUAUGAAGGGGUUGUCAAUCCCUUAUAGAUUGUUUGCCAAGUGAGAACUGAAAGCAACAAAGUAACAAAGCAAAGUAAAAGCGGAGGUGUAAACGAUGGAUGUGAAUAGACCCAGGGGCGUAGUGUUUACUAGUGGCUUCUCUCAUGAAAGCAAGUAGACGGUGGGUGAACAUAUUACUGUCGAGCAAUUGAUAGAACCGCGCAAAGUCGUGACGAUAUCUAUGCAAUGAUUAUAUCUAUAGGCAUCACGUCCAAAACAAGUAGACCGAUACUUUCUGCAUCUACUACUAUUACUCCACACGUCGACCGCUAUCCAGCAUGCAUCUAGUGUAUUAAGUCCAUAAGAACAGAGUAACGCCUUAAGCAAGAUGACAUGAUGUUGAGGGAUAAUCUCAAACCAAUGAUAAAAAACCCCAUCUUUUUACCCUUGAUGACAACUACUUGAUGUGUGCCUUGCUGCCCCUACUGUCACUCGGAAAGGUCACCACAUGGUAGAACCCAAAACCAAGCACUUCUCCCAUUGCAAGAAUCAUAGAUCUAGUUGUCCAAACAAAACCCAAGACUCGGAGAGACUUACAAGGAUAUCAAAUCAUGCAUAUAAGAAAUCAGCAAAGACUCAAAUAUAUAUCAUAGAUAAUCUGAUCACAAAUCCACAAUUCAUCGGAUCUCGACAAACACACCGCCAAAGAAGAUUACAUUGGAUAGAUCUCCAUGAAGAUCAUGGAGAACUUUGUAUUGAAGAUCCAAGAGAGAGAAGAAGCCAUCUAGCUACUAACUACGGAUCCGUAGGUCUGAAUUGAACUACUCACGAGUCAUUGGAGGGGCGAUGAUGAUGAUGAAGAAGCCCUACAACUCCAAAGUCCCCUCCGGCAGGGCACCGGGAAGGGUCUCUAGAUGAUAUAUCGCGGAAACGGAAGCUUGCAGCGAUGGAAAAGUAUUUUCGAGGCUCCCCUGAUUUUUUGCUGAAUAUUUGGGAAUAUAUAGGCCAAGGAUCUAGGUCAGGGGGCGGCCAGGGAGGCCAUAAGCCCUGACACCGCCGCCUCCCCCUGGUGGCGGGGUGGGAGCUUGUGGGCUCCCUGGAGCCCACCUGGCUUGGCCCAGAAGCCCCCUGAUCUUCUUCCGUUCGGGAAAAAAAUCAUUUCGGGGUUUUUAUUCCGUUUGGACUCUGUUCCAAAAUCAGAUCCGAAAAGAGUCAAAAACACAGAAAAAAACAGGAACUGGCACUUGGCACUGAAUUAAUAAGUUAGUUCCAAAAAAGAUAUGAAAGGUACAUAAAACAUCCAAAGAAGACAAGAUAACAGCAUGAAACCAUCAAAAAUUAUAGAUACGCUUGAGACGUAUCAAGGACGUUCCACUACAUCAACCGCAUUUAUGAACGCUUCUGUUGUGCGCUCUAUAAGGGUACGUAGAUCUGAAAUCCCCCUCGUAGAUGGACAUCACCAUGAUAGGUCUUCGUGCGCGUAGGAAAAUUUUUGUUUCCCAUGCGACGUUCCCCAACAGUGGCAUCAUGAGCUAGGUUCAUGCGUAGAUGUUAUCUCGAGUAGAACACAAAAGUUUUUGUGGGCGGUGAUGUGCGAUUUGCUGCCCUCCUUAGUCUUUUCUUGAUUCCGUAGUAUUGUUGGAUCGAAGCGGCUCGGACCAGCAUUACUCGUACGCUUACGAGAGACUGGUUUCAUCGCUACGAGCAACUCCAUUGCUCAAAGAUGACAUGCGAGUGUCGGUUUCUCCAACUUUAGUUGAAUCGGAUUUGACCGAGGAGGUCCUUGGAUGAGGUUAAAUAGAAAUUCAUAUAUCUCCAUUGUGGUGUUUGCGUAAGUAAGAUGCAAUCCUACUAGAUACCCAUGGUCACCACGUAAAACAUGCAACAACAAUUAGAGGACGUCUAACUUGUUUUUGCAGGGUAUGCUUGUGAUUUGAUAUGGCCGACGAUGUGAUGUGAUAUAUUGGAUGUAUGAGAUGAUCAUGUUGUAAUAGUUUAUAUCGACUUGCACGUCGAUGGUACGGCAACCGGCAGGAGCCAUAGGGUUGUCCUUAGACUAACGUUUGUGCUUGCAGAUGCGUUUACUAUAUUGCUAGGACGUAGCUUUAGUAGUAAUAGCAUGAGUAGCACAACAACCUCGAUGGCGACACGUUGAUGGAGAUCAUGAUGAUGGAGAUCAUGGUGUGACGCCGGUGACAAGAAGAUCAUGCCGGUGCUUUGGUGAUGGAGAUCAAGAAGCACAUGAUGAUGGCCAUAUCAUGUCACUUAUGAAUUGCAUGUGAUGUUAAUCCUUUUAUGCACCUUAUUUUGCUUAGAACGACGGUAGCAUUAUGAGGUGAUCUCUCACUAAAAUUUCAAGACGAAAUUGUGUUCUCCCCGACUGUGCACCGUUGCUACAGUUCAUCGUUUCGAGACACCACGUGAUGAUCGGGUGUGAUAGACUCAACGUUCAUAUACAACGGGUGCAAAACAGUUACACAUGCGGAACACUCAGGUUAAACUUGACGAGCCUAGCAUGUGCAGACAUGGCCUCGGAACACAAGAGACCGAAAGUUCGAGCAUGAAUCAUAUGGUUGAUAUGAUUAGCAUAGAGAUGCUUACUACUGAAACUAUUCUGGACUCACGUGAUGAUCGGACUUGAGAUAGUGGAUUUGGAUCAUGUACCACUCAAAUGACUAGAGAGAUGUACUUUUUGAGUGGGAGUUCUUAAGUAAUAUGAUUAAUUGAACUAAUUGUCAAGAACAUAGUCUAAUGGUGUUUGCGAAUUACGAUGUAGCUUGCGCUAUAGCUCUACUGUUUUUAUAUGUUCCUAGAGAAAAUUUAGUUGAAAGUUGAUAGUAGCAAACUUUGCGGACCAAGUCUGUAAAAACUGAGGAUUGUCCUCGUUGCUGCGCAGAAGGCUUAUGUCCUUAAUGCACCACUCGGUGUGCUGCACCUUGAGCGUCGUCUAUGGAUGUUGUGAACAUCCGACAUACACGUUUCUGAUGACUAAGCGUUAGUUUAGUGCAAAAUACUUAAUGGCUUAGAAGCAAGGCGCCGAAGACGUUUUUGAAACGUCACGGAACAUAAGAGAUGUUCUAAAGAGAUGAAAUUGUGAUUUCAUGUUUGUGCCAUUGUUAAGAGGUAAGAGACCUCCGACAAGAUUCUUUGUCCACAAAGUAAAGGAGAAAAGCUCAAUCGUUGAGCGUGUGCUCAAAUUGUCUGAGUACGACAAUCGCUUGAAUCAAGUGGGAGUUAAUCUUCCAGAUGAGAUCGUGAUGGUUCUCCAAAGUCACUGGCACCAAGCUGCGAGAGCUUCAUGAUGAACUAUAACAUAUCAAGGAUAGAUACAAUGAUCCUUGAGCGAUUCGCGAUGUUUGACACUGCGAAAAUAGAAAUCAAGAAGGAGCAUCAAUAGUUGAUGGUUAGUAAAACCACUAAGUUUCAAGAAAGGCAAGUGCUAGAAGGGAUACUUCAUGAAACGACAAACAGUUGCUGCACUAAUGAAGAGACCCAAGAUUAAACCCAAACCCGAGACUAAGUGCUUCUAUUAUGAGGGGAACGGUCACUUAGGCGGAGCUACCCUAGAUGUUUGGUAGAUAAGAAGGUUGGCAAAGUCAAAAGAAGUAUAUUUGAUAUACAUGAUGUUGAUGUGUACUUUACUAGUACUCCUAGUAGCGCGAGGGUAUUGGAUACCUGUUCGGCUGCUAAGUGUUUAGUAACACGAAAUGAAAGCUACGGAAUAAACAGAGACUAGCUAAAGGCGAGGUGACGAUACGUGUUGGAAGUGUUUCCAAGGUUGAUAUGAUCAAACGUCGCACGCUCCCUCUACCAUCGGGAUUGGUGUUAAACCUAAAUAAUUGUUGUUUGGUGCUUGCGUUAAGCAUGAACAUGAUUGGAUCGUGUUUAUUGCAAUACGAUUAUUCAUUUAAAGAGAAUAAUGGUUACUCUAUUUGCUUGAAUAAUCACCUUCAAUGGUUUAUUGAAUCUCGAUCGUAGUGUUGCACAUGUUCAUGAUAUUGGUGCCAAAAUAUACAAGGUAAUGAUGAUAGUACCACUUACUUGUGGCACUGCCACUUGAGUCGUGUUGGUAUAAAUUGCAUGAAGAGGCUCUAUACUAAUGGAUCUUUAUACUCACUUGAUUUUGAAUCACUUGUGACAUGCAAAUCAUACCACAUGAGCAAGGCCUUGUUUUCAUUGAGAUGAGACAAGAUAGUAACUUGUUGGAAGUAAUACAUUUUGAUGUAUGCAGUCCAACGGGUGCUGAGGCACGCAGUGGAUAUCAUUAUAUUCUUACUUCAAUGACGAUUUGAGUAGAUACAGGAGUAUCUACUUAAUGAAUCACAAGUCUGAAAUAUUGAAAAAGUUCAAUUCUGUUUCAGGGUGAAGUUCGUCGUAACAAGAGGAUAAACUGUCUACGAUAUGAUCAUAGAGAUGAAUAUCUGAGUUGCAAGCUUUGGUACACAGUUAAGACAAUGUGGAAGUUGUUUCGCAAUUCAUGCCACCAAGAACACCAUGGUGUGAUGGUGUCAUAGCCGCGACCUAUUUGAUAUGGUGCAUGCUAUGAUGUCUCUUAUCGAAUUACCACUAUCAUUUAUGGGUUAUGCAUUAGAGACAACCGCAUUCACUUUAAAUAGGGCAUCACGUAAUUCCGUUGAGAUGACACAGUAUAGACUGAGGUUUAGAGAAAUCUAAGCUGUCGUUUCUUGAAAGUUUGGGGCUGCGACACUUAUGUGAAAAAGUUUCAGUCUGAUAAGCUCGAACCCAAAGCGGAUAAAUGCAUCUUCAUAUGAUAUCCAAAACAGUUGGGUACAUCUCCUAUCUCAGAUCCGGAAGCAAAGUGUUUGUUUCUAGAAACGGGUCCUUUCUCGAGGAAAGGUUUCUCUCGAAAGAAUUGAGUGGGAGGGUGAUAGAACUUGAUGAGGUUAUUGAACCAUCACUUCAACUAGUGUAUAGAAGGGUGCAGGAAGUUGUUCCUGUGGCACCUACACCAAUUGAAGUGGAAAGCUGAUGAUAGUGAUCAUUGAGCAUCAGAUCAAGUUACUACAGACCUCGUAGGUCGACAAGGUCGCGUACUACUACAUAGUGGUACGGUAACCCUGUCUUGGAGGUCAUGUUGUUGAACAACAAUGAACCUACGAGUUAUGGAGAAGCAAUGGUGGGCCCAGAUUCUGACAAAUGGCUGGAGGCCAUGAAAUCCGAGAGAGUAUGCAUGUAUAAAACAAAGUGUAGACUUUGGAAGAACUGCUUGAUGGUAGUAAGACUAUUAAGUAAAGAUGGAUCUUUGGAAGGAAGACAGACGAUGAUGGUGAUAAGUCAAUAUUAAGAAAAGCUCGACUUGUCGCAAAGAUGUUUUCGACAGGAUCAAAGAGUUUACUAUGAUGUGACUUUCUCACUCGUAGCGAUGCUAAAAGUCUGUUGGAAUUGUGUUAGUAGUUGCUGCAUUAUUGUGAAAUAUUGCACAUAGGAAGUCAAAACAUUGUUUCCUCGACUGUUUCCUUGAGGAAAGAUUGUAUGUGAUGCAUUCAGAAUGUUUUGUCAAUCCUAAGGAUACUAACAAGUAUGCAAGCUCCAGCGAUCCUUCAAUGGACUGGUGCAAGCAUCUCGGAGUUGGAAUAUACACUUUGAUGAGAUGAUCAAAGAUUUUUGGGUUUGUACAAGGUUUAUGAGAAACUUGUAUUUCCAAAGAAGUGAGUGGGAGCACUACAGAAUUUCUGAUAAGUAUAUGUGGUUGACAUAUUGUGGAUCCGAAGUAAUGUAGAAUUUCUGUAAAGCAUAAAAGGUUGUUUGAAAGGAGUUUUUCAAAGGAGUACCUGGAUUGCGCUACUUGAAUGUUGAGCAUCAAGAUCUAUGGAGAUAGAUCGAAACACUUAAUAGAAGUUUCAACAAGAUGCAUGCCUUGACAAGUUUUUGAAGGAGUUCAAAAUAGAUCAGCAAAGAAGGAGUUCUUGGUUGUGUUUGUUGGAAAUAUGCUCUAGAGGCAAUAAUAAUUAGUUAUUAUUAUAUUUCUUUGUUCAUGAUAAUCGUUUAUUAUCCAUGCUAUAAUUGUAUUGAUUGGAAACACAAUACUUGUGUGGAUACAUAGACAAAACACUGUCCCUAGUAAGCCUCUAGUUGACUAGCUCGUUGAUCAAAGAUGGUCAAGUUUUCCUGGCCAUAGGCAAGUGUUGUUACUUGAUAACGGGGUCACAUCAUUAGGAGAAUCAUGUGAUGGACUAGACCCAAACUAAUAGACGUAGCAUGUUGAUCGUGUCAUUUUGUUGCUACUGUUUUCUGCGUGUCAAGUAUUUGUUCCUAUGACCAUGAGAUCAUAUAACUCACUGACACCGGAGGAAUGCUUUCUGUGUAUCAAACGUCGCAACGUAACUGGGUGACUAUAAAGAUGCUCUACAGGUAUCUCCGAAGGUGUUCGUUGAGUUAGUAUGGAUCGAGACUGGGAUUUGUCACUCCGUGUGACGGAGAGGUAUCUCGGGGCCCACUCGGUAAUACAACAUCACACACAAGCCUUGCAAGCAAUGUGACUUAGUGUAAGUUGCGGGAUCUUGUAUUACGGAACGAGUAAAGAGACUUGCCGGUAAACGAGAUUGAAAUAGGUAUGCGGAUACUGACGAUCGAAUCUCGGGCAAGUAACAUACCGAAGGACAAAGGGAAUGACAUACGGGAUUAUAUGAAUCCUUGGCACUGAGGUUCAAACGAUAAGAUCUUCGUAGAAUAUGUAGGAUCCAAUAUGGGCAUCCAGGUCCCGCUAUUGUAUAUUGACCGAGGAGUCUCUCGGGUCAUGUCUACAUAGUUCUCGAACCCGCAGGGUCUGCACACUUAAGGUUCAACGUUGUUUUAUGCGUAUUUGAGUUAUAUGGUUGGUUACCGAAUGUUGUUCGGAGUCCCGGAUGAGAUCACGGAUGUCACGAGGGUUUCCGGAAUGGUCCGGAAACGAAGAUUGAUAUAUAGGAUGACCUCAUUUGAUUACCGGAAGGUUUUCAGAGUUACCGGGAAUGUACCGGGAAUGACGAAUGGGUUCCGGGUGUUCACCGGAGGGGGGGGCAACCCAGCCCGGGGAAGCCCAUAGGCCUUGGGGGUGGCGCACCAGCCCUUAGUGGGAUGGUGGGACAGUCCAAGAAGGCCCUAUGCGCCAUAGGAAGAAAAUCAAAGAGGAAAAGGAAAAAAGGGGAGGUUGGAAAAAGGGGAAGGACUCCUCCUUCCAAACCUAGUUGGAUUCGGUUUGGAAGGGGAGGACUCCCCCCCUUGGCUCGUCCGACCCCCUUGGGGCUCCUUGAGCCCCAAGGCAAGGUCCCCCCUCUCCCUCCUAUAUAUAGUGGGGUUUUAAGGCUGAUUUGAGACAACUUUGCCACGGCAGUCCGACCACAUAUCUCCACGGUUUUACCUCUAGAUCGCGUUUCUGCAGAGCUCGGGCGGAGCCCUGCUGAGAUUAGAUCACCACCAACCUCCGGAGCGCCGUCACGCUGCCGGAGAACUCAUCUACCUCUCCGUCUCUCUUGCUGGAUCAAGAAGGCCGAGAUCAUCGUCGAGCUGUACGUGUGCUGAAUGCGGAGGUGCCGUCUGUUCGGCACUAGAUCGUGGAACGGAUCGCGGGACAGUUCGCAGGGCGGAUCGAGGGACGUGAGGACGUUCCACUACAUCAACCACGUUUCUUAACGCUUCUGAUGUGCGAUCUACAAGGGUACGUAGAUCGGAAAUCCACUCUCGUAGAUGGACAUCACCAUGUUAGGUCUUCGUGCGCGUAGGAAAUUUUUUGUUUCCCAUGCGACGUUCCCCAACAGUGUUGUAAGGUGUGAAUUUGAGUAAGACUCAAAACCCGACCCCGGCAGAAUAAAGAGAAUAGACGAAGGUCGUCUUCUAUGCCUUAUUCGUAGACUCUAAAGUAUGCCAUGCUGAGUACCGCACCUGACUGUGUGCCUUGCAGCAAGUCUGUUAAGAGGUACAGAGAGUGAUCCAGGAUUGAAUCACUGAUCAGCGGUCAAAGUUAUCCUUAGUAACUAAAUGGACUAAGGUUUUUUUUUCUCGAUUAUGGAGGUGGUUAAAGAGUUCGUCGUAAAGAGUUACGUCGAUGCAAGCUUUGACACUAGUCCGAAUAACUAUGAGUAGUGAAACGGAUUCGUAUAGUAGAGUAGAUAUUUGGAGUAUUUCCGAAUAGCACGUAGUAGCAACAUCUAUAAAAUGACAUAAAGAUUUGUAAAGAACACACAGAUCUGAAAGUUUCAGAACCGUUCACUAAAACCUCUCUCACGAGCAAGACGUGAUCAGACCCCAGAACUAUAUGGGUGUUGGAUUCGUUAGAAUCACAUGGUGAUGUGAACUAGAUUAUUGACUCUAGUGCAAGUGGGAGACUGUUGGAAAUAUGCCCUAGAGGCAAUAAUAAAUUGGUUAUUAUUAUAUUUCUUUGUUCAUGAUAAUCGUUUAUUAUCCAUGCUUUAAUUGUAUUGACUGGAAACACAAUACUUGUGUGGAUACAUAGACAAAACAUUGUCCCUAGUAAGCCUCUAGUUGACUAGCUUGUUGAUCAAAGAUGGUCAAGUUUUCCUGACCAUAGGCAAGUGUUGUCACUUGAUAACAGGAUCGCAUCAUUAGGAGAAUCACGUGAUGAACGUAGCAUGUUGAUCGUGUCAUUUUGUUGCUACUGUUUUUCUGCGUGUCUAGUAUUUAUUCCUAUGACCAUGAGAUCAUAUAACUCACUGACACCGGAGGAAUGCCUUGUGUGUAUCAAACGUCACAACGUAACUGGGUGACUAUAAAGAUGCUCUACAGGUAUCUCCGAAGGUGUCCGUUGAGUUAGUACGGAUCAAGACUGGGAUUUGUCACUCCGUGUGACGGAGAGGUAUCUCGGGGCCCACUCGGUAAUACAACAUCACACACAAGCCUUGCAAGCAAUGUGACUUAGUGUAAGUUGCGGGAUCUUGUAUUACGGAACGAGUAAAGAGACUUGCCGGUAAACGAGAUUGAAAUAGGUAUGCGGAUACUGACGAUCGAAUCUCGGGCAAGUAACAUACCGAAGGACAAAGGGAAUGACAUACGGGAUUAUAUGAAUCCUUGGCACUGAGGUUCAAACGAUAAGAUCUUCGUAGAAUAUGUAGGAUCCAAUAUGGGCAUCUAGGUCCCGCUAUUGGAUAUUGACCGAGGAGUCCCUCGGGUCAUGUCUACAUAGUUCUCGAACCCACAGGGUCUGCACACUUAAGGUUCGACGUUGUUUUAUGCGUAUUUGAGUUAUAUGGUUGGUUACCGAAUGUUGUUCGGAGUCCCGGAUGAGAUCACGGACGUCAGGAGUGUUUCCGGAAUGGUCCGGAGACGAAGAUUGAUAUAUAAGAUGACCUCAUUUGAUAACCGGAAGGUUUUCAGAAUUACCGGGAAUGUACCGGGAAUGACGAAUGGGUUCCGGGUGUUCACCGGGGGGGUGGGGGCAGCCCACCCCGGGGAAGCCCAUAGGCCUUAGGGGUGCCGCACCAACCCUUAGUGGGCUGGUGGGCAAGCCCAAAGAGGCCCCUGCGCAGGAGAUAAGAAAAUCAAAGAGAAAAAAAAGGGGAAGUGGGAAGGAAGGGAAGGACUCCACCUUCCAAUCCUAGUUGGACUAGGAUUGGAAGAGGAAUCCUCCUCCCCCUUCGGCCGAACCCCUUGGGGCUCCUUGAGCCCCAAGGCAAGGCCCCUCCCCUCCCACCUAUAUAUACGGAGGUUUUAGGGCUGAUUUGACACAACUUUUCCACGGCAGCCCGACCACAUACCUCCACGGUUUUUCCUUUAGAUCACGUUUCUGCGGAGCUCGGGCGGAGCCCUGCUGACAUUAGAUCACCACCAACCUCCGGAGCACCGUCACGCUGCCGGAGAACUCAUCUACCUCUCCAUCUCUCUUGGUGGAUCAAGAAGGGCCGAGUUCAUCGUCGAGCUGUACGUGUGCUGAACGCGGAGGUGUCGUCCGUUCGGCACUAGAUCGGAGCGGAUCGUGGGACGGGUCGCGGGACGGUUUGUGGGACGGUUCGUGGGACGGAUCGAGGGACGUGAGGACGUUCCACUACAUCAACCGUUUUUAUUAACGCUUCUGCUGUGCGGUCUACAAGGGUACGUAGAUCUGAAAUCCCCCUCGUAGAUGGACAUCACCAUGAUAGGUCUUCGUGCGCGUAGGAAUUUUUUUGUUUCCUAUGCGACGUUCCCCAACAGCAGGGACAUCCGGGAGCGAUGGGGAAGGAAGACUCGCACGACUAGGAGGGCAACAGAGGCAAUGAAUCCAGCCGAAUUCAAUGAGGAUGGCACGCGGGUAGGAGGCACGGACGUCCGGGAGCGGUGGAGGCUCGACUCGGCAAGUUCUGACAAGGUUUGAAGCUAGCUUCACCCUGAGGACCCGCGACGGCAGCUGCGCAUGGUGCUCCUGUGGCGGACCAUGCAACGUCGACAUCCGAUGUGCUGGAAGCUUGGCACCUAAGGAGCUGCAAACCAGCCGCGCAUGCGCUAGUAGCCGCUGAAAUGCACCACCCGGUUUUGUGAGGCACGCCGCCGUUGGGACUGCGUCCACCCGAGCCACUGUCCAUGGCUUUUGCCUCCUUGAGGUGUUGCAACAGCAACAGUUCUCGCAACAUGAUUUGUAUUGCAAAAUAAUUAUAUAACAUAACAUUUGUUGCAAAGAAAAGUGUACAUGUUUUCCAUAACAUAAUCCUUGUUGCAAAAAAAAUCAUAACAUCAACUCUGUUAAAAAAAAAUCUACACACAUUUUCUGCAAUGUGAUCUUUGUUGUAAAAAAUUCUGCAGCAUCUCCUCCAUUGUAAAGUUUUGAAUAACACGACCUAUGUUAUAAAUGUUUCUACAACUCCGUUCUUGUUGCAAGAGAGAUAGCACACUUAGAGCAUUGUUAAUAAUAUAGCCAACUGUUGGCUAUAAGCCAUCUUAUAGCCCAUCUUAUAGCUAGCUUGUACAAUAGUUAGCUAUAAAAGAGUAUUACUUUUAUCAUAUAUGGCCACCUUUCAUUCUCACAAAGCAUCUAGGAGCACGUGCUAGAGCUAGCUCUUCACGAAGAGCCCGUUUCCCUUCUUUCUCCUCUUCUUUCUCAUCCAACUCAGCAAAAAUAUAUUAUUUUAAUCCUUACAGCCUGCUGAUUGUACCUUAUUGUACUUGCUCUUAGAUAGCUAGAUCGGACGGCUCCCCGCAUCAAUCCAACGGCCAGCCAAGUGGCGGAUGUUAUCUACUUCUCCGUCGGCCGAUGCGUAGCACCAUACAUGGUAAAUUUAAUGAUGACAUUUUUUUCAGAAAGAAAAACAACUAAUUGGGCCGAACCCUUUUUUUUGCUGGUUUCAUAAUUUGUUGGGCCAUCUUGGGUAGCUGGAAAACUCCUUCUAGAGCGAACGCCUAGGUUCGGCGAAAUAAACAUUUGACGGAAUCAUUAAUUAAGGAGCACCUUUUGCAAACGUCAUUUCCAUCUUUCCAGAGUGUUUUUUAUUUCUUUAUAUUUGUUUAUUCAAAACAGUUUAUUUCUUAAAUUGCACGUUCAAAUAUUGAAUAAUUUUCAUCAUUGAAUUUCUCGCGUCGAUAUCUUCAAAACUAGAUCCCAUAUUGAUAGGUUUUGACGAUUUUUUUUCAUAAGAAAAGACUAAAAAAACCGUGUCUCUCAUGAAAAGAACGUGUUCUAUUUUUGUUACCAAGAGGCAUAAUCGUGCCUCUCGCGGAAGUAAAACCGUGUCUUUCGAAAAAAAACACGUAUUUUUUCAUUUCCGAAAAGCACGACAGUGCAUCUCGUGGAAACAAAACCAUGCCUUUCAAGGAAGGAGGAAAACAUAUUUUUGCGCAAAAAAUAAACUUUUUUUCGUCCAAAAGCUAAAAAAGACAGGUGAAAAAACAAAAAGCCGAAAACCCCCAAAAAUCAUCUAAAAAAACAAAAACAUGUGUGAAAAAAAAUUAAAAAAAAAUUCAAAGGGAACAUCUAGAACUCGACACGUGACGGCUACUAAGUGUUGGAAUCUAUCAUAAAAUCAUUGCAUGUAAAUUAAAAUUUUACUAUGUGCAGAACAACCAAGAACAUGCUAUGAAGAUGGAUCACAAAUCGUUAUUACUAGACGCGCAGUGUCGUCCAGUGAAAGUAGAGUUGUGGCAGCGCGUCUGGCGAGGUCCAUCUCCUUCUCGUCUGAUCUCCCUCGAACAGUCGGUCACCGGAUCCCGUGUACAGGUUCGUCGGAGCAGCAUUAGUGCACCACCUCUAACGGUAUCCGCGCGUGCAGGAGGAACACCGUACGACAGACUGCUAGGUCCGAUCACAUAGUUGGCAGCGAGUGAAGGUGGCUAGUUGCAACACAUGCAAAGCCCUAAUGAUGGCAUCAAAGCGAUCUACUAAAUAAGUGUGUCGCACCUCCACUAUAUAUAGACAUCCGUCGCGGGCUCAACUCUUGGGCCUCCCAUGAAUACUAAAGUCCACGUGUUUCUUCUUUUAAGCGCGCGACCCUUUAGAUUCUCGUUUACUUGGUUGCGAGUCAGAUCAUAUCCAACUCGGCUACUAGGUAGCGGCCUCUAGCAAUAAUUGUGUCCGAUGAAGCUGGUUAGGCGAACUUGUACUUCAUACUUAUGUUUCCUUUGCCACACGAUAUAUGUUGUCGUGCUCAAGGUGACAUGGCCAUCCUUAUUGUAGGACGAUCUCUUUCUCGUUCCGGUGAAUCCGACCAACACUUCGAAUUAUCUCAUGGCCAUGCUUAUCCAGGUCGGAUCACCCAAGGGGUCGAGAGUAUACCUCUCCUAGUCGGAGGAGCAAAUUCCACCUUGCUCGACCAUGUCUCGCAACAUGGGUCUGGACAAGUCCGAAACCUACCUUUGUAACUACGUAGUUAUGGAGUAGCAUUUGGUCGGUCUAAAGCAGGUCUGUCACCAUCCCGAGUACAUACGCCAGCUCAGAUCUUAGGACAUAGAACGUAUGUUGUACUAGAGACUCACAAAAGACAGAUCGAUGUGUCUCAUAGUUGGGUCUAUCCAACUCAGUCCUUAUCUCGACUCGGAUCCGACUACGUCGAAUCCAACCAGAUCUUUCCGAGUUCAUAUUAUCUGACUAACAUCCAAUGCUACAUGGUUAGUGAGACCGGACCAUCCACCUGUCAUGUGCUAGUUUGAUUGGAUGCACGUCCACACAACCCUUUUGACUAGGGACCUUUUAAGACAGUCAUCAUACAAUGCAUAGUCUUACAAACAAGUCACAUACUUGUUGAUACACAUCAUUGAUAAUGUUCAAGGACUAUCUUUAUUCAUAAACACAUAGGAAAUAUCAUCAUACAUGAUUGCCUCUACCACAUAUCUCCAACACUAAGAGUGACCCUUGGCAGACUCCUGAAGGAGCCCUCCUCUGUUAGUUGCUCCCAACAUUCGCCCAGGUUCUAUGAGAGCCAUCAAUAGUAUCUUGUAGAUAUUCACUCUAAAUUGCAGUUUGAUUGUACUCCCUCCAUUCCCUUAUAUAAGGUCACUAUAAAAAAUAUAUUUUCCAUCUAUACAAGGCCACCAACAAAAAUUGAGGUAAAAAUUAAUGAUGUUUUUUAUACUACCUCCGUCACGGUUUAGAAGGCAUAAUUAAAUUUACAUGCAUUUCCAUAAUAGACAAGGUUUAAGACGCAUUGCAUUUAUUCAUAGCAACUAAUUAGCACUCCGUUGUACUACUUCUAUAUGCAUGCGUAGUGUGAAUGCUAUUUUUUACCCUAUGUCACAACCAAUUAAUAAUCAUCUAGGUUCCAGAGAGUUUGCAAGCACAUCUUCUAAACCGUGACGGAGGGAGUACUAGGAACUUGCUUAAUGAUUGCAUGCAUGUAGUCAUAAUGAUGCUCAUCUAUUUUCUUCUCAUUCCUUCCUUGCAUUCAUGUGGCUUGAUAAUGAUCCCGUAAGAGCAUCUUCAACAGUCCGUAUGUUCAAUCGUUGGUAUAAGUGUCCAUGUCAACAACCAACAGUACAUCAUACAAGCACUUCAAUGGAGUGUAUGUUAAUCGUAUGUAAAAUAACUAAGGGGCUCCAUUAAAUAUUGAAGAAAUAACCAUGCUUGCCUCGGAGCUUGUGCGUGAACCGUUGCUUCAAGUUCAUACGAUGUCGUUCUCUUUCUCUUCUUUAUUAUACGUCAUGUCAUCAAAAUCAUCUAUGUGGCAAUUUUACCAACGAUGAUCAUACGAUCAUUGGAGAUGCCCUUAACAAAAAGAAACUAGCUUGCAAAGCAAUCAUUAAAACAUUACCUUGUUAUCCGCAGUCUACUAAAGGCCCUCAGAGAUAAACUGGUAAAUUUUAAAUUUCUUUUGAUCUAUUAAUAAUUAAAACUGGUCUGGAGUUCGAACCACAUGCAUAGGUGUGCGUGGCUCGCCGGUUGAUCCGUUCAAAUUUAGUGUCAAGGAAGGACUCAUAUAUUUUAUAAACAUAAAGCUGAACAACAUAAAUUUAAAAUAUCAUUCCAGUAAUAUAGUGCCAUUGAUUUGAACCUGAAACCAGGGACUAUAUUGCAGCCGCACAUACCACUCCAACCGACGACAUGAAAUGGAAAAACGAUAAAUUUAGGUUUUUAACAUAACGAGCCCGUGUGGCUAAAACGGACCACGGUGUGGCUGAAUUUUUAACGGAUGCGUUCCUUUUCAUUUUAUUUUAGAAAAUAUGUAAAUUAUUAUCAUGUUACAAACAAUAUACAAUAUAUUGGAAGAAACACGUUAAAACAUUCAUAUAAUUUCAUAAAAUACCUAAGCAAUAUAUAACAGAAAUAAAUGUAAUAAAUUAUGAAUUAAGGAUAUCUUUUAUAAUUUGAAAAAAUGUUUGCAUUUUUAUAAAAUGUUAAAGUAAUUUAAGAAAAGUUCAUGUAUUUAGCCCGUUGUAGCAAAAAAACUCUACUGGUUCCAGCUCGGGCUUCACCAGUUGUAACAAAAGCAUGUGUUGGUAGCAGUUCCAUCAUCAGCCGGUGGUAGCAAACAUUCUUGCUGGUUCCAGCAAACCCAGGUGCCGGUUCCAGCUACUUUACAUGUUAAAGACUGCGUCACAACAGAAAUGUUGGUCGGUUCCAGCUCGUUUCUAAGCUGGUUGCAGCAAAAUUGAAGGCUGGUUCUAGCACCACGGGUGCUCAUGGUUGCAGUUUACCCCCUAUAUAGCAGCUCCGCCGUCGAGGGAGGAAGGGUGAGGGAGAGGGUGUGCGGAGGGAAAGGAGGGGUGAGGGAGAGGGUGGGUGGAGGGGAAGGAGGAGGAGGAGGAGGUGAGUGUCCACGACAGUGUGUGCUUGCCCGCGUCGCACGAGGGAUUAGAGAUGGGGAAAAGAAGGAAGAAAAGAUGCAGGAGGAAGAAGAUAAGGAAUAUGGAGUCGGAUGCGGGAGAAAGAAGAUAAGGAAUAUGAAGUCGGGUGGUGUGUGGGCCACGCGAAAGGGCGAAACGUUCAAUCGUCCCUGAUCGGACGAGUCUCGCGAGGCCGAUGAAAGUUUCAGCCGACGCUGUGGCUCGAAACGUUUUUCAAUCAAAUUUGGCCAUUAAGAGCCGAGGGAUUAAAGGUUAAAUUAUUAUUCUUAGAAAUGGAAGUCAUUCUUGGCGAUAAGUUGUGGAUGAAAAAUGCAAUAUAUACUCAAUAAAAUGAAAACAAGAACAGAGGCCACUCAUCAGUGAGGGAGUGAGACUGCCUCGUGGGCCCGAGUCAAUUUUGGAGUCCAGCUUGCCUCGUGAAGCCGCACGACGCCAGCAAACCUCCUCCCGCCUGCAUGCCGCCGGCGCCCCGGCUUCCGGCGCUCCUCACCGGCCUCGCCAACCCGGCGCGAACAUCCCCAGCGGCGGANNNNNNNNNNNNNNNNNNNNNNNNNNNNNNNNNNNNNNNNNNNNNNNNNNNNNNNNNNNNNNNNNNNNNNNNNNNNNNNNNNNNNNNNNNNNNNNNNNNNUUAACAUGGCAGUUCAUCUCGACACAGCCCUUGUGUAAAAGUCCAUGCACCUGCCUGGCAACUGACAAGGAGCCUAGCUGUGCGCAUGCGGACAUCAACACAGCCAUUGUUGCAGCGUCAGGCUGGAAACUCGUCAGCCGCAUCCGAUUGAACACCCCUACUGAGUCAGCCCACAACCCUGCCUGAGAACACGCGGUGAUCAUCAUGUUCCAGCUAUUCACAUUCCUCUGAGGCAUCUGAUCAAACAGGCACCUCGCGACACCAGCAUCGCCUUGCCGCAGGCGCCCCGACAUAAGCGUGUUCCAGGAGAUGAGGUCCCUCUCCUCCAUACCGUCGAACAUCUCCUGCGCAGCCUCCACGUCCCCUGCUCUGGCAUAGCAUGCUACCAUGGCGUUUCCAACCACCACGUUCCUCGCAGGCAUUUCGUCGAACACCCUCCUUGCAUCCUCAACCCGGCCAAGAUUCCCGUACGAAUCGAGCAACGCAGAACCGGCGUGCACGGAGGAGCCUAGGCCGGCCUUCAUCAUGAACCCGUGCGCCUGACACACCUCGUGGACCUCUCGGAGCGUCGACAAGGACUUGAGCACGGAGCUCACGGUGAAGGCGUUGGGUGGCGGGCCUGACCGGAGCAUGAGCCGGAACAGACCAAACGCCUCGGCGGCGAGCGCAGGGGAGGAUGCAUGCUUCGCGUAGGAGGAGAUGGUCGCCGUCCACAGGUAGACGUUGGCGGAGGCCGCGGGGACGCUGUCGAAGAUGGCGCGGGCGUAGCGCGGGGAGGAGGACGAUGCGUUGAGGAGUGUGACGGCGGCGCGGGCGGGGAGCGGGAGGCCGCGCAGGAGCAGCUGCGCGUGGAGCUGCCUCGCCGCCGCUNNNNNNNNNNNNNNNNNNNNNNNNNNNNNNNNNNNNNNNNNNNNNNNNNNNNNNNNNNNNNNNNNNNNNNNNNNNNNNNNNNNNNNNNNNNNNNNNNNNNCGGGUAAAGGACCCGUUUUAAAAAUUUACGGAAACGGUUACCGAACCCGUUCCGGACCCGUUAAAACGAGGACCAUCCUCCAACCCGUUCCGACCCCCCCCCCCCCCCCCUCCCCCCCCCSAACGGGCAUUUUUAGGCAAAAUUAGCGCCUCUUGGGGGCUCGUCGGCGCUAUUUUUAGGAUGGGGGGCCCUAGCUCCCAGUCGCCCCCCCCCCCCAAGUUCACCCCCCAGCCGCCGAGUUCCAACUCAAUAUUUAUCACAUAGAUCAAUUCAAAUAAAAUAGUUUAACAAAACAAGCUCAUAAUUUGAACACAAAUUAGGACACAUCGAACUAGGUGUUGCCCUUGAGCCUCCAUAGGUGAUCCACCAGAUCGUUCUACAGUUCUUGAUGCGCCUAUGGGUCUGGGAUCUCCUGACUCAUAUUGAGGAAGGCAAUCCAUGUUGUCAGUACGUGGUGAUCAACAUCUGCAAGAGGACUUUGCCUGAAAUAUGGUUCAGUGUCAAACACUGGCUCGUCCUACUCACUCUCAAUGAUCAUUUUGUGCAAGAUGACACAACAAUGCAUCACCUCUCAUAUCUAAGAUUUCGACCAGGUCAGAGCAUGGUACAGGACAACAGCAAAUCGUGAUUGGAGCACUCCAAAUGCUGNNNNNNNNNNNNNNNNNNNNNNNNNNNNNNNNNNNNNNNNNNNNNNNNNNNNNNNNNNNNNNNNNNNNNNNNNNNNNNNNNNNNNNNNNNNNNNNNNNNNUGAUCGUGUCAUUUUGUUGCUACUGUUUUCUGCGUGUCAAGUAUUUAUUCCUAUGACCAUGAGAUCAUAUAACUCACUGACACCGGAGGAAUGCUUUGUGUGUAUCAAACGUUGCAACGUAACUGGGUGACUAUAAAGAUGCUCUACAGGUAUCUCUGAAGGUGUUAGUUGAGUUAGUAUGGAUCAAGACUGGGAUUUGUCACUCCGUGUGACGGAGAGGUAUCUCGGGGCCCACUCGGUAAUACAACAUCACACACAAGCCUUGCAAGCAAUGUAACUUAGUGUAAGUUGCAGGAUCUUGUAUUACGGAACGAGUAAAGAGACUUGCCGGUAAACGAGAUUGAAAUAGGUAUGUGGAUACUGACGAUCGAAUCUCGGGCAAGUAACAUACCGAAGGACAAAGGGAAUGACAUACGGGAUUAUACGAAUCCUUGGCACUGAGGUUCAAACGAUAAGGUCUUCGUAGAACAUGUAGGAUCCAAUAUGGGCAUCCAGGUCCCGCUAUUGGAUAUUGACCGAGGAGUCUCUCGGGUCAUGUCUACAUAGUUCUCGAACCCGCAAGGUCUGCACACUUAAGGUUCGACGUUGUUUUAUGCGUAUUAGAGUUAUAUGGUUGGUUACCGAAUGUUGUUCGGAGUCCCGGAUGAGAUCACAGACGUCACGAGGGUUUCCGGAAUGGUCCGGAAACGAAGAUUGAUAUAUAGGAUGACCUCAUUUGAUUACCGGAAGGUUUUCGGAGUUACCGGGAAUGUACCGGGAAUGACGAAUGGGUUCCGGGAGUUCACCGGGGGGGCAACCCACCCCGGGGAAGCCCAUAGGCCUUUGGGGAGACACACCAGCCCUUAGUGGGCUGGUGGGACAGCCCAAAAGGGGCCUAUGCGCCAAGGAUAAGAAAUCAAAGGAAAAAGAAAAAAAAAGGGAGGAGGUGGGAAGGGAGGGGGACUCCCUCCCACCAAACCUAGUCCAACUCGGUUUGGGGGGGGGAGAGUCCUCCCCCUUGGCUCGGCCGACUCCUUGAGGGUCCUUGGACCCCAAGGCAAGGCCCCCCUCCCUCCCACCUAUAUAUACGGAGGUUUUAGGGCUGAUUUGAGACAACUUUUGCCACGGCAGCCCGACCACAUACCUCCACGGUUUUCCCUCUAGAUCGCGUUUCUGCGGAGCUCGGGCGGAGCCCUGCUGAGACAAGGUCAUCACCAACCUCCGGAGCGCCGUCACGCUGCCGGAGAACUCUUCUACCUCUCCGUCUCUCUUGCUGGAUCAAGAAGGCCGAGAUCAUCGUCGAGCUGUACGUGUGCUGAACGCGGAGGUGCCGUCCGUUCGGUACUAGAUCGUGGGACUGAUCGCGGGAUUGUUCGCGGGGCGGAUCGAGGGACGUGAGGACGUUCCANNNNNNNNNNNNNNNNNNNNNNNNNNNNNNNNNNNNNNNNNNNNNNNNNNNNNNNNNNNNNNNNNNNNNNNNNNNNNNNNNNNNNNNNNNNNNNNNNNNNAAAAGAUGGGGUUUUUUUCAUUGGUUUGAGAUUAUCCCUCUACAUCAUGUCAUCUUGCUUAAAGCGUUACUCUAUUCGUCAUGAACUCAAUACACUUGAUGCAUGCUGGAUAGCGGUCGAUGUGUGGAGUAAUAGUAGUAGAUGCGGAAAGUAUCGGUCUACUUGUCUCGGACGUGAUGCCUAUAUGCUAGAUCAUUGCCUUAGAUAUCGUCAUGACUUUGCGCGGUUCUAUCAAUUGCUCGACAGUAAUUUGUUCACCCACCGUGAUAUUUGCUAUGAUGAGAGAAGCCUUUAGUGAACACUAUGGCCCCGAGGGUCUACUCCACACCAUAUUUUCAGCCUUACACUUUUUACUUCGCUGCACUUUCCGCCUUCAGAUCUCACUUUUGCAAACAGUCUUGAAGGGAUUGACAACCCCUUUGAAGCGUUGGGUGCAAGUUGUUUGUUUUUGCGCAGGUACUUUGGACUUGACGAGGCCCUCCUUUUGGUUCGAUACCUUGGUUCUCAAACUGAGGGAAAUACUUACUGCUCCUGCGUUGCAUCACCCUUUCCUCUUCAAGGGAAAAACCAACACAAAUCAGAGAAGUAACAAGAGGAAUUCCUACGCGCCAGGGAAGGACUUUUGUUGCCGUAGCAAGCCCCCUCAAUGCAACCGGAAGCAACUGCGUCAUAAUCACGUGACAAUCAUGAGACUUCAGGUUCUGGAAUUUUUUCUCUGCCAUAUUUACUAUUCCCUUUAUAUUAGACGAGAAGCCAGCGGGGACCUUCAUACUGCUCUGACAUUCAAAAAAAUUCCUUCUCUCCUUUGGUAAGAGCGUAGCUACUUAAGUAUUGACGCCCUUUAUCAGUCUUCUUGUCGUAUGGGUCUUUCAUAUGUUGCUGCUCCUCCCGUGCUUCUGUGGUAUCUUUUGACUUCCCAUACACGCCCAGGAAGCCUAGCAGGUUCACGCAAAGAUUCUUCGCCAUGUGCAUCACGUCGAUUGAAGACCGGACCUCUAGGUGUUUCCAAUAGGGUAGCUCCCAAAAUAAAGAUUUCUUUUUCCACAUGGGCACGUGUCCGGUAACGUUGUCUUUCGGAACAGAUUGACCACCAGGACCCUUUCCAAAGAUUACUAUUUGAUCCAAAUCCUUGACCAUAGGCAAUAACUCAUCACCAGUAGGGAGGUUAGGCUUCUUGUGGCGAUCUGCCUCACCGUUGAAAUGCUUGCCUUUCUUUCUUACGGGAUGAUUGGUCGAUAGAAAUUGACGACACCCCAGGUAGACAACCUUCUUAGAUUUUUCCAAAUAUGUACCUUUAGUCUUAUCUAAAUAGUGUGUGCAUGCAUUGUAUCCCUUGUUUGACUGUCCUGAAAUGUUACUAAGAGCAGGCCAAUCAUUGAUGGUUCGAACAACAAUGCUCGUAGGUCAAAUUCCUGAUGUUUGUGCUCAUCCCACACACGUACACCUGGUUUGGCCCACAACUGCAAAAGUUCAUCAACUAAUCGUCUUAGGUACACAUCAAUGUUGUUGCCGGGUUGCUUCGGUCCUUGGAUGAGCACUGGCAUCAUAAUGAACUUCCGCUUCAUGCACAACCAAGGAGGAAGGUUGUAGAUACAUAAAGUCACGGGCCAGGUGUUGUAACUGCAGCUCUGCUCCCCAAAAGGAUUCAUGCCGUCUGUACUUAGACCAAGCCAUAAGUUCCUUGGGUCAUCUGCAAAGUCCGGCCACUCCCUCUCGAUUUUCCUCUACUGCGACCCAUCUGCGAGGUGUCUCAACUUUUUCCCGUCUUUCUUAUGCUCGUCUUUGUGCCAUCGCAUCAACUUUGCAUGCUCAUUGUUUCUGAACAAACGUUUCAACUGUGGUAUUAUAGGAGCAUACCACAUAACCUUAGCAGGAACCUUCUUCCGGUGGGGCUCGUCAUCGCCCUCAACAUCACCAGGGUCAUCCGGCCUGAUCUUGUACCGACUUGCAGUGCAUACCGUGCAUUUAUCCAUAUUCUCGUACUUCUCACCAUGGUACAGGAUGCAGUCAUUAAUGCAUGCAUGUAUCUUCUGCACAUCUAAUCCAAGAGGGCAGGUAGCCUUGUUUGCUUCGUACGUAGUCUCGGGCAAUUCGUUAUCCUUUGGAAGCUUCGGCUUCAAUAUUUUCAGUAACUUCUCAAAUCCCUUAUCAGAUAAACCAGUUUCUGCCUUCCAUUUCAACAGUUCCAGUGUGGUACCGAGCUUUGUGCUGCCAUCUUCGCAAUUUGGGUACAACAACUUUUUAUGAUCCUUUAGCAUGGCCUCCAACUUCAGCUUCUCCUUUUCUGUAUCGCAUUCUCUCUUUGCAUCAGAAAUUACCCGACCAAGACUAUCAGCGGGCUCAUCUGAUGCCGGUUGUUCUUCACCUCCUUCUUCUUCAUUGUCUUCCAUUGUAGUAUCACCGUGUUCUUUAGUGAACAUAGGAUAGUUGUCAUCAUCAUCUUCUUCUUCAUUGUCUUCCAUCGUAACCCCUCUUUCUCCGUGCAUGGUCCAACAAUAAUAUGAGGGCAUGAAACCUUUCUGAAGCAAGUGGAGACGAAUGGUUUUCGAGCUAGAGUACUCCUUCACCUUUAGACAGCCAACACAUGGACAAGGCAUAAAAUGAUUCACUUUGUUUGCCUUAGCCACAUCAAUAAAUUUAUGCAGGCCUGCAAUAAAUCUGGAAGUGCGUCGUUCGCCGUACAUCCAUCGCUUCCGUGCAUCGAUCCGGCAUCAUACAUGAAUAGUGAAAUGACCACCGUACAUUGACACAUGCAAUAUUUUUUUAUCAAUUACACAUGAAGAAAGUUGCUAACAUCGGGAGAGGAUACCAUUUCGUGUGAACUUUAGUGUGACUCGGGCAUUAAUUAGUCCCGGUUCGUAAUAUACUCCGAAGUGCGUCGGUCACCGUACAUCCAUUAGCGGUUCAUCUCUAUUAUGAAACUAAGUAUAUCAAAAAACCAUUGCAGAACAUCAUGAAUAAAGAAAUGACCAAAUUAAUACAAGUUCAUCAUCACAUUAAAACCAAAGCUCAGUAGUGAUCAAACGUUAUUAUUGAAAAAAUAAAUACAUAAAGUUCUCUUAUGAAACAACACACAACUAUGUAAAACAUUUAAAUGCAACAACAAAUGCGAUCAAAAUCGCAACUAAGGUAACAAUUGACCCAGCAGCAUAAUGAUACCAAGCCUCUUUAGCAAUGACAUAUUUUCUAAUAUUUCUAAUCUUCAAGCGCAUUUCAUCCAUCUUCGAGCGCAUUGCAUCUAUCUUCAAGCGUUGUGCAUCCAUCUUCAACAACAUCGCAUCGAUCUUCAUCUUGCGAUCAUUGAUGACAUCGGCGACAUGCAACUCCAAUUCCAUAUUCUUGUCCUCAAUUUUUCCUUGAAGUAUUUGUUUUCUUUUUCAACCAAAUUUAACUUCUCGAGAAGAAUUUCUAUGUGGGUUGGAAUUUCCGGUUCAACUACCUCCUAGAUUAAAAAAUAUAUGUCACGUUGGUCGUCAUAAUUGUCAUAAACAAUAAAUAAAACAAAUAGUUAUAAAAGAUAAUAUAUACCACAUCCGAAUCAUAGACAGGACGAGGGCCGAGGGAGGCGGAUACCAAAACCAUCAUGCUAUAUAAUAACAGAAAAUAAUAAAAGUAAGUAAUUUAUACAAGUAUGUAUCUAAAUCAUACAAGUAAGAAUUUUUUUUCUUUUAAAAAGAAGACAAGAACAAGAGGCUCACCACCGUGGUGCUCGCGACGAGAUUGGCGCGAGGCGAUCGACAACAGUGAGGACGGGCACGGGACGGCACCCUACCCAUGUGCAGACUCUAAGAAGUUAAUUUGAGCAUUUCAAAUGAGCUAAACUAGCAGUGACACAUGAAAGGAUGAAGUAGCUAACCUUUUAAAACACUUGUGGAGUUGGUGUACGGCCAAACGUAGACAAAUAUUGAGGAAAAUGAAGUUUGGAGGUCGAGUUUGGAGAGGACAAAGCUUAACUAGUGUGGCUCGGACAUUUCAUCGAACACGUCAAGUGCAUGAACUAGAGUGGCAAGGGUGGCAUAUGGCAUGGGCACACUUUAGCCAAAACACACAGAGAGUGGGCAGGUGCGACGGUAUAUAUAGGCAGAACUCUAGUCCCGAUUUUUCUCUAAAACCGGGACUAAUAGCCUUCCUUUAGUCCCAGUUCGUGCCACAAACCAGGACUAAUGAUCCCUGGCAUGCCACAUAAAAGUCGCUGGAUCUUUAGUCCCCGGUUUUUCCCUAAACCAGGACUAGUGAGGUGAACAGAACCGAGACCAAUGCCCCGGCAAACCGAACCAGGACCAAUGACUGUCAUUGGUCCCGGUUUUAAUUUGAACCGGGACUAAUGGUCUUUCGGCCCUCGGCUGAAAAAUUCUUUUUCUAAUAGUGACAUCGAAUACUUGACGCUCGAAGAUCAACAGGGUCAAACCACCUUUAUUCCGGCCGAGUCAACAUCUCCCAGGCCAUCGACCGGUUGCAGAGGAGAAGACGAACGUGCCGACCGCGCUGGUCAUCCGGCGUUGCGCGAGUGGCAGCAAACAUUCAAACGAAACUUCCUAGAAACCAUGUUCGAGAGUUUUGAGAAACCCUGGGGAAAAUGGGCGCAAGGCAGAUCUUGUUGUGGUGUGGUCCAUUGAUAGGGGGAUGCAAGAGUUCGUGAGCCUCGUCGAGGCGGUGGCCAGUGCCGUUGGCCCUUGGGGUGCUUGCAGGAGGCUCGGGAAAGAAGAGAGCAAAAAGGCUCACCGUGUCCGAUGAAUUUUGCUCGAUGGCGGUUGUACAGAACUGAUGAAAACGACAGCGAAGUGUCGUCUUUUGGUGGUCUUCGCCCAACGAAUCGUGUUGGAGGAUGAGCAUGAUGUGGUGGAUCCUGUGGACAUGACCGCAAGUUGUGGGGCGGCCAUUGGCCACGAACUUGCUCGCCGGUGGCCAUGACAAUGCUCUUUUUGUGUGUGAGAGAAAUAAAAACGGAGGGAAAAGGAGAGAGGUGCCCUAUUUCACAUCAUCUGCUACGACAAAAAAUGAUUUGGUGCCCAAAAACCUUCUCUCUCUUACCUAAUUUUAUUGGUGUUCUAUUUUGCAUCAUUUUUUGGAGAUGCUCUUAGGGUUCUCGGUCAACCUCCCCUCUCUAGGCCCACCACUUGCUGUUGUCUUGAGCAGGCAGCAAAACGAUGGCCAUGUAACAUCCCGAAGUUUGUGAAACAUGUGAUGAAGAGUGUUGUUUUGCAUCAUGUUUAAAUUCAAAUUGAAAAGUAGGCGAAUUUAAAACCUCAAAUAAACUUUGUAAAUGCACUACAUAUUAUAGUGUAACCUAAAUGUCCUUAAAAAAUCAAGAAACUUAUGUGGGAGCUUCGUGUAUACGUUAGGAAGCCUGACCACCCCCCCCCCCCACCCCACCACACACACACCCUAAUAUUCCAUGAAUUACGAAUGACUUGAACCUUGCCAACUAAAUUUCUUCAAGCAAUUCUUUUCCAAGAAGUUCAACUCAUGAAAAUAUUCAAAUUGUUUUGAAAUUAUAGGAGGAGAGUUACUGAACUAAAGUUGCAAAAAAAAUUUAAAUAGUUGUGGAAAUAAACCCAUAAAAAAAAUUCUACAUAGUCUCAAUUAGAUUUGAACAAUUGAAAUUAUAUUUAAUAUUAUAAAAACAGAAUAUAUAUAUUUUAAUUAUUAGCUGAUUGAAAUUGUUGUUUCUAAAUCAACCAAGAUGUAUAAUGUGAGAUCUAAGGGUGUGGCUAGGUCUCAGCCGAUUGAGAUUUAACCAAGUCUCAAUCGACUCAGAAUUAGUAAAGUCUCAAUCAAGUAACAUUACUUACAAAAGAAAAAGAAAAGUGAAAAAAAAAUACUGCACGGAUCUUAAUGUAAGAUCUCAUAAUUGUAUCAUCGACUGAGACUUAAUGAAGUCACCGUCGACUAAGAGCAUCUCCAACCGUUCCGCCCCCCCCCCCCCCUCCCCCAAGGGCUAUUUUUAGGCAAAAAUUAGCGCCUCUUGGGGGCUCGUCGGCGCUAUUUUUAGGAUGGGGGGCCCUAGCUCCCAGUCCGCCCCCCCCCCCAAGUUCACCCCCCAGCCGCCGAGUUCCAACUCAAUAUUUAUCACAUAGAUCAAUUCAAAUAAAAUAGUUUAACAAAACAAGCUCAUAAUUUGAACACAAAUUAGGACACAUCGAACUAGGUGUUGCCCUUGAGCCUCCAUAGGUGAUCCACCAGAUCGUUCUACAGUUCUUGAUGCGCCUAUGGGUCUGGGAUCUCCUGACUCAUAUUGAGGANNNNNNNNNNNNNNNNNNNNNNNNNNNNNNNNNNNNNNNNNNNNNNNNNNNNNNNNNNNNNNNNNNNNNNNNNNNNNNNNNNNNNNNNNNNNNNNNNNNNAAAGCCAUCUGGCUGUUGCAUAUAGAUUCUCAUUAGCNCUCCGUUCNGAAAAGCCGCCUUAACGUCCAUUUGAUGAACGAGGAAGACCGAUGAGACUUCCAGGCACGCCGGCAUGAUUGGAUCGAUGCUUCUCGGCACGACAUUGUCAUCUUUCCUACUUAAUGAGACUGUAGGACAACAAAUUUGCCACCGUAAGGGCCUGCGAUAGGGAGACCCGCUUUUGUCCCUCCUCUACAUCAUCGCCAUCGACCCUCUCCAGAGGCUGGUGCAGCAAGCGACAUAGUUAGCCCUGCUCGCCCCUACCUGGCAAAGACAUCUCCCUCCGAGUUAGACUAUAUGCUGAUGACGAUGUAAUCUUCGCCAACCCUGAUAGAGCGGAGGUCAGUACCCUGCUCGACAUCCUCCACGAUUUUGAACUCACAAUAGGAUUGCAAGUGAACCCCCUCAAAAAACAGCUGUCACCGCUAUCCGCUUCGAGGAGAUCAACUUGCAGGAUGUUCUGCUUAGUUUUGGUGGGGGCGACAGUGGGUUUUCCCCUAAAAUACCUGGGCCUCCCACUAACCCUCUCCGGAUUGCGCCUCGUCCACAUCCAGUUCAUACUGGAUCGGAUCAGAGCAAGACUUGCGGGAUGGAAGGGCAAACUCAUGUCUAUCGCUAGCAGACGGGGGUUUCACCAUUGCCCGGGUUNUGGACCGAGGUCGAGCGCUGACAAGGUCAUGUCGGCCAUCGUCGCAACGCCAUUCCAUGGCCUGUCCAGGCUUGCCAGGACCAGCCAGAGCCAACGGNNNNNNNNNNNNNNNNNNNNNNNNNNNNNNNNNNNNNNNNNNNNNNNNNNNNNNNNNNNNNNNNNNNNNNNNNNNNNNNNNNNNNNNNNNNNNNNNNNNNUGCUCCUUAAUUAAUGAUUCCGUCAAAUGUUUAUUUCGCCGAACCUAGGCGUUACGCUCUUAAGGAAGGGUACGUUUUUCCAGGACCUACCCAAGAGUGGCCCAAACAAAAUUUAUAGAAAACCAGACAAAAAAAAGGGUUCGGCCCAAUUAGUUUGUUUUUCUUUUCUGAAAAAAAAAUGUCAUCAUUAAAUUUACCAUGUAUGGUGCUACGCAUCGGCCGACGGAGAAGUAGAAUAACAUCCGCCUACUUUGGCUAGGCCGUUGGAUUGAUGCGGGGAGCCGUCCGAUCUAGCUAUCUAAGAGCAAGUACAAUAAGGUACAAUACAGCAGGCUGUAAGGAUUAAAAUAAUAUAUUUUUAGCUGAGUUGGAUGAGAAAGUAAGAGGAGUAAAGAAGGGAAACGGGCUCUUCGUGAAGAGCUAGCUCUAGCACGUGCUCCUAGAUGCUUUGUGAGAAUGAAAGGUGGCCAUAUAUGAUAAAAGAAUACUCUUUUAUAGCUAACUAUUGUACAAGCUAGCUAUAAGAUUGGGACUAUAAGAUGGCUAUAGCCAACAGUGGCUAUNUUACGUUAACAAGUGCUUACCUAAGUUAGUGUAACCUUAANACUUUCCUUACGUUUUUACGUACCCGAAAAACNNNNNNNNNNNNNNNNNNNNNNNNNNNNNNNNNNNNNNNNNNNNNNNNNNNNNNNNNNNNNNNNNNNNNNNNNNNNNNNNNNNNNNNNNNNNNNNNNNNNGGUUGCAUAAANAAAAUGUUGUAUACUAUUUGGAAGGCNUUAAAUUUGGUAGUAGUACAUAGACUCCGUAAGGGUACCCCCGAUCUUGACGUAAAAGUCGUGAGCUAGGAAACAAAAAAAUCUCAACUGAACAGGGUGAUGUAUGCUAAACGAAAAAUAAAAAGCGUUUGUGGUCUGCAAAACGAAAAAAAUAAGCAAAGGCCUUCCGGUUGGCAUAAAUAAAAAUGCUAUGAAACAGAAAAAUUAAAUAAACGGUCACUUGGUUGAACAAUUUCAGUAUUUUAUACUAAUUUUAUUUUCAUUUAAAGGCAGAAUUUUGUCAUCCCGUUGACGUGAUUCUCGACAAGUCGAGAAUUGUACCUUUUUUCAAGCCUGAUCAUCUAUAUGAAGUAUCUUAUACAACAUAGCAAGGUAGCCUAUAUGAAAUAACAAACUGGUACAAUAACAACAAAGUGCUACUCAAAGCGGAGUGAUAAAAAAACGAAUUGAAAACAUGCAUUUCAGAAUCCCCUCCAUUCAAAAAAAAAAAUUUAGGUAAAAAGACAAAAACAAUAAAUAGAAAGCUGCAACGGAGGAACUUAGCUGGAUUUGUGGCAAUUUGCUAUUGUUGCUUGAUAGCAGUUGCUAUAUUUGNGACUGGUGUAGGAAGUUCUAGCUNNNNNNNNNNNNNNNNNNNNNNNNNNNNNNNNNNNNNNNNNNNNNNNNNNNNNNNNNNNNNNNNNNNNNNNNNNNNNNNNNNNNNNNNNNNNNNNNNNNNUUCAUCAUCAUCAUCGCCCCUCCAAUGACUCGUGAGUAGUUCACUUUCAGACCUACGGGUCCGUAGUUAGUAGCUAGAUGGCUUCUUCUCUCUCUGUUGGAUCUUCAAUACAAAGUUCUCCAUGAUCUUCAUGGAGAUCUAUCCGAUGUAAUCUUCUUUGGCGGUGUGUUUGUCGAGAUCCGAUGAAUUGUGGAUUUGUGAUCAGAUUAUACUUUGAUAUAUAUUUGAGUCUUUGCUGAUUUCUUAUAUGCACGAUUUUCGAUAUCCUUGUAAGUCUCUCCGAGUCUUGGGUUUUGUUUGGCCAACUAGAUUCUAUGAUUCUUGCAAUGGGAGAAGUGCUUGGUUUUGGGUUCUACCAUGUGGUGACCUUUCCCAGUUGACAGUAGGGGCAGCAAGGCACACAGGGUCUAAAGGGUGUUCGCCUACGUUUACGAAACGGGGUUAAAAAAAGUAGGUUUACGGGGGUUUUUUAGGUCCGUUAACGUUCGGUUUACGGUAACGGUUAAAGGGUUUCGUUAACCCGUUCGAAACGUCNNNNNNNNNNNNNNNNNNNNNNNNNNNNNNNNNNNNNNNNNNNNNNNNNNNNNNNNNNNNNNNNNNNNNNNNNNNNNNNNNNNNNNNNNNNNNNNNNNNNGUCGGCAUCGAACGACCGACAAACUAACCAAACAAAUAAGUUAACUUUAGAACAAAAAGGAAAAUAGAACGAAACAACCGGACAAUACAACCUAGUCUCCCUGUCUGGCAACUGUAGCAUGUUUCGUUGACCAGAACCACCCCUNUAGCAGCAAAGUUGCAUCCGCUCGCUCUUUCUGUCUUUCUUAUUUUUAUUUUACAUCCUUGUAACUAUAUUGCUCCGUGUUGAUAUUGUUGUAUGAAUUGGCCUGUUGUUCUAACAAUAGAAGUGAGCUGCAUUUUUUUUUCAAUAAAGUUGAUUUGUUUGCAGAUUCUUGUAUGGGCAGAAGAAAGAUAGAAUUGACUUUGCGUAUAGACUAUCCUAUGGAUGUCGAUGGCUAUCACCGGCCAAAGGMGGCUAACGCCAGAUGUUGUAGAGCGUUAGCGAGGAGCUCCCGGACGAAGAUGGCGGUGGCUAAUGAGCACAGUCUACUCGUUGAGGAGGUCUUACACAUUCAUGUGCAUUCUUGGUUUUAGAAGAAACUGGACUGGUUUGAUUUGAUUGAGUUCGACUUUGAUUCAGUAGUUGUGCUAUUGUUAAAUCCUCGGAUGCAAUAUUUAUUUGGCAGGUCUUUACUAAAAUGGGUCACUAAAGUUGGAGAGGAAGAAAAAAUACGUCAUUGCAUAUUGUUACUUGCCCGAGAUUCGAUCGUCAGUAUCCGCAUACCUAUUUCAAUCUCGUUUACCGGCAAGUCUCUUUACUCGUUCCGUAANNNNNNNNNNNNNNNNNNNNNNNNNNNNNNNNNNNNNNNNNNNNNNNNNNNNNNNNNNNNNNNNNNNNNNNNNNNNNNNNNNNNNNNNNNNNNNNNNNNNAGCUACUAACUACGGACCCGUAGGCUGAAGUGAACUACUCACGAGUCAUUGGAGGGGCGAUGAUGAUGAUGAAGAAGACCCUCCAACUCCAAAGUCCCUCCGGCAGUGCGCCGGAAAGGGUCUUCAGAUGAGAUCUCGCGGAAACGGAAGCUUGCGGCGGCGGAAAAGUUUUUUUUGAGGCUCCCCUGAWUUUUUGCUGAAUAUUUGGGAAUAUAUAGGCCAAGGAUUUAGGUCGAAGGGGGGCAGGGAGGCCACAAGCCCUGACACCGCCGCCUCCCCCUGGUGGCAGGGUGGGAGCUUGUGGGCUCCCUGGAGCCCACCUGGCUUGGCCUAGAGGCCCCCUGAUCUUCUUUCGUUCGGGAAAAAAUCAUUUUGGGGUUUUUAUUCCGUUUGGACUCCGUUCCAAAAUCAGAUCUGAAAAGAGUCAAAAACACAAGAAAAAACAGGAACUCGCACUUGGCACUGAAUUAAUAAGUUAGUACCCAAAAAAWAAUAAAAGGUACAUAAAACAUCCAAAGAAGACAAGAUAACAACAUGAAACCAUAAAAAAUUAUAGAUACAUUUGAGACGUAUCAAGCAUCCCCAAGCUUAACUCCUACUCGUCCUCGAGUAGGGAAGUGAUAAAGAAUGAAUUUUUGAUGCUUUCAUGCUACCUAGCAUAGAUGUCCUUUGUAAUUCCUCUUAUGUGACGUGAAUGUUCAGAUCCAUUAGAUUCAAAAUAAUAGUUUGAUAUUGACGUGGANNNNNNNNNNNNNNNNNNNNNNNNNNNNNNNNNNNNNNNNNNNNNNNNNNNNNNNNNNNNNNNNNNNNNNNNNNNNNNNNNNNNNNNNNNNNNNNNNNNNUAUCCAAUACCCCGCUGAUGGUUAUUGGCCGGAGAGUUGUCCCGGUCAUGUCUGCGUGUCUCCCGAACCCGUAGGGUCUACACACUUAAGGUUACGAUGACGCUAGGGUUAUAGGGAAUUGUUAUACGAGGUUACCGAAAGUUGUUCGGAGUCUCGGAUGUAGAUCCCGGACGUCACGAGGAGCUCCGGAAUGGUCCGGAGGUAAAGAUUGUAUAUAGGGAUGGACUGGUUUUUGAACACCGGAAAUGUUUCGGGCAGUCACCGGUAAUGUACCGGGACCACUGAAAAUGGUCCCGGGGGUCCACCGGGAGGGGCCGACCAGCCCCAUGAGGUAGCAUUGGGCCAAAAGAGGGAGGGAAACCAGCCCAAAGUGCGCACUAUAGUGGAUACAUCUAUGCAGACAAGUAGUACUGCUAGGAUAAAUACGAACACUGAGGAUAAACGAGUCAUACCCUCCAAACUUAGGCCCAGUUGGCGUAGCAGCAGCGUUGGCAUGCCGNGCCGUAGCCGCAGCUNNNNNNNNNNNNNNNNNNNNNNNNNNNNNNNNNNNNNNNNNNNNNNNNNNNNNNNNNNNNNNNNNNNNNNNNNNNNNNNNNNNNNNNNNNNNNNNNNNNNACCCUUACCCCAUGUUGACAGGACUCCUAAGAAGUUAAUUUUGAGCAUUUUCCAAAUGAGCUAAACUAGCAGUGACACACUUGAAAGGGAUGAAGUAGCACCUUUUUAAAACACUUGUGGAGUUUGGUGUACGGCCAAAACGUARCAAAUAUUGAGGAAAAAUGAAGUUUGGAGGUCGAGUUUGGAGAGGGACAAAGCUUAACUAGUGUGGCUCGGACAUUUCAUCGAACACGUCAAGUGCAUGAACUAGAGUGGCAAGGGUGGCAUAUGGCAUGGGCACACUUUAGCCAAAAACACACAGAGAGUGGGCAGGUGCGACGGUAUAUAUAGGCAGAACUCUAGUCCCGAUUUUUCUCUAAAAACCGGGACUAAUAGCCUUCCUUUAGUCCCAGUUCGUGCCACAAACCAGGACUAAAUGAUCCCUGGCAUGCCACAUAAAAAGUCGCUGGAUCUUUAGUCCCCGGUUUUCCUAACCAACGGACGUAAUGAGGGUGGAACCAAGAAACCGGAACGGAACCGAAAAUUAGCCCCGGGCCCGAAAAACCCAAAAACCCGAAACGGGAACCCGAAACUUAGGAACGUAACGUUACGUACGUUACNNNNNNNNNNNNNNNNNNNNNNNNNNNNNNNNNNNNNNNNNNNNNNNNNNNNNNNNNNNNNNNNNNNNNNNNNNNNNNNNNNNNNNNNNNNNNNNNNNNNGAAGCUUGGCCCUGCAGGCAUGCUCAACCGCUGCAAGCCCAGAAUGCAAGCUUUAGCAGUCUUCGUGAGGUUGUAUUCUGUAUUUGCAGCCACGGGUUUCCUGUGCUACAUCUAGGCGUAGCACAAUUGCAGCUGMYAYAUSAAGUYRSAGCUWUGCAUUGYUSMAGRUGGCAUGAACUGCGAAACAAUUUCCACAUUGUCUUAACUGCGUACCAAAACUCAUAACUCAGAUAUUCAUUUCCAUGAUCAUAUCGUAGACAGUUUAUCCUCUUGUUACGACGAACUUCACUCUGAAACGGAAUUGAACUUUUCAACAUUUCAGACUUGUGAUUCAUUAAGUAAAUACUCCUGUAUCUACUCAAAUCGUCAGUGAAGUAAGAACAUAAUGAUAUCCACUACGUGCCUCAGCACCCAUUGGACUGCAUACAUCAAAAAUGUAUCACUUUCAACAAGUUACUAUCUUAUUUCAUCUCAAUGAAACAACAAUUAGGUUUUUGAUUGUUGAGUAAAUAGACAAUUUUUCCGAGUAUAUUAAUCCACGAGAUAAUAACUAGCAUGGCACUGACUAGACUAAUGAUGUACUGAUCUUGAGCUAACAUAGCACAUACUANNNNNNNNNNNNNNNNNNNNNNNNNNNNNNNNNNNNNNNNNNNNNNNNNNNNNNNNNNNNNNNNNNNNNNNNNNNNNNNNNNNNNNNNNNNNNNNNNNNNUGCUGUUUCCUGGAAGUCUUGCAAGCAAACGAUCUUAACGAGAUCGACAAUGGAAGCAGAAUUAACAGCAUUAGACACAUCUGGUGUCGAAGCAGAAUUUCUUUGAGAUCUUUUGAUGGACUUACCUGUGGUUGAGAAGCCGGUUCCGGCUAUCCUUAUGAACUGUGAUAAUCAGACGGUUAUUGUCAAAGUGAAGAGUUCAAAGGACAAUAUGAAGUCCAACAAACAUAUAAGAAUGAGAUUGAAGUCUGUCAGACGUUUGAGAAACUCCUAGCAGUCUGUCGUACGGUGUUCCUCCUGCACGCGCGGAUACCGUUAGAGGUGGUGCACUAAUGCUGCUCCGACGAACCUGUACACGGGAUCCGGUGACCGACUGUUCGAGGGAGAUCAGACGAGAAGGAGAUGGACCUCGCCAGACGCGCUGCCACAACUCUACUUCACUGGACGACACUGCGCGUCUAGUAAUAACGAUUUGUGAUCCAUCUUCAUAGCAUGUUCUUGGUUGUUCUGCACAUAGUAAAAUUUUAAUUUACAUGCAAUGAUUUUAUGAUAGAUUCCAACACUUAGUAGCCGUCACGUGUCGAGUUCUAGAUGUUCCCUUUGUAAUUUUUUUUUUAAUUUUUUUUCUACUACAUUGUUUUUUGUUUUUUUUAGUUAUUGUAGUUUUUUGGGGGGGUUUUUCGGGUUCUUUUUUUCGUUUUUUUCUUACCUUCGUUCUUUUUUAGUUCUUUUAGGUACGAAAAAAAAGUUUANNNNNNNNNNNNNNNNNNNNNNNNNNNNNNNNNNNNNNNNNNNNNNNNNNNNNNNNNNNNNNNNNNNNNNNNNNNNNNNNNNNNNNNNNNNNNNNNNNNNACAAAUUACUGUCGAGCAAUUGAUAGAACCGCGCAAAGUCGUGACGAUAUCUAUGCAAUGAUUAUAUCUAUAGGCAUCACAUCCAAAACAAGUAGACCGAUACUUCUGCAUCUACUACUAUUACUCCACACGUCGACCGCUAUCCAGCAUGCAUCUAGUGUAUUAAGUCCAUAAGAACAGAGUAACGCCUUAAGCAAGAUGACAUGAUGUUGAGGGAUAAUCUCAAACCAAUGAUAAAAAACCCCAUCUUUUUACCCUUGAUGGCAACUACUUGAUGUGUGCCUUGCUGCCCCUACUGUCACUGGGAAAGGUCACCACAUGGUAGAACCCAAAACCAAGCACUUCUCCCAUUGCAAGAAUCAUAGAUCUAGUUGGCCAAACAAAACCCAAGACUCGGAGAGACUUACAAGGAUAUCAAAUCGUGCAUAUAAGAAAUCAGCAAGACUCAAAUAUAUAUCAAAGAUAAUCUGAUCACAAAUCCAYAUAUCAUCGGAUCUCGACAAACACACCGCCAAAGAAGAKKACAWCGUACUUAAACUACCGGUACGUNNNNNNNNNNNNNNNNNNNNNNNNNNNNNNNNNNNNNNNNNNNNNNNNNNNNNNNNNNNNNNNNNNNNNNNNNNNNNNNNNNNNNNNNNNNNNNNNNNNNAAGGAAGAUAGAAAUGGCGACGUAUUUUAACUAAAAAUAGAAAAUUAAACCUUUUCCCUCAGCUACCGUASMCCCSGUUUCGGGUUGGUUCAUCUAGCAUCGUCAGRAGGKCUUGUGUAGGGUGGGGAGGGGGGUGGGGGCUUUGACGGCGGUGGUGUUGCUCGGAAUGUGUUGCAACCACAAAAAAAAGGUUCCCUCCUAUUGUACUGUCAGACAUUACAACAAAUGUCCGUUUCUUUGUUAAAUUUUCCAUUUUGUUUUCUGCUAUUUCANCUUUUUUUUUUGAAUAUAUGUUAAAUUAUUCAUGGUNUGAAAAAAUGUAUGGGCUCACAUUUUUGAAAAAUGUUAGUCACGUUAUUUUUACAAAGUGUUUCAUUUUUGUUGUAAAAAAUGUCCAUCACAUCUUUAACAACCUGUUCGUUCAUGUAUUUUGAAAAAUGAUCCAUCGUUUAUUGAAAAAAAUUGUUCAACGCGUUAACGAAAAAGUUGCUCGUAUAUUUUAAAAAACUAUGUCAUCGCGUUACUUUUUACCCAAAGGUUUUUCUACCUAGUACCGGUUCGUUGGGUUUUUUUAAAAAAAAAAAAAAAAAAACUUCCUAAANNNNNNNNNNNNNNNNNNNNNNNNNNNNNNNNNNNNNNNNNNNNNNNNNNNNNNNNNNNNNNNNNNNNNNNNNNNNNNNNNNNNNNNNNNNNNNNNNNNNGUGUUGGAGAUAUGUGGUAGAGGCAAUCAUGUAUGAUGAUAUUUCCUAUGUGUUUAUGAAUAAAGAUAGUCCUUGAACAUUAUCAAUGAUGUGUAUCAACAAGUAUGUGACUUGUUUGUAAGACUAUGCAUUGUAUGAUGACUGUCUUAAAAGGUCCCUAGUCAAAAGGGUUGUGUGGACGUGCAUCCAAUCAAACUAGCACAUGACAGGUGGAUGGUCCGGUCUCACUAACCAUGUAUGGGCCAAACCAGGUGUACGUGUGUGGGAUGAGCACAAACAUCAGGAAUUUGACCUACGAGCAUUGUUGUUCGAACCAUCAAUGAUUGGCCUGCUCUUAGUAACAUUUCAGGACAGUCAAACAACGGGGAUACAAUGCACUGCGACACACUAUUUAGAUAAGACUAAAGGUACAUAUUUSGARAAAAUCUAAGAAGGUUGGUCGUACCUGGGGUGUCGUCAAUUUCUAUCGACCAAUCAUCCCGUAACGAAAAGAAACGGGACAAGACCAAUUUUCGAAACGGGUCGAAGGGCCAGAUCGGCCANNNNNNNNNNNNNNNNNNNNNNNNNNNNNNNNNNNNNNNNNNNNNNNNNNNNNNNNNNNNNNNNNNNNNNNNNNNNNNNNNNNNNNNNNNNNNNNNNNNNCCGCCGUUGGACCGUGCGUCCACCCGAGCCACUGUCCCAAUUGGGCGUUUUCGUCCUACCUUUCGAAGGUGUUGGCCAACAGCCAACAGUUCCUACGCUAACAUGAUUGUAUGCAAAUAUAUAUAACAUAACAUUUGUUGACAAAGAAAAGUAGUACAUGUUUCCAAUAACAUAAUCCUUGUUAGCAAAAAAAAAUCAUAACAUUCAACUCUGUUAAAAAAAAAUCUACACACAUUUUUCUGUCAAUGUGAUCUUUGUUGUAAAAAAAUUCUGCAGCAUCUCCUCCAUUGUAAAGUUUUGAAUAACACGACCUAUGUUAUAAAUGUUUCUACAACUCCGUUCUUGUUGCAAGAGAGAUAGCACACUUAGAGCAUUGUUAAUAAUAUAGCCAACUGUUGGCUAAUAAGCCAUCUUAUAGCCCAUCUUAUAGCUAGCUUGUACAAUAGUUAGCUAUAAAAAGNGUUAUUACUUUUAUCAUAUAUGGCCACCUUUCAUUCUCACGAAAANCAUCGUUAGGAGCAACUGGCUAAGAGCUAAGCUCUUUCACGUAAAGCGGUCCCCGUUUUUUCCCCCGUUUACUUUUUCUCCCUUCUUUCCUUUACGUUCAACGUUCCCAACUUCCNNNNNNNNNNNNNNNNNNNNNNNNNNNNNNNNNNNNNNNNNNNNNNNNNNNNNNNNNNNNNNNNNNNNNNNNNNNNNNNNNNNNNNNNNNNNNNNNNNNNACCUUAGAUCUCACAUUANACAUCUUGGUUGUAUUUAAGAAAACAACUAAUUUACUAAUCAGCUAAUAAUUAAAUAUAUAUAUCUUGUUUAUAUAUAAUAUAUUCUAAUUGUUACAAUCUAAUUGAGACUAUGAGUAAUUUUUUAUGGGUUUAUUUCCACAACUAUUAAAUUUUUUUGCAACUUUAGUUCAGUAACUCUCCUCCUAUAAUUUCAAAACAAUUUGAAUAUUUUCAUGAGUUGAACUUCUUGGAAAAGAAUUGCUUGAAGAAAUUUAGUUGGCAAGGUUCAAGUCAUUCGUAAUUCAUGGAAUAUUAGGGUGUGUGUGUGGUGGGGGGGUKGGGGGGGGGGUGGUCGGGUCUUCCUAACGUAUACACGAAGCCUCCCACAUUAAGUUUCUUGUUAGUUUUUUAAGGACUAGUUUAGGUUACACUAUAAUAUGUAGUGCUAUUUAACUAAAGUUUUAUUUGGUUAAGGUUUUUAAACUUCCGUCCUUACUUUUACUAAUUUAGUAAAUUUAAACAUGAUGACAAAACACACUCUUCAUCACAUUNNNNNNNNNNNNNNNNNNNNNNNNNNNNNNNNNNNNNNNNNNNNNNNNNNNNNNNNNNNNNNNNNNNNNNNNNNNNNNNNNNNNNNNNNNNNNNNNNNNNAAAGGGUUUUACGGGGUGAAAGUNUCGGGAGCGAACUCCGUGCGGUCGGAUGACCAGUAGCCAAAGGACCGAAAGGGUGAGUAUCGAGGCGACCNCUUGGUGUCCCCGAACGGCUUGAGGCACUGGCCCCACCUCACUGUGGUGACGGCAUCGACAUGCCCCUGGACAAAAAAAUUGAACGAAGACCUAUAGUGAACAAAAAUCCAAAAAGAGUUCUCUCAGUUGUGUCCACAAAUGCCUCGAAUUGUACACAAGUAUUUAUCCCAAAGUUCUUCCUGUAAUCCCCGAUGCAACUCUGAACCAUGCAACAUGAGCAUCAUACGAAAAGACAAAUAGUAAAUCAUGAAGGUAAAAGAGGGGGACAUCAAAUUCUAUUUUUUCAACAACCAGAUCAUGUUAAAACCACGGAAAAUAUUAGCUCUACUUAUGUUCCACCAACAAGAAAAGUAGAUAGAGAAGCAAGUCAUAUCUCAGGAUCAAGAACAUAAGGAAGCAUUUACCAUUGAACCUGAAUAUGCAAUGACGUNUUUUUUCUCCNCUACCAACUUUUAGUGACCCAAUUUUUAGUAAAAGCCCUGCCCAAAAUUAAAAUAUUUCGCCAUUCCGAGGAUUUAACAAUAGGCAACAACUACUGAAUCAAAUCGAACUCAAUCGAAAUCAAACCAGUCCAGUUCUUNAAAACCAGAUGCACAUGAAUGNGUUAGACCUUCCNAACGAGUAGCUGUGCUANNNNNNNNNNNNNNNNNNNNNNNNNNNNNNNNNNNNNNNNNNNNNNNNNNNNNNNNNNNNNNNNNNNNNNNNNNNNNNNNNNNNNNNNNNNNNNNNNNNNUGGUUAGUUAGCACUAUAGAUGGUGUGGAAGUGUGGUGGAGGGUUGCAAGAACAAAAAAGGAAGGAAGAUAGUCACAUUAACUAGGCAUAUCAAUAGAGCUGUGGAGGAUGCUCAUCAAUAAGAUAUCAAUAGUGAAUAGAGUAGGGAGUUGUCCACUACAAAAUAGAUGCACUAGAGGCUACGAGUAUGUGAAAGCUCUUAAAGAAAACUAGUGGGUGUGUAUCCAACUUGCUUGCUCACGAAGACCUAAGGCAAUUUUGAGGAAGCCUAUCAUUGGAAUAUACAAGCCAAGUUAUAUUAUGAAAGAUUCCCACUAGCUAUAUGGUGGUGACAAAAACGAGAGACUCUCAAUCAUGAAGAUCAUGGUGCUUAAUAUGCACAAGUAUGGAAAAAGUGGUAGCAUGUCCUUCUCUCUCUUCUCUCUAUUUUGUUGGUCGUUCGUUUUGGUCCGUCUUUUUUUCGUUGGGUUAGUUUCGUUUUCGGGUUCCUKUCCGGUUUUAACUUUUUCCCUUCCUNNNNNNNNNNNNNNNNNNNNNNNNNNNNNNNNNNNNNNNNNNNNNNNNNNNNNNNNNNNNNNNNNNNNNNNNNNNNNNNNNNNNNNNNNNNNNNNNNNNNUCCAUCCCCAACACACGUAACACCCUCGGUUUGGUACCCACAACUGCAAAAGUUCAUCAACUAAUCGUCUUAGGUACACAUCAAUGUUGUUGCCGGGUUGCUUCGGUCCCUUGGAUGAGCACUAGGACAUCAUAAUGAAACUUCCGCUUCAUGCACAAACCAAGGAGGAAAGGUUGUAGAUACAUAAAGUCACGGGCCAGGUGUUGUAACUGCAGCUCUGCUCCCCAAAAGGAUUCAUGCCGUCUGUACUUAGACCAAGCCAUAAGUUCCUUGGGUCAUCUGCAAAGUCCGGCCACUCCCUCUCGAUUUUCCUCUACUGCACGCAGGGGGGGAGGCGACGUCCCGAGCCAGCCAUGGCUGGGCGCGGAGCAGACACCCUGUCACGGCCGCUAAGCAGAAUCACGCAAACCGNGGACGGACGACGGGGGCCACGGAUCUGCGAGCGCCAUGGUCAUCGCCUACCUGCUCGCUCUCCCYUKUUCCCUUCCCSUYCCYUNCUCUCCUCUCUCGUCUACUCGUCUCGUACGUUCGUCCGUACGGUACGGUACCGGNNNNNNNNNNNNNNNNNNNNNNNNNNNNNNNNNNNNNNNNNNNNNNNNNNNNNNNNNNNNNNNNNNNNNNNNNNNNNNNNNNNNNNNNNNNNNNNNNNNNAAAUACCAUUAGACUAUGUUCAUGACAAUUAGUUCAAUUAAUCAUAUUACUUAAGAACUCCCACUCAAAAAAGUACAUCUCUCUAGUCAUUUGAGUGGUACAUGAUCCAAAUCCACUAUCUCAAGUCCGAUCAUCACGUGAGUCGAGAAUAGUUUCAGUGGUAAGCAUCUCUAUGCUAAUCAUAUCAACUAUACAAUUCAUGCUCGACCUUUCGGUCUCAUGUGUUCCGAGGCCAUGUCUGCACAUGCUAGGCUCGUCAAGCUUAACCCGAGUGUUCCGCGUGCGCAACUGUUUUGCACCCGUUGUAUGUGAACGUUGAGUCUAUCACACCCGAUCAUCACGUGGUGUCUCGAAACGAAGAACUGUAGCAACGGUGCACAGUCGGGGAGAACACAAUUUCGUCUUGAAAUUUUAGUGAGAGAUCACCUCAUAAUGCUACCGUCGUUCUAAGCAAAAUAAGGUGCAUAAAGRUAACAUCACAUGCAAUUCAUAAGUGACAUGAUAUGGCCAUCAUCAYGUGCUUCUUGAUCUCCAUCACCAAGGCACGACAGGGAUAGGNNNNNNNNNNNNNNNNNNNNNNNNNNNNNNNNNNNNNNNNNNNNNNNNNNNNNNNNNNNNNNNNNNNNNNNNNNNNNNNNNNNNNNNNNNNNNNNNNNNNGAUGAGGUUAAAUAGAAAUUCAUAUAUCUCCAUUGUGGUGUUUGCGUAAGUAAGAUGCAAUCCUACUAGAUACCCAUGGUCACCACGUAAAACAUGCAACAACAAUUAGAGGACGUCUAACUUGUUUUUGCAGGGUAUGCUUGUGAUUUGAUAUGGCCGACGAUGUGAUGUGAUAUAUUGGAUGUAUGAGAUGAUCAUGUUGUAAUAGUUUAUAUCGACUUGCACGUCGAUGGUACGGCAACCGGCAGGAGCCAUAGGGUUGUCCUUAUAACUAACGUUUGUGCUUGCAGAUGCGUUUACUAUUUUGAUAGGACGUAGCUUUAGUAGUAAUAGCAUGAGUAGCACGACAACCCCGAUGGCGACACGUUGAUGGAGAUCAUGGUGUAACGCCGGUGACAAGAAGAUCGUGCCGGUGCUUUGGUGAUGGAGAUCAAGAAGCACCUGAUGAUGGCCAUAUCAUGUCACUUAUGAAUUGCAUGUGAUGUUAAUCNNNNNNNNNNGACUAACGUUUGUGCUUGCAGAUGCGUUUACUAUAUUGCUAGGACGUAGCUUUAGUAGUAAUAGCAUGAGUAGCACAACAACCUCGAUGGCGACACGUUGAUGGAGAUCAUGAUGAUGGAGAUCAUGGUGUGACGCCGGUGACAAGAAGAUCAUGCCGGUGCUUUGGUGAUGGAGAUCAAGAAGCACAUGAUGAUGGCCAUAUCAUGUCACUUAUGAAUUGCAUGUGAUGUUAAUCCUUUAUGCACCUUAUCUUGCUUAGAACGACGGUAGCAUUAUGAGGUGAUCUCUCACUAAAAUUUCAAGACGAAAUUGUGUUCUCCCCGACUAUGCACCGUUGCGACGGUUCUUCGUUUCGAGACACCAAGUGAUGAUCGGGUGUGAUAGACUCAACGUUCACAUACAACGGGUGCAAAACAGUUGCACACGCGGAACACUCGGGUUAAACUUGACGAGCCUAGCAUGUGCAGACAUGGCCUCGGAACACAUGAGACCGAAAGGUCGAGCAUGAAUCGUAUAGUUGAUAUGAUUAGCAUAGAGAUGCUUACCACUGAAACUAUUCUCGACUCACGUGAUGAUCGAACUUGAGAUAGUGGAUUUGGAUCAUGUACCACUCAAAUGACUAGAGAGAUGUACUUUUUGAGUGGGAGUUCUUAAGUAAUAUGAUUAAUUGAACUAAUUGUCAAGAACAUAGUCUAAUGGUGUUUGCGAAUUACGAUGUAGCUUGCGCUAUAGCUCUACUGUUUUUAUAUGUUUCUAGAGAAAAUUUAGUUGAAAUUUGAUAGUAGCAAACUUUGCAGACUGAGUCUGUAAAACCGAGGAUUGUACUCGUUGCUGCGUGGAAGGCUUAUGUCCUUAAUGCACCACUCGGUGUGCUGCACCUCGAGCGUCGUCUGUGGAUGCUGUGAACAUCCGACAUACACGUUUCUGAUUACUACACAAUAGUUCAGUGCAAGAUACUUAAUGGCUUAGAAGCAAGGCGCCGAAAACGUUGUAAAACGUCACGGAACAUAAGUGAUGUUCUAAAGAGAUGAAAUUAUGAUUUNNNNNNNNNNNNNNNNNNNNNNNNNNNNNNNNNNNNNNNNNNNNNNNNNNNNNNNNNNNNNNNNNNNNNNNNNNNNNNNNNNNNNNNNNNNNNNNNNNNNAGGAGGCAGCCUCAAAACCCAAAGGUUUGGCCGAAAUUGGAGGUGGAGGAGUCCUACUCCAAUCCUACUUGGAGUAGGAUUCCACCUUCCCACUUGGAAACUCUUUCCACCUUGUGUUUUUUCCUUCUCAAACCUUAUGGGCCUUAGUGGGAACUUAUCCCAGCCCAAUAGGGGCUGGUUUAUGUCUUCCCAUAUCCCAUGAGACACCUUGGGGCAUGACACCCCUCCUGAUGGUCCCCGGCACCCCUCCCGGCACUCCCAGUACACAACCGAUGAGCCCGAAACUUUUCCUGUAAUGCACGAAAACCUUCCGGUAACCAAAUGAGGUCAUCCUAUAUAUCAAUCUUCGUUUCCGGACCAUUCCGGAAUCCCUCGUGACGUCCGUGAUCUCAUCCGGGACUCCGAACAACAUUCAGUAACCAACCAUAUAACUCAAAUACGCAUAAAACAACGUCGAACCUUAAGUGUGGAGACCCUGUGGGUUCGAGAACUAUGUAUACAUGACCCGAGAGAUUCCUCGGUCAAUAUCCAAUAGCAGGACCUGGAUGCCCAUAUUGGAUCCUACAUAUUCUACGAAGAUCUUAUCGUUUGAACCUCAGUGCCAAGGAUUCAUAUAAUCCCGUAUGUCAUUCCCUUUGUCCUUCGGUAUGUUACUUGCCUGAGAUUCGAUCGUCAGUAUCCGCAUACCUAUUUCAAUCUCGUUUACCGACAAGUCUCUUUACUCGUUCCGUAAUACAAGAUCCCGNNNNNNNNNNNNNNNNNNNNNNNNNNNNNNNNNNNNNNNNNNNNNNNNNNNNNNNNNNNNNNNNNNNNNNNNNNNNNNNNNNNNNNNNNNNNNNNNNNNNCGCUACGCUACAUCACCCUUUCCGCUUCGAGGGAACACCAACGCAACGCUCCAAGUCCACGAGGGAAAUCCUUUGCAUACUUGCCUAGGAAGUUCCUUAAGGCGUAGCUGCAGCAGAAGGAUCAAGCCAAGUAUUCUCCCAUCGACAUGCCUAUUUCUGGUGCCAUUGGAAGGUCUUUUGUUGCAGUAGCAGUCCUCACAUCCCUCGAUCCGCCCCGCGAACCGUCCCGCGAUCCGUCCCACGAUCCGCUCCGAUCUAGUGCCGAACGGACGACACCUCCGCGUUCAGCACACGUACAGCUCGACGAUGAUCUCGGCCCUUCUUGAUCCAGAAAGAGAGACGGAGAGGUAGAUGAGUUCUCCGGCAGCGUGACGGUGCUCCGGAGGUUGGUGGUGAUCUAAUGUCAGCAGGGCUCCGCCCGAGCUCCGCAGAAACGUGAUCUAAAGGAAAAACCGUGGAGGUAUGUGGUCGGGCUGCCGUGGAAAAGUUGUGUCAAAUCAGCCCUAAAACCUCCGUAUAUAUAGGUGGGAGGGGAGGGGCCUUGCCUUGGGGCUCAAGGAGCCCCAAGGGGUUCGGCCGAAGGGGGAGGAGGAUUCCUCUUCCAAUCCUAGUCCAACUAGGANNNNNNNNNNNNNNNNNNNNNNNNNNNNNNNNNNNNNNNNNNNNNNNNNNNNNNNNNNNNNNNNNNNNNNNNNNNNNNNNNNNNNNNNNNNNNNNNNNNNCGAUGAGAUCAUCGUGGAGCAAGUGGGAGCCACCAUGGGUAUCCAUACCCCGCUGAUGGUUAUUGGCCGGAGAGUUGUCCCGGUCAUGUCUGCGUGUCUCCCGAACCCGUAGGGUCUACACACUUAAGGUUCGAUGACGCUAGGGUUAUAGGCAAUUGUUAUACGAGGUUACCGAAAGUUGUUCGGACUCCCGGAUGAGAUCCCGGACGUCAUGAGGAGCUCCGAAAUGGUCUGGAGGUAAAGAUUGAUAUAUAGGAUGGAUGGUUUUGGACACCGGAAAUGUUUCGGGCAUCACCGGUAAUGUACCGGGACCACCGGGACCACCGGAAAUGGUCCCGGGGGUCUACCGGGAGGGGCCACCAGCCCCAUGAGGUAGCAUGGGCCAAAAGAGGGAGGGAAACCAGCCCAAAGUGGUCUGGUGCACCUCCCACAAGGAGGCCAAGGCGUAGGAGGUGGAGAGGGGGGAAACCCUAGGCGCUGGUGGGCCUAAGGCCCACCUAGGUGUGCGCCACCCCCUCCCCCUGCACUGGCCGCCGCACCUCCCAUCUGGGGGGCUGCCGCACCACCUAGGGUGGGAACCCUAGGGGUGGCACCCCNNNNNNNNNNNNNNNNNNNNNNNNNNNNNNNNNNNNNNNNNNNNNNNNNNNNNNNNNNNNNNNNNNNNNNNNNNNNNNNNNNNNNNNNNNNNNNNNNNNNGGAUAUUGACCGAGGAAUCUCUCGGGUCAUGUAUACAUAGUUCUCGAACCCACAGGGUCUCCACACUUAAGGUUCGACGUUGUUUUAUGCGUAUUUGAGUUAUAUGGUUGGUUACUGAAUGUUGUUCGGAGUCCCGGAUGAGAUCACGGACGUCACGAGGGAUUCCGGAAUGGUCCGGAAACGANNNNNNNNGGUUUUCGUGCAUUACAGGAAAAGUUUCGGGCUCAUCGGUUGUGUACUGGGAGUGCCGGGAGGGGUGCCGGGGACCAUCAGGAGGGGUGUCAUGCCCCAAGGUGUCUCAUGGGAUAUGGGAAGACAUAAACCAGCCCCUAUUGGGCUGGGAUAAGUUCCCACUAAGNNNNNNNNNNNNNNNNNNNNNNNNNNNNNNNNNNNNNNNNNNNNNNNNNNNNNNNNNNNNNNNNNNNNNNNNNNNNNNNNNNNNNNNNNNNNNNNNNNNNNNNNNNNNNNNNNNNNNNNNNNNNNNNNNNNNNNNNNNNNNNNNNNNNNNNNNNNNNNNNNNNNNNNNNNNNNNNNNNNNNNNNNNNNNNNNNNNNNNNNNNNNNNNNNNNNNNNNNNNNNNNNNNNNNNNNNNNNNNNNNNNNNNNNNNNNNNNNNNNNNNNNNNNNNNNNNNNNNNNNNNNNNNNNNNNNNNUUUAGGUUUUGAGACUGCCUCCUCCCCUCCAUCCAUCCUAUAUAUAGUGGGGUUUUAGGGCUGAUUUGAGACAACUUUUGCCACGACAGCCCGACCACAUACCUCCACGGUUUUACCUCUAGAUCGCGUUUCUGCGGAGCNNGGGCGGAGCCCUGCUGAGAUUAGAUCACCACCAACCUCCGGAGCGUCUUCACACUGCCGGAGAACUCAUNNNNNNNNNNNNNNNNNNNNNNNNNNNNNNNNNNNNNNNNNNNNNNNNNNNNNNNNNNNNNNNNNNNNNNNNNNNNNNNNNNNNNNNNNNNNNNNNNNNNAGGGUGGGGGGCCCCAACCCCCCCUCGCCCCCCCCCCCAAGUUCACCCCCCAGCCGCCGAGUUCCAACUCAAUAUUUAUCACAUAGAUCAAUUCAAAUAAAAUAGUUUAACAAAACAAGCUCAUAAUUUGAACACAAAUUAGGACACAUCGAACUAGGUGUUGCCCUUGAGCCUCCAUAGGUGAUCCACCAGAUCGUUCUACAGUUCUUGAUGCGCCUAUGGGUCUGGGAUCUCCUGACUCAUAUUGAGGAAGGCAAUCCAUGUUGUCAGUACGUGGUGAUCAACAUCUGCAAGAGGACUUUGCCUGAAAUAUGGUUCAGUGUCAAACACUGGCUCGUCCUACUCACUCUCNNNNNNNNNNNNNNNNNNNNNNNNNNNNNNNNNNNNNNNNNNNNNNNNNNNNNNNNNNNNNNNNNNNNNNNNNNNNNNNNNNNNNNNNNNNNNNNNNNNNNNNNNNNNNNNNNNNNNNNNNNNNNNNNNNNNNNNNNNNNNNNNNNNNNNNNNNNNNNNNNNNNNNNNNNNNNNNNNNNNNNNNNNNNNNNNNNNNNNNNNNNNNNNNNNNNNNNNNNNNNNNNNNNNNNNNNNNNNNNNNNNNNNNNNNNNNNNNGCUCGACAUCCUUCCUACAAGCCUCCUGACACUUAGCAAAGUAUGACUUCCCUCCUGGCACAAGGUUUGAAAUAGUCUUCACAAAUGUUGACCAUCUUGGAUAGAUGACAUCUACUAGGUAGUAUCCUUUGUUGUAGUGGCGCUCAUUGACCUCGAAGUUCAUCGGAGAAGCAUGACCUUCAGCAAGCUUGGCAAAAACAUCCGAGCACCGCAGGACGGUAUCGGCAUGACAUCGGAAAGGAAAUGGCGUUCUGCCGCACAUGGGUCGAAUCUGGGCGGAAAAGGAAAUUCUCGCCUGAUAGUGGUGGUCCACAGGCCACUUUCCCUUCCGCCGGGCAAAAAAGGCAAUUCUCGCCUGAUAGUGGUGGUCCACGGGCUACUUUCCCUUUCGUUGAAGCCCCCAAAUAUCCUCCAGCAUGUUGGGUUCGGCCUGGGAUUGUCGGUCCGAAAAGGCCCGAACCUGCGAAAUUCGGCGUCCUAUGGGCGUAACUCGGAAAACAAAUUGCGCCGGUGGAUAAAACGAUGGAGGGGGAAGGGGGCUGUGUUGGGGUGCGGCUGCAGAUGCUCUAAGAUUUAGCAAGACUAUAUACAUGAGAAGAAAACGUGAACAUAAAAUAUGCAACCGUUCAGUUGCACAUGGAAAACAAGUAAGUGACAUAUGAUUUUGAAUACAACCAACUUGGAACAAUAGAAAUAGGGAAACAUUUCCCUCCAACAGGCCGGCCAAACGCACUUCCUGUCACGCGCGAGGGAUCCUACGGCCGUAUCUUUGCUUCGCGUCCGCGUAGAAUGCAGGCACUGGUGGCCCCAACACACAUGUAUCUCCCUUAUCCUUAUCUUAUCACCUUAGAUUAGUUCUCCUCCACACAUUCCUCUCCAUCUUCUUUUUCCUAACCUAUCACCGUGGUCUCUCAUCCCCAAUGAACCGCAGAAGAUACGCCAUAAAUGAGAACUCGAACCGCUAUACUUUUUUCUCUCCCACACAAUGCGUCGCCCCAGCACAUCCUCAUCAUCGUCCGUUAGGUAGCAUACUAUGUCGUCGCAUCGCGAGGCACAUCAAGAUGCUCUACAAGACAUUGUCAUCGACAUCGAGCAGGAGGCAGGUCGGGCCAUUCCACAGCCAGCACCCUCCCGUGGAUAAUUGCAUCCUCGUCCUCAAUGAGGACUGUUCGGGAAUGUAGCAUGGGAAACAAAAAAUUUCCUAUGCACACGAAGACCUAUCAUGGUGAUGAUCAUCUACAAGAGGGAGAUCGGAUCUAUAUACCCUUGUAGAUCACUAAGUGUCGUGGUUUUGUCAUGGCAGAUGUCCUCGUGAGAGAACUUUAGGUGUGAGGCCAUCGCAACCAUGUGGCGGCUUGAAGGGGUUGGUCGGAAUCGAGAGACGCGAGUUUACCCAGGUUCGGCCCCUCCGAUGGAGGUAAAAGCCUACGUCUUGCUUGUGUUUCAUUGAUCAAGAUGAUGAUCUCGAUUACAAGGGUGCAGACUCGCCACCUCUAAUCUCGUGGGUGUCUAAUCUGUCUAUCUCAUGAUUUGUCUUGUCUAGACCUAACUUGUGUCUCCUGUCCCUCUUGGGGCGCCUUACCCCUCCUUAUAUAGGUGGAAGGGGUAGGUUUACAUGUAGAGUCCUACUAGGAGUAGGAACAGGACUAGUCUCUCUUGAAUCCUAAUCCGGGUCUUGUUUCCUUCUUGUGGGAGUCUUUCUUCUUGGGCCUUCUCUUGUGAGUCGGCCCUCCUGGCCUCUCUAUGAGUCGCCUUAUGCCAGGGUGCACGCUGGGCCUUGGGCCUUUGUCAUUUAUCUAAGUCGCCUGUGGGGACAAGUAUGAGUCGCCCGCCAGGUCAAUGCUGAGUCGCCGAUGAAUCGCCAAGUCCUUUGGCGGGUCAUACUCCAAGCCGGGUUACACUGCGGGGUAUAUCCCCGACACUAAGCGUGAAGCAUUAAGAAAUGUGGUUGAUGUAGUGGAACGUCUUCGCGAUCCAAAUUGCCGCCGUCCCACGAUCUGUCCCGUUCUAGCACCGAACGAACGGCACCUCCGCGUUCAGCACACGUACAGCUCGAUGGCGAUCUCCGCCUUCUUGAUCCAGCAAGAGAGACAGAGAAGUAGAUGAGUUCUCCGGCAGCGUGACGGCGCGCCGGUGAUGGUGGUGAUCUAUUCCUGCAGGGCUUCGCCUAAGCACCGCAGAAAUCCGAUCUAGAGGAAGAACUACAAACUAGAGGAGAGGGUAGCACGUGGUUGAAAUUGUCUCUCAAAAACCCUCAAACCUCUAGUAUACAUAGGAGGAAGUAGGGGCUAGGCUUGCGCACCAAGGGAGACUCCCCUGGGCUCGGCCGAACUUGGAGAGGAGUCCUCCUCCUCCAAUCCUACUUGGAUUAGGACUCCUCCCCAAGUUGUCUACCUCCUUUAGUUUUUCCACCUUUUGCUUUCUUUGGUUGACUAGUCAGCCCAUCAAGGACAGUUGCGCCACCAUCAAGUCCAUGUGGCCCCCUUGGGGAGUGGUGGGCCCACCUAGUGGAUCCCCGGUACCCAUUCGUCACACCCGGUAGACUGCCGGCAAUGCCCGAAAUCCUUCCAGAAUCCAAAUACCAACUUCCUAUAUAUAAAUCUUCGUUUAAGGACCAUUACGAAACUCCUCGUGACGUCCGGGGUCUCAUCCGAGACUCCGAACAAAACUUCGGUCAACAGCACCUAUAACUCAACUAUACCGAAAUGUCACCGAACAUUAAGUGUGCAGACCCUGCGGGUUCGAGAACUAUGUAGACAUGACCUGAGACACUCUCUGGACAAUAUCCAAUAGCGGAACCUGGAUGUCCAUAUUGGAUCCUACAUAUUCUACGAAGAUCUUAUCGGUUGAACCUCUAUGUCAAGGAUUCAUAUAAUCAUGUAUACCAUUCCCUUUGUACUUUGGUAUGUUACUUGCCCGAGAUUCGAUCGUCGGUAUCUCCAUACCUAUUUAAAUCUCGUUACCGGCAAGUCUCUUUACUCGUUCCUUAAUAGAAGAUCCUGUGACUAAAUCUUUAGUCACAUUGCUUGCAAGGCUUGUAUGUGAUGUUGUAUUACCGAGUGGGCCUCGAGAUACCUCUCCGUCACACGGAGUGACAAAUCCCGAUCUUGAUCCAUGCUAACUCAACGGACUCCUUCGUAGAUGCCUGUAGAGUAUCUUUAUAAUCACCCAGUAACGUUGCGACGUUUGGUACACACAAGGCAUUCCUCUGGUGUCAGUGAGUUACAUGAUCUCAUGGUCAUGGGAAUGAAUACUUAACAUGCAGAAAACAAUAGCAACAAAAUGACACGAUCAUAUGCUACGUUUAUAGUUUGGGUCUUGUCCAUCACAUCUUUCUCCUAAUGAUGUGAUCCCGUNNNCAAGUGACAACACUUGUCUAUGGCUAGGAAACCUUAAGAAUCCUUGAUCAACAUGCUAGUCAACUAGAGACUCACUAGGGACAUAGUUUUGUCUAUAUAUCCACACAUGCAUUUAUGUUCCAUUCAAUACAGUUAUAGCAUGGAUAAUAAAAGAUUAUCUUGAAACCGGAAUUAUAAAAAUAACUAUUUUAUUAUUGCCUCUAGGCCAUAUUUCCAACAAGGACGAGAAGGACGACAUGUUGAAGAAGCAGAAGAAAUGGGUAAAGGAGAUGUGGGGGUGUAGUGGCUGAGCUUCAUGGGGGCCAAAGGGGGUCGGUGCCCCCCCCCUAUUCUAGAAAAACUAUUAAGUGUGUCCCUAAUAUUAUUAAAAUUGAAUAAUAAAGUUUAUCCACUGUGUUGGUGGCUUAUGUUGUUGGUGUCUUUGGUGGCGACGAUCGCGUAAUCAGUAAUGAAUCUUCCGAGAGGGUUCUGGCAGGAUGACAAGGCCUGGCCACAUGAAGAUGAUGUGGGUGACCCAGUGAUUGGCUACGAGUUCCCGGAUAGUUAUGUGUGCUUCAAAGACGGCAUGGAAAUUACUACGAUGCAUGUAUUAUCUUGCCAAGAACUGGUGGUGCUGCGAGGUUGCAACAAAACAGGUGGACAAACGCAGAAAGAUGUGUGCUUCAAAGACGGCACGGAAAUUACUACGAUCCAUCUACCAUGUUGCCAAGAACUGGUGGUGCUACGAGGUUGCAACGAAACAGGCGGAUGAACGCAGGAAGAGAGCGACAAAGCGAAAGCGCGCCCUUGUUGUGUGUGUUGGGCGCAAUGAUAACCUUCUGGCUAUUACUCAUAUAUCAAGUAGAAGGCAUCAGUUCGUUGCUACUAUCUGACAUCAUUCUCCGGCUCCCUGGUACAUUAGCAAUAUAGAGUACAAUAAACAUUGUUUAGCUUCACAUAAAUUCUUUCACUCGAUUUAAAAUAUUGAACAUCAAUUUUGAUGAAAAUCAAUUGGGAUUCAUUCAUUUUUUUCGUCCAACUACAAGUUGACAGGUUCAAAACAUAAGUGUCAUUGUGUAAUGUAUGCCCCUUUGUCCUCUUUUGUCCCGCCUCACCUUUUUCUAUUAAUGAGCGCAUAAAAUUGUCAAAUGUAUUGAAGUGAUCCCAAAGAAAUCAGAAAAGGGGGUCAAAAAAGAACAACCUAAAGUAAAUGGGUCACUCCACUUGUUCUAAUAGAAUAGAGAAAAAGGUCAAAAAUGAAUGAACCAGACACCUCAACUUGGGGGACAACUUCUUCCAAGAUGUGAGGGACAAACCUGAAGGAAAUCUCACCUCUCUUCGUCAUCAACUAUCAGUUAGGCUCGGUUGUUUCUAAUUUUUUAUUUGUUCACAUGGUAUGUGUUAUUCUUGUGGUGUCAUUUUGUUUUGUUUUCCGUUUGAAUAAAAUUCUUGGAUGUGAAAGUUCCAAAUAAAAGAGAGUCCUCACAUAGCUACUUAGUUGUGUGACUACUCAUUGAUCUUCACUUAUAUUUUUUGGAGUAGUCUCUUAUUUACUUUCGUUCUUCACUUAUAUCUAAGAUAAAUUCAUGAGUGAAUUGAAUAUCACAAAUCUGAAAUUGUCCAUGUGCCUUUAUGCUAGUAGCAGUUUCACAUUGGGUUUAGAAAGUAAAAUCUAUUCAAGUAUGACAAUCAUAACAUUGGGCAUACAAGCAAUUCAUAAAAAAUAGUAUAAGGAAGAGAAAUUUCAUAUACAAUUAUAAUAUCUUGGACAUAUUUUACGAUUGUGAGUACCCAUUAAUUAUUUUCAAACUUGAUCAAGUAGUGGAUGUUGGACAAGGAAGACAAUGUAAUGGUUUAUUCAUAAAGGCACAUCCGCGACUACGUCGAGGGAGAGGACGUGAAUAUAUGCAAAGUGCACAUGGAUCUGAAUGUAGCAGACCCGCUGACUAAACCUCUUCCACGGCCAAAGCAUGAUCAACACCAGAAAUGUAUGGGUGUUAGAUUUAUUACAAUGUAAUUCACAUGGUGAUCUGAGGGCUAGAUUAUUGACUCUAGUGCAAGUGGGAGACUGUUGGAAUUAUGCCCUAGAGGCAACAAUAAAUAUAGUUAUUAUUAUAAUUCCUGUAUCAAGAUAAUAGUUUAUUAUCCAUGCUAUAAUUGUAUUGAAUGAAGACUCAUUUACAUGUGUGGAUACAUAGACAAAACACCGUCCCUAGCAUGCCUCUAGUUGGCUAGCCAGUUGAUCAAUGAUAGUCAGUGUCUUCUGAUUAUGAACAAGGUGUUGUUGCUUGAUAACUGGAUCACGUCAUUGGGAGAAUCACGUGAUGGACAAGACCCAAACUAAAUAGACGUAGCAUGUNNNNNNNNNNNNNNNNNNNNNNNNNNNNNNNNNNNNNNNNNNNNNNNNNNNNNNNNNNNNNNNNNNNNNNNNNNNNNNNNNNNNNNNNNNNNNNNNNNNNNNNNNNNNNNNNNNNNNNNNNNNNNNNNNNNNNNNNNNNNNNNNNNNNNNNNNNNNNNNNNNNNNNNNNNNNNNNNNNNNNNNNNNNNNNNNNNNNNNNNNNNNNNNNNNNNNNNNNNNNNNNNNNNNNNNNNNNNNNNNNNNNNNNNNNNNNNNNNNNNNNNNNNNNNNNNNNNNNNNNNNNNNNNNNNNNNNNNNNNNNNNNNNNNNNNNNNNNNNNNNNNNNNNNNNNNNNNNNNNNNNNNNNNNNNNNNNNNNNNNNNNNNNNNNNNNNNNNNNNNNNNNNNNNNNNNNNNNNNNNNNNNNNNNNNNNNNNNNNNNNNNNNNNNNNNNNNNNNNNNNNNNNNNNNNNNNNNNNNNNNNNNNNNNNNNNNNNNNNNNNNNNNNNNNNNNNNNNNNNNNNNNNNNNNNNNNNNNNNNNNNNNNNNNNNNNNNNNNNNNNNNNNNNNNNNNNNNNNNNNNNNNNNNNNNNNNNNNNNNNNNNNNNNNNNNNNNNNNNNNNNNNNNNNNNNNNNNNNNNNNNNNNNNNNNNNNNNNNNNNNNNNNNNNNNNNNNNNNNNNNNNNNNNNNNNNNNNNNNNNNNNNNNNNNNNNNNNNNNNNNNNNNNNNNNNNNNNNNNNNNNNNNNNNNNNNNNNNNNNNNNNNNNNNNNNNNNNNNNNNNNNNNNNNNNNNNNNNNNNNNNNNNNNNNNNNNNNNNNNNNNNNNNNNNNNNNNNNNNNNNNNNNNNNNNNNNNNNNNNNNNNNNNNNNNNNNNNNNNNNNNNNNNNNNNNNNNNNNNNNNNNNNNNNNNNNNNNNNNNNNNNNNNNNNNNNNNNNNNNNNNNNNNNNNNNNNNNNNNNNNNNNNNNNNNNNNNNNNNNNNNNNNNNNNNNNNNNNNNNNNNNNNNNNNNNNNNNNNNNNNNNNNNNNNNNNNNNNNNNNNNNNNNNNNNNNNNNNNNNNNNNNNNNNNNNNNNNNNNNNNNNNNNNNNNNNNNNNNNNNNNNNNNNNNNNNNNNNNNNNNNNNNNNNNNNNNNNNNNNNNNNNNNNNNNNNNNNNNNNNNNNNNNNNNNNNNNNNNNNNNNNNNNNNNNNNNNNNNNNNNNNNNNNNNNNNNNNNNNNNNNNNNNNNNNNNNNNNNNNNNNNNNNNNNNNNNNNNNNNNNNNNNNNNNNNNNNNNNNNNNNNNNNNNNNNNNNNNNNNNNNNNNNNNNNNNNNNNNNNNNNNNNNNNNNNNNNNNNNNNNNNNNNNNNNNNNNNNNNNNNNNNNNNNNNNNNNNNNNNNNNNNNNNNNNNNNNNNNNNNNNNNNNNNNNNNNNNNNNNNNNNNNNNNNNNNNNNNNNNNNNNNNNNNNNNNNNNNNNNNNNNNNNNNNNNNNNNNNNNNNNNNNNNNNNNNNNNNNNNNNNNNCUACAUCAACCGCGUUCUCUAACGCUUCUGCUGUACGAUCUACAAGGGUAUGUAGAUCACUCAUCCCCUCUCGUAGAUGGACAUCACCAUGAUAGGUCUUCGUGCGCGUAGGAAAAUUUUUGUUUCCCAUGCGACGUUCCCCAACAAUGUUUGCAUAGAAGUUAUAUUGUUAUAGAUUUUCCAACAUGUGGUGCUUGCUCGUAACCUUUUGCUAGCCAAACUUCGUACUAAGUAGAGAUACUACUUGUGCAUCCAAAAAUCCUUGAGCCAAAUUUCUUCCACGAGCGUCCACCAUACUUACCUAUAUAUGGUAUUUCACUUACAUUCCAAGUGAAUUUGCAUGUGUCAUCUCUAAUAAUUCAAAUAAACAUAUGUUUUGUGUGUUCGUAUCACUCAUGGAGUGACGGGGCGGUCAAUAUCUUCCAUGCUAAGAGGGUUAUUCUCAUGAUGGGUGUUUAUUCACUUGUCACUUGACGAGAGAGGCUGGUAAAAAAGGAUGUCAUGCCUGCAUAAUACAAAAGUGAAGAAACAAAAACUCCCUCUAGGAAGUUGAUUUUUUGGAGGGCACCCAAGUAUUCGGCUAGCCAUGGAAUGUGUUUAAAUGGUGGAGGGCAGGGGGUAAAAAUGUCAAUUUUGCUUGGGAACCGCUAUUAGUGUGUUUAGCAUGGAAGAUAUUGAAAUUCUUUGUUGUGAUGUUGAUAGGAAAGGCACACCAUCAAGAAAUAUAUUCAUCUUUCUUUUAGACAUUGAGCUCUCGCACCUUUGCAAAUCCCUGCUUCCCUUUGUGAAGGGAUAUUCUAUUUACUUUCAUGUUAUUUAUUUAAAUGUUGCUUACUUUUCAUGUUGAGUGAACUUCUUAUUUCAACAUCAAUCAUUCUCUACUUGGCAAGCAUCAUGUGUUGGGGAAAGAUCCAUGCACUUGUCGGAUCGCGAGGGAUCCUACGGCCGUAUCUUUGCUUCGCGUCCAUGUAGAAAGCAGGCACUGGUGGCCCGAACACACAUGUAUCUCCCUUAUCCGUAUCUUAUCACCUUAGAUUAGUUUUCCUCCACGCGUUCCUCUCCAUCUUCUUUUUCCUCAACCUAACACCGUGGUCUCUCUUCCCCAAUGAACCGCAGUAGAUACACCAUGAAUGAGAGCUCGAACCGAUGUACUUUUUUCUCUCCCACACAAUGUGUCACCCUAGCACAUCCUUAUCGUCGUCCGUUGCAAAGAGCACUCAAGUUUUGAGAGAUACAACCUUGAUUGAAGGGAGCUUCAGCCGGUGUCAUGGGAGAGACGACCAUGGACGGCGAGCGUGGUGACCACGGGGUGGCGCUGCACCGAGCGAAAAUCGGCAUCAUGAUUUUUUGCUACAUGCUUCAACUGGCAUCACAAUUUGCUACAAUCGAUAUCGCAUCAUGCUACCACCGGUAUUGUGUUUGCUACAUUGGGGAACUGCUCGCGAUUUUGCUACAAUCACCGUUUGAUUUUUUGCUACAUGCUUCAACCGGUAUCGCGAUUUGCUACAACCAGUAUCGCAUCAUACUACCAUCGAUGUUGUAUUUUGCUAGAUUGGAUAACUCGCAUCACGAUUUUGCUACAAUCACUGUUUCAUUUUUUGCUACAUGCUUCAAAUGGCAUCGCAAUUUGCUACAACCUGUAUCGCAUCAUGCUACCAUCGGUGUUGUGUUUUGCUACAUUAGACAACUGGCGUCGUGAUUUUUCUACAAUUAUCGUUUUAAUUUGCUACAAAUGGUAACAUGGCGAGGUGCGAAAGACAACGUGGUGAGUUGCGUUGACUCGACGACGAAACCUUUCUUGCUAGAUUCAACGCUUCGUUUUGUUGGAACCAAUGAACCGAGAUUUUGCAUCGGUGUGAUCCAACCAACGUGCAUCAGCGAAUGGCGACGGCUACUUUUUUUACAACAAUCGUCUACUUUUGCUACCACCAGCGACACAAAUUGCUACAACAACGGUUGUGCUGCGCCCGACGAGGCCGUUUGUUAGAACCGGCAAUGUGAAUUUUGCUAGAACCAUCAAGAUAUUUUUUGCUACAAUUGACGAUCCAAAAUGUUGCAACCGCCAGGCUAGGAUGCUGGACGGCAAGCAAGGCGAGCUUCAACCGUGUUGCCGGAGCAACAACCAGGUGUAUCAAAGCUGCAACCGUUUUGGUGUUGCUACGACGGUGUCGCUGAAGCUGCAAUCGUGUAUUGAAGAAGCUACAUCCAUGUGGGCCAGAGCUACAAGCAUUUUGUGGUAAUGACGGCGAGAGGGCAGUGGCAACUGCGGAGAGUCGCGAGAACGCGUGAGACGGCUGCAGCCAGCGACACGGAAGGAGGGGUCAUGCAUGUAUUUUUCUGAUGUAGGACAAAAUGUUUUGAGAAAGAAGAUGUGUGACGUGGGAUAAGGGUUCAGGUGACUUCGAAAGGCUUAAUGUGACGAUCUAUGCCACACCGGCCGAUCGCUAGCUCCGGUCCGCCGGCGCUUAUCACUCCCCAUGGAAAUAGGUACUCCAAAGUAGAAAAACACUCUACCAGUCAUUACGCCCGCUAGGAAAACAAUAUAGAGCAGAGUAGCACGCGAGUGCAAAAGUACAAAACAAAAUACGUCCGUUCUCGUAUACAGCAGAUGGAGCACGAGCACCACCUCCAUCUCUCACCGUCUCCAUGUGCAACUGACAUGCCAUGCCAUGCCAUGCCGUCUGCGUAGUGCCACCCGUAACCCGUGGCGUCCGGCGCUGCUCAGCUGACCCGCCUGCCUAUUCGCGUCCCCUACCCGAACUCCACUGCGCGGAGGCAUCGGCACUGUAUCGAGCCAUGGAGCUGACCAGGCCCCUGUGCCUACUGCUCGCCGUCAUCGGCGCGGCAACGGCGGCCAUGGCCACGGCGGAGGAGAUCCAGACGGAGCGCGUGUCCUCCUACAUCGUGCACGUCGCGCCGGCGCACGCGCCCCGGCUGCCGCGGCGCGGCCUGCUGGCCACCCGGCCGUACGCGGCCUUCCUGCUCAACCGCAUCCCGUUGGAGAUGUGCCGCCCGGCGCCGCGGGUGCUCUACUCCUACGGGCACGCCGCCACGGGCUUCGCGGCGCGGCUCACGGCCCGCCAGGCCGCGCGCCUCGCGUCCUCGGGCUCCGUGCUCGCCGUCGUGCCCGACGAGCUACAGGAGCUGCACACCACCCUGACGCCGUCCUUCCUCCGGCUCUCGGAGUCGUCCGGGCUGCUCCCGGCGUCCGGCGGCGCCUCCGACGUCGUCAUCGGCGUCAUCGACACCGGCGUGUACCCGGAGGGGCGCAAGUCCUUCGCUGCGGACCGGUCGCUGCCGCCGCCGCCCCGCAGGUUCCGCGGCGGCUGCGUGUCGACUCCGGAGUUCAACGCCUCCGCGUACUGCAACGGCAAGCUCGUCGGCGCCAAGUUCUUCCGAAAGGGGCACGAUGCUGUGCUGCGGGGUCGCCGUGAGGUCGGCGAGACGGAGUCCAUGUCGCCGCUCGACACGGAAGGCCACGGCACGCACGUCGCCUCCACCGCUGCCGGCUCUGCCGUGCUGGACGCGUCCUUGUAUGGCUACGGCGAAGGAAGAGCCGUCGGCGCGGCGCCGAGCGCGCGCAUCGCCGUGUACAAGGCGUGCUGGAAAGGCUGCGCGAGCUCCGACGUCCUUGCCGCCUUCGACCAGGCCAUCGCUGACGGCGUCGACGUCAUUUCUGCUUCGCUCGGCACCAUGAAGGCUCGCAAGUUCUACAAAGACACCACCGCCGUGGGCGCGUUCCACGCUGUUAGCAAGGGCAUCGUCGUCGCAGUCUCCGCGGGAAACUCCGGCCCCGGCGAAUCCACCGUCGUCAACGUCGCGCCGUGGUUCUUGACUGUCGCCGCGUCCACCAUCAACCGCCAAUUCCCGGCGGAUGUCGUUCUCGGCAACGGCGAGACCUUCAUAGGCACCUCGCUGUACGCCGGCAAACCGCUUGGGGCGACAAAGCUACCAUUGGUGUACGGCGGAGACGCGGGCUCAAACAUCUGUGAAGCCGGGAAGCUCAAUCCCACCAUGGUUGCCGGGAAGAUUGUUUUGUGCGACCCCGGAGUGAACGGGCGGACAGAGAAAGGAUUUGCCGUUAAACUCGCCGGUGGCGCCGGAGCAGUCCUCGGCAGCGACGAAGCACAGGGCGAGCAGGCCAGAACCAGCGCCCAUGUCAUCCCCGUCAGUGCCGUCACAUUUUCCGCCGCCGAGAAGAUAAAGAAGUACUUGCGCACGCAAGCAUCCCCCGUCGCGACCAUGGUGUUCCACGGCACGGUCGUCGGACGGUCGCCCCCUUCGCCAAGAAUGGCAUCCUUCUCCAGCCGCGGCCCGAGUCGUCUCGUCCCGGAGAUCCUCAAGCCGGACGUCACGGCCCCCGGCGUGGACAUACUCGCCGCUUGGGCAGGCGUCACCUCGCCCUCGCUGCUCGACGGCGACUCGAGGCGCGUGCCGUACAACAUCAUGUCGGGCACCUCGAUAUCGUGCCCACAGGUGAGCGGCAUCGCCGCGCUGCUCCGGCAGGCGAGGCCGGAGUGGAGCCCGGCGGCGAUCAAGUCCGCCCUGAUGACCACCGCGUAUAACGUGGACAGCGCCGGCGCCGUCAUUGGGGACAUGUCCACCGGCAAGGCGUCUACGCCGUUCGCGCGCGGGGCAGGCCACGUGGACCCCAACCGCGCCGCCGAUCCAGGCCUGGUGUACGACGCCGGCACGGAGGACUACAUCGCCUUCCUCUGCGCGCUCGGCUACAGCGCCGAGCAAAUGGCCGUGUUCAGCCCGGCGACCAACUGCUCGACGCGCGCCGGCACCGGUGCCGUUGGGGACCUCAACUACCCGGCCUUCUCGGCGGUGUUCGGCCCGGAGAAACGCGCGGUGACGCAACGCCGCGUCGUGCGGAACGUCGGCGGGAACGCCAGGGCGACGUACAGGGCCAAGAUCACCAGCCCCGCCGGCGUGCACGUGACGGUGAAGCCGCAGAAGCUGCAGUUCAGCGCGACGCAGGGGACGCAGGAGUACGCGAUCACCUUCGCCCCACGAAUGUUUGGGAACGUCACGGAGAAGCACACGUUCGGGUCGAUCGAGUGGAGCGACGGCGAGCACUCGGUGACGAGCCCCAUCGCCGUCACCUGGCCGGCGAGCCAGGUUGCCGACAUGUGAUCGAUCGAUGUGGUUUAGGCAUCUUUAGCAGAUGAUGAUGACAAAAUAAAAAUAAAAGUAUUCGGCCUUAUACCAGACAUGCCUGCAUGUGAUGCCUGGUGUUUGGUGAUCUCUCUUUUACGUGUGUUGGUCGGGUAGUCUGUAAUGGUUCGUGUGGCUGCUUCAUUUUAAUAUAAAAUGGGGCAGGGGAGCAACCCCUUUCUUUAAAAAAUAAAAUAAAAAUAAAAGUAGGCGUCUUUGGAGAGCUCGUCCCGUUGGAGCAGUUCACGUGGAUGGCAUUGAAGUGGCGAUGCAUGCAGCGCGUCGUCUCGUCGCCAUCCAUGGCCUCCUGUCGCCAUCCAUCGUAGCGCCGCUCGCCGUCGCUGCUCGUCGGCGCCGGCAGGCUCCGUUUGCCGGCUCAUGGUUGCAGCAUCAUGCUCCGCGUGGUCCGUCCUUUGCAGCAAAGCAAAACGCGUCGUCGGUCCUAGCAAAUCGUCGCUGAGGCUCCAAGAUUGGAUGCCAGGGCAGCGCCCUGCCGUAGCCGUUGUUGAAGAUAGAUGCAGCAAUGGUGGGUGCCGGUUCCAGCAUCCAGACAGCACGGUUGCAGCAUCCUCGUCGGUUAGGUGGUCACCAAUGGAAAAACUUCGGGUAGUGGUGGUUAUAGCUUCGGCCAACAUGGUUGCAACAGAUUGGUGAACUUUUAAGCACAGAACGGUGACUUAGCAAACCAAAAAUAACUCGGAAGAUGAAACAGAUAGUACUGAAGGAUUACCAGGUCUGGUGGACUUCACUCUGUUUGUCACAAAUUCCCCUGGUACUUACGCCCUCGAGAUCUGAUUAUCUUCAAUGUCUGGAUCAUAACCUCCACCAGGGCGACGCGGACGUAGACGAAGCAGACGGACGGAGGCGAGCAGUCGCGUGAUCGCUCCCCAAAAACCUAAUCGCCCCUCUCCCGUACAGGAACCGGAGAGGCGGGGUUUCGGAGGCCCGCUCUUCCGUCGACCGUGUAAGCGGUAAACGGGACGGAGUCGCCGGCGGCAGCAGCAGCAAAAGGAACGAACGCGUGAGGCAGAUGUGAUCCGAUUCUCGUGACGGCUAGGGUAAGCGUUAGCCUGCUUAUGUAGGCGGCUGGACGGAGAGACGUGGGCCGAACCCACGUCCGAGUCGGUAACAGCCCACGAUCCGUCUGUUACGUGACAAAAAUAAGCACGUAGGUAUGAGCUCGGCUCGGCUCAUUCCGCGCAUCGUGACGUGGCGUGGCGAGGCGGGCGGCGGAGGAGGAGUGCGUGAGGGCACCUUCUCUUCUCACUCACCAAUAGCAUGUGGAAGAAAGACCCUUAUAAAGGGGUCCAACUUCUCCUCCACUAACGGGGUGGGACUAAACUUUCCACCACCUUGUCAUGCCACCACCUACAUGGGCCCUUGGAGAUUUUUCUGAAAUUCUCUUAUGGGCCUAAGGCCCAUCACUAAUUUCAACAAUCCCCCACCAGAUCUCAAGGGCACAUCGUGUUCCCUCGUUCCAAACACUGUUUUAAUAUACCAGCAUUUCAGUGAAGACCUGUUAAGGUUGAGCUUCACCUAGAGCAAGGAGCUACACUCCUUUACAACUGAACAAUGGACUAUGCCUUGAAUUGUCAUUUUGGCGUAAAGGAGCUUCACCACAAGUCUUACUAGUACUAGACUGCCGAAGGUGACCCCUCGGGUGGAGCAUAUUAGUCACACUCCUGGCCUAUUAAUGAGUUUACUAGAGAUCACCCAAAUCUCAUACACUGUGACCAGCAGUCAAGCUCAUAUAGGUGUGUUCCUUGAAAGAUCACUCUGUAGGACAGCAUCUUGCUUACACAUAAGCUUUAGAACACAUUAAGACAGUAGUCAUCCUACCAUACAGUAUCUGAGAGCAUUGCAUCUCCAACGGAGUGGGUUAGUAAAGUUACUCUCCUCGGUUCACCACUGGCUUGUUUUUCCCAGGUCCUACUUCACGGGAUCUCCGAUCAUAUAGGUUGGGUUACUACCAUGGCAACUCAUGUGGGUCUCAUACCCAUCUCCCUUGAUGCACUAUCUAUCACAACACGGGAUAGCCCUUUAGUAAAGGGAUCUGCCAGAUUCUUAGCCGUUUGGAUGUAAUCCAACGCUAUCACUCCGGAGUUUCUCAAACGUCUGACAGACUUCAAUCUCAUUCUUAUAUGUUUGUUGGACUUCAUAUUGUCCUUUGAACUCUUCACUUUGACAAUAACCGUCUGAUUAUCACAGUUCAUAAGGAUAGCCGGAACCGGCUUCUCAACCACAGGUAAGUCCAUCAAAAGAUCUCAAAGAAAUUCUGCUUCGACACCAGAUGUGUCUAAUGCUGUUAAUUCUGCUUCCAUUGUCGAUCUCGUUAAGAUCGUUUGCUUGCAAGACUUCCAGGAAACAGCACCACCCCCAAGAGUAAACAUAUAACCAGUAGUGGCCUUCAUCUCAUCAGCAUCAGAGAUCCAAUUCGCAUCACUAUACCCUUCAAGUACCGAUGGGUAUCCCAUAUAGUGAAGCCCGUGGUUGACAGUACCUUUCAAGUAGCGCAUAAUUCUUUCAACAGCACACCAAUGAACAUCGCCCAGGUUUGCAACAAACCGGCUAAGUUUGCUCCCAGCAGAUGCGAUGUCAGGCCUCGUUGCGCUAGCUAGGUACAUAAGCGAACCGAUAAUUUGAGAUAAUCUCAAUUGAUCUAUAGCUGUGUCUUUAAACUUUUGAAUAAGCACACUAGGAUCAUAUGGUGUUUGAGAAAUUUUGCAGUCUGAAUAACCAAAGCGACUCAAAAUCUUCUCAACAUAGUGGGAUUGCAGAAGUGUAAUCCCACCCUCAUCAUCUCUCAACAGCUUGAUGUUCAAGAUAACAUCAGCCACCCCAAGGUCCUUCAUCUCAAAGUUUUGAGACAGAAAAGACUUAACAUCCUCAAUUACUUUGAGGUUGGUUCCAAAUAUCAGUAUGUCAUCAACAUACAAGCACAAUAUAACUCCUUCGCCCCCACCAUGGCGAUAGUAUACACAUUUGUCAGCUUCAUUAACAACGAAGCCAACAGAUGUCAGAGUUGUAUUAAACUUCUCAUGUCAUUGCUUAGGUGCUUGUCUUAGACCAUAUAAAGAUUUUAGCAACUUACACACCUUUCCUUCCUGACCUUCUAUCACAAAGCCAUCUGGCUGUUGCAUAUAGAUUUCCUCAUUUAGCUCUCCGUUCAGAAAAGCCGCCUUAACGUCCAUUUGAUGAACGAGAAGACCAUGAGAGGCCGCCAAUGAGAGUAGUACUCGAAUGGUGGUCAGUCUAGCCACAGGUGAGUAAGUAUCAAAGAAAUCUUCUUCUUCUUUCCCUUGGCCACAAGCCUAGCCUUGUACUUUUCAAUCGUACCAUCGGGCCUAAGCUUCUUUUGAACACCCACUUGCAUCCCAAUGGUUUACAACCAUAGGGACGAUCAGUGAUUUCCCAUGUCCCGUUAGCCAUGAUGGAAUCCAUCUCUCUACGGACCGCAGCUUUCCAGUAAUCAGCAUCUGGAGAAGCAUACGCUUCUGAAAUAGAAGUGGGAUUAUCAUCCACGAGGUAUACGAAGAAAUCAUCACCAAAGGUCUUUGCAGUCCUUUGUCUCUUGCCCCUACCACGGGCUUCCUCGUCAUCCUCCUCAGGAUUUUCAUCAUGUGUUUGUUCAUAGUAUUCCAUAGGAAUGGCAGGCUCGGGAGUUAUCUCAGAUUCCUGUCUAGAAGUGCUUUGCAUAUCUCUCAUGGGAAAUAUAUCCUCAAAGAAUGUAGCAUCCCUCGACUCCAUUAUUGUACCGACCUUCACGUCAGGUACCUCAGAUUUCACUACUAGAAAUCUAUAGCCUACGCUAUUCUUAGCGUAUCCCAAAUUAACGCAGUCCACAGUCUUUGGUCCAAGCUUACGCUUCUUGGGGAUCGGUACAUUGACUUUCGCCAAGCAGCCCUAAGUACGUAAGUACGAGAGCGUCGUCCUUCUCUUCGACCACUCCUCAUAAGGAGUGACUUCAUUAUCUUUUGUAGGAACCUUAUUCAGGACAUGACACGCAGUCAAUAUAGCCUCCCCCCACCAUGCCUUGGAUAAACCCGAUGUAUCUAACAUGGUGUUAACCAAAUCAGUUAGAGUACAGUUUUUCCGCUCGGCAACCCCGUUUGACUGGGGUGAAUAGGGAGGCGUCCUCUCAUGAAUAAUGCCGUGUUCCGCACAAAAGGAAUCAAACUCGUUUGAGAAGUACUCUCCACCACGGUCAGACCGGACUCGUUUAAUUUUCUUUUCAAGUUGAUUCUCAACUUCUGCCUUAUAGAUUUUAAAGUAGUGUAGAGCCUCAUCUUUAGUAUUUAACAGAUACACAUAGCAAUAUCUAGUGGAAUCAUCUAUCAAUGUCAUGAAAUAUUUCUUUCCACCUUUAUUCAACACACCAUUCAUCUCACAAAGAUCAGAAUGUAUGAGUUCUAAUGGUGCCAAGUGUCUCUCCUCUGCAGCCUUGUGAGGCUUGCGAGGUUGCUUUGAUUGCACACACGAAUGGCACUUAGAACCUUUGGCUAAAGUGAAAGUCGGGAUUAAAUUCAGUUUUGCUAGCCGCGACAUAACACCGAAACUUAUGUGACAAAGACGUGAAUGUCAAACUUCAGAUUCAUUAACACUCGAAUGAAUAUUGUUCACGACUUUAUUACAAAAAUCUGCAAGGGAAAGGCGGAACAGACCUCCGCACUCAUAACCUUUUCCAACAAAAAGACCAUAUUUCAUAACUACUACUUUUUUAGACUCGAAUACCAACUUAAACCCUUCUCUACACAGAAGGGAACCACUAACAAGGUUCUUCUUGAUGGCGGGGGCAUGCUGCACGUUCUUCAGUUGCACGAUCCUUCCCAAAGUAAACUUUAGAUCGACCGUGCCAACACCAAGAACAGAAGCACUCGCUUCAUUCCCCAUCAAUACGGACCCGCGACCGGUGGCCUGAUAAGAAGAGAACAAUGAUAAGUCAGCACACACAUGAAUAUUUGCACCCGUGUCCACCCACCAAUCGGUGGACUGACAAACUAUAAAUACAGUAAGUAAAUUACCGUACCCAGAUGCACCACUUUCAUUGUUGCCCACAAUCAUAUUGGCAGACUUGGAGUCCUGCGCCGGCUUCUUGUACUUGUUUGGGCAUUUGUUCGCCCAAUGUUCCUCUGAACCACAAGUAUAGCAUCCAUCUCCCUUCUUAUUCUUCUUGAAGGGAUUAUUUCCCUUCUUCUUGAAGUCGGUAUUCUGUUGGACAGAAUUCUUUCCCUUGUGCUUGUGGGAAUUGAAGUUCCUCUGAUGUACCAUAUUGGCAGUAGAAGAGCUUUCCACCGCUUUUCCAUUGGAGUCAUUUGCUCUCGAGUUCUGCUCAACACUCAGAUGGCCGAUGAUGUCCUCUACUGAGAACUCACGCCUCUGAUGUUUCAGAGUAGUAGCAAAGUUCCUCCAGGAAUUAGGGAGCUUAGCAAUUAUACAGCCCGCGACAAACUUGCCCGGCAAAUUGCACUUAAGAACCUCAAGUUCUUUAGCUAUGCAUAUUAUCUCAUGAUCCUAUUCCAAUACAGAACGGUUGUCAACCAUCUUGUAAUCGUGGAACUGCUCCAUAACAUACAUCUCACUCCCAGCGUCGGUGGCCCUGAAUUUAGAUUCGAGCACCUCCCAGAAGUCUUUGGCAACAUGCAUAUGUAAGUAUGCGUCAACCAGCUUAUCUCCGAUCACGCUUAUGACUGCUCCAAGGAAUAGGAUGGUGGCCUCCGCGAACAUCUUCUCCUGUUCAGGAGAGAUCGUUCCCGUUGGAGUGACACCGGCUACCCAGAACACGUUCAUAGCCGUGAGCCAUAAGGUGGUUCUCGUUUGCCAACGGUUGAAAUAAGUACCGGUAAACUUGUCCGGUUUCAGUGCAGCAGCAAAACCAUUACUCGAAAAAUUCCUACACAAAUUAGGUUUUUGGAUUGUUGAGUAAAUAGACAAUUUUCCGAGUAUAUUAAUCCACGAGAUAAUAACUAGCAUGGCACUGACUAGACUAAUGAUGUACUGAUCUUGAGCUAACAUAGCACAUACUACGCAUAUAGUGGAUACAUCUAUGCAGACAAGUAGUACUGCUAGGAUAAAUACGAACAUGAGGAUAAACGAGUCAUACCCUCCAAUAGGCCAGUUGGCCGUAGCAGCAGCGUUGGCAUUGGCCGCGGCCGUAGCCGCAGCAGCAUCCUCUGCCCUCUUCUUCUCAGCUUCAAGGGCGAGACGAUCAGCCUCAGAUGUUGAAGAUAUGGCGAUGACGAGGACGUAGACGAAGCAGACAGACGGAGGCGAGCAGUCGCGUGAUCGCUCCCAAAAACCUAAUCGCCCCUCUCCCGUAUAGGAACCGGAGAGGCAGCAGCAGCAAAAGGAACGCGUUAGCGUGGGUUCGCUCAUUCGCGCAACCCGCGGCGAGGCGGGCGGCAGAGGAGUGCGCGAGGGCACCUUCUUUUCUAACUCUCCAAUAGCAUGUGGAAGAGAGACCCUUAUAAAGGGGUCCAACUUCUCCUCCGCUAGCAGGGUGGGACUAAACUUCCCACCACCUACAUGAGCCCUUGAAGAUUUUUCUGAAAUUCUCUUAUGGGCCUAAGGUCCAUCACUAAUUUCAACACCAUGCUAUGCUAUGAAUGUGUCACUGCCAUUCAGCUGGGAGAAAUUAUUCAAGUCAUCUUACAACACAUGGCACAAGUGCUAAUACACUGCAACCAGGAAUCAGUUGAAAAAUUACAGCUAACCAAAUUGGCACCACAUUACAGGAAAAUCUAUGGUCAUCUCAAUCGUCUCGUUUGCCAAAGAGAUUCCAGUUUGCAACAAGAACGCAAAAAAAAUCGAUCCCCUUUGCUCGGAUGGUGGAAAAACACCUCUUGAUUCGAAAAGCUCGAAGCGCGGAUCCGGGUGGUGCUAUGGUGUCGCCGACGUAUGGCUAGGUAUUGGGGGCAUCUGGCGAGGGGUGGGAGUCAGCUCCGGCUAUGGCUGCGCGCUUGCGGGCGAUGAAGUCCUCGAGGACCUUGCGGCGUUGGGCGGCCUUGGCGCGCUGGGGCUCGACGUUGGCGUAGGAGAGGCGCGCGGCGGCGGCGGCGAUGAGCGCGGCGCCGGUGAGGAAGAGGCAGGCCAUGGCGGCGCGCUGCCUCCGGGUCGCCGCGUACUGCAGCCACGACAUGUCGUGUCUAGUGUCGUUGGGAGUGUGGAAGACGGGAUGGGUUGGUUUGCGCAAAAGGACUGGUGAAGACGGGAGCUGUAAUAAUACGUCUUUGGCAUGUCGAGACUCGAGACCAGAGCAAACGGGGAACAGAGUUUCUUAAGUUCGGGCUGGAAAAAGCAGAGCAUGCGUGAAUUCGUAGCAGAGCAAGAAGGAGAUAGCAAAUUAAUCCAUGGUUGGAUGGUUAGGAGGAUUCUCGUAUCUUCCGUUCGUGAAAGCUUAAAUUUCAGAUUUAACAUUGAUGCUUGUAUUUUUUUUAAUUUAUUUCAGGCCUUUUGAUGAUGUGUGUUUAGUGGGAGGAGAUGUUCCCAUGGACUACGAGGGCGUCUGUGAUGACUUCGUCAAUCUCAAGAUGAUGUGUCGGCCCAGUCUCUCGGAGGUACUCAUAGGGGUAGGGUAUGCGUGCGUGCCUUUAUAAGGAUGAGUGUAUGCUCGUGUAUGUGAACGACUUCGAUUGUACUCUGCUAAAAAAAGAUCCUGAUAAUGCCCACGCGUGUGGGCGCUAAGGGUUGUUGCCCACACGUUCUGUAUGGUGUGUUAGGGAAAACAACCCACACGCAUCUGUGUGCAAUGGCGGAGCAGGACCGAGGCCGGGGGGGGGGGCUGGGCCCGAGGCAUGAGGAAUAAUUCCCUUGCUAACUGUAGCUUUUUUACACUCUUGCUCAGUGUUAAUCACUCUUGCAAUGAAGGAGGUCCGGGGUCCGAUGCUAGGCUAGCUUCGUCCCUGUGUGUGUGGGUAAAACAAUUAACGCCCACACAUCCGGCUUCCCGCUUUGUGACCCGCACAUCCGGCCUGCCACCUCGUGGUCCCGCGUGCCCCCGCGUGAUAGUCCCACUCAGUUGUCAUAUACCACUAGAAAGACAUGGCAACUNNNNNNNNNNNNNNNNNNNNNNNNNNNNNNNNNNNNNNNNNNNNNNNNNNNNNNNNNNNNNNNNNNNNNNNNNNNNNNNNNNNNNNNNNNNNNNNNNNNNNNNNNNNNNNNNNNNNNNNNNNNNNNNNNNNNACUGACAGGCAUGCGGACACGACCAGUUCCACUCAGUUGCCAUGUAACACCCGGGAAGACAUGGCAACUGACACGCAUGCGGGCACGGCCAGUUCCACUUAGUUGCCAUGUAACACUGGGAAGACAUGACAACUGACAAGCAUGCAGACACGGCAGUUCCACUCAGUUGCCAUGGGAAAGACAUGGCAACUAAUAGGCAUACAGGCGACAGUUCCACUCAGUUGCCAUGGGAAGACAUGGAAACUGACAGGCAUGCGGGCAUGACAGUUCCACUCAGUUGCCAUGGGGAAGACAUGGCAACUAACAUGCAUGCGGGCACGAAAAUUCCACUCAGUUUCCAUGGGGAAGACAUGGCAACUNNNNNNNNNNNNNNNNNNNNNNNNNNNNNNNNNNNNNNNNNNNNNNNNNNNNNNNNNNNNNNNNNNNNNNNNNNNNNNNNNNNNNNNNNNNNNNNNNNNNNNNNNNNNNNNNNNNNNNNNNNNNNNNNNNNNNNNACUGACAGGCAUGCGGGCACGACAGUUCCACUCAGUUGCCAUUUAACACUGGGAAGACAUGAUAAUUGACAGGCAUGCAGGUACGGUAGUUCCACUGAUUUGCCAUAUAACACCGGGAAGACAGGGCAACUGACAGGCAUGCGGACGUGUGGACGCGGCAUUAGUUCCACCACACGUCGGGUUGGCAGCCGCAUGUGGGCGUGCGCGAAACAUGCGUGUGGACGAACUCCUUAACGCCCACACACCAUCCCCUUCCUACGUGGCACAAAAAAAUUGUCAUAAAAUACCAAGAUUAGUAGAAAUCACAAAUGGACGCAGAUCCAUGCAUGUGGGCGGUUUGCAAACACCCACACAUAUAGGCGUUAUCUUUUCUCUAAAAUAAAGAGCAAGAAGAAGAUCUCAUUGGUAUAAUGACAAGUUUAUUUUUUACAGGAAUGAUUUUAUGACUAACUUUAUUACUUAAAAACACUUACAUCAUCUGUUAAAAAUUCAGAGAUAAAGCUGGGAGGUGUGUCCAACCACAUAGAAGGUGGGUCGACACGUCCCUGCUGAGCUAACACAUGCACUACCAUAUUGGUUUCUCUAUUACAAUGUUUGGAUAAAACCUUCCCGAAUUCUUCCUUAAGACUACGACAUCCAUCAAGAAUGGGGCCGGUAACCAUGGACUGGCCUGAAUUCAUAUUGAGGGAUUCCACCACAAUUAGGUUGUCCAUCUGCACCAGGAGUGAUGUAAUAUCAAGACUCGCCGCUAGUUUUAGUCCUUCUACUAGAGCCGCUACCUCCGCUGAAACAAUAUCCACUGUGUGCUCUAACUUUGAAGUCGAAGCAACAACUAACACACCAAGAUGAUCCCGGAUAACAGCACCACAAGCCCUUGAGUGAUCCUACUCUACAAAAGUUGCAUCAACAUUCAGAAUGAGCUAGACUGGUAAGGCGUUGUUCGGUUCUUGGAGAAUUGAAGGGGUUUGGAGGGGAUUAGGAGGGAUUAAAUCCCCUACAAGUCAAAUUCCACCUCAAUCCCCUCCAAUCCUCUUCAAUCCCCUCCUGGAUGGGAUUAACCGAACAAGCCCUAAAGGUUUUCUCCAUCUGUUCUCCCGUCGAGCAGAUAUACCCUUCCUAUUAACCCAAACAAAAUUCUGAGUCGGGGCUGAAUAGUAGGACCCGUACGCUUUAUUGUUUGGACUUCUUCGUUCUUAGUUAUUUGGCGCAUCUGCCACCACAAAUAUCAACUAGCUCCUACCAAAAUUUAUGGUAUUUGAACCUCACACAUGUAAUGUACUGCACUUGGUUAGUCAAUUCACAAAGCAAACUCUUCAGAAUCUCUGCUCCAGAACGUUGAGGGAUGCGUGCUCGAGAUAUGAUAUAACACAUGACAAGUUAGCAAGUGUGCAGUUCGUACAAUUAUUGAGAUGGUAUUCAUGACUAACAGCAAACUAAAAGGAAAGGGGGCUAGCUCGGUUCAAAAAAGGAAAGCACAUUAAAAACAUGAUGAACAAAGAUGUAGCAUUGGUGGCGUAUUUCACGAUCUCGUGCCCUCCCUCCCUCCCUCCCCCUUAUGCUCAAGAGUUGUAGAGAUGCCAUUCGCUUGUGACGCGUUAGGUUAAGGGUGGAUCUUCAUAGAGGUGUCGACGGUUGGAUUGCCGCGAUGUCUCGCCCUGCUGGACAUCCUGUCUAGCUUAUAAUGUCAUACUUGUUGGGUAACGUAGCAUAAAUUCAAAAAAAUUCCUACGCAUAUUCAGAUCUUCCUAUGGAGAGACCAACAACGAGAGAGGGAUGAGUGCAUCUUCACACCUUUCAAGAUUGCUAAGCGGAAGCGUUGCUAGAACGCGGUUGAUGGAGUCGUACUCGCGGCGAUUCAGAUCUCGGUGUGAUUCCGAUCUAGUGUCGAAUCACGACACCUCCGCGUUCAACACACGUGCAGCCCGAUGACGUCUCCCGCACCUUGAUCCAGCAAGGAGGAGGGAGAGGUUGGGGAAGAUCUCCGGCAGCACGACAGCGUGGUGUCGAUGGAGAGACGAGUUCUCCCGGCACGGCUUCGCCAAGCACCGUGGGAGAGGAGGAAGAAGGGGGGCAGGGCUGCGCCGUGGGAGAGGGAAAACUGUGUGUAAAACAGCCCCAAAACCCCCACUAUAUAUAGGAGGAGGGGAGGGGGGUGCCACCCCUAGGGUUCCCACCCUAGGUGGUGCGGCAGCCCCCCAGAUGGGAGGUGCGGCGGCCAGUGCAGGGGGAGGGGGUGGCGCACACCUAGGUGGGCCUUAGGCCCACCAGCGCCUAGGGUUUCCCCCCUCUCCACCUCCUACGCCUUGGCCUCCUUGUGGGAGGUGCACCAGACCACUUUGGGCUGGUUUCCCUCCCUCUUUUGGCCCAUGCUACCUCAUGGGGCUGGUGGCCCCUCCCGGUAGACCCCCGGGACCAUUUCCGGUGGUCCCGGUGGUCCCGGUACAUUACCGGUGAUGCCCGAAACAUUUCCGGUGUCCAAAACCAUCCAUCCUAUAUAUCAAUCUUUACCUCCAGACCAUUUCGGAGCUCCUCAUGACGUCCGGGAUCUCAUCCGGGAGUCCGAACAACUUUCGGUAACCUCGUAUAACAAUUGCCUAUAACCCUAGCGUCAUCGAACCUUAAGUGUGUAGACCCUACGGGUUCGGGAGACAGACAGACAUGACCGAGACACCUCUCCGGCCAAUAACCAUCAGCGGGGUCUGGAUACCCAUGGUGGCUCCCACUUGCUCCACGAUGAUCCCAUCAGAUGAACCACGAUGUCAAGGAUUCAAUCAAUCCCGUAUACAAUUCCCUUUGUCUGUCGGUAUAGAACUUGCCCGAGAUUCGAUCGUCGGUAUACAUAUACCUUGUUCAAUCUCGUUACCGAUAAGUCUCUUUACUCGUUCCGUAGCAUGUCAUCGUGUGACUAACCCCUUAGUCACAUUGAGCUCAUGAUGAUGUUCUACCGAGUGGGCCCAGAGAUACCUCUCCGUCACGCGGAGUGACAAAUCCCGAUCUCGAUUCGUACAAACCCAACAGACACUUUCAGAGGUACCCGUAGUGCACCUUUAUAGUCACCCAGUUACGUUGUGACCUUUGAUACACCCAAAGNNNNNNNNNNNNNNNNNNNNNNNNNNNNNNNNNNNNNNNNNNNNNNNNNNNNNNNNNNNNNNNNNNNNNNNNNNNNNNNNNNNNNNNNNNNNNNNNNNNNCGCCGGUGCACAAAACCCACCAUUAGCCUGCCUCAAAACAGCCACCAUACCUACCUACUAUGGCUUUUUCAAAGUCAUUCCGAGAUAUAUUGCCAUGCAAUUACCACUAUGACAUGUGCCACCACGUCUACAUUGCCAUUGCAUGGUCGUAAGAUAGCUAGCAUAAGGUUUCCAUUGAUGUCUAUGCCAUGCUAGAUCAUUGCCACGGUACACUACCGAAGGCAUUCCAUAUAGAGUCAUCGUUACUCUAAGUUUUGAGUUGAAAGUGUGAUGAUCAUCAUUAAUGGAGCAUUGUCCCAUGUGAGGAAAUAAAGGAGGCCAAAGAAUCCCACAAAAAAAGAGGCCAAAGAGCCCACCAAAAAAAUGAGAGAAGAAGAGAGAAGGGACAAUGCUACCACUUUUUCCAUACUUGUGCAUAUUAAGCACCAUGAUCUUCAUGAUUGAGAGUCUCUCGUUUUGUCACCACCAUAUAGCUAGUGGGAAUCUUUCAUAAUAUAACUUGGCUUGUAUAUUCCAAUGAUAGGCUUCCUCAAAAUUGCCUUAGGUCUUCGUGAGCAAGCAAGUUGGAUACACACCCACUAGUUUUCUUUAAGAGCUUUCACAUACUCGUAGCUCUAGUGCAUCAUUUGUAUGGCAAUCCCUACUCAUUCACAUUGAUAUCUAUUGAUGAGCAUCUCCACAGCUCAUUGAUAUGCCUAGUUAAUGUGACUAUCUUCUCCUUUUUUGUCUUGCAACCUCCACCACAUUCCACACCAUCUAUAGUGCUAUAACCAUGGCUCACGCUCAUGUAUUGCGUGAGAGUUGAAAAGGUUUGAGAAAGUAAAGGUGUGAAACAAUUACUUGGCCAAUACCGGGGUUGUGCAUGAUUUAAAUUUGUUGUGCAAUGAUGAUAGAGCAUAGCCACACUAUAUGCUUUUGUAGGGAUAACUUUCUUUUGGCCUUGUUAUUUUGAAAGUUCAUGAUUACCUUGCUAGUUUGCUUGAAUUAUUAUUGUUUCCACGUCAAUAUCAAACUAUUAUUUUGAAUCUAAUGGAUCUGAACAUUCACGUCACAUAAGAGGAAUUACAAAGGACAUCUAUGCUAGGUAGCAUGAAAGCAUCAAAAAUUCAUUCUUUAUCACUUCCCUACUCGAGGACGAGUAGGAGUUAAGCUUGGGGAUGCUUGAUACGUCUCAAAUGUAUCUAUAAUUUUUUAUGGUUUCAUGUUGUUAUCUUGUCUUCUUUGGAUGUUUUAUGUACCUUUUAUAUUUUUUUGGGACUAACUUAUUAAUUCAGUGCCAAGUGCGAGUUCCUGUUUUUUCUGUGUUUUUGACUCUUUUCAGAUCUGAUUUUGGAACGGAGUCCAAACGGAAUAAAAACCCCAAAAUGAUUUUUUCCCGAACGAAAGAAGAUCAGGGGGCCUCUAGGCCAAGCCAGGUGGGCUCCAGGGAGCCCACAAGCUCCCACCCUGCCACCAGGGGGAGGCGGCGGUGUCAGGGCUUGUGGCCUCCCUGCCCCCCUUGACCUAAAUCCUUGGCCUAUAUAUUCCCAAAUAUUCAGCAAAAAUCAGGGGAGCCUCAAAAAAACUUUUCCGCCGCCGCAAGCUUCCGUUUCCGCGAGAUCUCAUCUGAAGACCCUUUCCGGCGCACUGCCGGAGGGGACUUUGGAGUUGGAGGGCUUCUUCAUCAUCAUCAUCGCCCCUCCAAUGACUCGUGAGUAGUUCACUUCAGACCUACGGGUCCGUAGUUAGUAGCUAGAUGGCUUCUUCUCUCUCUGUUGGAUCUUCAAUACAAAGUUCUCCAUGAUCUUCAUGGAGAUCUAUCCGAUGUAAUCUUCUUUGGCGGUGUGUUUGUCGAGAUCCGAUGAAUUGUGGAUUUGUGAUCAGAUUAUCUUUGAUAUAUAUUUGAGUCUUUGCUGAUUUCUUAUAUGCACGAUUUGAUAUCCUUGUAAGUCUCUCCGAGUCUUGGGUUUUGUUUGGCCAACUAGAUCUAUGAUUCUUGCAAUGGGAGAAGUGCUUGGUUUUGGGUUCUACCAUGUGGUGACCUUUCCCAGUGACAGUAGGGGCAGCAAGGCACACAUCAAGUAGUUGCCAUCAAGGGUAAAAAGAUGGGGUUUUUUAUCAUUGGUUUGAGAUUAUCCCUCAACAUCAUGUCAUCUUGCUUAAGGCGUUACUCUGUUCUUAUGGACUUAAUACACUAGAUGCAUGCUGGAUAGCGGUCGACGUGUGGAGUAAUAGUAGUAGAUGCAGAAGUAUCGGUCUACUUGUUUUGGAUGUGAUGCCUAUAGAUAUAAUCAUUGCAUAGAUAUCGUCACGACUUUGCGCGGUUCUAUCAAUUGCUCGACAGUAAUUUGUUCACCCACCGUCUACUUGCUUUCAUGAGAGAAGCCACUAGUAAACACUACGGCCCCCGGGUCUAUUCACAUCCAUCAUUUACACCUCCGCUUUUACUUUGCUUUGUUACUUUGUUGCUUUCAGUUCUCAGUUGGCAAACAAUCUAUAAGGGAUUGACAACCCCUUCAUAGCGUUGGGAGCAAGAUUUUGUGUUUGUGCAGGAUCUUGAGAUACUCCUCCACUGGAUUGAUACCUUGGUUCUCAAACUGAGGGAAAUACUUACCACUGCUACGCUACAUCACCCUUUCCGCUUCGAGGGAACACCAACGCAAGGCUCCAAGGCCACGGGGGAAAUCCUUUAAAUACUUGCCUCGGAAGUCCCUUAAGGCGUAGCCGCAGCAGAAGGAUCAAGCCAAGUAUUCUCCCGUCGACGUGCCUAUUUCUGGCGCCAUUGGAAGGUCUUUUGUUGCAGUAGCAGAAGUAUUUCUGGCGCAGUUGCCGGGGAGGAGAAAUCAAGAUCUAUCCAAGUAGGUCUCACAAACUCUUCCCUUGCGUUUACUUUUGUUUCCAGUUGCCUCUCGUUUUCCUCUCCCCCACUUCACAUUUGCCGCUUUCAUUUGCCUUUCUCCUUCGCCGUUUUCUUUUGCCUUUUGCCUUUUUCUUUUGCCCUUUUUCUCUUGCUUGUUUGCUUGUGUGCCAUGUGCCUUCAAUAUGCUUGCAUCUUCGUUUGCUAAUCUCUUUAAGAGACCCACUAUUGUGGAACGAAUUGCUAGUGAGUUGAGGACACUUGACUAUCUUUAUGGAGUUUUGCUUGAGAGGCGUGAAUCUGAAAAUUGUGUGGAAGAAAAUUAUGAAGUGGUUCACGAGGGUUCCUUGGAUGGAAAACAUGAUUGCAAUGGUUUCACUAUAAAUUCUAUUAGUGAUAAUCAUGCUAAAAAUAUGCAAAACCCUAAGCUUGGGGAUGCUAGUUUUGCUUUGUCCACGACUUGUUGCAAUAAUCAUGAUUGGGGUGAUGAUCUUUCUUAUGAUCUUGAAAAUUUGUUCAAACCUCAUGAUGAAUAUGAUAUUUGCAAUAACAUUGAAAGUGGGUUUGGAGAAGUCAUGACUUUAGUUGACGAUAAUCCCACUAUUUUUGAAGAGCGUCAACUUUGCAUGCAUGUGGAUCAUGAAAAGAAUAUCCUAUGUGAUAGUUACAUUGUUGAAUUCGAUUAUGAUCCCACAUGUAAUUGCUAUGAGAGAGGAAAAUAUUUUGGUAGAAACCUUCAUGUUACCAAAUUACCUCUCGUUAUGUGGAGAUUGCUAUUGUCUCUUUCUUCUUCCUUGCAUACGACAACUAUUGGUUGUCUUGACAAUCUGUUUUCCUAUAAAAUGCCUAUGCAUAGGAAGUAUGUUAGACUUAGAUGUGGUUUUCACAUGCGUUAGGAUGCUCUUGUUGUGCUUCAAUUCUUGUCUUUUGUGAGAGCAUCAUUGAAUGCCUAGCUAAGGGCGUUAAACAAAAGCGCUUGUUGGGAGGCAACCCAACGAAUCUAUCUUUUUUCUUUCUGUUUUCCACACUUUCAUAAUUCUGUUAUGAUUGUGUUUUUUGUGUUUCUUUUUGCAUUUGUGCCAAGCAAACCGUUAUGAUUAGUCUUGGGGAUGAUCGUUUGGUCAUGCUGGAAAAGACAGAAACUUUCUGCUCACGAAAAGAAUUUUCAUUUUUUUCUGUAAGAGCUUUUGAGUUGAUUCUUUUUUCUGCUGAUUGCUACGCAAAUUCUUCAAACUGUCGUAAUUUUUCAGAAUUUUUGAAGUACCAGAGGUAUACGAAAUAUGCAGAUUGCUACAGACUGGUAUGCUGUUAACAGAUUCUGUUUUUGUUGUGUUGGUUGCUUAUUUUGAUGGAACUAUGGAUAGUAUCGGGGGGUAUUAGCCAUGGAAGAUUGAAAGUACAGUAACCCAACAUCAGCACAAGUAGAAUUUAAGGUUGCUACAGUACCUAAGGAAGUGGUGGUUUGCUUUCUUGUACUAAUGUUAUCACGAGUUUCUGUUUAAGUUUCGUGUUGUGAAGUUUUCAAGUUUUGGGUGAAGUUCUUAUGGACAAAGAGAUAAAGAGUGGCAAGAGCUCAAGCUUGGGGAUGCCCAAGGCACCCCAAGAGAUUCAAGUAUGUCGUAAAAGCCUAAGCUUGGGGAUGCCCCGGGAAGGCAUCCCCUCUCUCGUCUUCAAUCCAUCGGUAACGUUACUUGGGGCUAUAUUUUUAUUCACCACAUGUUAUGUGUUUUUGCUUGGAGCGUCUUGUAUCGUAGGAGUCUUUUAUUUUUGUUGUGUCACAAUAAUCCUUGCUGCACACCUAGAGAGAGAGACAUGCACACACCGUGAUUUUGUCGAGCUUCACUUAUAUCUUUUGGUAGACAAUUCAGCUCACAUAUGCUUCACUUAUAUCUUUUGAGCUAGAUACUUUUGCUCUAUGUGCUUCACUUAUAUCUUUUAGAGCACAGCGGUGCGUGUCUUGGUAGUUGAUCUAUGCUUUGAAAGUAGUCUCAAAAGGGGUAGAUAUCCAAAGGGAUACGAAAACUUCCACCUUCAUGUGCAUUGAAUAGUUAGAGAAGUUUGAUUCAUCUCAAUUAGUUUUGAGUUGUGAUUAUGGUAAUAUUGAAGUCAUGCUAGUAAGGUGUUGUGGAUCUAGAAAUACUUGUGUUGAAUUUAGUGAUUCCGAUAGCAUGCACGUAUGGUGAACCGCUAUGUGAUGAAAUCUGAGCAUGAUUAUUAUAUUGAUUGUCAUCCUUUGCGUGGCGGUCGGGAUCACGCGAUGGUUUAUACCUACCAACCCUUCCCCUAGGAGUAUGCGUUGAAUGCUUUGUUUCGAUUACUAAUGAAACUUUUGCAACAAGUAUAUGAGUUCUUCAUGACUACUGUUGAGUCCAUGGUUUAGAUGCACUUUCACCUACCACCAUCACUAUCUUCUUUUUCGCCGGUGCACAANNNNNNNNNNNNNNNNNNNNNNNNNNNNNNNNNNNNNNNNNNNNNNNNNNNNNNNNNNNNNNNNNNNNNNNNNNNNNNNNNNNNNNNNNNNNNNNNNNNNUGGAGAUGCUCUUAGGGUUCUCGGUCAACCUCCCCUCUCUAGGCCCACCACUUGCUGUUGUCUUGAGCAGGCAGCAAAACGAUGGCCAUGUAACAUCCCGAAGUUUGUGAAACAUGUGAUGAAGAGUGUUGUUUUGCAUCAUGUUUAAAUUCAAAUUGAAAAGUAGGCGAAUUUAAAACCUCAAAUAAACUUUGUAAAUGCACUACAUAUUAUAGUGUAACCUAAAUGUCCUUAAAAAAUCAAGAAACUUAUGNNNNNNNNNNNNNNNNNNNNNNNNNNNNNNNNNNNNNNNNNNNNNNNNNNNNNNNNNNNNNNNNNNNNNNNNNNNNNNNNNNNNNNNNNNNNNNNNNNNNNNNNNNNNNNNNNNNNNNNNNNNNNNNNNNNNNNNNNNNNNNNNNNNNNNNNNNNNNNNNNNNNNNNNNNNNNNNNNNNCCCCCCCCCCCACCCCACACACACACACCCUAAUAUUCCAUGAAUUACGAAUGACUUGAACCUUGCCAACUAAAUUUCUUCAAGCAAUUCUUUUCCAAGAAGUUCAACUCAUGAAAAUAUUCAAAUUGUUUUGAAAUUAUAGGAGGAGAGUUACUGAACUAAAGUUGCAAAAAAAAUUUAAAUAGUUGUGGAAAUAAACCCAUAAAAAAAAUUCUACAUAGUCUCAAUUAGAUUUGAACAAUUGAAAUUAUAUUUAAUAUUAUAAAAACAGAAUAUAUAUNNNNNNNNNNNNNNNNNNNNNNNNNNNNNNNNNNNNNNNNNNNNNNNNNNNNNNNNNNNNNNNNNNNNNNNNNNNNNNNNNNNNNNNNNNNNNNNNNNNNCUCAUCCCCUCUCGUAGAUGAACAUCACCAUGAUAGGUCUUCGUGCGCGUAGGAAAAUUUUUGUUUCCCAUGCGACAUUCCCCAACAGUGGCAUCAUGAGCUAGGUUCAUGCGUAGAUGUCUUCUCGAGUAGAACACAAAAGGUUUUGUGGGCGGUGAUGUGCGUUUUGCUGCCCUCCUUAGUCUUUUCUUGAUUCCGCGGUAUUGUUGGAUUGAAGCGGCUUGGACCGACAUUACUCGUACGCUUACGAGAGACUGGUUUCAUCGUUACGAGUAACCCCCUUUGCUCAAAGAUGACUGGCAAGUGACGGUUUCUCCAACUUUAGUUGAAUCGGAUUUGACCAAGGAGGUCCUUGGAUGAGGUUAAAUAGCAACUCAUAUAUCUCCAUUGUGGUGUUUGCGUAAGUAAGAUGCGAUCCUACUAGAUACCCCCGGUCACCACGUAAAACUUGCAACAACAAAAUUAGAGGACGUCUAACUUGUUUUUGCAGGGUAUGCUUGUGAUGUGAUAUGGCCAACGAUGUGAUGUGAUAUAUUGGAUGUAUGAGAUGAUCAUGUUGUAAUAGAAAUAUCGACUUGCACGUCGAUGGUACGGCAACCGGCAGGAGCCAUAGGGUUGUCUUUAUAACUAACGUUUGUGCUUGCAGAUGCGUUUACUAUUUUGAUAGGACGUAGCUUUAGUAGUAAUAGCAUGAGUAGCACGACAACCCCGAUGGCGACACGUUGAUGGAGAUCAUGAUGAUGGAAAUCAUGGUGUGACGCCGGUGACAAGAAGAUCGUGCCGGUGUUUUGGUGAUGGAGAUCAAGAAGCACGUGAUGAUGGCCAUAUCAUGUCACUUAUGAAUUGCAUGUGAUGUUAAUCCUUUUAUGCACCUUAUUUUGCUUAGAACGACGGUAGCAUUAUGAGGUGAUCUCUCACUAAAAUUUCAAGACGAAAUUGUGUUCUCCCCGACUGUGCACCGUUGCUACAGUUCUUCGUUUCGAGACACCACGUGAUGAUCGGGUGUGAUAGACUCAACGUUCACAUACAACGGGUGCAAAACAGUUGCGCACGCGGAACACUCGGGUUAAGCUUGACGAGCCUAGCAUGUGCAGACAUGGCCUCGGAACACAUGAGACCGAAAGGUCGAGCAUGAAUUGUAUAGUUGAUAUGAUUAGCAUAGAGAUGCUUACCACUGAAACUAUUCUCGACUCACGUGAUGAUCNNNNNNNNNNNNNNNNNNNNNNNNNNNNNNNNNNNNNNNNNNNNNNNNNNNNNNNNNNNNNNNNNNNNNNNNNNNNNNNNNNNNNNNNNNNNNNNNNNNNGUUCGGCACUAGAUCGUGGGACUGAUCGCGGGAGGUUCGCGGGGCGGAUCGAGGGACGUGAGGACGUUCCACUACAUCAACCGCGUUCACUAACGCUUCUGCUGUGCGAUCUACAAGGGUACGUAGAUCGGAAAUCCCCUCUCGUAGAUGGACAUCACCAUGAUAGGUCUUCGUGCGCGUAGGAAAAUUUUUGUUUCCCAUGCGACGUUCCCCUUCAGUUUUAUUCUAGAUCAUUAUCAGUAUAAGAAAAUGUUUCAAACAUCACAAUUGGAGAAAAAAAGCCUUACUAACCAAAUAACUACAAAUGGAAGUCAAAUGAAAGUAAAUAGAACCAGAUAUCUCGAUUCAAUAAGUACAACAAGUAUUGCUUUAGGACAAUGUGCCGAGGGCGGUUUACAAACAAUCGUCGGUGAAAUUCCUAUUGGUUGAAUCAAUAUUGAAUUCUUCAUUAACAUAUUGAAGAGGUAGUCAGCAGAAGACUUCCCUCUCAAACAAGCAUGUUAGCAUUAGUUCAACUUGAGCAUUAGUUGUGCACAACAGGCUGGUAGGCAAGAUAUAAACUUUUUGGGAAAAUGCUACUUCUAUUGGAACAAGACAAUCAUUUAACUUCUUUCUGCGGUAUUCUAGUAUUAAUAAAGUAAAUAGGUUCCUCCAUAAUCUUCAUGGAUUUCAAAGACAAUCAUUUGUUAGCAAUAUUAUGAAGUGACAAAAAAAAUCCAAUCCUGUUAAUAGAGCACCAACAGAAUCUCUUAUAUCAUUUGGAGACAAAGGAAUAAGAAUAUACGACAUAUAAAACCAGUGGUUUAACUUUACAUGCUUGAUAAAAUAAAAUGGUGUAGUGGGCAUAUAUAAGAUGUCAAUCAAAAUCUUAAACCAUGCAAAAUACUUCUAGUACAAAAAAUUCUACUUCGUUCAAAUCAACCUGCAUAUUUAAGAAACAACAAUUAUAUUCUUUUUCGGAGACAAACAUAUAUUAGCUGAUAAUACUAAUAGAUAUUAGUGAUGAUUAUCAUAACACCUUCCAUGUGCAUAUUAUCCAUAUGUUAUAACGGCCACCCCUAUCCAUGGCCAGCGGCGUCUCAGGCUCGCUGGUUUGGUGUUGCCCCUUGUAGAGUCAACAUGGGUAACAAUCUUAUAGGGGCCACGAACACGCAAGAUACUGAAAAUAAAUCAAACACAAUGGUCUGAACCCAAUGAUGCUAACUACUGGAAGUCAUAGCCCAGUUGACAGACAAUGAAUCCAAAGACAGACAACUAAUGGUUUUAUCAGCAACGAAGAGUAAGAAACACAUGUUGAAACCAUACACAGGGCAGAGCCAGUGAGGCUGCUGGUGCCACCCGGCAACCUCUAGCCUAUCUGCUCGUUGGAUAUGGCUCUCGACAAUAGUGUCCAACGGCACCAGGCUCGUGCUAGCCAGACCUACACACAUGGGCUCCUCUGUCCAAUGUAAUCGGAAGUAUGCCAACCAAACGAACGAUAAGUGUAAACGUAAUCCAAGGUUUUGCAGGUGUAUUGUGUUGAUUUUUUAAACUAUUUUCUGAAUAAUUAACAGAACAAAACAAAACGACGGAAAAAGAAGGGUUAGGUACAAGCUAAAAAGGACAAGCAGAGUUCACCUAAAUUGUUCAUCAAGAGUAAAAAAGAUCACGUGGAUCGUCUGUUGAGAUAGAAUUGCCCUGUAAAAGUGAAACAGAGAAGUGAGAAAUCAAUGUAUUUUGCCAUUUUAAGGAUUAAAAGAAAGCAAAAGAUCACUCCAGGUACUUGGUUCACUUGUUCCUUCUGAAUAACUUUCCGGAUGCCUUCUUUUUCCAUUUGAUGCUGAUAUAUCUAUAGUUGAAUGUGGCAUAUCAUAUUGUCAGCACAAAAAAGUAACCAACAACCCAUUAUUUCUUCGUAAUGGAAAAGAAUUUAAAAGACAUGAAAGAUACAAGAUUUGGAGUUGACGACCUUCUCCUCAAUGGUCCCAGUGCUCAAGAACAUGUAUACGUGCACUCUCUUCUUUUGUCCAUCUGUCCAUACUCUAGCAGCAGCUUUUGCAAGUGCCAAUAGGUGAAAAGGUUCAGCUCAGGCAAGGUGUGUGGAAUUAAAAAGAACCUUCAGAAGGUGAUAAAUUAGUGACGUGCAGAUAUAAACCAGCUUCGAGCCCCUCGUGUGUCUCUUCAACUCGGUUCGAUCUGUUCCCCAAGCGCCGAGGCCGGCGCCGGCAGCGGCGGAUUACGGCCUAGAGCAGCGAAUGUCCGGUGGCGCCUCCAACGGCCUGAAGGUGCGAGGUCGGCCGCCCGAGGGGAGCGCAUUGGCUGUAGCUGCGCGACAGCGUUGUGUUGACUGAGGAUGGGCGCAUGGUGGCCUGAGCAAGAGGCCGGUGAGUCCGCUUCUCUGGAUCGGCGAGCACGGGCAACGCGGACCUAGGCCCGAGGAGGGCGAGCAUCGGCAACGCUACCGGGGUUUGAGUAGGCAGCGCGGCUAUUGCUCGAGGAGAGAGCGGCUGCCGACAAAGGAGAGCAUGCGCCGCCAAAGCUUGAUAUGAAUGGAUGCGUGGUGUGCAUGCUGCUGUGUACUGUACUGAUGCAUGGUGUGUGUGCUGUUGUGUACUGAUUAGUUGUGUGUGUGUUGUGUUGCAAGUUCUUGUGCACUAAUCCUCUCCUUUUGGCAUUCUGCUGCAGAAGAUUUCAUGGUGACAGGGAAUACAAACUUGACGCAUCACCUUUUAUUCUUGAUUUCUCUCCAAAACCGAACACUUAUUGAACUAUCCACAAUCAUAUUUUAUCCUUCAAAGCAAACAAAAUAUGGGCUAACCACACCAAGCCAACCAAACAAAAAAAAGGCUAUCCAUAGCCAGCUGGUUGGGGAUACCCAUAGGCCAUAGCCAUCCUAGUUUAUCCCUUGAACCAAACACACCCCUAGAAGGGGAGGGGACUAUUUGCAUCAGGUUCUGUGAAGUGCACGAACAGGAGUACAGAUUUGGCAGGGAGGGAGCUCAUGGGCGCCUCAGGCAACGGAUCAGGGGCGGCUCACCUCGAUUUGUCCUCUAACGGAGGUGCACGAACAGGAGGACGACGGUCCGGUGCUCCUCUCAUCGAUGGCGAUGCCUUCGAGCGGAGCAGCUGCGCGAGCGUCGGCCGCCGAUCCUCCCAGUGACGAUGACAGCGACGUGGUGGAGGUGAAGGAGUGGCGUGGGCCUCCAGCCGGUGGGUGGUGGUCGAGACAGUGGCGAGCGCCGGCGGCAGCCAAGAGCGAAGGAAUGGUGCGACGGGGAGUGAAGAGGGUUCUCAUUGGAGGGCGUUAGCGCGCUAGCUUGUCGGGGGCGCGGCGGCGGGCGAACCGCCGGCUGUUCCUCGCGUCCUCGAGCUAGGGUUAGGGGACGGGGACUGGGAUGAGGAUGAGGCGCGACCGCGCGAAGAAACGGCUAGGGGCGUGUUUGGUCGCCGUAUUAGUGCGAGGGCGACGGGGAAAGGAGCCGCGAGGGCGAUGGCGCCAGCAAGGAGGGCCGGUGGGAAGGGAGAGGGUGCGGUGGCGGCGCGGGGGUGGUGCGGCUGCGCGAGAGGAGCGGUUCGCACGAGUGCGGGGAUGGGGUCGUGGGUUUUCCUGAUUCAAGUACGAGGAGGGGGGGGGGAACNNNNNNNNNNNNNNNNNNNNNNNNNNNNNNNNNNNNNNNNNNNNNNNNNNNNNNNNNNNNNNNNNNNNNNNNNNNNNNNNNNNNNNNNNNNNNNNNNNNNNNNNNNNNNNNNNNNNNNNNNNNNNNNNNNNNNNNNNNNNNNNNNCGAGAGGUCGAACCAUCGCUUUGGUCGAACCAUCACGACGUUCGAUCCCCCUUUAAUAGUAGAGAUAUAGUGGUUCUACACCCCAAUAUAGUCAAGCACACAAGCUCAUCUUCAUGUAGUACAUAUAUAAACAAGAUCUGUACAAUGAUUGGCUACCCAUUAAUCGAUGUGGACACACACAAAUAUUCCAUUUUAACUAAAGAUUAACGUCAAAUUAGCAACACAAUCUUAAAUAUUAUUACCAUCUGAUCAACAAUAUUUCAUAACUAAUGUGCAAGUAGUGUAUUGAGUUUUACACCUACAACCAACGUCAGGUGAAUCUCUUUUACUGCAUCAAUGGUAUUUCGAUUCUUUAUAAUCCCCUAGGAAUGACAUGUUCAGAAGCAAAUCAGAUCAAAAUUAUUAUUCGAAUGUGUCCUUGGCUUGAGGUAUCCUGACAGUAAAAACAAUGACAAACAUUAUAUUAUAUCAACAUGACAAAUGAGAUGCCACAUGAUUUACACAACUACAAAGUACAAUACUGUGUACCUUACGGUUGAUCAAUGAUUGGAUAAAAAAUUCUUUCAACCAUAAUACAUGAAAUUUAUGGAUGCCUUGUCAAUCGAGAGAAACAAUCAAAUGGAAAUACUAGCAUGCAUAGAAAAACUUCAACACAACAGAAUGAGAAAACCUUCAGCAGUACAUAGAGAUGUGUAGGAAUGCAGUGCUACCCAAAUGAACAAACAACAAUCCAGUAAAGGUAAUACAUUCUACAUAUUUUCAGCAUAUUUUACAUACUUGUGUACAUUUAAAAUGAGAGAACUUUAUGUUAUGAAUUUAACAUUACAAGGGCAAGCCAUUUAGUGGAAUUAGGACAGAAGCAAGGUUGGUUCAGAAGAUAAAAUUUGAACUCAGACUAAUGUAGAACAAGCAGAGAAAGAAUGGGCCAAGAGAACGGGUAAGAUAUAUCAAGAUCCAAAUUUUCCAUAUUGAAGCACCGAUAAGUAGUUUCAAUAAUGAUGCUAAAUAUACAUAUGUCCACAAUUUUCCAUAUUAAAGACGAUGUAUGUAAAAAUAACUUGGUGGUACAACAUAUGUUGAUGUAGAAGAAUGACACAUGGAUAUACAUUCAUGUAGAAAUAAUUCAUAUUUAUUUUGCAAUUAGUUAAACAUCAGAUACAUAAUUACUAUCCAAAUAUGUAAAGCGGUAUAAUACAAUUAUCAUAAGUAAACAUUCAAGACCAAUUAAUUUAGCAAUUGGAUGCUUUAGUUUAUAGAAAUUAAUGUAGCAAUUUGACGCUUUAGUUUAUAGAAAUCACUAGAUCUGUAAAGCAAAACCAUUUUCUAAAUUCAAAGGAGUAGACUACAUUUCAAUGAAAAAUUAGUAGAUUGGUCCUUCAAAUAAUAAAUUUGCAUCAUCAUUCUUUGUUUUUGUUUAAGAUGUUCACUAAUUAUAGUUAUGUAAUAAUUAUAAUAAGUAUUAAAAACACAAUAUAUUCUACUCCAGAUAAGAAGUUCAAUAAUAAGAUAUAACAAACGACUAUCUAAAAAAAUGACGAAAAGGCGGUGCCGGUGCAAAUUGGAAUAUCUAUAAAUUAUAUGUACAAGUGACACACAUUGUUUUACAAGACUAACAUAUUUAAAUGAAAUUCAGCUUACAAUUCCAUGUAAUAUAUCCUAUUUCAUAUGUAUGUUUCUAUAAAUUAUAUGUACAAGUAACACAUAUUGUUUUAGAGGACUUACUUUACAGACGCCAAUAAAAGGGCGCACAUUAAAAACCGAUGUUUUUUUGCGUUGGAGACAAACAAACAACGUUUCAACAGACGUUGUAAAAUAAAGCGCACACAAAAAAGUCAGCGCCCAUGCUGUAAAUUUUGGGCCAGCUGUCUUCCAAGCUGUAUAUUUGAAGCAUCGGAUUAUGCGCGCUGGCUGCUCUAGGUGGGACCAUCGAAUUAAACGCCGUGUUUUUAUGCAUCUAAAAAUCUCUUCGUCGCUUUCACGUGUAAAAACGCUAUUUCAACGUGCUAAAAACAAAUUAACACACGUCUAUUGAAGAUGCGGUGGGCGUAUGUUACGCCGUGACUACCAAGAUGGGAAAAAUCAAACGUUAAAUUCAGGCGGGGAUAGGGGGUUUGCGGGGGCGGGCUCGUGCUCUCCGGCACUUCGCCGGCCGCGGAGAACCAGCUCUGAGCAGCCAAGCGUCGUACUGCAGAGGAGAAGCAGUGCCAGGCAGCCUUCGUGCCGAGGAGGAUCACACUCUGCAGUGCCAGGCAGCCUUCGUGCCGAGGAGGAUCACUGCUGUGCGCCGGGAAAGUGGCAGCCUGUGUACUCCGAUGUUUGUUCAGUAGCACGACUUGUUGCUACACAAUUUCCAUGUUGAUUACUGCUAACGGUGGCCUGUAAUUUGUUCGAGUAACUUUAGUGCUUGUCUUGAGUAAUACUGUUGGGUCUUGUACAACAUAUAGGAUUGUUUUUUUUACCUUAACCAGUUGCCGUUGUUUGCAUCUCUAAUGCCAUGUAAAUUGAGUGUUUUUGUUUAUAUUGUCGUCUGCUCCAAGAUGUGCAAGUAUGGAUCUUUUUUUUAUAUAACUUUUCUAAUGCGUGGUUGAUGGCUGGAUGUGUUGACGAAUUGAUUGAUGUAUGCUUGAUCUGUGUCAGGUCUCAGUUUCAUUAAAAACGAGUACGUAUUCAGCAAAUAGGGUGCAGAUUCUAUUCCGGCAAGCCGACCACUGUAUUUUUUUGACAGUUAAAUCUUCAUUAUUAAUUGGACGACAGGGUAACAUCAUUUACAAGCAAGGAGAUUAUAGCCUCAUGAGCUAAUUAUAUCUAGCUACACCUGCUAAGUCGUGGCCGCUGUUGUUUGCUGGUUGCUAUCAUCGAAUGCUUGAAAUAAGGUCAAGUCUGAAUCAUUUUUUCACCACGGUGAACCAGUGCGUUGCUUGUGCAGUUUUGGCAUUUAGUCGCUGUUGUCCGUUGGAUGAAGAACGAACGGCGGAUGGGUGGGCGCAUGUUACACCGUGACCGCCAAGAGGCAAGUCACUCGAUCCCGGUCCCUGCUUAGGUUAUCCUACGUUCUUCUUUGUAAAUUGUUGUUGGCCCGUUCCUUGUACGAACGCAUGAUGCUGCCAAACAGAAAACCCCACGUUGCCUCCAUUUUGGCUCGUUCGUUGUAAGAAUGCAUGAUGCCUCCAUUAUGUUUUUGGGAAGAAAUGUAUGGGGCAUUGCUCCAAUAGCAUGUUGUCCUUAAACUGAUUGUAGUACAUGUCAACUGAUCAACGAGUAUUGAAUUAGUAGAGGUUAGUUGCAGUUCGUUGUGCACAUUUGGCGUAUGGGUGAAGGCAACAAAGUUGUCAACUCUACUAUUCUGAACUGUCGUUGUGGGUUGAGCAGCCCUAGCAUUGGAGGAACAGGAAUCAAAUCACAAUGACGGAUCUGGCGCAACACAGAAGAAGGGAAAGAAACCUGGCUUAAUGUGUUGCAAAAAACUGGCUUAAUGAUGCCGCACAAAAACUUAUGUGAUAAUUAUAAAGGACGUGGUAUUUUUACACACAAGCAUUUUAAAAAUAUUUUAAAAAAUGCUUUGUUUAUGACAAACUUUGACAAAUGUUCUAAGAAAUCGCAAAGUUCCAUCAUGAAAUCUCAUCUAUGGAAGUCUUGAACAAAAAUUGGAACUCUGAAAAUGCUACUUUUGUAAGUAUUUUGUAGCAAUUUUUUUGCCAUGACUUCUACAAAUGUGAUGUUGUGUCGAAAUUUUGCGAGCCCUCAGAAAAUUAAUAAAGUUUGUUUAAAAAAAUACUUUUUAAAUGUUUUUUAAGUUACUAUUCAUCCUGAGCUCAUUUGAGCUCGGGGGUAGAAGGGCACUUGAUUUGGACACCACUCGAGGCCGAGCCGAAGAUGAGGACGACAUGAUAUGGAAUGUUUGGGCCGCAGGAAAGGUCAAAUUCUUCUAUUCAUUGCUCCCCCACGACAGGUUCUAGUUCGACGAUCGCCUGCAAUGUACGGUUGGGAAAACAAAUACUUUUGCCCUCUCCGCCUAUGGAGUUUGGAGUUCUCGGUUCAUCUUCUAUGGAACUGCCCUUUAUCCCUGGAAUAUCUGGCGUGAGGCAGCAUCAUGGCAAGUUUGCUCAGCUCUAGCCUUUGUAGAAAGGGCACACACCACUUCGACUACCGCACUCGAGAAAUUUCCAUGGCCGCUAAGAAGCAAAUCAGAAAAGGGGUACGAAGUGUGACCAUGAUGAUCGCUUGGGGCAUGUGGAAGGAGAGAAGCGAAUGCGUCUUUGGGGCAAGGAUGCCAAGAUCUUCGAAUGUUCUUGCUGCCAUCAGAAGAAACCUAGAGCAAUGGUGCCUUGCAGGAUUACGGGUUUUUGAGAACCCCUUCGGGGAUUUUGUCGUGAGAUAGGUGUUCUUUUGUUAGAAUGUUCUCUCUGUUUACUCCAUGGUCACUUGAUCAACACCAUGUUUCCCGUAUUCUCUCUCUAAAUCAAUCAACGACAACAUUGGUGGAUCUUAGAAAAAAACAUUAGAAAAACAAACAUCAACUAGUAACAAAACUUAAGCAUCAUCAUGCACGGCAGUCCGCCUCUCCCCUACCAUGCGGCGGCGGAGACCAACUCCUCAAGAUCUCAGCUGACAGGAGCGUUGGUUCACUCUCCCUCUAAUUGCCGCUCCAGCGGCAAAAGGGAGGGGGGGACCUCGUUUCUCUGUAUAGUAGUUUUGGUUAGGGUCUGUCUACUGUGGGGCGCCGUUAGGGUGGUGGGAGCGGCGCCCGAGCAAAUAGUCUGCCUCAACUCUUCUCCCACACUGGUGACGACCUUCACGACGUCGUCUCAGAGUUGAUGGCAACGUGUGCUCGUCGGUCCUUCAGAUCGGCAGCUUGGUCUUCUCGUCGUUCUUCAGAUCCGGAGAGACCUGUUUCUUGGUGUGUCGUUGGUGUUCGUCGUUAUCUGCGAUGAAGCUGGCGGGCAGGGCGAGGUGGUUUCUCUGGAACGAGGAUGUUGGUCCGGAGGUGGUGGAUCUGUCACUCUUCUAUGACUUCAUCGAUGGGAGGCGACGGAUGUUGGCCCAAGAUACCACGGGCACGUCCACAGGUCGACGUGCCACAGUGACAUGUGCCUUGCCGCGUGUAGUAGGCUUGUUCGUCGACUAGAAAGCCUUGUUGGCGAUGGUGUUUUUUUGGAUCUUGCAAUGGUGGAGACUCGGUGUCUCUUUCAGCGUGCGCCUUGGCGGCGAAAGAGUUUGACGAUGCCGCUCGCUUCGGUGGUUGUAGGAAAUCCUAUGAAUCUUUUUAUAUUUCUUGAUCUUUUAGGAUGCUUUCUGCAAAGUUUUCAGGAUAAUCAUGGUAUGUUUUUAGUGUCCGCAUGUGUUGCUUCACGUAACUUUAUUUUCAAUUAAUGAAAUAUGUGGUUGUUCUAAAAAAAAGGUAAGCAUCAUCGAUGUAACAAACCACUUCACCACGAGGACCACUAGAUGCAAAACAUAUAAUAGUAGUACUUCCUAUAACUAGAAAGAAAAUGGUACAACCAAGGAAAGUUUGGCCACAUAGUACUCCUACCAGGAAUGGAAUUAUUAUGCAUAGCCAGACCGAAGGUCCCCCACGUAGACCGAGCAGCAUAAUAGGUAAAGAAAGGGUGGUUAUCAGUUUUAAUCUCACUACAAAAGAGCACACAGCCACAGGGUUAACCCAACCAUUGCAUUUUCUUGUGUUAUCUCUUGUAGUAAGCACAACAUAUUGGAAUAGUUGUAAGAAGAAAAUUUUAAUCUUGAGAGGCAUAUAAGAUAUAGCUUCCCAUAUCAACUUAUUGUUUCACACAAUGAUAUCCCGUUCCAACAAAUUAUACAACGAUUUAGUGGAGAAAACCAGAUUCUUAGAGAGGGACCAGUUAAUCUCAUCGGGAUAAUCAACUAAGUGAAAAUUUAUACGUGUAUCUACAAACGGGCUUCGCUACACCUAUGGAAGCUUACGGGCGCGAGUAGUUACGUAAUGAUUUGACAUAAUUUUAAUUUACGGAGUAGACUUACUUUACAGAGUUUGACCGACUAACCCUUCUCCGGCCCUCACUAAUCUCCCCCUCCCCACUCCACCUCACCCCACCCUCCACCCAAAAAAAUUUAGGGUGCGCCCCGCUUCAUUCUAAACCAAUCAAAACAGCCCAUCUCAGUUUAGUCCGUAAACAUCACGUAAACUCCUCAUAGUUAUAGCAUUACUGUUAGCAAAAUUUAAUUGGACAUUAAUACAUGUUAGACCUACUUAAACUAAUGAGCUCUUACUUGAUGAAAAGCCUGGAGACUUAGGAUUGGAAUGAAGGGGGUGGGAGGGCACCACGCCAACCCGAGGAGUGAUUGAUUAGGGCAUCUCCAAUAGUCGUAUGAUCAUCGUUGGUAAAAUUACCACAUAGACGACUUUGAUGACAUGGCGCAUAAUAAAAGAAGAGAGAGAAUGAAAUUGUAUGAACUUGAAGCAACGGUUCUGGCACAAGCUCCGAGACAAGCAUGAUCAUUUCUUCAACAUUUAAUGAACCCGCUUAGUUAUUUUACAUACGGUUAACAUACACUUCAUUGAAGAGCUUGUAUGAUAUGUUGUUGACAGCUGACGUGGGCACUUAUACAACGAACUGUUGAAGAUGCUCUUAGUGAGCAGAAAGGUACGUAGCAAACCGUAAUUAUGUUUACGUAAGUCUAUCAUUCUUGAUCUAUACAACCACAUUCCAUUGUUCAAGCAUAGCGCCGGUACGCCGACGCGGCUUUGCGUAAAUGUCCUACGUAGGUCUAGCAUUUUUGGAGUGAUUAGUCAGUGAGCAGGAAGAUACGUAGCAACAAACCAUAAGUAUGUUCACGUGAGUCUACCAUUUUUGAUCUAUGUAACCUCAUUCCAGUGUUCAAGCAUAACGCCCGUAAGCCCACGCUUAAAAGUAAUACUCCUCCCAAGUUAAAAACCAACAAUUCUUGUGUUAAUUACCAGUGUUGUAGUUGUAUUGACUUGAAUACGAGUCUUUAUUUUGAAAUCAGAACGAAAGACUCUUGAUUAACUGAUUCAACCACACGAACAUAAACUCACAGCAAAUGGGAUAAAUUCUCGCAUAGUCGCACGUACUCCACUAUGUAGUGCCCACCCCACGAGCGAUCACAUUCACAUCUCCGCAACCUUGCUCGCCGGCCAGGUGACGGCGAUGGGGCUCGUCACCGAGUGCUCGCCGUCGCUCCACUCGAUCGACCCGAACGUGUACUUCGCGGUGGCGCUACCGGGGCUUCCUUGCGCAAAUGCGAGCACGUACUCCUGCGUUUUCUGCGUCGCGCCGAACCGCAGCGUCUCCGGGCUCACCCUGACGCGCACGCCGUCCGGGGCGGUGACCUUGGCCGUGUACGUCGCCUCGGCGUCGCUGCCGACGUUGCGCACGACGCGGCGCUGCGUGACGACCGCCGACUUGUUCGAGGUGAACACCACCGAGAAGGCCGGAUAGUUGUGGUCGCCCACGGCGGAGCCCGCACGCGUCGAACAGCUGAUGGACGAGCCGAAGACGGCGACCUGCCUGGCGGUGUAGCCCAGCGCGCACAGGAAGGUGAUGUAGUCCUCCGUGCCGGCGUCGUACACGAGCCCCGGGUCCACGGCGCUGUUGGGGUCGAUGUGCCCGGCCCCUCGCGCGAACGGCGUGGACGCGUCGCCGCUGGACAUGUCGCCGAUGACGCCGCCGGUGUUGUCCACGUUGUACGCGGUGGUCAUCAGCGCGGACUUGAUCGCCGCAGGGCUCCACUCUGGCCUCGCCUGCCGGAGCAGCGCGGCGAUGCCGCUCACGUGCGGGCAUGACAUGGACGUGCCCGAUAUGAUGUUGUACUUCACCCGCCUCGUGUCGCUGUCCAGCUCCGUGGGCGAGUUGGCGCCUGUCCAAGCCGCGAGGAUGUCCACGCCCGGCGCGGUUACGUCCGGCUUGAAGAUCUCCGGCGCACGCAAGUUUGGCCCGCGGCUCGAGAAGGCCGCCAUUCUUGGGGAAGGAGGCGUCGAGCCGACCACGGUGCCACGGAAGAUGAUCGUCGCGGUAGGGGAAGCUUGCGCGCGUAUGUACUUGAAGAUCUUGGCGCCGUCCACAAAUGCCACGGCCGUGGCGGGGUGGACAUGGGGGGUGGUGAGGGCCUGCUCGCCGAAUGGCUGUGUGCUCGCGAGGAUCGCUCCGGCGCCGCCGGCGAGCUUCACGGCAAGUGGUUUCGCUGCUCGGGCAUUUACACCCGGUUCACACAAAACAAUCUUCCCGGCGACCUUGGUGGCGUUCAGCUUCCCCUCUUCGCACGCUUUGGAGCCCACGUCUCCUCCGUAGACCAGUGGUAUCUUGGUCGGGCCGAGCGGCUCGCCGGCGUAGAGAGUAGUGCCCGUGAAGGUCUCGCCGUUGCCGAGAACGACAUCGCCCGGGAAUUGGCGAUUGAGGGUGGACGCACCGACCGUCAAGAACCAUGGCGCUAUGUUGCAUGCGGUGGAAUCUCCGGGGCCGGAGUUUCCGGCGGAGGCGGAGACGACGAUGCCCCUUCUGACUGCGCGGAACGCACCCACAGCGGUCGUGUCGCCAUAAAAGUCCGGGGCACUGCCGACGGCGCCGAGCGAGACAGAGAUGACGUCGACGCCGUCCGCGAUGGCCUCGUCAAACGCGGCGAGGAUGUCAGAGCUCGCGCACCCUUCCCAGCACGCCUUGUAGACGGCAAUGCGCGCGCCCGGGGCCAUGCCGACGGCUUUUCCUCUCGCGUAGUCGAAGAAGCCGGCGUCCGCGACAGCAGAGCCGCCGGCUGUGGAGGAGGUGUGGGUGC
rnacentral:lncRNA from 1 species